CGCCUCAUAGGUCUUUCACAAAGCACAUACCUUGAUAAGAUUUUGAAGAGGUUCAAAAUGGAUCAGUCCAAGAAGGGGUUCUUGCCUAUGUUACAAGGUGUGAGAUUGAGCUCGGCUCAGUCACCGACCACGGCAAAAGAUAAAGAAGAGAUGAGUGUCAUCCCCUAUGCUUCAGCCAUAGGAUCUAUUAUGUAUGCCAUGCUGUGUACCAGACCCGAUGUAAACCUUGCCGUAAGUUUGGUAGCAAGAUACCAAAGUAAUCCCGGCAAGGAACACUGGACAGCAGUCAAGAAUAUCCUGAAGUACCUGAAAAGGACGAAGGACAUGUUUCUCGUUUAUGGAGGAGACGAAGAGCUCGUCGUAAAGGGUUACGUCGACGCUAGCUUCGACUCAGAUCUGGAUGACUCUAAGUCACAAACCGGAUACGUGUAUAUGUUGAAUGGUGGAGCAGUAAGCUGGUGCAGCUGCAAGCAGAGCGUCGUGGCGGGAUCUACGUGUGAAGCGGAGUACAUGGCAGCCUCGGAGGCAGCACAUGAAGCGAUUUGGGUGAAGGAGUUCAUCACCGACCUAGGAGUCAUACCCAAUGCGUCGGGGCCGAUCAAACUCUUCUGUGACAACACUGGAGCUAUUGCCCUCGCCAAGGAGCCCAGGUUUCACAAGAAGACCAGGCACAUCAAGCAUCGUUUCAACUCCAUCCGUGAAAAUGUUCAAGAUGGAGACAUAGAGAUUUGCAAAGUGCACACGGAUCUGAAUGUCGCAGAUCCGCUGACUAAACCUCUCUCGCGUGCAAAACAUGAUCAACACCAGAACUCUAUGGGUGUUCGAUUCAUCACAAUGUAACUAGAUUGGUGACUCUAGUGCAAGUGGGAGACUAUUGGAAAUAUGCCCUAGAGGCAAUAAUAAAAGUAUUAUUAUAUUUCAAUGUUCAUGAUAAAUGUCUUUUAUUCAUGCUAUAACUGUAUUAUCCGGAAAUCGUAAUACACGUGUGAAUACUUAGACCACAAUAUGUCCCUGGUGAGCCUCUAGUUGACCAGCUCGUUGUGAUCAACAGAUAGUCAUGGUUUCCUGACUAUGGACAUUGGAUGUCGUUGAUAACGGGAUCACAUCAUUAGGAGAAUGAUGUGAUGGACAAGACCCAAUCCUAAGCAUAGCAUAAAAGAUCGUGUAGUUCGUUUUGCUAGAGCUUUGCCAGUGUCAAGUAUCUCUUCCUUCGACCAUGAGAUCGUGUAACUCCCGGAUACCGUAAGAGUGCCUCGGGUGUAUCAAACGUCACAACGUAACUGGGUGACUAUAAAGGUGCAUUACAGGUAUCUCCGAAAGUAGCUGUUGGGUUGACACGGAUCGAGACUGGGAUUUGUCACUCCGUAUGACGGAGAGGUAUCUCUGGGCCCACUCGGUAAUGCAUCAUCAUAAUGAGCUCAAUGUGACCAAGGUGUUGGACACGGGAUCAUGCAUUACGGUACGAGUAAAGUGACUUGCCGGUAACGAGACUGAACAAGGUAUUGGGAUACCGACGAUCGAGUCUCGGGCAAGUAACUUACCGAUUGACAAAGGGAAUUGCAUACAGGGUUUGAUCGAAUCCUCGACAUCGUGGUUCAUCCGAUGACAACAUCGAGGAGCAUGUGGGAGCCAUCAUGGGUAUCCAGAUACCGCUGUUGGUUAUUGACUGAGAGCGUCUCGGUCAUGUCUGCAUGUCUCCCGAACCCGUAGGGUCUACACACUUAAGGUUCGGUGACGCUAGGGUUAUUAGGAAGACUAGUAUGUGACUACCGAAUGUUGUUCGGAGUCCCGGAUGGGAUCCUGGACGUCACGAGGAGAUCCGGAAGGGUCCGGAGGUAAAGAUUUAUAUAUGGGAAGUUGUCAAACAGACACCGGGAAGUUUUGGGGUCAUACCGGUAUUGUACCGGGGCCACCGGAAGGGUUCCGGGGGUCCACCAGGAGGGGCCACCCCUCCCGGGGGGCCACAUGGGCUGCGUGGGGCAGGGAGCCAGCCCCUGGUGGGCUGGCCGCACCCCCUCCCUUGGGCCCAUGCGCCUAGGGUUGAGGGGGGAACCCUAGAGGGGGCGCCCCCCUUGGCUUGGGGGCCAAGCCACCCUCUCCCCUCUCCCCUAGGCCGCCGCACCCCCCCCUAGAUGGGUUCUAGGGGGCCGGCCCCCUUCUCCCUUCCCCCUAUAAAUAGAGGGGUGAGGGGAGGGCAGCCGCACCACCCUCCAAGGCGCAGCCCUCCCCUCCCCAACACCUCUCCUCCUCCGUUGUGUGCUUGGCAAAGCCCUGUCGGAGUACUGCCUCUCCACCAUCACCACGCCGUCGUGCUGCCGGUGGAGCUGUCUUCCUCAACCUCUCCUUCCCCCUUGCUGGAUCAAGAAGGAGGAGACGUCUCCCAUCCCGUACGUGUGUUGAACGCGGAGGUGCUGUCCGUUCAGCACUUGGUCAUCGGUGAUUCGAAUCACGUCGAGUACGACUACAUCAUCACCUUGCAAGCUUCCGCCCGCGAUCUACAAGUGGUAUGUAGAUGCAAACUCUCUCCCUUGACUCGUUGCUUAGAUGAACUCAUAGAUGGAUCUUGGUGAAACCGUAGGAAAAAUUUUAAUUUUCUGCAACGUUCCCCAACACCCGCGGGCGCCGCCGAAGAGUCGGAGAGCAGGCCGCCGAGCAGGCCGACCGGGGCCAGCACAGGUGGCGGGGACAAGGUGGGGGAGCGCGGGGAGGAGGCCGGGAAGACCACCAGGCCCACACUGGAGAUGUCGCUCCCCUCGGAUGGCGACACGUCAGAGAUCGGCGGGCCAUCCACCGGGGGGCGAGAGGCGGCCUGGCGGCCCUUGCCCCCAGCAGACGGAGGGGGGGCGAGGGGGAUGGGGAGCGGGAGUCCUCGGACGCCCCCUCCUCAUCCGAGCGGUGAGAACGGGAGCGGUGGCGGCCGUGGUAGUCUCCACCGGCCCCCGGGUUGUCACCAGGGGGGCCGACGUCGAGGAAGCGGGGACGCCCAACGUGGUUGGGAGGCUCGGGGGCGAUCCAAAGGUCGAAGCCCUGGUCGUUGAAGAAGACCCGGACCGAAGUGCGCAGCUUGGAGGAGUCGAGGCACUUGACCUUGACCCGCACCUCCUCCUCCUUGCGCAAUGAGAGCUCGUCGACCACCACCACCUUGCCCAAGAGGGGAGACAUCUGGCGGAUGACGAGCUCGGACCGCGCAAUAUCGGGGAGACUGGAGAUGAGGAUCCAGGCGGUGUCGAGGACAGCGACGGCCUGAGCGUCGAGUACUGGCUCGGAUAUCUUGACAACCAGCUGGUUGAGAGCGAGAGUGAUCCGGCCACUACGCGUCGCGUAGCCGAAGCUGACGGAGUCGGGGAAGACGACGGAGAAGAUGUGACCGGCUGUGGGGGUGACCACCCAGUCCCACUGGUGGCGGUAGAGGUGGUUGAGCUCAGUCUCGAUCAUCUCUGGGGAUGCCACCCCAUCAACGACCGUGACAAUCGCCUGAAGGGAGGGCAACGGAGGAGGGGCGUCCGGGACCUCGAGGUGGAAGAAGCCCAACCCCUCGAUCCCAUGCCCAUACAUCAUGAGCUCCGAAACCACCGGUCUAUCCGGGCACAGAAUGGCGGGGUGGCCGGGAUCCUUGCAGAGGUAGCAGCACUGGGGGUUGACGCAAGCAACCUGAGAAUGCCCCCUCAUCCCACAGUUGAAGCAUGGGGGGCGAGGGAGAUCGGAGACGGGGCCCGGAGCGGAGGAGGCUCCCGGACCCGCGGGGGGUGGCACGGCCGGAGUGAGGCGGACACCCCGGCGCUUCUUCUUCUUGGCAGGCCCAGGACGGCGGCGGGAGGUGCCACCACCAUGAGCCGGAGCCGGGGCCGCAGCCCCAGUGGAGGCCGCGUGCGGAGGGACGUAGCGGCGAGUGUCCGGGGUGGGGAGGAUACCGUCCCCUGGGCGAGGCGAGCCGACCCGGGCCGGACGGGGAGCGUUCCCGACGACGGGACGGCGACGGGGAGCACCGGCGGGCGCGCCAGUCCCCCGACGACGCCCGCGGCGACCGGGACCGCGCCCGGUCAUCACGGCGGGAGGGGGAGCGGCGACCGUCCCGGAGCUCCCGGAGCUCGCNNNNNNNNNNNNNNNNNNNNNNNNNNNNNNNNNNNNNNNNNNNNNNNNNNNNNNNNNNNNNNNNNNNNNNNNNNNNNNNNNNNNNNNNNNNNNNNNNNNNNNNNNNNNNNNNNNNNNNNNNNNNNNNNNNNNNNNNNNNNNNNNNNNNNNNNNNNNNNNNNNNNNNNNNNNNNNNNNNNNNNNNNNNNNNNNNNNNNNNNNNNNNNNNNNNNNNNNNNNNNNNNNNNNNNNNNNNNNNNNNNNNNNNNNNNNNNNNNNNNNNNNNNNNNNNNNNNNNNNNNNNNNNNNNNNNNNNNNNNNNNNNNNNNNNNNNNNNNNNNNNNNNNNNNNNNNNNNNNNNNNNNNNNNNNNNNNNNNNNNNNNNNNNNNNNNNNNNNNNNNNNNNNNNNNNNNNNNNNNNNNNNNNNNNNNNNNNNNNNNNNNNNNNNNNNNNNNNNNNNNNNNNNNNNNNNNNNNNNNNNNNNNNNNNNNNNNNNNNNNNNNNNNNNNNNNNNNNNNNNNNNNNNNNNNNNNNNNNNNNNNNNNNNNNNNNNNNNNNNNNNNNNNNNNNNNNNNNNNNNNNNNNNNNNNNNNNNNNNNNNNNNNNNNNNNNNNNNNNNNNNNNNNNNNNNNNNNNNNNNNNNNNNNNNNNNNNNNNNNNNNNNNNNNNNNNNNNNNNNNNNNNNNNNNNNNNNNNNNNNNNNNNNNNNNNNNNNNNNNNNNNNNNNNNNNNNNNNNNNNNNNNNNNNNNNNNNNNNNNNNNNNNNNNNNNNNNNNNNNNNNNNNNNNNNNNNNNNNNNNNNNNNNNNNNNNNNNNNNNNNNNNNNNNNNNNNNNNNNNNNNNNNNNNNNNNNNNNNNNNNNNNNNNNNNNNNNNNNNNNNNNNNNNNNNNNNNNNNNNNNNNNNNNNNNNNNNNNNNNNNNNNNNNNNNNNNNNNNNNNNNNNNNNNNNNNNNNNNNNNNNNNNNNNNNNNNNNNNNNNNNNNNNNNNNNNNNNNNNNNNNNNNNNNNNNNNNNNNNNNNNNNNNNNNNNNNNNNNNNNNNNNNNNNNNNNNNNNNNNNNNNNNNNNNNNNNNNNNNNNNNNNNNNNNNNNNNNNNNNNNNNNNNNNNNNNNNNNNNNNNNNNNNNNNNNNNNNNNNNNNNNNNNNNNNNNNNNNNNNNNNNNNNNNNNNNNNNNNNNNNNNNNNNNNNNNNNNNNNNNNNNNNNNNNNNNNNNNNNNNNNNNNNNNNNNNNNNNNNNNNNNNNNNNNNNNNNNNNNNNNNNNNNGGAGGGGCGCCGGCGCCGCGGAGGCAGAGGCGGCGGAGGGGCCCGCGAAGGCGCCAGCGGAGUCGCCCAUCCCAAAACAUUAGCUAUAUAUAGCUAGCCAAUCAUAAUUAGGAAUUAGAAAAUCCAUUGCAUGCAUGGAGUUAAAUAAGUGAAAUUGAAAAAGGUUUUCUUUUCUGAAGUUGUUCUCCUUGCUUUUGUUGUUGUUGUUGUUGUUUUUUUUUUUGCGAGGAUGCUCUUGUAGUUGUUGCUGAAAUCAAAUCACCCACGCAUGCAACAACCUAAUCAUAGGAAUUAGCUAAAUUAUUUUCAUGCAUGGAGCUUCCAACAGGAUAUAAUAAUUUAGAAAAGUAAUAAACCUUUUUUCUUUUCUAAAGCGCAAGUGCAAAAGGUGUGACCAGAGAAUAUUAGAUUUCUUUCCUGAAGCGCAAGUGCAAAAGGUGUGACUAGAAAAUGGGCGAUGUGGUCGUAGGCGGUAGGGAAAGCGAAACGUCACCAACCGAAUGGCGAUGACACAACCGAAUGAGAGCUCUCACGCCUUCCCCUCCACAAUCACACCAUCCUCCUCUGCUCCCCCUGCUCCUCUUCACCUCUGCUCCAUUACCUUCUUUCUCUGCCUGCCUGGGGGAGCUAGCUAGAAAGAGAGAAAGAAAGAAGCUCGCCGGCGUCGGGGAGGAUGUCGGACUGGGGGGCGGUGGUGAUUGCGGUGGUGCUGUCGCCGGGGCUGCUGCUGCAGCUCCCCGGGAAGCACCACUUCGUGGAGUUCGGAAACAUGCACACCAGCGCCAUGGCCAUCCUCGUCCACGCCAUCCAUCCAUCCCAACUGGACUUGUUCGACAGGAAAGGAAGAUGGCUGAUUCCCCAGCCUGCUCUAUAUGUUGGGCGGAGGAGGACACUUGGCACCAUUCACUACUCAGUUGCUAUAUGGCAAGAUUUGUGUGGGUGUUGGAAGACGAAGAGCAGCUCGAGCAUGUGAUCUCAAACCAAAACAAAAAUGCAAGGUUAUGGCUGUUCUGGCUCUUUAAGACAACAAACCAACAAGAUCUUGCUCGAGUAUUGGUAACUAUGUGGGCAAUAUGGUGGGCUCGGAGGAAGGCAAUCCAUGAGAAUGAAUACCAGAGCCCGCUCUCAACUAGGUGUUGUAUCAAGAGAUUUCUGGAGGAUCUUGAGAUAGCUGAACUUAACUGUGAUGCAGCUAAACUUAAUGCAGCUAAACUUAACUGUGAUGCAGCUAAACUUAACUGUGAAUGUGCGGUCAGGCCUCGGGCAAGAAUUUGGUUACCUCCUUCGGGUGAUGCAGCUAAACUUAACUGUGAUGGUGGUCUAUCAACUCUGGGGGAGAGAGGAGCAGCUGGAGUUGUCUGUCGAGACAAGUUUGGGAAGUUUUUAGGCGCGUCAGCGGUGGUCUUCGACGGCCUGACCAACCCGGCAAGCUUGGAGGCACAAGCUUGCAGCGAGGCGCUAGCCCUCACACGGGAUUUCAAUCUACAGGAGCUAGUGAUUGCCUCAGAUUGUGUCGAAGUGAUAUCAAAUAUCAACAAGGCAGGUUCACCAUCUUAUGCUCCUAUCCUAGGACGAGACUUGCCUGCUCCCUUCCCGUGCUCCUAUCCGUGCUCCCGCGUACGUGGCUUGAUUUGAUUGGAAGAAAAUAAGGCCCGGCCCCACCCCCUGAAAAUCAGGGGGGAAGAUGAUUAGAUUUGAAAAGAAAAGGAGAAAAUGACAGCCGUAGGAUGAAGUGGGAGCACGGAUGGGAGCAUGGAAAGGGAGCAGGCAAGCCGGAUCCCUAUCCUAAGGGAAAUUCAAACCAGUAGGACCAACUUUUCUUCUGUUGCUUUUCGUUUUGAGAGUACAGAUAAUAAUUUUGAGGCCCAUUCGCUUGCAAAAGGACAUGCGUCUCUUGCGGUGGGUCGCCAUGUGUGGCUAGGGGUUUUGCCAGAGAUUACAUAUAUUCCAGAUGUUCUGAAUUUUAAAUAAAAUCCCUAGUUUCCCUCAAAAAAAAAUAGCGAAUCGUCUAUUCUGUUUCAGCGCCGACGCACGACUCGCUGCAUGCGCGCAUCUAGGGUAGUUGGGCGAAACUUGGCCGGCGGCAGCACUGCGCAACCAACCCAGAUCAGCGGCGACGGCCGAAGCUGUCAUGUCGUGCCCGGCGACCACAACGAGAGACGCGCAAGAAUACAAAUCCUAUGGGCAGUCUCCCUGUUGACUAGUAUCAUGUUACCGAUCCAAAAAUCCGAAUUAGGUCACAUCAUUUUCUUUGAUUUAGAUGGAAUUAGCUAGGCCAGUGGUUUCUUGUUUAUGCUCACAAAUCGGUACUGCAAAUUAGGCAUAAUGCAUUCAUUAUAUCAUUCAGAUUUAAUUUUUUGUCAGUCGUUUUUGUAUAUCAUGAAGAGAAAAAUUAUAUAUUCCUUCGAAACAAUCAUAGGCACAUUUGCUCUUCUUGGCAGUCAAGAAGCCAAACUUAAGCAAGUACAAACGUAAAAAAAUGCCCCACUGACCAUAUAAUUUAUGAAAAACAUUCAAUAUAUUUGUCAUGUUNNNNNNNNNNNNNNNNNNNNNNNNNNNNNNNNNNNNNNNNNNNNNNNNNNNNNNNNNNNNNNNNNNNNNNNNNNNNNNNNNNNNNNNNNNNNNNNNNNNNNNNNNNNNNNNNNNNNNNNNNNNNNNNNNNNNNNNNNNNNNNNNNNNNNNNNNNNNNNNNAUCUUCAAAUCCUGGCUCCGCCCCUGCCAGCUAGCUACCGUGUGGCUUUAGGUGUUGCGUAUCCUCUACACACACAUUUUCUUCUCCUCCUUUCGCCCUCUGCCACAUAUUCUUGCUCGAUGGAAAGCGAUGUUUCAGGCGCGGCCAGAAAACACGAGAGAUCAUCAUCAUCUUCAUGUAGCUUCCCGAAGGUUAAUCGCAAUUACAUCUCCGGCUCUGGUUCCACUGGAUUGUAUUCUAGAUUCUGGUACAACAUGGUGGAGUAGAUAAGAAAAGUUCAGGACAAGUCGUUGUCAGUUGGGAGGAGCUAGCUGGUCAUGCAAUGAGCAUUGCUAGUUGACCUCAGCACUCACUCUCAUGGAGGACAGGACGAGAGUGAGAGGUCUCCAGCCACAGAGACCUCACUCUCACACUCACUUUCCCCCUGCCUGCCUGUCUGUUAUCAACAAGCUCACUAAAAAACAAGCAAAAUUGCUGUUGUUCUUCUCCUUGAAUGUUGUUGUGGCGUUGAAAUGCCCUAGAUAUAGCUAGCCAGUUAAACAAGUGAAAUUUUAAAAGGUUUUCUUUUCUGAAGUUGUUCUCCUUGCUCUUCUUCUUGUGGUUGUUGAAAUCGCCUACAUAAAGUACUCAUAUAAACUGUCAAAGGAAAAUAGGUAAGCCUCCCCUCCAAGUUGGGGUUUCUCUUUCCCUCUCGCGAGUGUGGCGGCUAGGAUAUUCAUUCCUUCCCAGCUUCGCUGGCGAGCCCGUGGAUCCACCUUCCAUCCNNNNNNNNNNNNNNNNNNNNNNNNNNNNNNNNNNNNNNNNNNNNNNNNNNNNNNNNNNNNNNNNNNNNNNNNNNNNNNNNNNNNNNNNNNNNNNNNNNNNNNNNNNNNNNNNNNNNNNNNNNNNNNNNNNNNNNNNNNNNNNNNNNNNNNNNNNNNNNNNNNGGUUUUUUUUUCUCGCAUGAGCGGCGUUCACGCAGAUAGCAGUGGUUCAUUUCGAGUUGGUCUUCCGGACUUCGAUUCUCAUCGAGUUUGUCCAUCGGGGUGGAGCCCCGGUGUAGAUUCUCCGUGGUGUGAUGAGGUUAGAGUUUCUUGCUGUUUGUGUGCAACGAUUAGAUUUUGAGUAAGAUGUUUUAGAUCUAUUCAAGAGUUCAGUGGUGAUGAUUUCAGCUCUAGUACGCCACACCUCAGGGGCACGUGCAUGAAGACUUCCCGGCUGUCAUCAAGAAAGUCAAACCGGCUCAGGUAGGGGAGCACCGCAUAGACGGACAUUCCGACUGUGGCAGUGGUCCUUCGGUGGUGCUUGAUUUAAUUUUAUUAUGUAUAUAGGAUGUGUUGCCCUUUUUACGAACCUUUGUAAAAGAUCUAGGUCCUUUUUCACAAAAAGGACUACCUAAUCAUAAGAUUUGAAUAAAUAUAUUUUCAUGCAUGUAGCUGCUAAGAGUAUACAAUAAUUUAGAAAAAAAACCUUUUCUUUUCUUUUCUGAAGCGCAAGUGCAAAAGGUGUGACUAGAAAAUACAAGUGCAAAAGGUGUGAUUAGAAAACGGGCGAUGUGGUCGUAGGCGGUAGGGAAAGCGGAACGUCACCAAACGAAUGGGAAUGGCGAUGAAAGGGAGCCCUCACGCCUUUCCCUCCACAAUCACACCAUCCUCCUCCUCUGCUCCCGCUGCUCCUGGUUUGCUCUGCUCCAUUGCCUUCCUUUCUCUUCCCCGAGGAGCUAGCUAGAAAGAGAGAAAGAAAGAAGCUCGCCGGCGUCGGAGAAGAGGGGGAGGAUGUCGGACUGGGGGCCGGUGGUGAUCGCGGUGGUGCUGUUCGUGCUGCUGUCGCCGGGGCUGCUGCUGCAGCUCCCCGGGAAGCACCACUUCGUGGAGUUCGGCAACAUGCACACCAGCGCCAUGGCCAUCCUCGUCCACGCCAUCAUCUACUUCGCCCUCAUCGCGCUCUUCGUCAUCGUCAUCGGCGUGCACAUCACCACUGACUAGAGACCGGCGGAGCUCGAUCACCCCGGCCGGCCAGCUCCAAUUAAGCUGCUCUUCCCCUUCUUCCUUUUUCCAAUUUUCAUCCGAUCCAUCUGACUCCUGCCUCUGUGUUUCGUUUUGUUCUGUUCUUGCUGCUUGCAACUACUUGUAGUAGUACAUGGGAUCAUGUUUGUUUGUUGCCAUGCGUAAUUAAUCUCGCGCGUAUGUAGCUUCUUGAUUAAUAAAGAGAUGUGUGUACUCAAUUUUCCAUGGAGUGGCACAAGUUAUUUAAUCAUCUGAAGCUCAAGAUGAACCGGUAGAUGUGUGCAUAUAGUAAGGCUUGCAUUUUUUUUCUUGCAAAGCAACGACCUUCAUUUCAGCUACAGCGCUUUUCAACUACCCCUGCGAUAUCCAGAGCAUAGAUUGAUUAUAACCAGUAGUUUUGCCCAUGUGUCAUUCUUGGGUUCAUGAUUCUGCUGAUACAAUGAAUUAGCUACUCCCUCCGUCCCAUAAUGUAAGACACUUUUUGACACUAGUGUAGUGUCAAAAAACCUCUUACAUUAUGGGACGGAGGGAGUACUUGAUAGCUGAAUUUAACCAAGUGAUUAUGCAAUACUCCAUCAAUUAAGUACUGAUAAUCCUAGACCUACGUAGCUUUACGAAGCGGUUUACGUAACCUNNNNNNNNNNNNNNNNNNNNNNNNNNNNNNNNNNNNNNNNNNNNNNNNNNNNNNNNNNNNNNNNNNNNNNNNNNNNNNNNNNNNNNNNNNNNNNNNNNNNNNNNNNNNNNNNNNNNNNNNNNNNNNNNNNNNNNNNNNNNNNNNNNNNNNNNNNNNNNNNNNNNNNNNNNNNNNNNNNNNNNNNNNNNNNNNNNNNNNNNNNNNNNNNNNNNNNNNNNNNNNNNNNNNNNNNNNNNNNNNNNNNNNNNNNNNNNNNNNNNNNNNNNNNNNNNNNNNGUCCAUGUGGCAGGUUACGUAAAACAUAUAAAAUUCUUUACGUGGAUGUAGCAUUACUCAUUAAGCACGUAUGUUGAUCAAUGAGAAAAGUAGCUACCCACACAUACGCUUUCCAUCACACAUAAUACAUGCUUGAUUACUCCAAUUGCCGACCAAGAUUACGUACUCCAUUUUGAUUGCCGAACAAAUCAAAAUUUGAAAUGAUACAAGGUUAAUUAAUUAGCUAAAGUGGUAAUGAGAUUUGUUAUGACGACUUUUGUUAGUCCUGUGCAUUCCAAUCAAAGGGGAAGAUGAGGAAAAUCAUUGUGCAGUCGUACUGCACUGUACACUUGUGCUGUUGAUGGCUGGGUCGGGUGGGCGGCUGGCCGGUGUGCACGUAUGGCACGCCCUAGUCCCACACCAAUCAAUCGAUCGGUCGUGAUCAAGCUGACGGUGAUCACUGCCGGUCCAACCACUACCACGGCAGCUACCGCCUUAACGUUGAUGCUGCUAGAAUAUUGCCUAGCUACAAAAGCAGCUCUUUAGUAGUAUUAUUUCUCUUUUUUUUUGUGGCGAUUAAGGAGCUUUAAUUAAUUGUGCAACUGAAAUGUCUUUAUAAUCAAGCAUGUAUGGGCUCGAUCCACUUGAAAGUAGUCACUCCCUCCGUUCCGAAAUAAACGUCGUGGUUUUAGAUUUCCGUUUAUUUUUGCGGGGUGUGGUUUCAGUUCGUUGUUCUCAGCCGACUGCUUGUACCCAUCAUCCUCCAUUAGAAAAAAAAAGGCCCUCCAUGGUGAUGUCGUCGUCGUCGUCGUCCGAGAAAUUAGCUGAGCCAUUGGAAAUUUCCUUCUCUCGAUUGUGCUCCGGCGCCUUCACGACGUUAUUCAUGUUUUAUUUUGUGAAAUGUGCAAGCAUUUCAGAGGGUGAAAAUAAAUUAAUUAAGCAGGAGGUGAAUAAAAUAGGUUAGUUUGUAGUAGAUGCUACGCAAGCGUCACCUUCAUGCGUCUACACUUCAAUCGACGAUCGUCCUGGUUAGUGGCAACGACAAAAGGACACGAUGAUUCUGGUUACCACUAGCAGCUUGUCUGUGUGGAAGGAGCUAUGGCGCCUAAUUCGCCUAGGUGGCCUGGUGCGUGGUCUCCAUCAAUGCAGAUAAGAAGAGAAGAAGAAGAAAGCAUCAUGUGCACAUGAACGGCCAUGCAUCCAUCCAUCCAUGCUCUCAUGUAGCAUGAUGACUUUCUCUACCGGGACAUCACCAUCGAUCGACACCAUUAUUAACAUUGGGAAACCUCAUUUACUAAGACUUUUAUGAAAUAUGGGAUUUGUUUAUUCCAAUUUAGCUACUUCUAAGUUGCCUCAAAAUAAUAUAUGGGUCAGUCGAGUUCACAUGAAGGAAGCAACCGCUGGCUCGCCAGCGAAGCCCUUUGUGUCUAUCUUAGGGUGGCAGGCGACCCCGGUGUCUAUAUUAGGGUGGCAGGCUCGCCGACUAUCUAUCUUAGCGGGGAGGGUGCUGGUCCACCGGAAAAAAUCUGUUUAUCGCCAGGGUUAGAGGGAUGGCCAGGGACGAUGGGAGCGCGGCGGUGCGCGGGGAUGUGAGGCUGGCGUUGGAGCGCCGCUGGCCGUGGACGAUGGCGGUAGGCCUUUAGGUCGGUCGUAGCUGACGGCUUGGGGUAGAAGAUAACUGGGAAAACGAUUGAGAGGUAGAAAAAGGCAUCUACGCCAUUGGAUCUGUAUCUGAAGGCUGGAAACGAUUCGACAAACACAAAAUUCUUUUUCAGUCAACUGGUCUCUAACCUAUGUUACUCUAGGAAUCAGCAAACCAUGUACGGCCAGCUCUUGACUAGCUAAUUGGACGAAAUGAAUCGAUGAAAUUGGCCAAUGUACAUGUGACAACAAAUAAAUCAGUACCAAGCUAAAUAUAUAGUUGUCUCCACUGACCCUAAUAAUUCUCUCAACAUGCGAGCCAACUCACCCCCGUAAAAAAAACAGCUAUGUCAACUCAUCAUGCAUGCCAAAUCCACACUAACUUAACACGCAUCAUGCGUGUUACUCAUAUUCAAUAAAUAUUAUACAGCUAUACACUAAUCAAACUACAACACCUUAUACAAAUUUAGUUUGCAUUGUUCAUCUAACUAAUGGUGUUUCAUACAACCAAUUCUUAUUAAAAUAGUUACAACCAAAUUCCGUGGCAAUCGCAUGGGUAUUUAUCUCCCGCUUAUUAAUAAGAAAAAGGUAGGAACAAGGUAAUUAAGGAAUGUAUGGAGUGCAAAUUGGUUAUUUGGCUUGGGUGGAUUAUAUAGAGAGCUCAGCCUCUGCAUUUGUUGGAGCUCUCGCAGCCGCGGGUGUACUUGUUGGCCUCAUCUUCCUCGUGGGUCAGCCCGUUGCGGCCCGGCACCUCGUCCGCCUGCAUCACGUCGUACAAGAUCAUCUUGGCGUCGACGCGCCCUGCACGCUGCGCCAGCAACAACACCGCCAUCGCCACCGCGACCAGCAGCACCCGGCCCGCCGCCGGCGAGCUCUCCUUCCUGUGGUACGCCAUUCUAGCUAGCCUUCCAUUGAUUGCUCAACGAAAAUGUAGCCGGCCGGGGUAGACGAUCUGCCUGAACUUGUCGGUUGGACGUAAGGCGAUUAAGCUUCGCAAAGUGCUACCCACCAUCCGUUAUUCUUAGGAUCCGGCCUACCUAUAUCACUAUAUCAGGAAUGACGCCAAACAGAGGAGGAGGAGACCAAACAAAAGGCAGACACACAAACAGGUGACAACAAGGCAAACCGGCUAUACAUAGAAUUUCUAAUAAGCAUGCCUAAUAAGCGAGAUGACGCGGUUCCCGACCGCCCCGCUCCGACUACCGGUUCCAGCGUGGCAUUUGAAUUAUGCCGCGCUAGAUGCCUUUUUUUUGGCGAGGAACAAGUGGGGUCAAGCGUGCUUCGGCAAUUCCCGCGGUCAGAAGACUUCCUUGUAGUCCGGUGUAGCUAGAGGUGAGGUUGUAGGGAGAUGCACCGACUAGGAAACAAUGACCACACGAACGAGCAUAUGUAUGAUGUGAUUAAGUCUCUCGAUCGGGUAUCUGGUGCCUUACGGUGUCUUCUUUCUGUCAACCUUUGCCAUCUUUCAGUUGGAGUGUGUGGCAUUAGGGUUGUGUACGUUUUGUUAUUCAGUUGCAUGGUGUGUACUCUAUACGGUUGUAUCACCUCGAUGUGUGAGUCAAUGUGUUUGAACCAAUGUAGAGUUUCAUGUGAAUGUUACAAGUGUAAUUGAUAUGUUCAUGUUAUAACCGCGGUUGCCUUGGUAAGAAACUGAAAGAGCAAACCGGUAUCGUGUUAGGACAAAAGUCAUCACUCAAUAUAAGUUGCUUCUCUAGAAGAGACACACCUUGUGAAAGAAGAUGGCAAACACCCAAUCAUGUCUGGUUCGAUAUGGGCGUGGCUAUGGGUAGCUAGCGACACGGAAGCCAGCGUCGCCUGAAGAAACGCCUGGGUGGGCCCGCCUAGAGACAGAUUUCUUCAUAUCUUUUUUUCGAAAAGGGGGGGCUCCCCGGCCUCUGCAUCAGAGUGAUGCAUACGGUCAUCUUAUUAACCAAAUAAAAAUGUGCCAACAAAGUUUCAAAGUCUCCAACUGAAAAAAAGAAAAGACAGCUCACACAGAGCCUAAAAAGACUAGAGACACAAACUAGCCAAGAAAAGACGCCACAACCGGCUGGCUAAAAAUAAAUAGGUAAACUAAUUGCCUAUCCUAUUACAUGACCGCCAUCCAAACCAGUUGAAGAUAUCCCGAGCUACCGUCUCCCAGCGGAUAGAUCCAGUAACCAAAUGCUCCCUGGCCUCCAUCGGAGUGAGUAGCGACCACGAACGGAUCACUGUCGUGGCUCGGAAAAUAACCUGCAAAAAAUGAAUACGUGAUGUUGUGUUAAAAACCAAAUCAUUUCUGCAAUUCCAGAUAGUCCACAGCAAAGCGCAAACUCCAACCCGAAUAUGUCUUACUAAGUCAGGCUCAAUUCCAUUAAGCCAUGUCCCAAAUAAAGCGUUGACAGAAUUCGGUGGAUUAAUAUUAAAAGCAAUGUGGACCGUCCGUCAAAGGACUUUGGCCAACGGGCAAUCAAGAAAGAGGUUCUUGAUCGUCUCAUCCCGAUCACAGAAACUACACCUAGUAGGUCCUAUCCAAUUACGCUUUAUCAAGUUGUCCUUUGUUAAAAUAACUUGUUUAUGGACAAACCACAUAAACACUUUUAUUUUCAAAGGAACUUUGACAUCCCAAACAUUCUUGGAAGUUGGAAUGGAGUUCGAAUUAAUAACAUCAAUAUACAUUGAUUUAACUGUAAAUACUCCAGACCUAGUCAGUUUCCAGCGUAAUUCAUCGGGUUGUUCAGAAAAUUGAAUCUCCAUCAGUCUCCUAACUAGAUGGAGCCAGUCUUCCCAACGAUUGCCCGCUAGCGACCGUCUAAACUGAAUAUUAAGGGGGAUAGAUUGAAAUACCGUUGCAACGAAUACCUCACGUCGUUGGAUAAUACGAUAUAAAGACGAAUAUUGAAUGGCCAAUGGUGUGUCGCUAAUCCAAGUAUCCUCCCAAAAACGUGUACUAGCACCGUUUCCAAUAACAAACUUCGUCCUAUUGAACAUUGAUUGUUUGACUUUCAUUAGUCCUUAAUUUUGUAUCUACCCUUAGUUUUGUUUUUCUGCCGUUUUUCUUUAUAUUUUAUAUUUUUCCCGACAUGUUCACUACUUGAUGCUCAACUGGGAUCUCAUCCUUCACAGAUAUGGAGGGCCAUUAUUGACGGAAGGGAUAUUAUAUGGUGCAAGGUAUAAUCAGACACAUCAGGGAUGGAGCGACUACACACAUAUCACUAGUAGGAAAACAUUCGACACGGGCGGGCGCUUUUCUUUCUAGAAAAACAUUCGAGUGAAUCAGGUGGACCAUAUAUUUCUCAUGUGGACGAACGAAAAAAACUCCACGACUAACAGUCUAUGAUAUUCACAUGGUACCGUGCUUUAUGGUCGAUUGGAAGUAAAAAUAUGAAAAGCAUGCCUAAUAAGCGAGAUGGUGCAUGCAGUUCCCGACCGCCCCGCUCCGUAUCGGUUCCAGCGUGGCAUUUGAAUUAUGCCGCGCUAGAUGCCUUUUUUCGGCGAGAAACAAGUGGGUUCAACCGUGCUUCGGCAAUUCCCGCGGUCAGAAGACUUCCUUGCAGUCCAGUGUAGAGGUGAGGUUGUAGGGAGAUGCACCGACUAGGAAGCAAUGACCACACGAACGAGUAUAUGUGUCUGAUGUGAUUAAGUCUCUCGGUCGGGUAUCUGGUGCUUUACGUACGGUGUCUUCUUUUUGUCAAGCUAUGACAUCUUUCAGUUUGAGUGUCUGAUAUUAGGGUUGCAUACUUUUUGUUAUUUAGUUGCCUGUUGUGAACUCUACGGUUAUAUCACCUCGAUGUGUGAGCCAAUGUGUUUGAAGCAAUGUAGAGUUUCAUGUGAAUGUUACAAGUGUGAUUGAUGUGUUCAUGUUAUAACCACGGUUGCCUUGGUAAGAAACUGAAAGAGCAAACCGUUAUCGUCUUAGGACAAAAGUCAUCACUGAAUAUAAGUUGCUUCUCUAGAACAACCACAACCUGUGAAAGAAGAUGGCAAACACCCAAUCAUGUCAGGUUCGAUACGGGCGCGGCUAUGGGUAGCUUAUAGCGACACGGAAGCCAGCAUCGCCUGAAGAAACGCCCGGGUGGGCCGGCCUAGAGACAGAUUUCAUCAUUUCUACCCUUAGUUUUGUUUUUUCCCCCGUUUUUCUUUAUAUUUUAUAUUUUCAUAAAAAAUCUAAAAAUACAUAUAUUCCACAAAAAUACUGAUGUUUUGAAGAAAAAAAUGUUUGUCCAUUUAAAAAGAUGGUCAUAGCAUUAAACAAAUGGUCAUUAUAAAAUAUUUUUAGAAACGUAUAUAGUGUAUUUUAAAAUGUUAAAUAUGCAUCAAGAAUUAUUUCUUAAGUAUACAAAAGAUGUACAAUGUGUAUGAAAAUUACAUAGACAUCGGAACAUAUUAUAGAAAAUGUUAAUCAUGUAUUUAAAAAUGUUAAACACACAUCCAUAAAAAUGUUUUCGAUGUACGUAAAAAAAAUUGUACAUAGCGUGUGAAAAAAGUAUGCAUUGAAAAAACAAAAAAACUUGUUGGAAAAAAAUCUCAUGUUGUAUACAAAAAUGUAAAAAGUGUAGAACAUAAUUAGAUAUAUGUUUAACGAAACAAGGAAAGAAGGGACAAAAAUAAUCCGAUCAACACCAAGAUAGGAACAAGAAAACCUGAAGAAGACCAUUGAAAAAAAGAAAAGAUACAAGAAAGAUGAAGAAAAACGAAAAAAUGAAGAAGCUGAUGCAAAACAGGGAACUUAGUGAAAACGAAUAAAAAUUGAUGAAAACCGAGAAGGAAAACAAGAAAACUGAAGCAAAAAAUAAGAAAAAUAUGUAAAAAAGGAAAAAUGAUGAAACAUUGUGAAACAGUGAAAUACUAUGAAAACCAAAAGAAAAAAGAAUAAAAAAAAACGUACAGCGAGCAAAUGAACAACAACUGAAUGAACGAGCGACCAUGCGAGAACACGUUAAUUGUCCGGCCCAUACUUGUGGACUCCAGAGGCGAGCCUGAAUACGCGAGAUAUAGCUAUGACGAUUUGAUACCCUUCAUAGCUUCACUAAUGCUAUAUCUCGCUCAAAGCGAGUGUAUCUUUUGUCUGGCCUGAAGGUGCAAGAAUAGCAUCAAGUCAUUGUAAGGUUUGCGAUCCUACAAUCAGAGCUCCGAUACGAUUAAAAUUCAUGUUUCAGACAACCUUUGGUCAUUCGUUCGCGUUCAGGUCGUCCGCUCACUCGAUUCCACAUACUAGUUUGGUUAGGUUUUUUUUUUCUUUUUGUUCUGUUUUUUGUUUCUUCACUGGCUUUCUUUGGUUUUUAAAUCGGUUUUCUUUGUUUCCUUCAUGUUUUACUCUUUUGUUUUCCUUUUCACUGGUUUAUCUAUUCCUUUUUUUCUUUGUUUAUUUCUUGGUUUUCUUUGUUUUUCUUUCUUUUGAUGUCAAUCUUUUUACAUACACAUUCAACAAUUUUCGUAUACAUUAGAAACAUUUUAUGUAUACACGUUAACAUUUCCCAGGUACAUGAUUAAUAUUUUUGGAAAACUUCUAUUUUUUAUAUGUACUUUUUGAUACAUUUUGGAUAUAUCAAAAAUAUUUUUAUAGAAGGUUUAACAUUUUUAAAAUACAUGAUUACCUUUUUAUAAACUUAUAUUGUUUGACGUUUACUUUUUUUCAUAGACAUAGUGAGGGGUUAUAUCUAAGGAAUGGGCCCAAGUACAUAUAUGGUACAACCAAAGGCCCAUGUUAAUCAAGGAUGUGGUCCACAAGACAAAUGGGGAAACACACGGGGGCCAAUGGAGCUACAAGGCCAAAUCAUCGGAUACAAGGGGAGAAUCAAGUGUGUACAGUCGGAUUACACAACCCUUGACAGACAAGACUCAUUAGUUGGUCCACUAUAGGAAUCAGGUAAUUUGCCGUCAGCCGAGAACAUACUCGAAGACUUUGCCGUCAGCAAGUUGAUGAUAAACACAGUCAGCAAAGAGCUAAUUUGACGUCAACUUUUCAUCACGUUGAUGACAAAGACUUUGCCGUCAAUUAAACUAUGUGUUUAUCGUCUAUAGAAAAAACACAAACAACAAAGGAAAGCACAUUUGCCAUCAGUAGCUGAUCCGCAUGUGUCGUCAACAAGACUCGUCUUGUCACUAGCCCCAAACAUCACAGAUGGAAAAGAAAUUUUUUAUUUUAAAAAAUCUGCAACGACCACCCUACUUCGCUCAUGUAGCCACCGCCUGGCCGCGCUCGCUGAUGACCCACAAGUGUAGGGGAUCUAUCAUAGUCCUUUCGAUAAGUAAGAGUGUCGAACCCAACGAGGAGCAGAAGGAAAUGACAAGCGGUUUUUAGUAAGGUAUUCUCUACAAGCACUGAAAUUAUCGGUAACAGAUAGUUUUGUGAUAAGGUAAUUCGUAACAGGUAACAAGUAACAAGAGUAAAUAAAGUGCAGCAAGGUGGCCCAAUCCUUUUUGUAGCAAACGACAAGCCUGGACAAAUUCUUAUAUGAAGGAAAACGCUCCCGAGGACACAUGGGAAUUAUCGUCAAGCUAGUUUUCAUCACGCUCAUAUGAUUCGCGUUCAUUACUUUGAUAAUUUGAUAUGUGGGUGGACCGGUGCUUAGGUACCGCUCUUUCUUGGACAAGCAUCACACUUAUGAUUAACCCCUAUUGCAAGCAUCCGCAACAAAAAAGAAGUAUUAAGGUAAACCUAACCAUAGCAUGAAACAUUGACACGGCACAUUAUAAAGAGUUCAAUCCAAAUUUUAUAGUAACACUAUUAUAUUUAAAUAGUGAUUAUUCUAACACAUGGAUAAUUAAUUAAGGCACCAGGUUGCGCUUGUGACCAGGAAAGACAAACUUAUGAACUUGCAAGCAUGGUAAUCAGAUCGACAUCCACACAAUGUCAAUAUGAACAUUGUCUUGAUACAACUUUAUUUGUAUUUUAUUUCAGAAUUUAAACAACUAGUUUGGGCGGGUCACACACGACGUUGUGUGACACUUUAUUUGUCACCGCUGCAUCGACAUAUCCAUCGACUAAACAACGGUGAUCCAACUAUAUAUUACUAGAGACCUUUCCUUAUCAGUAGGCACCAACUCCGGUGCCAACGCUGAAUGGCACACUAGUGGUGGUUCUAUACAAGGGCACAUUGACACGGCACAUCGUUGGCAGGGUACGGAGCGCAAUGGAAGUCAUCACCUCAAGCUGAGCUAUCUGGUGUGGAUGCAAAAAGGUACCCUGUGCCAAUUGUUGUUGUUGAGGUUGUUGCCCGAGUUGCUGCUGCGACUGCUGUUGGGGUUGGGAAACGCAUUGGCCCAACUAUUGCGGUUGCUGCUGCUGAGUUUGGAUGGAACCCUGAACCUGUUGUUGUUCUUGCAGGACGAUGGAGUAGAUGAUAGCACGGAUUGCCUCAUAGCGGGAUUGCUGGGGGAUUUGCGGCAACUGCUGGCAACAUUGUUGUUGCAUCACAUGGCAACUGCUCUGCUGCAACAUUUGCGACCUAGCAAGACUUUGUGGCAUUGCCACAGGGCUGCAUUGCUGCUGGAGGAAUACCUUGCAUGGGUUUAGUUGCUGCAAGAUAGAUGGAUGAACAAAUGGUAUUUGUUGUUGCGGUAGAACUGAUUGUUGUUGUUGCGAAAAUGGUGGUUGUUGCGGUAGUACUGGUUGUUGUUGUUGCGAAAAUGGUGGUUGUUGCUGUGAAAAUGGUGGUAGUUGUUGCUGCGAAAAUGAUGGUUGUUGCGGUAGAACUGGUUGUUGUUGCUGCAAAAAUGGUGGUUGUUGCUAUGAAAAUGGUGGUUGUUGCGAUAGAACUGGUUGUUGUUGCUGUGAAAAUGGUGGUUGUUGCUGUGAAAAUGGUGGUUGUUGUUGCUGUGAAUAUGGUGGUUGUUGUUGCUGCGAAAAUGGUGGUUGUUGUUGCUGCGAUAAUGGUGGUUGUUGUUGUUGCUGUGAACAUGGUUGCUGUUGUGGAAAUGGUUGUGGUUGUUGUUGGAUAGGUUGUUCUUGUUGUUGGUGCCAUAAUGUUUGUUGUGGUGGUAAUGGUUGUUGCUGCGAUGGUCUCUCCAAACCAGGGAUGUGGCUAUUCUCCAUUUGUGCAAUGGCACUUGUCGCCGCAACGGCGAGGAGGGCAAAGAUGAGGAAGGUCUUCAUGGUGGAUUGGUGUUAACUAGUGUUGCUUGGUUUUGAUGCUUGUGCUUGUGACGAUCUUUAUACUUCAUGCCUAUUUAUAGUAGCCCGGGCACCACCUUUUUCUUCUUUGCAUUAGCUUUAAUAAUUUUGUUUGGAUGCAAAAAUGAUUUUUGGUACAAUGUGUUAGGUUGCACUAGCUACACGCGUACUUUUGGAUUGAUCAUCAAAGUUGCUUUUUAGUUGUGCAUAUGAUCACACAUAAAGUACAGAAACCUUGAUGUUUGGUAUAUAUGACUCACCUUAUUCACUUUACAUGUCACACACUUAUCUGGAUAGUAUCACUUUUGCAACCGAGUUUGGAACCUUGUAUAGGCUGUCAUCCAUAAACAAGAAAGGCAAAACUUGUGUAGGACUAAGUGUAGAACUAACUUUGUAUUUUUCCUCUAAAAUGAUUAGAUGAACCGACGCCUAUAGAGCAUGACAUGACUCAUCGAAUUCCCUUUACAUGUAAAGGAUGGUAAUUGCUUACAAGCUACUCCUACUAGCAUAUAUCCGGUCCUAACUCUUGACACGUCAUCAUCAGUUUCGCCUAUUUUUUUAGAUAAAUCAUCAGUUUCAUCUAUUUGUGAAGGGUUUUUUUGGGGGAAAUGAUAGUUUUUUUAUGCUAGGGGGAUUUUUUUGGGGGGGGGGGAUGACGCUAGGGGGAAAUGAUAGAUGGGGCUGGAACAGAGGCCCCCAGCCUGGAGCGAGAGAUUAGGCCCAACAUAAGUGCCGUGUGUUAGGGCACCAAUUCGAUUUGGGCUAUAGUUCUCGUAGGCCCCAACGACACAAGCCCAGCCCACACUCCGCGGAUCUGCGUCCCUCCCUUCCUCGUCCUCCUCGCCGGCCGGACCGCUCGCCGUCGCAGCCUCUCCCGGACGCCCACCGCUCGCGGCCCCUCCACGUACCUCCGCGGCAGCGGAGACGUCAGCCUCCCUCCCACCCUCAACAUCCGGCCCCCCACCACCACCACCACCGCUCGACAAAAAAGGUCACUUUUGAAGCUCCUCCGUCGAUUGUGGGCCGUACGUCGACGGCAGCCACUCCGACCUCCCCAUCAACACAAGGUAUCGAUUUGUUUCGUCUGUCUCUUCCAACGAUUCAAUGCACAUAAAUCCGAGAGGCAGACCCAUCUCCAUGCUAGCUGCACGGAUUAGGAGGGUCAGGCAUCAGAAUUCAGCUGGGAAGCCUGACAGUAAUGUACAUUUGUGGCUUUAGUAGCUGAAUAUAACUAUGUGCUUUCUGAGAAUUUCACUUCAAAAGUUCCAAUAAUCAUCAAAUUUCCCCCUAUGCGCGCUAAGCAGGUGGACCAUAUAUUUCUCAUGUCGACGAACGAAAAAACAAAACUCCACAACUAGAAGUCUAUGAUAUUGACACGGAACCGUGCUGUAGGGUCGCAAGUAAAAAUAUGAAAAGCAUGCCUAAUAAGCGAGAUGACGCAGUUCCUGACCGCCCCGCUACGACUAUUGGUUCCAGCGUGGCGUUUGAAUUAUGCCGCGCUAGAUGUCUUUUGUCCGGCGAGGAACAAGUGGGGUCAAGCGUGCUUCGGCAAUUCCCGCCGUCAGAAGACUUCCUUGUAGUCCGGUGUAGAGGUGAGGUUGUGGGGAGAUACAUCGACUAGCACUACUAGGGAAAAGGCUAGCAGCAGCGCGGGUUUUAGAUGUAUCAGUAGUGCGGGUACCCGCGCUACUAAUACGGCGCUACAGCUAACUCAUAGCAGUAACGCGUGAGCACCCGCGCUACUGCUACACAAGUGUAGCAGCAGCGCGGUUAUGAGAAGCUCGCUACCGCUAGUAGCGCUAGCGCUCUUUGGCCGGACGCUCUACUGCUAUUGAGGCGCUGCUGCUAACUUUUGUACACUCGCUACUGGUAAUUUAAGUAGUUUUUUGGCAUAUUUGUUUUGUAUUUGAACCGGCUUUGUAGAAGAAUCUUUAGCACAUAGAAAUGUCAUCAUGAUACACAUACAAAUGCCUGCGAGACCACAAAUGUAAUCAUAGCAUGUACAUACAAAUAGUCUCUUCAUAAUCAUCAUCCAACACAAAGUGAUAUCUUGUCAUCAUCUCGAAAAUAGCAAUACAUGCAAGUCUCGAAUACUUGCAACUACAACAACGUCAUCCAUCUAAACAAAGGUAUACGCAAGAAGUGCUAUCACUAUGAGUGAGAGCGGAACCAUGCAGUACAUGAGGUGGCGGUUAUGAGUCCUCUCUUGCGCUAGCGUGAACCUCAAGUAACUAGCUUCUCCUUCUUGUCUGCUUUUGAAGCCUUUAUGGCUGGCGCCCGUGAACCCAUUCACUUGCGCCUGACACUCAUGCCACUCGUUGUACACCCCCGGAACCUUCCCUUUGUACACGACAUAGCAUUUCCAUCUCGCCAUCAAGAAACUAGGUACCUGUUAGAGAUGCAUGUUCAUGAAGAGGAUGUACAAUCAUAUAUAUGCAACAAAAUAUACUAGAGCAACACUAAGAAAGAAAGGUUAGCAACUAGAUGCAACAUAUACAUUACGCAAAUUAAUUAACUAGAGGUACGCAGGUCAUCGUACGCAAACUAACAAAGUAGCGUUACGCAAGUUUGGCAGGGACCAUGGACAUCACAAAGUUUCAUCGCUACAAAAAGUAUACAAGUUCAACCGACACAUAUCAUCAUCAUCGGCAUCAUAAAUCACUAGAAGUUCCAUCCUUCCAUAUCAUCGAGGACGAACCCUAGCUGCUUGAACGGCGUGAGGUCUAGACGUUGCAUGCCUAUGCGAGUUCGGACGUCAGCUCGCGAUAUAGGGCCGUGGUGGAACAUCCCCUUCUCAUCGACGACUUCUUUCAUGAUGAUCAUCGCAAUGUCGCUUUGGAUGCGAAAGAAGUCAUCUCUAAGUUUAUAAUUCGCUUCUCCAUGAGAUUCUAGCCACUUGUGGAUAUGAUCAUCAUUUCUGCUGUUAAUGCGAAGCUUUUGGUGAUCCGUGUUGAACUGAAUCAUGAGAUGGACGAUGUAGAAUCCAUCCUUCUUGCUUGGUUUUGGGACGUGGAUGCAGGAGAAGUUAGUUUUAUGCGCGAAACCCAUCUUCUUGUUCCUUUGUUUCCUGAUAUGCACGUGGCCACCUCUAAAGUUGAAGCCUUGGAGAGCAUCAUCUAGAAUAUUCAUUAUGUGGGUGUAGUCCUUUUUCUCGUAGUCUCUAGAAGGGUCAAAAUACACGGCGUGGGAGACUUGCGGGUAAAGAAUGAUAAGGACGGCGCGCCCGUUGCUGCGGGGAAAAGACACCUCAAAUUAUUCCCCAUAUGAGAGAGAAGGAAUGAUUGAAAUGUACGAAAGGGUUGUCCGGAACUGACUUACUUUGGAUGAUAAGGCACGAGGACAAUUUCCCGGUCCUUAUUCUGUACCAUGAAGUUUUGGAGGUACUCCCUAGCAGUUUCACGCUCAAAGUCGCCGAGACUCAAGAAAGACUCGUGCAUGUAGUACGGAUCCGCCACACAGAUUUGCGAGACUUCUUCACUCUUCACGACGGAGCUCAUAUGUAGCGCAAAAAGGCGGACGAUAGUAAAAUCAAGCCGCCUUGUUAGAAACAUCUCAAAGAUAUGGUCAAACCGCAGGAAGAACACCUCCGUGGGCCGUGUGUCGACGUAGCACUUCCCCUCAGGCACACGAGCUGCGUAUGUCGGAUAUCCUGGAUCCUUUGAGGCUAGUAGGCUUUUCUCAGUCGACAGCACGUGGUCGUGCAGUCUCCUGAGAUUCCCUGAUAGUGCCUCCAGCGGUUUCGGCGGUAGCAUCGGCUCGCCCGUGAGAUGGAACAUGACCGCACCUUUCACGGGUACACGCUCUUCAGAAUGCAUCGUCUGGCUGCUGUGUGCUCUGGCUUGUUUGGAGGCAGUUACCUUCCCCAAUCUCUUCCUCUCCUUUUUCUUGGGCACACCUUCCAGACCCUUCCUUAACCCCUGCCCAAGUGUUCCCGGGCUAAGUAUUGUACGACCCUCACGCCCGGCUAGUUGAGCCUGUGUUGAGGCGGCAUCUUCAGGCGUGUCCUGUGAGGAUUUCAUGAAGAGAGACUUUUUGCAUUCCAUGGUACGGCCCUGCCCGGGCAUAUCAUCCAUAUCCUCAUUAGCAAGCUGAUAGCCCGAUUCGUCAUAUGGUUGACUCAUCAUAUCUAUGUCACAGUCAUACGCGUUUGUAUUGAGGUAAUCCAUCGGGUCGACCUCCGUCUCAUCAUCCAUUCUCUGUUCUACAGGAGAAAUUACAUCAGCCAGUACUAUUGCACCCCCUUCAUCAUGUCGUCCGCCGCUCUCACACGGCACUACUACAGGAGCUGGUAAUUGCGUAGGUGGGGUGGUGGUCUCCGCACAUGCUUGCUGAUGUGUGGUAGUUAUUGGUGUGCUCUCGGCCGGCUCCAGACGAAUAAGAUUCUUCGGCCAUAGCAGCACCCAACCCUUGCAGCGUCCAAUCCGCGGCGGGGUCUCGUCGUCCGCUCCCACCUGCUGUACUGGAGGAGGCAAAUCCUCGUGCCCCGAUUUCACACUGGUCAAGCUAACCCUGAAGUGCCCAGCGGGGAUCGGCUGGUUGUGGAAUGUGCGUUGAGAGGGGUCCAUUAUCAUCCCCUUUCCCACGUCCACCUUCUGGCCUUUGAUCAAGUAGAGUAUGGUGCAUGGGGUUUCUUUCGCCUGCAAACACAUAUGUCUGUGGUGUAAAACAACCGAAAGGCAACAAAAAUGGAAUAUUAUAUAUAUAUAUAUGUUGGUGCGACAUGUAAUUACCGUGACGGCGUCGAGCUCAGCCAAAGACGAAGGCCCACCUAGCGCGCCUGAGACUGAGGACGGGCUGCUAUGAGCUGGAGCGGCUGCGAGAGGAGGCCCGGUUGCUUGAGCAAGUGAUGGUGCGAUGGUGUUGUUCAUGGAGUUGCUCGCGACGAAACUGGGCAUUGGGAAAUCAUGUACCGUCUUGUCUGGAUUUUCCUUCGCCCAGUUGAUGAUAACUGGAACCAAGUUAGUAGCGAAAUCAUUUCUGCAGGCAUUUACAGCUGCAUUGACUGCCUGCUGUAGCAACUCAUAUUUGUCCUUGGCUGCUUUUUUCGCGUCCUCGGCUGCUUUUUUCUCGACCGCAAGCUUCACCUUUGCGUCGAUGUCCGCCUAACUAAACUUCUUUUUCUGCUUCUUGGCCUCCGGGCCGUCGUUGUAAAACACCUUCCACGUGGCGCCGUCUCCAGCGCCGUGCACACGACCAUAUUGCGGCCGCUGGUCCAACGGGAGUCCCUUAAGUUCGUUCAAGGCCCAGUUGAGAGGUGUGUCCCACUUGGGCCUCAUCGGAGAAGUAGGGCUUUCGGCUGCAAGCCGGUGUUGCUUCUCCAGUAGUCUAAUCAAUUUCCUCGUGAUCUUGUCCGUGUAAAAAACCUUUUUCUCCUUGUCCCACUUGUAGCGGGCCCUGAUGAAGUCAUGCUCCAAGGGGUUGGUGAACUUCGCGAAGGGGUCUGGGAGACCCGCGGCUUCACGUUCCGCGUCCUCCUUAUCCCAUAUGGGCCUUUUACCGAGGUAGCCACGGCUUCCGAGGCGAUGCUUCCCCAUGUUCCGGAGCUGAAGGCUUUUGAAUUUCGCAGCCUUAGCCUUGGCUGCCUUGGUAGCGCAAGUGUCCUUGAACUUUUCGAACUCCUCUUCCGUAAGUGUCGGAUUUUCCUCCAGAAUCUUGGACAGGGGUUCAUCAGCCUCAAUAGCUCGUUUCACCCUCCCUUUCCAGGAGGCCAAAUCAUUGCUGAACAUGCCCAUGGCGUGAUUGUUAAUCUUUUUCAUCUUCGGAUCAUCCCACGGUUGUUCUAUGUUAUCAUCCCGGUCGGGGAACUUGAAUCUCUUCUGCAACUUCGUUAGGAGCAACUGCGUCAAAUGUUCUUUACUCCUUAAGUCAUCAUCGUUGAUGCUCGCGCAUUCCCGUAGGAUGCAUCCUACUUGGUUCCCAUAGCACUUGCGAGGUUCUUCCGGCUCUAACGGCUCAAACUUUCCAGGUGCCAUCUUUGUGAUCACAAGUCGUCCAAUCCCUAGUUUGUUAGGUUUUCGUAUCCUCUGCUUCUUAUGCUUCCUCUUUUCGGUAUCGGCAUCGGGGCCGGUACCUUCCCCGCCGGUCUCGGCGCCGCCAUCGGUGCCGGCGCCGUCGGUGCCGGCACCGUAGGUGUCGAUGUCGGCGUCAGUACCAUCAUCGAGGCCGACCUGCAAACCUUGCUUAGCAGUCAAAUAGUCGAGGUACUCUUGUUCACCCUCAUAAUCCAUCUCGUCUGCAUCUUGGUCAGAAGGCCCAGUUUCUUCGUUGUUCGACAUGUUUCCUAUGAUUAAGUGGCCUCAUUUAUUUCUAAAAGUAUGAAUAAAUGAGAAAUGACAUAAAAAGAAAUCUAUGUGCCAACACUCGAUAUGCCAACUAUGUAGCACAAAUCAUGCCUUUAUUCACGGGAAAUUUCGGCAUGACCUUUGCUAAAAAAUGGACAUAUCGAGCGCCUGAAAUUCACCGAAACGGAAAUGAAUCAACAUUCCUGCGCAACAUAGGCCACUCGGAUCAUUUUCCAAACAUGACAUGUCCAAAACAUGACAUAUGCACAUAUCACAUGUCCAGUUCAAAUUUCCAUAUAAAUUCAGCUAAUUCAUAACUAAAUAGAUAACCUAAUUAAUUAACAUGAAGANNNNNNNNNNNNNNNNNNNNNNNNNNNNNNNNNNNNNNNNNNNNNNNNNNNNNNNNNNNNNNNNNNNNNNNNNNNNNNNNNNNNNNNNNNNNNNNNNNNNNNNNNNNNNNNNNNNNNNNNNNNNNNNNNNNNNNNNNNNNNNNNNNNNNNNNNNNNNNNNNNNNNNNNNNNNNNNNNNNNNNNNNNNNNNNNNNNNNNNNNNNNNNNNNNNNNNNNNNNNNNNNNNNNNNNNNNGGGGGCGAGCGACAUGGUCGGGGGCGAGCACGCCGGAGUCGGGGUCGAGAGCGGGACAGGGGCGAGCGCCGGGGCUGGCACCGGCGCCGGCAGGGUCGGGGGCGAGCGCCGGGGCCGGGUCGGGCACGGCGGAGCGACGGGGGCCGGAGAGAGAGUGGGGAUUUGGGGGGAAAUGGCGGGAUGAAGCUGGGCGAGUGCGAAUUUUGGGUUAAGUGGACGUAGCAGUAGCGGGUUAUGUCAAAACGCGCUGCUACUAUAUUCUGUAGCGGCAGCGGUUUAUGAGAAACACGCUACUACUAUGGUGCGUAGCUGCAGCGCUUUAUGGGAAACUCGCUACUACUAUGGUGCGUAGCGGCAGCGGUUUAUGAGAAACACGCUACUACUAAGAUCUAGCAGCAGCGGUUUUGUGGAAACGCGCUGCUACUGCCGUCGCUACUGCCAGGUUUCCUUUUUCUUUUCCUUUAUUUUAUCCCACUUUUAUUUCCCGAGGGCAAUGAACGAAGGGAGGGCGAUAUAUAUUGCAUCAUUUGACGGUUAAAUAUGUAUGCAAAAUAGGAACAUAUAUAUUACACAUCAUUGGACCCAUGCAUAAUAAUGACUAAGUGUGUAUACAAAUUAAAUAGGAACAUAUAUAUAUUACACAUCAUUGGACCCAUAACAUACGUUUCCUCAGUGCUGACGUUUUCGUUUUUGAGUCAGCUUCUUUCCCUUCUUGUUCGUCGAAGAAUAAUUGAGCCCCUCAUUGUGACUUUGCCUUUUCCAUGGAGUACGAUUUUUCUUAGGUAAUGUAGUAUUGAUUCUUCUUUUGACGUAUACUUCAUCAUCAUCAUCAUCUUCCCUCAUUGGGUUGCUGUACUGAUCAUAGUCUUCCUCGUUGGCGACUCCAUCCAUUCCAAUGAUGUUCCUUUUGCCUCUCCUCACGACAACACGGCUGGGAUUGCGCGGGUCAGUUAUGAAGAAACAUUGUGUCACGUGCUUAGCGUGUACCCAUGGCUCGUUUUUUGCGAUAGCGUUCAUGGUAGCGCUCUUGGCGUCGGGUAUAGUCAUGGUAGUGAACAUCCGGCUUUCUCUUUCGACAUUCUUAGCCCAUCUGACACGGAACAUCAUCGUGCUGUGCAGUCCAGAGUAGUCAAGCUCCCAGAUCUCCUCGACCCUUCCAUAAAAUCGUUCAGUUGUGCCGUUGUCGCUGCCGGUCAUGCAUUCCAUCGUCACCCCUGAGUUCUGAUCAUCACUGUCCAUAUCUUUUGCCUCUGUGUAGAAUGUGUAUCCGUUGAUAUCAUAUGCCUGAUAGGUUACGAGGUUGGGCGAGGGGCCAUGUGCUAAGGCGUAUAUGAGCAAUCCGUCCUUAGAGCCCUCCUCCGGUGGAUUAGCAAUAAUAUGCUCUUUGAACCAAUGCAGGAAAGUGGAGUUGUGCUCUCUAGUAACUUCGGCGUCCGUCCUGCAUACCCCCCGGUCACGAUACUUCUUUGUGAUAAUUUCUUUGUGCAGUGCCACGAAAGGAUCUACCUCGUCUAGGUGUUGUAGCACUACCAAGUUUGCUCUGUCAAAGUCGCUGCGUCGAUCUGAGUAUGCCACGUGCAGUUCCCUGCGACCGUUGCAGUGACCAUCUCCUUUGAGCCUCCCAUCGUGCUUGUUAACGGGCAAACCAACACUAACACCAGGCGGCUGGUCUGCGCCAUAUAAAAAAUUCUCACAGAAAGAGAUGCACUCUUGUGCCAAAUAGCCCUGGACGAUGCUUCCAUCCGGACGGGACAUGUUACGAACGAAUCCUUUGAUGAUCCCAUUCAUCCACUCAAACGGGAUCAUGUUGUGCAGGAAUGACGGCCCCAGGUCUAUUAUGUCAUCCACAAUAUGGACACACAGAUGCACCAUCACGUCGAAGAACGCGGGCGGGAAGUACAUCUCAAGCUCAUUCAGUAUCACAACGAUCUCUUCCUGUAGCCUUUGGAGCUGCUUCACACUGAUCGACUUUCGAGAGAUGACAUCGAAAAAGUUGCAGAGACCAAUAAGCGUGUCACGGACGUGCUUGUCCAUUAUCCCUCUAAGGGCAACAGGUAGUAUCUGCGUCAUCAUCACAUGACAGUCAUGAGACUUCAUCCCGCUGAACCUUUUCUUGUCCGUGUCUAGAUAUCUGCUUAUCUUGCCACAGUAACCGGAACUAACUUUCACUCCGGUAAGGCACUUAAAGAAUUGAUUGAUCUCAGCCUGACUUAAGGUGAAGCAAGAGGGGGGGCAAUAAUCUUCUUUCUUUAAUUUCUUGCCCUUCUUCUCCCGUGCCUCUGUCUUCGUCUCUGUCUCGUCUGACAUUUUACGGGGCGGCAUCUGCAGAUCUUCCCUGAUUUUCAAAUCUUGCAAGUCUUUUCUUGCCUUCGGCCCAUCCUUGGUCUUAUCCGGCAUGUUCAUCAGUGUUGCGAGCAAGCUCUCAAGGACAUUCUUACAGAUAUGCAUUUGAUCAAGGCAAUGAGGUGUAUCGAGUUUGUGCCAGUACUCCAAGUCCCAGAACACGACCUCGUCUUCCAUACCUUCAGCAGCGGCUCCGGCGCCUUUCUCAUCGUCUUUCCCGGCGCGGGGCACUCAUUCCAGUUUUUCAAUAGCUCAUCGAUUUCGGCACCGCUCCGCUUACGUGGAGGUCCUCGAUGCUCAGCGUGACCAUUGAAUAGAUCUCCACGGUUUCUCCACGGGUCGUCCUGUUCAAGCCAUCUUCGAUGCCCCAUGUACAUGAUUUUCGCAGACCCGCCAUCUUUCCUUGACGUUAGCUGCUGAGACGUUGUAUCAUCCAUGCACCGCGUGCAUCCGCAAUAUCCAUGGCACACCUGGCCUGCCACAUAUCCGUAACCGAGAUAGUCCUGCACUGUCGUGAUCAGCGCGGCUCUCAUGUUGAAAUACUCACCUUUGCUGGCGUCCCAUGUCUUGGCCGGUGUUUUCCAUAACGUGUCUAACUCCUCUUGAAGUAGCCCCAGAUACAAAUUAAUAUUAUUUCCUGGUUGUUUCGGCCCUUGAAUAAGCAUGCUCAUGUGAAUGUACUUCGAUUUCAUACACAACCAGGGGGGGAGGUUGUACAUCCAUACAAACACGGGCCAUGUACUAUGGUUGGUGUUCUAGUUGCCAAAUGGAUUCAUGCCAUCGGUACACGCGCCGAGCACGAUGUUCCUUGCAUCACAUUCAAAAUACCGUUAGAAGCUGUUCAACGCUCUCCACUGGCUUCCAUCCUUCACGUGUCUCAGCUUCGGAUCAUCUCCAUCGUCGGGCUUCUUCCUCUCCGCGUGCCAGCGCAUUAGCUUUGCUUCCUUGGGAUCUACAAAAUACCUCUGAAGACGGGGAGUGAUCGGUAAGUACCAUACAACUUUCUGGGGACAUUUCUUCCCGGCCUUCUUGUAUCGAGAAGCAUUGCACACCGGACAGCUUGUUUUUUCCGCGUGCUCCUUCCGAUAAAUUAUGCAAUCGUUGAUGCAUGCAUGGUAUCUAACGUGUGGCAGAUCAAGAGGGCACACGAUCUUCUUGGCCUCAUCAACACUAGUAGGACAUAGAUUACCCGCGGGAAGAAUAUCCUUUAGGUACUUGAGAUGGUCAUCGAGGCUAGUGUCGGUCCAUUUGUUUUUAGCCUUCGUCUUCAGGAGUUGGAGCGUGAAACUCAACCGGGUCACCUCAGGAUUGCAACCAUCAUACAAUGGAGUGUUCGAGUCUACCACCAGUUGCUCCAGCUUAGCCUCCUCUCUAGAAGCAGCUCUCUCAGUACUCGUCUCCUUGCGAAGCAAUGCUUGAACAUGAGGGUCCCGCACAAUUGAACUUAGUACCGACGAACUCUGCUGCGUGGAGUCCAUGUCGUUCUCUCCGCCGCCAUGUCCGGCCCCUUCUCCUCCGCCAUGUCCGGCCACUUCUCCGCUGCCAUGUCCGGCCUCUUCCCCGCCGCCAUUAUCGAUCAUCUCUUCGUCUUGCCCCGUGUCAUCAUUGCCUGCCCCGUCGGCAUCCUCAACAUCUUCAUCCUCAUCUUCAAUUAUCCACCGAGUAUAGCCAUCCAUGAAACCAGUCAUGAGCAGGUGCGCUUCGACACGACCAUCGUCAUGGGGGUCGAGCCAAACUAUUCCUUUGCAUUUUCAACACGGACAUAAAACCUCUGUCCGGUUAUUUUCUUUCAUGUCUUGCACCGCCGACCGCAACCACCUGUCCACCAUUGUUCCACUGACCAUCGUCAACUCUGCACGGUAAUAAUAAAAAAAUUGAUUGUAAAAAUGCAUGCAUGCAUCAAAGUCAUAAAAAAAUUUGGCAUGACCUUCCCUAAAAAUAGGACAUAUAUGGAUCUAGAGUUUGCCCGAAAUUCGCCGAAACGAAAAUAAAUCGACAUUUCGGCAAAACAUAGGCAACUCAAAAGCACAAUUUGGCGGCGUCAACUCAUGCCACAGACACAAUUUCCACAAACAUAUCACACAUACACAUAAACACAUUUCCAUUUUGCAAAAGCAUGAAAUUUUCAUCACCUCUAUCUCGAUGGCCGGAGAUGAUGUUGUAGGGAGAUCAAAAGUGCACAAAGCUAUUCUUGACAAAGAUAGAUCUAGUUAGGGGGCAAAUAGGUCACUUAACUAAAUCCUACAUCUACCUAGCUACCUAAUUUGGAAGGAGACAACUUCAACUAGUGGAGGGGGAGGAAAAAGAGAAAGAAGAUGCAUUAAUUAAUGGAGGUGGUGUAGUUAUGUAGGAGUAAUGAAGAGAGAGAAGGUGGAUAGAGAANNNNNNNNNNNNNNNNNNNNNNNNNNNNNNNNNNNNNNNNNNNNNNNNNNNNNNNNNNNNNNNNNNNNNNNNNNNNNNNNNNNNNNNNNNNNNNNNNNNNNNNNNNNNNNNNNNNNNNNNNNNNNNNNNNNNNNNNNNNNNNNNNNNNNNNNNNNNNNNNNNNNNNNNNNNNNNNNNNNNNNNNNNNNNNNNNNNNNNNNNNNNNNNNNNNNNNNNNNNNNNNNNNNNNNNNNNNNNNNNNNNNNNNNNNNNNNNNNNNNNNNNNNNNNNNNNNNUGUGGUGGAGGGAAGAGAGGAGAGGGGGAGGUAGGGGGGAAGGGAAAAAAGGAAGGGGGAGGGGAGGGACGGGUUGGGGGUUGGUGGGGUUAGCAGUAGCGCGGGAGAUAAAACGCGCUGCUGCUAAGAACUUAGCAGCUGCGCGCUUUGCGGUAAGGCGCUACUGCUAACUGGGACAAAAAAUUGUGGCAAUUUGAAACUUACCAGCAGCGAUCUCGAGGAAACCGCGCUACUACUACGUACUUAGCAGUAGCGCUGUUAUUGCGACCGCGCUACUGCUACUUAGAGUUGGGGGAACACCGCCGGUCGAUAUUUGUAGCAGCGCGUUUCUUGUCGAGCGCGCUACUGCUAAAUCUUUAUCAGUAGCGAGUUUACGUAACCCGCGCUACAACUACUUAGCAGCAGCGCUCUAUUUUGAACCGCGCUGCUGCUAAGAUUCUGUGUAUAGGCUUUUCCCUAGUAGUGUAGGAAGGAAUGACCACAUGAAUGAGCAUACGUAUGAUGUGAUUAAGUCUCUCGAUUGGGUAUCUGGUGCCUUAUGUACGGUGUCUUCUUUUUGUCAAGCUAUGACAUCUUUCAGUUUGAGUGUCUGAUAUUAGGGUUGCAUACGUUUUGUUAUUCAGUUGCCUGUUGUGAACUCUACGGUUAUAUCAUCUCGAUGUGUGAGUCAAUGUGUUUGAACCAAUGUAGAGUUUCAUGUGAAUGUUACAAGUGUGAUUGAUAUGUUCAUGUUAUCCGCGGUUGCCUUGGUAAGAAACUGAAAGAGCAAACCGUUAUCGUGCUAGGACAAAAGUCAUCACUCAAUAUAAGUGCUUCUCUAGAACAGCCACACCUUGUGAAAGAAGAUGGCAAACACCCAAUCAUGUCUGGUUCGAUAUGGGCGUGGCUAUGGGUAGCUUAUAGCGACAUGGAAGCCAGCAUCGCUGGAAGAAACGCCCGGGUGGGCCGGCCUAGAGACAUUUCUUGAUAUCUACCCUUAGUUUUGUUUUUCUGCCCUUCUUUCUUUAUAUUUAUAUUUUUCCCGACAUGUUCACUACUUGAUGCUCAACUGGGAUCUCAUCCUUCACAAAUACGGAGAGCCAUUAUUGUUAGAGUUAAUCUUGACAUGUGUGUAUGUGCAUGUGUGCAUUGCAUGUUAGUGGUCUAGAGAUGGCCGGGUCGAUGCGUCUGUUCUGUGCUGGAGUGAGUCCAGCAGUUUGUUUUGGUCAGGUCGUGGUGGCUAGAGCCAUUCUAGGAGAGGAUCAAGUCAAGUUGUUAGCUGAACUCGGCUGGGUAGUGUUUGGCCGUUGAGGAUAGGCUGUACUAGUGGUGGGCAUGGCCGUGCAUAUAGCUAGCGAUUAGUUACACUAGUAGAAAACCACCCAUUAGUCCCGGUUCGUAAGGGCCUUUAGUCUCGGUUCAGGAACCGGGACUAAUGGGUCGUUACUAAUACCUCCACCCAUUAGCCCCGGUUCAAACACGAACCGGGACCAAUGUGCCUCCACGUGGCCCUGUGCGGCGAGCCCAGUCAGGGGGCCUUUGGUCCCGGCUGGUGGCUCCAACCGGGACCAAAAGGCAUCCACGCGUCUGCAUUCUAGUGGUUUCUGGUUUUUGUUUUUUUUUUGAAAGGAGGGGGGUUGGGGGUUUUGGGGAGUUAAUUUAGGUGUUUCGUAUAUUGUGUUAACUAGCUAAUUAAUAGAGAGAAGUGUCCUCUCUUAUGUCCGUGCUUGGUCGACGCUACGUAGUAUAUAUACAUAAGUAAUCGAGAGAACCAUUCAGUACAGAAGUUCGUCAUGCAUACCGAGAGAAGUGAUCGAUCGACCUCUCCUUCUCCGAGAGAUUGGUCGAACAACAAGUUUUUUACUGGCUACAUACAUGUACAAUAUGUAUAAGAUCUCUUAAUUACAAACCCAUAGCAUUUGAAAUCAACUUCCACAUGGUAUUCUCCGGCUUUACUGAUGACGUGUUCAAGAAAGAAUCCCGCUAAUUCCUCUUGAAUUGCUUUCAUGCGAUCUGGUUCUAGGAGUUCACCCCGCAUCUGCCACGUCUAAUUAAUUUGAAGAAGGGGGUUAAUUAAUACAUAUAUAUGAAUGAAACUCAACAGAAAAUGAUGGUGUAAUAAAAUGAAAUUGUGAAUAUUAUUGCUUACGCACUUCAUAUUGUCUUCUAGAGUAGCCCCGCUUGUUUCUCAAAGUUGCGUUGUGGAUGAACUCGCACACGUAGUAUCCACAAAAAUCAUUCCCUUCCUCCUGUCACAAGCACUUUACGAGAAACAGAGGUCAAUCAAACUGAUAAUGAAGCAUUAUAAAUGGCAUUGAUGAAAGUAUAGCUAUAGAAUCAACGGGAGAUGCACGCAACUAGCUAGCCAGUAGUACUUACUUUCGGGUAUACAUAUCGCAGCUCCUUCGGCAGUCCCGGAGCUUGUGCGGUGAACUGUUUCCGAACCCUGCAAGACAAAGAAAAUAAUUAUUAUUACUUGAGAUAUCAGGAAAUGAACAAAAAGUUGCCGAUAUGGUGCGAUAAUGAUCGAUUGAACUUACUUGCUGAGCAUUUCAGUCAUGUCCACAUAGGUGCUGGGAUCUUUCCGUCUCGAGUCUAAGACGGUUACUAGUCCACGCUCAAGCUUAAUCUCCAGAAGAAUAUAGUGGUACCUGCGCACGCGUGCAUAACUCAUCAAUUACAUUAACCUCGCUCGAGUAAUAAGGGAAACCGAAUAUGCACACGACAGUAACACUCACGGGCCGUUGUAAGGAAAGAGUAUGGUAUCUUUGUUUUGAUUUUUGAUCAACGAUUGUAGCAAGUUGUCCUCGGCCUCUUCGACGUUCUUUUCAACCAGAAAUACAUCUAUGAUAUUUGUGUUAAUGAACCCAAUAUCAUAAAUUUUUUGUUUUUUGCACUCGACGAUCUUCAAUCUGCAUAAUAUAUUGAGGAUAAUUAAUUAUAAAUACAUGCAAUGAAAGAUCCGAGCUAUAUAUAGAGACUUAAUGUCAGAAAUAGUACUUACAUGCAGUAGCAAAAGACCAUUAAUUUAUCGAGGGCCUUUUGAUUGAAGAACUCAAAGAACUCCUCAAAUGGAACACACAACAGAUCAUUUGAAAUGAGGUCGUGCUCCUCUUUAAUAUUCAAAUACAAACUGUUCGUCCCCUCAGACUCUCUGCAGGUUUUCAUGUACCAAUUAUGGAAUCUUCGCAUCAUUAUUGUCAGAGAUUUUUCAUCUUUGACGAGAGGCUUCCCGUACUCGUAUCUGAAUACGUCCACCUCCAUGAAAUCAGGAAGUGCAUCGUCAGGCAGGUAAUCUUCAAGAUUGCCAUAACCGGCCACCGUCCCCGGAGGAUUAGACACAUUGAGCGGGGGGCACGAUUGCUGUGCUUGUUCGCCGAGCUGGGCAAUUUUUUUCCCCUUUGCUCGUUGUUCUUUUGACCUUUUAUCAUUGACAGUAGUUCCCGACCGCUUGGCUUGGAGAUAUGUCUGUUCAGUAAUGCGCUCAUAGUUGGUUCUCGGCGGAGACUUUGGUGGUUUCCUCAGGGCAUCGAGAGUGCGCUUUGCUUUCACCGGAUCUACCUUCUCCUCCGGAGGUGGAUGUCUCUUUGCUUUCACCCCUUCAAAGAACUCCUUCACGUGGGCCUGCACGAUCGUAUUGUUUUCCUCCUUGGUCCUCUCGUACGGUAACUUCUCUAGAGGCUUUAGAGGUGGACCGUAUCUGUAUUGCCUCUCUCUUCUUGUGCUGCUAGACGCCGGAGCAGACGGAGCGGCUGUGGCGUCUGUCUUCUUCCGUGCUUGCUUAUGAGGCGGAGGAGAAGGACUACGACGCGCCGGAGCAGCCGGGGCGGCGGCGGGUCUCUUCCGCCCUUGCUGGCGAGGCGGAGAGGAGGAGGCGGAGUGCCGCCACAUGCCGGAGAAGGAGGCGGAGUGCCGCCAUGCGUGCCCUGAUCGUCACUCGCCGGAGGAGGAGGCGGUGGAGGAGGCGGAGUGCCGCCACGCGUGCCCUGAUCGUCACUCGCCGGAGGAGGACGCGGUGGAGGAGGCGGAGUGCCCUGACUCGCUGAAAGAGGAGGAGGAGGCGGAGGCGUCCAGUUCAGAAGGUUGAUGAGCUCCUUCUGCCAUAGGCAUGGAGUCUUCAGAGCAGAACCCAGCCUAGUCUCCCCUUCACCGGUAGUGUGCUCAAGCACGAGGUCCUCAAAUCCCUCCGUUAUUUCAUCCACCAUCACCUUAGCAAAUCCUUCUGGAAUUGGCUGGCAGUGAUAAGUUGUGCCGGGUCCACUAGGAUAAACUUGGCCAACAGCCGCCUUGACCUUCAAAUUCAUCCAUCACACAAUAAUGUGGCAAUUUUGAGACUCCGUGAUACCAUCCACGGGAUAGCUGGCAGGAGCCGUCAAGACAUGCUCCGGCUGAAGCAGCUCAGUGGAAGCCACGCUGCUUCUCUGCUGAGAUGGCGGGGUAGCUUCGGGGGAAGCUUCGGCAGGUCGUUUGUUGUGAUCUGCUGCUUCUUGUUCCUCUAGCCCCAUUACCCUUUCGUGCAGCGCCUGCAUUUGGUCCUGCUCCAGUUUCUUCCUCCUCUCGUAGGCUUUGUAAACGCCUGCGUCCAGAAAACCAACCUUCCACGGAAUGGAGCCUGGCGUGCCUCGUGUCCGUCCAGGGUGCUCGGGAUUCCCAAGGGCCAUUGUGAGCUCGUCCUUCUCCCUGUUUGGAAGGAACGUCCCUCGUUGUGCUGCAUCGAUAUAGUGUCGAAGGUUCUUGACUGGUGUUUGCAGUUGCUCGUCCGUCCACUGACGCUUCCCUGUUACAGGGUCCAAGGUUCCGCCAGCCCCGAAGACCCAAGUCCGGCAACGGUCUGGCCAGCGCAUUGUCUCUGGUUCGAUUCCUUUUUCAAGCAGAUCAUGCUCAGCCUUGGACCACUUAGGCCGGGCUUUGAGGUAGCCACCUGACUCCGUGCGAUGGUGAAGCUUCUUCUUCGCAGCAUUUUUCUUGUUUGUCUCCGACAUCGUCUUACUCUUUUCCGAUGUCUUGUGGGCCACAAAUGCGGGCCAGUGAUCUUUGAUCUUCUCAUAUUUGCUGAUGAAUUCUGGUGUCUUUUUUUUCUCGAGAAACUGGUUCAGCUCUUUCCUCCACCUCCUCAUUAGGCUUGCCAUCUUCUUAAGAGCACAAGACUUGAUUAAUUGCUCUUUAACUGGCUUCUCCGGAUCCUCCUCUGGCGGUAGGGUGAAAUUUGCCUUCAGCUCAGUCCAAAGAUCUUCUUUCUGCAUAUCAUUGACAUAAGACACCUCAGGGUCUUCAUCCUUAGCAGGCUUAUACCAUUGCUGGAUGCUGAUCGGGAUCUUGUCCCUAACAAGAACCCCGCACUGAGCAGAAAAUGCCUUCCUUGUCCGGAUGGGUUCAAUCGGUUCGCCGUCGGGCGCGAUUUCUAUGAUCUCAAACUUUUCAUCCGAGAUCAACUUUUUCUUCGGGCCUCGUCUCCUUACCGAAGUUGUGCUCGAUCCGGAGGGCUAGAAAUUAUAAGGAAGAAAGACGACAGUAAUUAAUAUGUGUACAUAUACCAAAACAAUGGAUGCAUCAAUUAACUAGUCAGCACGGGCUUAACUAAUAUAUAUAUACCUGGCCGGACUCGGUUCGGUGACCGGAGCAGUCAGCACGGUCUCCUUGUACCUCCAUUGUGUCACCGGAGCCAUCAUGAACAUAGUCCUCCUCUUGUACCGGCAUUAAUGGGUCGAAGCCAUCAUAAACAUAGCCCUCUUCUUCAUCCAGUCCUUCCAGCUGACCAUCGGUGUCGAUGAGAAAUGACGCAACAUCAUCACUUCCAUUUGCGAUUAUGUCCCCCAACAUCGCUUCUGUUUCUUCGUCUCGGGAGUGCUCCAUAGUUUCUGCAAAUAUUUACAACAUGUCAAUUAUUAUUCAAACAUGGUACAAAUGGAUAUAUAUAUAUAUAUAUAUAUAUAUAUAUAUAUAUAUAUAUGAAAAUGGAUUGGUACUCCUAGGAGUACAUACUCUCACCUACACCCGUCAUCGUUGGAAACAUUCAUCCCGCUAACUACUAAAAAAAGAGCUAACUAACUACGGAUAAAGCCUUUGGAUUUAAAAAUUAGUUGAACCGCUUCCUUUUUUUUCAGCUCUCGUAGGCGUGCCUUCCAGGGAUUCCAUUUGAAACGGCGUUCUCAUCUCUUGCCAGCACCCAUGAACAUAAAAAAACAGAGCAUCGGCUCGCCUCCGCCCCGCCGACUGACCGGAAGACUUGGUCGACAUGGCCGACGAUGAUCCCCGUGCUUCUUCCCUCGCAAACUAGGCUUCAACCACCACGUCCAUCAAUCAGAGGAAGAUUGAUUCAUCAUCUGUAGUUUGCGAGGGUACGUGCAAUUGAUGUUUCCCGAUUUUUCUGUUCGGCUACCACAACCGUGUUCAUGUUCCCGCUGACCCCUUGAUCCAUUCCUGUCCAGUAUGUCAUCGUCCGAGAAGAAAAUAGGACGGAGAUGAUUGAUCGGCCAGAUUGAUCGGCCAAGUCUACUAGUACCACUGGUGGAAAAAAGGCCUUUGGUCGCGGUUCGCAACUGCCAUUAGUCGCGGUUGCGCAACCGCGACCAAAUAAGCGCGACUAAAGCCCCCCACCUUUAGUCGCGGCUGCUUAAGAACCGCGACUAAAGGCCCGUCCAUGUGGGCGCCAGGCGGCCGUCGGGACGGAGGACCUUUAGUCGCGGUUCUUCUGGCCAACCGCGACUAAAGGCCGCCACAGGUUUAGGGUUUUAGCCCCCCCCCUAAACCUGUUUUCUGUUUAAUUUGUAUUGUUUUAUUUCUUUUGUGCUUUAUUUUAAUUUUGAAGGAGUUUCAUAUAUUCUACGGUACUACAUACAUGCAUAUGAAUGUACAAUUUCAAAUAAAUUUGAAAUUAGAACCAAAAAGAAUUCAAGAGGAAUAUACAAUAUAUAUUCAAUAUCAUCGGAUGACCAUAUACAAUUUUGAACAAGUUUCCAUACAUGAUUUAAUGCAUAUAAAGUUCUACGUCCUCGUAAUAGUGUUCUCCUUUAGGAUGGAGGACUUCCCUGCUGAACCAUCCAGCUAGUUCCUCUUGAAGUGGUCGGAAGCGAGCUUCUGGACUAAGCAUCCACCGGAGGUUAUUCCUCUGAGCAUUGGUAUCACUCGGAACCCGCUCAGAGGUGUAUCUCCGGAUCAUCUCACAGACAUAGUAUCCACAUAGAUUGGUCUCCGGUGGCUGAAUAUCCCCAGCAUUCUUAGCCACUGACCUUUUGAAUUCUAGCUCUUUUUUGAAUUCACCGACCUUUGUAUCUACGAACCGUCUCCAAACCCUACGAGGCAAAGAAAAUUAAAUGAACAAGAGAGUUAUUAGUUACUUGAUAUUAGGAAAUGAACGAAAUAGGCCGAUUGAUAUAGAGCGCAAAUGAAUGAAAAUAAUUACUUCUGCAGCAUUCUUCUCAUGCCGCCCCAAAGCUUUGGAUCCAUAUUCACAGAGUCGUGGACGAGACAUUCUGAGGUGUUAACUUUAAUUACUAGCAGAAUCCAGUGGAACCUGCGGACACGAUACAUGCACAGUACGUCAUGCAUAACUCAUCGAUUAGCCGGCCACAUACCAUGCAUGGAGUAAACAAAAGAGAAUGUGCUCAAGACACAAACACUCACCCAAAAUGGUAAGGAAAUAGAAUAUCACUUUUGAGUUCCUGCUUUGUAAGAAACUGCCACAGGUCUACCUCCACGUCGGCGGGGUGACGCUCCAACACAUGUCCAUUAACGAUGUGUGGGUCAAUGAACCCAACAUCAUGGAUGUUCCUUACUCUGCAUUCCUUAAUCUUCAUUCUGCAUGUAUAAUAGCGGACACAACAAUAUAGUUAGGACAUAUAUAUAGUGCAGGCAAUAUGAACGAGAUGGGGUAGAAAUUAAUAAAUCACUUACAGAACGUAGCAACUGAUGAUAGAUUUAUCGAGCUCGCGCAGAUUGAAAAGCUGGAACAAUUCACUCAGUUCAAUUUGUACAUAGUAAUGUUUGAAGUGAUGCUCAUGUCUAACUUCCGCAUAAAUAUAUUCUUUGGCGUUUUUAUUUUUUAUGUAACCCUUGUACCAUUUCAGCAGACCUUUCAUUUGUGGAGGUAGAUCCUUUUCCUGCGCAGGCUCGACGAGAGGCCCAUUCUUGACAUAUGUAAUUACUACCUCCUUCACUGGCGCCUCAUCAAGGCCUAACAGUUCACGAAGAGUAAUACCUAAGUUGGCCGCUUGUUCUAUGGCACUCGUUACAGUCAAUCCCUGUGCUGCCGCAGCUUGUAUGAUCUCGGGGGCAUCCGGACAGAAGGCUUCCACUAUAAGCGGGGCAAUCGAUUGUUUACUUUGUUCCCCGAGCUGGGCAACUUGUUUCCCGCUUUUUUUACUUUCGGCCUUCUCCCGCUCUUUGUUCUCCUUGAACAUGAGUGCCUGCCUGCGAAGUUCACGUGCAUAGUCGUUAGGCAGAUUCUUCGCGGCUUGGGACGGUGUGCUCAAAAAUGACUUAGCCCACUUGUUUUGCUCAUCAGAAAAUACUGGCUUGGGCUCGAGCUCUCUUUUCUUCUUGCAGUCCGCCUUCCAUUUCUCCAAAUCAGCAGCCGCGGCCGCGUCGACUUCCUCGGCACUACGUUCCCAAGGCCUUGUGGGGAGAGGCUUCAGUGAUGGCUCCGGUACCUUUGUGGUCUUAGGUACAUAAGGGUCCGGGUUAAUAAUCCAGGACUGCUUCUGCUUCUUUGCCGGAGGUGGAUUGGGGGGCGGCGUCUGAUCACCCGCCGGACGAGGACUGGGGGGCGGCGGCUGAUCACCCGCCGGACGUUGUGGACUGGGGGGCGGCGUCGGCUGACGUGACGGAGGUGUAGGUGAACCGCCACCACCACCACCACCACCACCACCGCCACCGCCACCACCACCACCGUAGGGGGGUGGACUUGUUGUCCUUGGCGCCUCGCCUGGAAACUUGAUAAACUUCUUUUGCCAUAGAAUGAAAUGGCGCUUGACAUCUCCAAGUCUUUUCUCCCCUUCAGGUGUAGCAAUGUCAAUCUCCAGGUCCUCAAACCCUUGGACUAUGUCCUCCACCGUGACACGAGCAUAGCCAUCUUGAAUGGGGUUGUUGUGGUGGAGUGCUCCAGGUAAACAUGGUAAAGCACUGCCGAUGGCUACCUUCAUGGACAUGUUCCCGAUAGGAUAAUACAGAUGACAUUCUUCUCCGCUGCUGGCUUCCGAGAUCUGCUGGAUGAUCUUCAUGCUGCACCCGAGCUGCAUCUCUUUCGGCUACUAGUACACUCAUGGUUUUCUUCAUCACAUCCAUUUCCGAUGCCAACCGCGCCACAACAUCUGCUUCCCGAUCCACCUUUCUCUUACGGCUUCUGUAACCGUACGGGUCAUCGUUCUGGGGGAACCCUAUUUUCCACGGAAUGUGCCCCAUGCCUCGUACACGUCCUCCGUGUUCAGGAUUCCCGAGGGAUUUUGUCAGCGCGUCGUUCUCUCUGUUGAACUUGAUCUUCCCCUGUUGAGCAUCCCUCAUUGCGUUAAUAAGGGCUUGGGUGGGUUUAAUUAAUUUGCCCCGGUAAACACACUCCCCUGUCUCCGGGUUCAGCGUUCCCCCAUGCCCGUACCACCAACUUUUGGCCCUUGGGUCCCAUCCCUCCGUACCUGCACGGAUUCCUCGCGCCCUCAGCUCGUUCUCCAUCUUCUCCAACCUAGGCACCCAAAUGCGAUACCCUCCUGGCCCCAUAACAUGAUUGUACUCCUUCUUAGCCGCAUUUUCCUUAUUUUUUCGAUAUUUGAAUGAACUGCUCCGAUUUCUUUUGCUUCACAAAUUCUGGCCAAUCAUGUUUCAGUUUCUCAUAUUGUCCUUUGAAAUCCGGAGUCUUGUUCUGCUUGACAAAGUCAUGGGCUAGAUUUUGCUUGAAUUUCCGGAAUGCGUCGGCCAUCUUAUGAAGAGCGAACUGUUUGACUAGCCUCCUCCUCUCCUUGUUUUCUUCAAUCUUGUUACCCUCCUCAUCGAAUUUGUUGUAUUCCGGAGGUAGAACGAAAUGUUCCAUAAGCUUCUUGAAGCAAUCUUUUUUUGUUCUCUUAUCGACAAAAGUGAAACCAUCAAUUCGUGCCUUCUUUGGCUCAUUCCACUCCUGGACGGUGAUCGAGACGUUGUCUCUAACAAUGGCUCCGCAUUGGCUGACAAACUUGGUGGCGUUCUUGCGGGGCUCCAGCGGCCUGCCGGUUGCACUGUCGACAACCUCGAUGGUGCAUGUUUCUCCUUGUUUCAUCGUCUUGGUUGCGCCACGCUUUGACGACGUACUCGAUUGUUUCGACGAUCCGGCCGAGGGCUAAAAUAAGAAAGAGUCGCGCGCGUUAGUACACACAUAUUUAUUCAAAUCAGUUAGUUUGUAUCACCAGAGGCUCAAUGUAUAUAUAUACCUCGGCGCCGGAGGUGGUUGCUACAUCCAUUUGAAGAUCGUCGUUUAUCGACGUUUGUUCGGCAUCAUCUUGCUGACGGCGCCCUUCAUCUUCACCGUCAAGGUUCAGAUAAGAAGAGAUAUCAUCUUCUUCUUCUCCGGUCGGCACAUAUAGAAUAUCGCCGUUUAUGAUGCCGAACAUAUGUGCUUCACCGUCCGGAUCAUAGUUGUCCAUAAUCGGGUCAGCUCUAUCGUCCGCCAUUAUGUCAGUCCUGAAAACAUGUAGUAAAAACAAAUUAAUUAAGUGAAGAAGGGGGGCGGUGGCGGUGGCGGUGGCGAAAGGGUGGUGGCAAAAGGAGGGGGCGAGGAAGGGGUGGGAGAGGGUGUCGCGGUAGAGCGCGAGACGGGGCGGCACGAACGUCAUUUUGUGAAGAAACUUUGCAAGCAAUUAAACAUUUGUCAAUGUUUGGUAAAAAAAAUACAGGUAGCGUCUGUUGCUCCUAAUGAUUGGAAACGGUUUCCAAUUGCCAACGAGGAUUUAGAUCGACUACUACUACUAGUUGCAUUGCUCCCCAUCGGGACGAUGUUGCUCCUAAUCCCCUCCUUUGGAAUCUAUAGUACUAGUGCAUACUAGCUGGCCGUUGACCGUUGUUGCUCAUCGCGUUUUCUCAAAGUCCACUGAUUUUGCUCAGGGCCAGUUCGGAGAUUUUGCUGGUCCACUGAUUUUGGAUCAACGCCGGGAUGGCAUGGGCGCUCGGCGAUGAUGCGAAGUAGACUUGCACAGGCAACGUGAUGUACAUGGAUGUGUCAGUACGGUACGCUCGGCGAUGCCACGGUAUGGAUGACUUCUCGAGUGGAGAUUGGAGAACCAAGUUCGCCGGUGAAACGUCGGCUCCUGAUCAGAUCUGGGGGUCGCGAACUAGCGAUUGGAUCUCGGAAGGGAGUUAGGAAAGCGAACAGACGUGCGUUCAAGGCUACAACUUUUUUUUUCAGGAUCUUGAAAACAGCUACGCGUUCAAGGCCCGGUCCUGAUUUUGCUCAUCUACCCGGGGCGGCGUUCGCACUGCGCGAGGGCCGACUCCGCGGGGUGCUGCCGCGUCGCCUCGUCGACGCUGAGCGAGUUGGCGAGGACCGUGUACAUGGUCGGCACGUCGCCGGCGGAGAGGGUCAUGCUGUCCCCGACCAGCGGCGGCCACGGACGGGGAGGGCGGCGGCGGUGACUGGGAAGGAAUGAUAGGAGAGGAAGGAAGGUCGCGUGGGGUUGAGGGCGGNNNNNNNNNNGGCGAGGAGGGACUCCUUGGCGGAGAGGCGCUCCGUCUCGCGGGCGUAGCUGGCAGCGGGCUCCCACGCCUGCGCGUACACGUCGUCCCGCCGUGCGUUCAAGGCUACAACUUUUUUUUUUAGGAUCUUGAAAACAACUACGCGUUCAAGGCCGGCCCGGUCCUGAUUUUGCUCAUCUACCCGGGGCGGCGUUCGCACUGCGCGAGGGCCGACUCCGCGGGGUGCUGCCGCGUCGCCUCGUCGACGCUGAGCGAGUUGGCGAGCACCGUGUACAUGGUCGGCACGUCGCCGGCGGAGAGGGUCAUGCUGUCCCCGACCAGCGGCGGCCACGGACGGGGAGGGCGGCGGCGGUGACUGGGAAGGAAUGAUCGGAGAGGAAGGAAGGUCGCGUGGGGUUGAGGGCGGGCGAGCGAGGCGGCAGUACCGAGGCUGGCCGGCGGCGCGCGCGCGGUGGGCGAGGGCGACGGCGGGCGGCGUCGAGGGCGAGGGCGACGGCGGGCGGCGUCGAGGGCGCGGCAGAGACGAACAGGCGAGAAACGGCGGGCGGCGUCGAGGGAGCCUUGUAUUUAUAGCCCCCCCNNNNNNNNNNNNNNNNNNNNNNNNNNNNNNNNNNNNNNNNNNNNNNNNNNNNNNNNNNNNNNNNNNNNNNNNNNNNNNNNNNNNNNNNNNNNNNNNNNNNNNNNNNNNNNNNNNNNNNNNNNNNNNNNNNNNNNNNNNNNNNNNNNNNNNNNNNNNNNNNNNNNNNNNNNNNNNNNNNNNNNNNNNNNNNNNNNNNNNNNNNNNNNNNNNNNNNNNNNNNNNNNNNNNNNNNNNNNNNNNNNNNNNNNNNNNNNNNNNNNNNNNNNNNNNNNNNNNNNNNNNNNNNNNNNNNNNNNNNNNNNNNNNNNNNNNNNNNNNNNNNNNNNNNNNNNNNNNNNNNNNNNNNNNNNNNNNNNNNNNNNNNNNNNNNNNNNNNNNNNNNNNNNNNNNNNNNNNNNNNNNNNNNNNNNNNNNNNNNNNNNNNNNNNNNNNNNNNNNNNNNNNNNNNNNNNNNNNNNNNNNNNNNNNNNNNNNNNNNNNNNNNNNNNNNNNNNNNNNNNNNNNNNNNNNNNNNNNNNNNNNNNNNNNNNNNNNNNNNNNNNNNNNNNNNNNNNNNNNNNNNNNNNNNNNNNNNNNNNNNNNNNNNNNNNNNNNNNNNNNNNNNNNNNNNNNNNNNNNNNNNNNNNNNNNNNNNNNNNNNNNNNNNNNNNNNNNNNNNNNNNNNNNNNNNNNNNNNNNNNNNNNNNNNNNNNNNNNNNNNNNNNNNNNNNNNNNNNNNNNNNNNNNNNNNNNNNNNNNNNNNNNNNNNNNNNNNNNNNNNNNNNNNNNNNNNNNNNNNNNNNNNNNNNNNNNNNNNNNNNNNNNNNNNNNNNNNNNNNNNNNNNNNNNNNNNNNNNNNNNNNNNNNNNNNNNNNNNNNNNNNNNNNNNNNNNNNNNNNNNNNNNNNNNNNNNNNNNNNNNNNNNNNNNNNNNNNNNNNNNNNNNNNNNNNNNNNNNNNNNNNNNNNNNNNNNNNNNNNNNNNNNNNNNNNNNNNNNNNNNNNNNNNNNNNNNNNNNNNNNNNNNNNNNNNNNNNNNNNNNNNNNNNNNNNNNNNNNNNNNNNNNNNNNNCGAGGAAGACCAAUCGGCUUAAGGUCAGGAACAAAGUCAACACAAAACUCAAUUACCUCCUCAUUUCCAUAGCCCUUGGCGAUGCUUCCUUCUGGCCUAGCACGGUUACGAACAUAUUUCUUUAAUACUCCCAUGAACCUCUCGAAGGGGAACAUAUUGUGUAGAAAUACAGGACCGAGAACGAAAAUCUCUUCGACUAGGUGAACCAGGAGGUGCGUCAUAAUAUUGAAGAAGGAUGGCGGGAACACCAACUCGAAACUGACAAGACAUUGGAUCACAUCGUUCUGUAACCAUGGUAGAACUUCUGGAUUGAUUACCUUCUGAGAGAUUGCAUUGAGGAAUGCACAUAGCUUCACAAUGGCUACUCGAACAUUUUCCGGCAGGAGCCCCCUCAAAGCAAUCGGAAGCAAUUGCGUCAUAAUCACGUGGCAGUCGUGAGACUUCAGGUUUUGGAACUUUUUCUCCGCCAUGUUUAUUAUUCCUUUUAUAUUGGACGAGAAUCCAGACGGGACCUUCAUACUGCUCAGGCAUUCAAAAAAGAUGACCUUCUCUUCUUUGGUCAGAGCGUAGCUGGCACGACCUUGAAACCAUUCCGGAUGCCGGUCAUCAGGGUCUUUCAAACGUUGCUGGUCCUGCCGUGCUUCCUUUGUAUCAUUUGUCUUCCCAUACACGCCCAAGAAGCUUAGGAGGUUCACGCAAAUAUUCUUCGUAACGUGCAUCACGUCGAUUGCAGAGCGGACAUCUAGGACUUUCCAAUAUUCUAGCUCCCAGAAUAUAGAUUUCUUCUUCCACAUGGCUGCGUUCCCGUCUGCUCCCUUCGGAACUGAUUGUCCGCCAGGACCCUUUCCAAAGAUGACUUUCAAAUCCUUGACCAUAUCAAAUACCUCAGCACCAGUGCAUUCCGCAGGCUUCGGCCGGUGAUCUGCCUUGCCGUUGUAAUGCUUGCCUUUCUUUCUUACUGGAUGAAUUUUCGGAAGAAAUCGAUGAUGCCCAAGGUACACGUUCUUCUUACAAUUUGGCAAAUGUACACUUUCAGUCUCAUGUAAGCAGUGCGUGCAUGCAUUGUAUCCCUUAUUUGACAGUCCCGAAAGGUUACUAAGAGCAGGCCAAUCGUUGAUGGUUACGAAAAGCAACGCUCGUAGGUCAAAUUCCUCUUGUUUGUGCUCAUCCCACACACGGACACCACCCCACAGCUGUAAAAGUUCAUCAACUAAUGGCCUUAGGUACACAUCGAUGUCGUUGCCGGGUUGCUUCGGACCUUGGAUGAGCACUGGCAUCAUAAUGAACUUCCGCUUCAUGCACAACCAAGAAGGAAGGUUGUAGAUGCAUAGAGUCACGGGCCAGGUGCUAUGGCUGGAGCUCUGCUCGCCAAAAGGAUUCAUGCCAUCCGUACUUAGAGCAAAUCUUAUGUUCCUUGCGUCAGCUGCAAAAUCUUUGAACCAUCUGUCGAUCUUUCUCCAUUGCGUUCCAUCUGCGGUGUGUCUCAACUCCCCGUCCGACUUACGGUCCUCUUUGUGCCAUCGCAACAACUUGGCAUGCUCUUUGUUCCUGAACAGACGUUUCAACCGUGGUAUUAUAGGAGCAUACCACAUCACCUUGGCGGGAACCCUCUUCCUGGGUUUCUGGCCCUCAACAUCGUCACCAGGGUCAUCGCCUCUGAUCUUAUAACGCAAUGCAGUGCAUAUCGGGCAUUCAUUCAAAUUCUCGUAUUCACCGCGGUAGAGGAUGCAGUCGUUGAUGCAUGCAUGUAUCUUCAGAACCUCUAAACCUAGAGGGCAGACAACCUUCUUUGCUUCGUACGUACUGGCGGGCAACUCGUUAUCCUUUGGAAACAUACUCUUCAACAUUUUCAGCAAGUUUUCAAAUGCCGAGUCAGCUACACCUGCCUCUGCCUUCCAUUUCAGCAAAUCCAGUGUGCAGCCCAGCUUUUUCAGACCAUCAUCGCAUCCGGGGUACAGCGCCUUUCUGUGAUCCUCUAACAUGCGAUCCAAAUUCUCCCUCUCCUUUUCAGUUUCGCAGCGUCUCCGUGCAUCAGCAAUGGUCCGACCAAGAUCAUCAACGGGAUCAUCACGUGCCUCUUCUUCACCUUCCCCUUCACCUUCAGCAUCCUCCAUGAAAGUAUCACCGAGAUGAGCAAGAUAGCUUUCAUCGAUGAAAUCAUCCCCUUCUUCAUCUUCUUCCAUUAUAACCCCUCUUUCUCCAUGCUUGGUCCAACAAUUAUAGCUUGGCAUGAAACCGUGCCGAAGCAGAUGCAUGUGAACAUCUCUUGAGGAAGAGUAACCCUUCUGAUUCUUACAGAUAACACAUGGACAGAUAACAAAAAACCCCUGCUUGUUCGCAUUAGCCACUACGAGGAAAUCUUUCAAACCCGUAGUGAACUCGCCGGAGAGUCGGUUACCGUACAUCCAUUGCCGAUUCAUCUGCAUUAUUAUAAUAUAAAAUAUAUAAUUAACCAUCAUGCAUUUGUUAAACUAACUAGCUACAAACAAUAUAAAUUAAACAAUGAACUGCACACAUGCAUAUUUUAUCAAUGACACAUCAAAGGUUCAUCAAGUUGCUAACCGCGAUCGAGGAGUGUGGCUCCAACACUUCAUGUCAUGUUUGUUUCAUGCUCUUGGGGCAUUUCAUCAAACACCUUAUGUGCAUAAGAGGAACCAAAAGCAAACCUACACCCACUUGUGAAGAGAAUGGCUCCAAAUGGCUAAGUGUUGGCUGCUGGAUGGGUAUAUAUAGGGGAGGGGCUUUAGUUGCGGUUGGCUUGGCAAACCGUGACUAAAGGUGCCCGAAGGCCUUUAGUCGCGGUUGUCCUGGCCAACCGCGACUAAAGACCCUCACGUGCGCCAGCUGGCCACCGAGCGCCCUGAGCCCAGGCCUUUGGUCGCGGUUCACCUCCAGAACCGCGACUAAAGGUCCCAUUAGUCGCGGUUCCUACAGCUUCGCGACUUAUGGGGCUGGACGGAAGCUUGUUUUUCCACCAGUGUACUAGGUAAGGUGUCGUUCCAGUCAAAUUGAUGAAUUCAUCUUUUGUUACCUUUGUUAUAGGAAUAUAGGCUGCAUUUAUUAGUCAUAUCGAGCUCUCAAGGAGUCAAGAUCUUGUUAACUUACUAAUAAUUUCUAUAUACCUGCAGCGUUAUGGCCUAUGGUGCAGGGCAAAGACAACAAGGACGACAUGCGGCGGCGACGUGGCCAUGGUGAAGCUACUUCGUCCGGCUACCCCAUGGUUGGCGUGUCUGCCGUCCUCUCAAUCUAUCACACGUACGUCCGGUGCAUGCAUGGUGUCGGGCCGAAGAGCACACAAAUCUACAUCCAGGCCCUGGGCACUAGCAACCGCUGAUGCACUUAGCCACUUACCAAUGUAUUCCUAUUGUACGUAUAUAAUAAAGUGGUUAGUACGUCGACGUAGAAAUAGUUAGUAGCUUGCUUUGCACUCACACAAUCGAGUCAUGAUUGUUACUGAUGAUCAAAAUUUUAUGUAUUUUUUAUGCCGGAUGGGUUUACUACUUCUUCUUCGGUUGUAUAUAAAGCUUCCAAAAAAUUAGUAUAUAAUCCUCCAGAAUAAAUCAGUAUAUAGUCCUCCAAAAAAAUGAGUAUAUACACUUUGUAACGCAGCAUAUACCCCAUAAAAAAUGUAGUAUAACGCUGCAGAAAUAAGACAUACUCCUUUUCUAGUUGCAUAUACCCAAUCACAAAACUACACUGAAAUAAUUAGUAGUACAUACUCCUUUUCUAUUUUGGAAAGGAACGUCCAUUUCCCUCUUCAACAAGUGCUUUAUUUUUCUAGGGGUAGCCUUGUGUUUUUACUGCCAUGCGACGACAUUACAAAAUGUAUUACACCCAUUAUUCAUCUAAUUUUUUAUAUACCCUUUUAUGCAUACUUUGAAUUUAUCACUCAUUUGGGCGACCAGCCCGCUCUCUCAUUGCAGCGACUCGACUCUCACAUAAAGCCAGUAUAUACUCACGUAAAAAAAAGCAGUAUAGACUCCCUUACUGAAAAAGAACUAUAUACUCCCCUACCAAAAAAAGUAGUAUAUGCUCCAUUACCAAAAAGGCAGUAUAUACUCAUAUACAAAAGGUGGUAUAUACUGUCUUCCCAAAGUAGUAUAUAUCUUUUUCCUUGCGUUAGAGAAGUAGUAUAACCAGAACAGAUAGUUCAUACUUGUGUGCUGAAAAAAGUAGUAUAUAAAUAUAUAUGUAAGAGUGAGUAUGGUAGAUAUGUAUCGGUCCUUACAAAAAAAAUCAACCACUGUUAUUGUUUAUUUGCACCGAACUAACCUUAUCUGUAUGCUAGGAUCCUUGAAUCUCUCAAUCUGUUGAUGCACAUGCAUGCGUCGGCCGGUGGAGCAAUUAGCAACUAGAUCUAAUAACUGCCAACCUGUUCAGUCCAUGGGAGUACAUACUCCUGGGAGUAUAAAAGAGGAGUCUAUAUAUAUAUAUAUAUAUAUAUAUAUAUACGGUGGCGCUAUUGUGUGCGUGAGCGCAGAUUUACUUAUCGUGCGCGCCGGUCAUUGCGUGCGCCACUCGUAUUCCUAAUGAUGGUAAAAUUCCUGGCAGAAAUAGUAAUAUAAUUUAAUUGGUUACUGCCUGCCACCACCACGGUAGCGAUUUAAUUGGUUAGGUCUACUAGUAAAAAUGCAUAGCAGAAAAAGUAAAAGAGCUAAAAGUAUUACUGUUGGAUGCAUCGGUCCCCGCUUCGACUGCCUACUAGUAAAACACCUCAUAAAAGUAGUAAUAGGAUUACCCUACACGCAUCAGCCCCUUGCCAUACUUGUGAACAGGUAAACUUCAUGUGAAGAAUAGUACUGGAUGGUAACUGUGUUACCAUAGAACGGACACUUGCUAUUAGCUAGCUACAUGGUAAUUUUAUUACCGCUAACUUUCAUCGGUUUAAUACCUAAUCAUGUUACCACUUAUUUUCUUAGUAGUAUUGGAUGGUAACUAUGUUACCACAUGACGAAAAAAUUGCUAUUAGCUAAUAGCUACACGGUAAUUGCAUUACCACUCAUGUGUAGAAGCAUGAUACACGGUCUUUUUUCCAAUUACGUUUGGUCGAAGACGCAAGGGUUUGCUAAUCGCUAAAGUGGGGUCGAAGCAGUAAUAAGUUUCCAACCGUUACCAUGUUUCUUAAGGUAUGUUACGUAUGGGCGCAAGACAUGUUCUUUAAUAGGAGCGGGACAACGGUUGCUUAGACGGAGAAUGGCGCGCAGUCUGGCCGGAGCGUAGAAUUAGACUUCUGCGCUCAGGCUUAGUUUAGCACGUCUAUAUAUAUAUAUAUAUAUAUAUAUAUAUAUAUACAUACAUGUUAGUGGCCUCGACGCUGCUUCUCUAGGGUUUGGGGUCGCCUCGACACAACGCUUCAAGGGUUUGGGGUGGCCUCGACGACAACGUUUUUUUAACUUGAUAAAUUUGGGUGGCCUCGAGAGAGUUAAUUUGUCGGGUAGGGGCGCGGCGGGAGGGGGUAGGAGACCAACAUCGUUUUCUCUCUAGGGUUUGGGUGUCCUCGAGAGUUAUCGGGGAGGGGGUAUCGGUACCACCCCCUAGCUCGUGUUGAAGUUUCUUCUUUCUCCUCUAUUCCUUUCUUUCUUCUUCUCCUCUUCUUUUUCUUCUUCUCCCUCGAGAAAGGAAAAUANNNNNNNNNNNNNNNNNNNNNNNNNNNNNNNNNNNNNNNNNNNNNNNNNNNNNNNNNNNNNNNNNNNNNNNNNNNNNNNNNNNNNNNNNNNNNNNNNNNNNNNNNNNNNNNNNNNNNNNNNNNNNNNNNNNNNNNNNNNNNNNNNNNNNNNNNNNNNNNNNNNNNNNNNNNNNNNNNNNNNNNNNNNNNNNNNNNNNNNNNNNNNNNNNNNNNNNNNNNNNNNNNNNNNNNNNNNNNNNNNNNNNNNNNNNNNNNNNNNNNNNNNNNNNNNNNNNNNNNNNNNNNNNNNNNNNNNNNNNNNNNNNNNNNNNNNNNNNNNNNNNNNNNNNNNNNNNNNNNNNNNNNNNNNNNNNNNNNNNNNNNNNNNNNNNNNNNNNNNNNNNNNNNNNNNNNNNNNNNNNNNNNNNNNNNNNNNNNNNNNNNNNNNNNNNNNNNNNNNNNNNNNNNNNNNNNNNNNNNNNNNNNNNNNNNNNNNNNNNNNNNNNNNNNNNNNNNNNNNNNNNNNNNNNNNNNNNNNNNNNNNNNNNNNNNNNNNNNNNNNNNNNNNNNNNNNNNNNNNNNNNNNNNNNNNNNNNNNNNNNNNNNNNNNNNNNNNNNNNNNNNNNNNNNNNNNNNNNNNNNNNNNNNNNNNNNNNNNNNNNNNNNNNNNNNNNNNNNNNNNNNNNNNNNNNNNNNNNNNNNNNNNNNNNNNNNNNNNNNNNNNNNNNNNNNNNNNNNNNNNNNNNNNNNNNNNNNNNNNNNNNNNNNNNNNNNNNNNNNNNNNNNNNNNNNNNNNNNNNNNNNNNNNNNNNNNNNNNNNNNNNNNNNNNNNNNNNNNNNNNNNNNNNNNNNNNNNNNNNNNNNNNNNNNNNNNNNNNNNNNNNNNNNNNNNNNNNNNNNNNNNNNNNNNNNNNNNNNNNNNNNNNNNNNNNNNNNNNNNNNNNNNNNNNNNNNNNNNNNNNNNNNNNNNNNNNNNNNNNNNNNNNNNNNNNNNNNNNNNNNNNNNNNNNNNNNNNNNNNNNNNNNNNNNNNNNNNNNNNNNNNNNNNNNNNNNNNNNNNNNNNNNNNNNNNNNNNNNNNNNNNNNNNNNNNNNNNUGAAAACACUUUUUUUUGUUUUCUUUCUUGCUUUAUUUAUUUUAUUUUGUUUCUACUUGCAAUAAAAUACUUAUUGUUGUUUUUUUGUUUUGUUUUCUGCAUUAUUUAUUUUCUUUUGUUUUUUGCUUUAUUUUUUAAUUCUUUUUGCUUUUAGUUUUAGGAAAAUUAUAAACUUUCUAUUAGUGCCAUUACUUUUCAAAUUUGAAAACACUUUUUUGUUUUUUAGUUUUCUUUCUUGCUUUAUUUAUUUUAUUUUGUUUCUACUUACAACAAAAUACUUAUUGUUGCUAUUUUUAAUUAUUACGAAGGCCAAACCAUAAGACAUUAAAGCAUUUCAAAUGAACUCUGAAAAAGUUGAAAGUUGGCAUGGUAUCAUAAAUUGACCCACACAUAGCAUGUGCAUGUACAAAACGGACAAUGUUAUCAUACUCGUCAGUUACAAAGUUGGCAUGGUAUCAUCAUAAUAGUUGCGGGAGAAAGUCUUCACUUUUUCUUCGCUUGUGUCAUUUGCUUAUUGCGCCGUAACCAUGGAUAAUCUUCAUCGUUUAUCAGGAUGCUGGGGUCAGCCUUGACUUUAAAGGGAGGAAUUUCAUGAAACUUUUCAUAAUCUUCAGACAUGUCUGUCUUGUCCUCCUCUCCCACGAUGUCCCUUUUUCCUGAAAGAACUAUGUGGCGCUUUGGCUCAUCGUAUGAUGUAUUCGCUUCCUUAUCUUUUCUCUUUCUUGGUCUGGUAGACAUGUCCAUCACAUAGAUAACCUGUGCCACAUCAUUGGCUAGGACGAACGGUUCGUCAGUGUACCCAAGAUUUUUCGGAUCCACUGUUGUCGUUCCGUACUGUGGGUCUACAUGUACCCCGCCUCCUGACAGAUUGACCCAUUUGCACUUAAACAAAGGGACCUUAAAAUCAUGUCCUUAGUCAAGUUCCCAUAUGUCCACUAUGUAACCAUAAUAUGUGUCCUUUCCCCUCUCGGUUGUUGCAUCAAAGCGGACACCGCUGUUUUGGUUGGUGCUCUUUUGAUCUUGGUUAAUCGUGUAAAAUGUCUUCCCAUUUAUCUCAUAUCCUUUCCAAAUCGUAACAGUCGAAGAUGGUCCCCUGGAUAACAAGUACAUCUCAUCACAAACAGCGUUGUCACCUCUGAUACGUGCUUCCAACCAACUGCUGAAAGUCCUGAUGUGUUCACAUGUAAUUCAGUCGUCGCACUGCUCCGGGUGUUUGGAGCGCAGACUGUUCUUGUGUUCAUCCACAUACGGGGUCACCAAGGUAGAGUUCUGUAGAACUGUGUAGUGUGCUUGAGACCAAGAAUAUCUGUCCCUGCAUAUUAUUGAGUCCCUUCCAAGCAUGCCUUUUCCAGUCAGUCUCCCCUCAUACCGCGAUUUAGGGAGACCUAUCUUCUUAUGGCCAGGAAUGAAGUCAACACAAAACCCGAUGACAUCCUCUGUUUGAUGGCCCAUGGAGAUGCUUCCUUCUGGCCUAGCGCGAUGAGGGACAUAUUUCUUUAGGACUCCCAUGAACCUCUCAAAGGGGUACAUAUUGUGUAGAAAUACGGGGCCCAAAAUGACAAUCUCGUCAACUAGAUGAACUAGGACGUGCGUCAUGAUAUUGAAGAAGGAUGGUGGGAACACCAGCUCGAAACUGACAAGACAUUGCACCACAUCACUCCUUAGCCUUGGUAUGAUUUCUGGAUCGAUCACCUUCUGAGAGAUUGCAUUGAGGAAUGCACAUAGCUUCACAAUGGCUAAUCGGACGUUUUCCGGUAGAAGCCCCCUCAAUGCAACCGGAAGCAGUUGUGUCAUAAUCACGUGGCAGUCAUGAGACUUUAGGUUCUGAAACUUUUUCUUUGCCAUAUUUAUUAUUCCUUUUAUAUUCGACGAGAAGCCAGUCGGGACCUUCAUACUAAGCAGGCAUUCAAAGAAGAUUUCCUUCUCUUCUUUGGUAAGAGCAUAGCUGGCAGGACCUUCAUACUGCUUUGGAGGCAUGCCGUCUUUUUCGUGCAAAUGUUGCAGGUCCUCCCGUGCCUCAGCUGUAUCUUUUGUCUUCCCAUACACGCCCAAGAAGCCUAGCAGGUUCACGCAAAGGUUCUUCGUCACGUGCAUCACGUCGAUCGAAGAGCGGACCUCUAGGUCUUUCUAGUAGGGUAGGUCCCAAAAUAUAGAUUUCUUCUUCCACAUGGGUGCGUGUCCCCCAACGUCACUCGGAACAGCUAGUCUGCCGGGACCCUUUCCAAAGAUUACGUGUAAAUCAUUGACCAUAGCAAGUACGUGACCACCGGUACGCAUGGCGGGCUUCUUCCGGUGAUCUGCCUCGCCUUUGAAAUGCUUGCCUUUCUUUCGACAUUGAUGGUUGGUCGGAAGAAAUCGACGAUGGCCCAGGUACACAUUCUUCCUACAGCUUGCCAGGUAUAUACUAACGGUGUCAAGUAAACAGUGCGUGCAUGCGUGGUAUCCCUUGUUUGUCUGUCCUAAAAGGUUACUGAGAGCAGGCCAAUCGUUGAUGGUCACGAACAGCAACGCCUUUAGGUUAAAUUUCUCCUGUUUGUGCUCAUCCCACGUACGUACACCGUUUCCAUUCCACAGCUGUAAAAGUUCUUCAACUAAUGGCCUUAGGUACACAUCAAUGUCAUUGCCGGGUUGCUUAGGGCCUUGGAUGAGAACUGGCAUCAUAAUGAACUUCCGCUUCAUGCACAUCCAAGGAGGAAGGUUAUACAUACAUAGAGUCACGGGCCAGGUGCUGUGAUUGCUGCUCUGCUCCCCGAAAGGAUUAAUGCCAUCCGCACUUAAAGCAAACCAUACGUUCCUUGGCUCACUUGCAAACUCAUCCCAGUACUUUCUCUCAUUUUUCUCCAUUGCGACCCGUCAGCGGGUGCUCUCAACUUCCCGUCUUUCUUACGGUCCUCACUAUGCCAUCGCAUCAACUUGGCAUGCUCUCCGUUUCUGAACAGACGUUUCAACCGUGGUAUUAUAGGAGCAUACCACAUCACCACUACUAGGGAAAAGCCUAUACAUAGAAUCUUACCAGCAGCGCUCUUCAAAAUACAACGCUACUGCUACUUAGCAGCAGCGCGUGUCUGCCAAACACGCUGCUGACUUGGAAGUAGCAGUAGCGGGUGCAUCGCAUACAGCGCUACUGCUAUAGUUGCCAUGACCUUGCCCCCCCCCCCCCNNNNNNNNNNNNNNNNNNNNNNNNNNNNNNNNNNNNNNNNNNNNNNNNNNNNNNNNNNNNNNNNNNNNNNNNNNNNNNNNNNNNNNNNNNNNNNNNNNNNNNNNNNNNNNNNNNNNNNNNNNNNNNNNNNNNNNNNNNNNNNNNNNNNNNNNNNNNNNNNNNNNNNNNNNNNNNNNNNNNNNNNNNNNNNNNNNNNNNNNNNNNNNNNNNNNNNNNNNNNNNNNNNNNNNNNNNNNGCAAACGCGCUACAACUAUCCCUACCUUAUCCCCAUGCGCACGACCGGCCCUCUCACUCACACUCUCACUCUCGCCCACGUCAACCGUCGUCGUCCGUCGCCGCCGCCGCCGCCUUCGUCCGUCCGCCGCCGAGGUACUCCCCUCCUUCCGUCCCUCCUCCAUCCUCCUUGCACAUCCUCCCUCCGCCUGUGGCCGCCCCUCCUUCCUCCGCCGCUGCCCUCCUCCCUCCGCCUGCGGCCGCCCCUCCUCCCUCCUCCGACGGCAGCCCUCCUCCCACCGCCCUCGACCUCGCUGCCCCUAGCUACCUCUCCGUCGCCCCCCACCCCUGCCACUAGUUAGUACUAGAUUUAGUAGUAGUAGAUGUUAAUUUAGGGUUAGCUAGUACUAGAUGUUGCUUAGUUAGUACUAGAUUUUUAGUAGUAGUAGUGGUAGUUGAACUACUUUAGUUGUAGUUGAACUAGUUUAGUAAGUAAAUUAAUAAACGAGUUGAACUAGUUGAAUUAAUAGAACUAAUCUAUUUUUAGUAAGAUAAUUAAUAUAACUAGUUGAACUACUUUAUUUUUAGAAAGAACUAAUUUUUUUCUAUUUAUAUUAAGUUUAUAUUUAGUAAGAACUAGUUGAAUUAAUAAAACUAGUUGAACAUGUCAUGUUUGUUGUUAGUGAUAACUUAUAUGGUUUCAGGUGACCUCCGUCGUCCCCGUCACCGACCCCCUCCGACAUCCCCGUCGUCGUCCCAGUCACCGACCCCCUCCGACAUCGAGGUGAGACCAGCCAAAUAUCCUUGUAUAUCUUGUGUUGUUGCUCAAAUUGGAUAUGUGGUUGCCCAAGUGGCCGUUCAUGUAGUUUACAUCUCCGAGUGGCCUAUGUUUUGCCGGAGUGUUGAUUAAUUUCCGUUCCGACAAAUUUCAGGCGCUCGAUAUGUCCUUUUUUAGCAAAGGUCAUGCCGGAUUUUGUCGUGAAUUCUGGUAUGACUUGUGCUAGAAUAUGUACAAGUUUAAUCUUUGAAUUAUGAUUGUAGGAAAUGUCGUACUCGGACGACGAAGGUCUCCCGGGGGAGUGUAGCUGGUGCCACGACGAUCGAGGUAUGUGCGAUAGGUUCGUUCGGCUGGACGAAGAUCGGCGCUUCAACAUUAAGCUCGAGGAGACCUUCGAUUGUGAAAUGGUACGCAACAACGACAAGUGUUUUUUCUCCAUUAAGCAUGACUUCAACUAUUUCAACGUCUAAUUUUCAUAUUUUACAAUUCGACUAGCUUAUCCCAUGCCAUGCAAGACGCUAUGUCUUGGAGAGGAUGGGUUUUGAAGACCAUGAAAAUUUCAAAACAAAGAAAAUACACCUAAGGACCCAUCAUGAUAUGGAUUUUGAAGUAAACCUGUGCAAUGCUCAGAGCGCAACCCAUUUUGGUUGCCAAAAUUGGGAAGCACUUUGCAAAAUGUAUGGUUUUUAUGAGGGUAUGAUUGUCACCAUGGAUCUUGGUGAUCCUGACAGUGAGGAAGACAAUAUGGACAUUUGGGUCCUUGUUGAUACGCUUCCGAUUGUACCGCUAUGUGACUUUCUCAAACAUAGUUAUUAACUAAUUUAUAUUGUUUAUUUCAAAAUAGUUGAUAGCUUAUUUCCAUUGACAGCUUAUUUUGAUUCUUCAAAGACUGUGCGGAAGAUGGUAGAUAAAACCCACUACACCGAAGGCACCCAAUUAACGUAUAAGGAGAAAAAUCAUCUGAUCGCAUUUUGUACUCUUCUUGAGAAUUACAAUGACUAUAAUCGAACUCCUCCAGAUUAUGGUGAAUAUGUGCCACUAGUGCAUGUGUUGAACAACGAUAACUUAUCUGGAGAUACCCUGGUAAGAUUUUUUACUAUUACGACAUCCGUGUAUUUUUUGCAUACUUCUAAAACUAGUACAUCAUUGCUAACUACGAAGUUAUUAUUAUGUUUUUCAACAGAAACUCCCGAUGGAUUGUGUGCCUCAUCUGAUGUCUCUGCAUGGUCGCCUCUCAGUUCUGAACAUACUGCCAGGUAAAUCUACAGAGCUCACCUAUGCAUAUCAGAUUUCUAAAACCCGUGAACACAUGAUCAUCAGAGAAUGGAAGAAAUGUAUGGACAUUCGCAAGGAGGUUCUUGGAAGUAACAUUCAGCGAAACGUAAGAAUGGGAGACAGGCUAAUCUCCAUUCUCCAUAAUGGAGAGUCAGGGGCUAUCUUGUUUUUUGUUAUUUUACCUUAGAAAAUGUAGUAGGUCUUAAUCGAAUGUAAUAGGUCCUAUGAGGUACAAUAUGUUUAUUAUGUGGUAAUGUGUUAGAGUUGAUAAUGAUGAUCUUGAGGAGGUGUUAUGUGAUGUCAAUGAUGAAAACGAUGAUAUUGAGGAGGUGUUAUAUGACAAUGAUGUAUUAUGAUGCUAAGUUGUUAAUGAUAUGAUGAUGAUGAUGAUAUUAUUAUAUCAUUGGGUGAAAGAACCGUGGAUUAGUUUCAAGUGGAUGGACAUCCACUUGAAACUAGUCCACGGUUCUUUCACCCCAUGAUGUAAUAACUCAUUAUGAUGUAAAAACAAUCUCUAAAUUCCUGUUGUAUGAAAACUUGUGUAAGGGUGUAUGAAUACAACAUGAAAAAGAAAAGAAAUAAAAUACUAAAUAAUAGUAGUAGCGCGGGUAAGGAGAAGCGCUACUACUAAUUACCAGUAGCGAUGUUCUAAAGAACCGCUGCUACUAAGUCAAUUUAGCAGUAGCGCGUGUCAAGACGCGCUAUUGCUAAGCAUUAGCUGUAGCGCCUUAUCAGUAGCGCUCCUGCCCGCGCUACUGAUAGGCCCAAAACCCGCGCUGCUGCUAGGCUUUUCCCUAGUAGUGCACCUUCGCAGGAACCCUCUUCCUGGGGGGCUCGCCGUCAACAUCACCAGGGUCAUCUCGUCUGAUCUUAUACCAUAAUGCACCGCAUACCAGGCAUGCGUUCAGAUCCUUAUAUGCACCGCGGUAGAGGAUGCAGUCAUUAGGGCAUGCAGGUAUCUUCUGCACCUCCAAUCCUAGAGGGCAUACGACCUUCUUUGCUGCGUAUGUACUGUCGGGCAAUUCGUUAUCCUUUGGAAGCUUCUUCUUCAAUAUUUUCAGUAGCUUCUCAAAUCCUUUGUCAGGCACAGCAUUCUCUUAAAGGAAAUAUGCCCUAGAGGCAAUAAUAAAGUUAUUAUUUAUUUCCUCAUAUCAUGAUAAAUGUUUAUUAUUCAUGCUAGAAUUGUAUUAACCGGAAACAUGAUACAUGUGUGAAUACAUAGACAAAACUAUAGUCACUAGUAUGCCUCUACUUGACUAGCUCAUUAAUCAAAGAUGGUUAUGUUUCCUGACCAUAGACAUGUGUUGUCAUUUGAUUAGUGGGAUCACAUCAUUAAGAGAAUGAUGUGAUUGACAUGACCCAUUCUGUUAGCCCAGCACUUGAUCGUUUAGUAUACUGCUAUUGCUUUCUUCAUGACUUAUACAAAGUUCCUGCAACUAUGAGAUUGUGCAACUCCCGUUUACCGGAAGAACACUUUGUGUGCUACCAAACAUCACAACGUAACUGGGUGAUUAUAAAGGUGCUCUACAGGUGUUUCCGAAGGUACAUGUUGGGUUGGCAUAAUUCGAGAUUAGGAUUUGUCACUCCGAUUGUCGGAGAGGUAUCUCUGGGCCCUCUCGGAAAUACUCAUCACAUAAGCCUUGCAAGCAUGUAACUAAUGAGUUAGUUAUGAGAUGACGUAUUACGAAACGAGUAAAGAGACUUGCCGGUAACGAGAUUGAACUAGGUAUUGGAUACCGACGAUCAAAUCUCGGGCAAGUAACAUACCGAUGACAAAGGGAACAAAGUAUGUUGUUAUGCGGUUUGACCGAUAAAGAUCUUCGUAGAAUAUGUAGGAACCAAUAUGGGCAUCCAGGUCCCGCUAUUGGUUAUUGACCGAGAAUGGUUUUAGGUCAUGACUACAUAGUUCUCAAACCCGUAGGGUCCGCACGCUUAACUUUUUGAUGAUAGUUUUAUUAUGAGUUUAUAAGUUUUGAUGUACCAAAGUUUGUUCGGAGUUCCGGAUGUGAUCACGGAUAUGAUGAGGAGUCUCGGAAUGCUUGAGCCAUAAAGAUUGAUAUAUUGGACGACUAUAUUCGGACACCGGAAAGGUUCCGGGAGUUUUCGGAGAAAACCGGAGUGCCCGGGGGGUUACCGAAACCCCCCGGGAGAGUUAAUGGGCCACAUGGGCCUAGGUGGGAAGAGAAAGGGGCGGCCAGGGUGAGCCGCGCGCCCCCUCUCCCUCUAGUCCGAAUUGGACUAGGAGGGGGGGCGGCGCCCCCUUUCCUUCCCCCCCUCUCUUCCUUCCUUCCCCCUCCUAGUAGGAGUAGGAAAGGAGGAAUCCUACUCCUACUAGGAGGAGGAUUCCUCCUCCCUUGCGCGCCCCAAGGGGCCGGCCGGCCUCCCCCUCCCUCCUUUAUAUACGGGGGCAGGGGGCACCCCAUAGACACACAAGUUGAUCUACGGAUCGUUCCUUAGCCGUGUGCGGUGCCCCCUUCCACCAUAUUCCACCUCGGUCAUAUCGUCGCGAAGCUUAGGCGAAGUCCUGCGCCGGUAGAACAUCAAGAUCGUCACCACGCCGUCGUGCUGACGGAACUCUCCCUCGACACUCGGCUGGAUCGGAGUUCGAGGGACGUCAUCGAGCUGAAUGUGUGCUGAACUCGGAGGCUCCGUACGUUCGGUUCUUGGAUCGGUCGGAUCGUGAAGACGUAUGACUACAUCAACCGCGUUGUCAUAACGCUUCCGCUUACGGUCUACGAGGGUACAUGGACAUACACUCUCCCCUCUCGUUGCUAUGUCAUCACCAUGAUCUUGCGUGUGCGUAGGAAAAUUUUGAAAUUACUACGUUCCCCGACAGUGGUAUCAGAGCCUAGGUUUUAUGCGUUGAUGUUAUAUGCACGAGUAGAACACAAGUGAGUUGUGGACGAUAUAAGUCAUACUGCCUACCAGUGUGUCAUACUUUGGUUCAGCGGUAUUGUGAGAUGAAGCGGCCCGGACCGACAUUACGGGUACGCUUACGCGAGACUAGUUUCACCGUUAUGAGCACUCGUGCUUAAAGGUGGCUGGCGGGUGUCUGUCUCUCUCACUUUAGUUGAACCGAGUGUGGCUACGCCCGGCCCUUGUGAAGGUUAAAACGGAGUCUAUUUGACAAACUAUCGUUGUGGUUUUGAUGCGUAGGUAAGAACGGUUCUUGCUAAGCCCGUAGCAUCCACGUAAAAUUUGCAACAACAAAGUAGAGGACGUCUAACUUGUUUUUGCAGGGCAUGUUGUGAUAUGAUAUGGUCAAGACGUGAUGCUAUAUUUUAUUGUAUGAGAUGAUCAUGUUUUGUAACCGAAGUUAUCGGCAACUGGCUGGAGCCAUAUGGUUGUCGCUUUAUUGUAUGAAAUGCAAACGCCCUGUAAUUGCUUUACUUUAUCUCUAAGCGGUAGCGAUAGUCGUAGAAGCAAUAGAUGGCGUAAACGACAACGAUGCUACGAUGGAGAUCAAGGUGUCGCGCCGGUGACGAUGGUGAUCAUGACGGUGCUUCGAAGAUGGAGAUCACAAGCACAAGAUGAUGAUGGCCAUAUCAUAUCACUUAUAUUGAUUGCAUGUGAUGUUUAUCCUUUAUGCAUCUUAUCUUGCUUUGAUUGACGGUAGCAUUUUAAGAUGAUCUCUCACUAAAAUUAUCAAGUAGUGUUCUCCCUGAGUAUGCACCGUUGCCAAAGUUCAUCGUGCCGAGACACCACGUGAUGAUCGGGUGUGAUAAGCUCUACGUCCAUCUACAACGGGUGCAAGCCAGUUUUGCACACGCAGAAUACUCAGGUUAAACUUGACGAGCCUAGCAUAUGCAGAUAUGGCCUCGGAACACAGAGACCGAAAGGUCGAGCGUGAAUCAUAUAGUAGAUAUGAUCAACAUAAUGAUGUUCACCAUUGAAAACUACUCCAUCUCACGUGAUGAUCGGUUAUGGUUUAGUUGAUUUGGAUCACGUGAUCACUUAGAUGACUAGAGAGAUGUCUGUCUAUGUGGGAGUUCUUAAGUAAUAUGAUUAAUUGAACUUAAAUUUAUCAUGAACUUAGUACCUGAUAGUAUCUUGCUUGUCUAUGUUUGUUUGUAGAUAGAUGGCUCGUGCUGUUGUUCCGUUGAAUUUUAAUGCGUUCCUUGAGAAAGCAAAGUUGAAAGAUGAUGGUAGCAAUUACACGGACUGGGUCCGUAACCUGAGGAUUAUCCUCAUUGUUGCACAGAAGAGUUACGUCCUGGAAGCACCGCUGGGUGCCAGGCCUGCUGCUGAUGCAACUGACGACGUUAAGAACGUCUGGCAGAGCAAAGCUGAUGACUACUCUAUAGUUCAGUGUGCCAUGCUUUACGGCUUAGAACCGGGUCUUCAACGACGUUUUGAACGUCAUGGAGCAUAUGAGAUGUUCCAGGAGUUGAAGUUAAUAUUUCAAGCAAAUGCCCGGAUUGAGAGAUAUGAAGUCUCCAAUAAGUUCUAUAGCUGCAAGAUGGAGGAGAAUAGUUCUGUCAGUGAACAUAUACUCAGAAUGUCUGGGUAUAACAAUCACUUGAUUCAACUGGGAGUUAAUCUUCCUGAUGAUAGUGUCAUUGACAGAAUUCUUCAAUCACUGCCACCAAGCUACAAGAGCUUUGUGAUGAACUAUAAUAUGCAAGGGAUGAACAAGACUAUUCCCGAGCUCUUCGCGAUGCUGAAAGCCGCAGAGGUAGAAAUCAAGAAGGAGCAUCAAGUGUUGAUGGUCAACAAGACCACUAGUUUCAAGAAGAAGGGCAAAGGAAAGAAGAAGGGGAACUUCAAAAAGAACGGCAAGCAAGUUGCUGCUCAAGAGAAGAAACCCAAGUCUGGACCUAAGCCUGAAACUGAGUGCUUCUACUGCAAGCAGACUGGUCACUGGAAGCGGAACUGCCCCAAGUAUUUGGCGGAUAAGAAGGAUGGCAAAGUAAACAAAGGUAUAUGUGAUAUACAUGUUAUUGAUGUGUACCUAACUAGAGCUCGUAGUAGCACCUGGGUAUUUGAUACUGGUUCUGUUGCUAAUAUUUGCAACUCGAAACAGGGACUACGGAAUAAGCGAGCACUGGCCAAGGACGAGGUGACGAUGCGCGUGGAAAACGGUUCCAAAGUCGAUGUGAUCGCGGUCGGCACGCUACCUCUACAUCUACCAUCGGGAUUAGUUUUAGACCUAAAUAAUUGUUAUUUGGUGCCAGCGUUGAGCAUGAACAUUAUAUCUGGAUCUUGUUUGAUGCAAGACGGUUAUUCAUUUAAAUCAGAGAAUAAUGGUUGUUCUAUUUAUAUGAGUAAUAUCUUUUAUGGUCAUGCACCCUUGAAGAGUGGUCUAUUUUUAUUGAAUCUCGAUAGUAGUGAUACACAUAUUCAUAUUGUAGAAGCCAAAAGAUGCAGAGUUGAUAAUGAUAGUGCAACUUAUUUGUGGCACUGCCGUUUGGGUCAUAUCGGUGUACAACGCAUGAAGAAACUCCAUACUGAUGGACUUCUGGAAUCACUUGAUUAUGAAUCACUUGGUACUUGCGAACCGUGCCUUAUGGGCAAGAUGACUAAAACACCGUUCUCCGGAACUAUGGAGAGAGCAACAGAUUUGUUGGAAAUCAUACAUACAGAUGUAUGUGGUCCGAUGAAUGUUGAGGCUCGUGGCGGAUAUCAUUAUUUUCUCACCUUCACUGAUGAUUUAAGCAGAUAUGGGUAUAUCUACUUAAUGAAGUACAAGUCUGAAACAUUUGAAAAGUUCAAAGAAUUUCAGAGUGAAGUAGAAAAUCAUCGUAACAAGAAAAUAAAGUUUCUACGAUCUGACCGUGGAGGAGAAUAUUUGAGUUACGAGUUUGGUUUACAUUUGAAACAAUGCGGAAUAGUUUCGCAACUCACGCCACCUGGAACACCACAACGAAAUGGUGUGUCCAAACGUCGUACUCGUACUUUACUUGAUAUGGUGCGAUCUAUGAUGUCUCUUACCGAUUUACCGCUAUCGUUUUGGGGUUAUGCUUUAGAGACGGCCGCAUUCACGUUAAAUAGGGCACCAUCAAAAUCCGUUGAGAUGACGCCUUAUGAACUGUGGUUUGGCAAGAAACCAAAGUUGUCGUUUCUUAAAGUUUGGGGCUGCGGUACUUAUGUGAAGAAACUUCAACCAGAUAAGCUCGAACCCAAAUCGGAGAAAUGUGUCUUCGUAGGAUACCCAAAGGAGACUAUUGGGUACACCUUCUAUCACAGAUCUGAAGGCAAGAUUUUCGUUGCUAAAUUCGGAUCCUUUCUAGAGAAGGAAUUUCUCUCGAAAGAAGUGAGUGGGAGGAAAGUAGAACUUGAUGAGAUAACUGUAUCUACUCCCUUAUUGGAAGGUAGUUCAUCACGAGAACUGGUUCCCAUGACAACUACACCAAUUAUUGAGGAAGCUAAUAAUAUUGAUCAUGAAACUUCAGAUCAAGUUUCUGCUGAACCUCGUAGGUCUACCAGAGUAAGAUCCGCACCAGAGUGGUACGGUAAUCCUAUUCUGGAAGUCAUGUUACUUGACCAUGAUGAACCUACGAACUAUGAGGAACCGAUGAUGAGCCCAGAUUCCGCAAAAUGGCUAGAGGCCAUGAAAUCUGAGAUGGGAUCCAUGGAUGAAAACAAAGUAUGGACUUUGGUUGACUUGCCCGAUGAUCGGCAAGCCAUUGAGAAUAAAUGGAUCUUUAAGAAGAAGACUGACGCUGAUGGUAAUGUUACUGUCUAUAAAGCUCGACUUGUUGCGAAAGGUUUUCGACAAGUUCAAGGGGUUGACUAUGAUGAGACUUUCUCACCCGUAGCGAUGCUUAAGUCUGUCCGAAUCAUGUUGGCUAUUGCUGCAUUUCAUGAUUAUGAAAUUUGGCAAAUGGAUGUCAAAACUGCAUUCUUGAAUGGAUUUCUAGAAGAAGAGUUGUAUAUGAUGCAGCCGGAAGGUUUUGUUGAUCCAAAAGGUGCUGACAAAGUGUGUAAGCUCCAAUGUUCCAUUUAUGGACUGGUGCAAGCAUCUCGGAGUUGGAAUAAACGUUUUGACAGUGUGAUCAAGGCAUAUGGUUUUAUACAGACUUUUGGAGAAGCCUGUAUUUACAAGAAAGUGAGUGGGAGCUCUGUAGCAUUUCUAGUUUUAUAUGUUGAUGACAUAUUAUUAAUUGGAAAUGAUAUAGAAUUUCUGGAGAGCAUAAAGGGAUACUUGAAUAAAAGUUUUUCAAUGAAAGACCUCGGUGAAGCUGCUUACAUAUUGGGCAUCAAGAUCUAUAGAGAUAGAUCAAGACGCUUAAUAGGACUUUCACAAAGCACAUACCUUGACAAAAUUUUGAAAAAGUUCAAAAUGGAUCAGGCAAAGAAAGGAUUCUUGCCUGUGCUACAAGGUGUGAAGUUGAGUCAAACUCAAUGCCCGACCACAUCAGAAGAUAGAGAGAAAAUGAAAAAUGUUCCCUAUGCUUCAGCCAUAGGCUCUAUCAUGUAUGCAAUGCUGUGUACCAGACUUGACGUAUGCUUAGCAAUAAGCUUGGCAGGAAGGUACCAAAGUAAUCCAGGAGUGGAUCACUGGACAGCGGUCAAGAACAUCCUUAAAUACCUGAAAAGGACUAAGGAUAUAUUUCUCGUAUAUGUAGGUGACAAAGAGCUCGUCGUAAAUGGUUACGUCGAUGCAAGCUUUGACACUGAUCCAGACGAUUCUAAAUCGCAAACCGGAUACGUGUUUAUAUUAAACGGUGGAGCUGUAAGUUGGUGCAGUUCUAAACAAAGCGUCGUGGCGGGAUCUACAUGUGAAGCGGAGUACAUAGCUGCUUCUGAAGCAGCAAAUGAAGGAGUCUGGAUGAAGGAGUUCAUUUCCGAUCUAGGUGUCAUACCUAGUGCAUCGGGACCAAUGAAGAUCUUCUGUGACAAUACAGGUGCAAUUGCUUUGGCAAAGGAAUCCAGAUUUCACAAGAGGACCAAGCACAUCACGAGACGCUUAAAUUCCAUUCGGGACCAAGUCCAAGUGGGAGACAUACAGAUUUGCAAGAUACAUACGGAUCUGAAUAUUGCAGACCCGUUGACUAAGCAUCUCUCACGAGCAAAACAUGAUCAGCACCAAGACUCCAUGGGUGUUAGAAUCAUUAUUGUGUAAUCUAGAUUAUUGACUCUAGUGCAAGUGGGAGACUAAAGGAAAUAUGCCCUAGAGGCAAUAAUAAAGUUAUUAUUUAUUUCCUCAUAUCAUGAUAAAUGUUUAUUAUUCAUGCUAGAAUUGUAUUAACCGGAAACAUGAUACAUGUGUGAAUACAUAGACAAAACUAUAGUCACUAGUAUGCCUCUACUUGACUAGCUCAUUAAUCAAAGAUGGUUAUGUUUCCUGACCAUAGACAUGUGUUGUCAUUUGAUUAGUGGGAUCACAUCAUUAAGAGAAUGAUGUGAUUGACAUGACCCAUUCUGUUAGCCUAGCACUUGAUCGUUUAGUAUACUGCUAUUGCUUUCUUCAUGACUUAUACAAAGUUCCUGCAACUAUGAGAUUGUGCAACUCCCGUUUACCAAAAGAACACUUUGUGUGCUACCAAACGUCACAACGUAACUGGGUGAUUAUAAAGGUUCUCUACAGGUGUUUCCGAAGGUACAUGUUGGGUUGGCAUAAUUCGAGAUUAGGAUUUGUCACUCCGAUUGUCGGAGAGGUAUCUUUGGGCCCUCUCGGUAAUACUCAUCACAUAAGCCUUGCAAGCAUGUAACUAAUGAGUUAGUUAUGAGAUGACGUAUUACGGAACGAGUAAAGAGACUUGCCGGUAACGAGAUUGAACUAGGUAUUGGAUACCAACGAUCAAAUCUCGGGCAAGUAACAUACCGAUGACAAAGGGAACAAAGUAUGUUGUUAUGCGGUUUGACCGAUAAAGAUCUUCAUAGAAUAUGUAGGAACCAAUAUGGGCAUCCAGGUCCCGCUAUUGGUUAUUGACCGAGAAUGGUUUUAGGUCAUGACUACAUAGUUCUCGAACCCGUAGGGUCCGCACGCUUAACGUUUCGAUGAUAGUUUUAUUAUGAGUUUAUAAGUUUUGAUGUACCGAAGUUUGUUCGGAGUCCCAGAUGUGAUCACAGACAUGACGAGGAGUCUUGGAAUGGUCGAGACAUAAAGAUUGAUAUAUUGGACGACUAUAUUCGGACACCGGAAAGGUUCCGGGAGUUUUCGGAGAAAACCGGAGUGCCGGGGGGGUUACCGGAACCCCCCGGGAGAGUUAAUGGGCCACAUGGGCCUAGGUGGGAAGAGAGAGGUGCGGCCAGGGUGGGCCGCGCGCCCCCUCUCCCUCUAGUUCGAAUUGGACUAGGAGGGGGGGCGGCGCCCCCCUUUCCUUCCCCCCCUCUCUUCCUUCCUUCCCCCUCCUAGUAGGAGUAGGAAAGGAGGAAUCCUACUCCUACUAGGAGGAGGAUUCCUCCUCCCUUGGAGCGCCCCAAGGGGCUGGCCGGCCUCCCCCUCCCUCCUUUAUAUACGAGGGCAGGGGGCACCCCAUAGACACACAAGUUGAACUACGGAUCGUUCCUUAGCCGUGUGCGGUGCCCCCUUCCACCAUAUUCCACCUCGGUCAUAUUGUCGCGAAGCUUAGGCGAAGCCCUGCGCCGGUAGAACAUCAAGAUCGUCACCACGCCGUCGUGCUGACGGAACUCUCCCUCGACACUCGGCUGGAUCGGAGUUCGAGGGACGUCAUCGAGCUGAACAUCUGCUGAACUCGGAGGCUCCGUACGUUAGGUGCUUGGAUCGGUCGGAUCGUGAAGACGUACGACUACAUCAACCGCGUUGUCAUAACGCUUCCGCUUACGGUCUACGAGGGUACGUGGACAUACACUCUCCCCUCUCGUUGCUAUUUCAUCACCAUGAUCUUGCUUGUGCGUAGGAAAAUUUUGAAAUUACUACGUUCCCCAACAUCUCUGCCUUCCACUGCAGCAAUUCCAGUACGGUACCGAGCUUUGUGUUGCCAUCUUCGCAAUUGGGGUACAACCCUUUUUUUUGGUCCUCUAGCAUGCGAUCGAACUUCAGCUUCUCCUUUUGACUUUUGCAUUGCGUCCUUGCAUCGACAAUGACCCGGCGGAGAUCAUCAUCAUCGGGCACAUCGUCUGGUUCCUCUUGAUCUUCAGCAGCUUCGCCUGUUGCAGCAUCAUCGUGCACAUCGUCUGGUUCCUCUUGAUCUUCAGGAGCAUCACCGUAUUCAGGGGCACAUAGUUGUCAUCGUACUCUUCUUCACCGUCUUCCAUCAUAACCCCUAUUUCUCCGUGCCUCAUCCAAACAUUAUAGUGUGGCAUGAAACCCUUGUAAAGCAGGUGGGUGUGGAGGAUUUUCCGGUCAGAGUAAGACUUCGUAUUCCCACAUAUAGGACAUGGACAACACAUAAAACCAUUCUGCUUGUUUGCCUCAGCCACUUCGAGAAAAUCAUGCACGCGCUUAAUGUACUCGGAGGUGUGUCUUGAACCGUACAUCCAUUGCCGGUUCAUCUGCGUGCAUUAUAUAAUGAAGUGACCAAAUUAAUAGAAGUUCAUCAUCACAUUAAAACCAAAGUACAUACAUAGUUCUCAUCUAACAACAUAAAGCUCUGCAGAGCAUCUAAAUUAAUUAAACCAUACACUGAAACUAUGUAAAACAUUUCAAUGCGAAAACAAAUGCAACCAUAAUCGCAACCAAUGUAACAACUGAUCCAACGGCAUAAUGAUACCAAGCCUCAGUAUGAAUGGCAUAUUUUCUAAUCUUUCUAAUCUUCAAGCGCAUUGCAUCCAUCUUGAUCUUGUGAUCAUCGACGACAUCCCCAACAUGCAACUCCAAUAUCAUCUUCUCCUCCUCAAUUUUUCUAAUUUUUUCCUUCAAGAAAUUGUUUUCUUCUUCAACUGAAUUUAACCUCUCGACAAUAGGGUCGGUUGGAAUUUCCGGUUCAACAACCUCCUAGAUAAAUAAAAUCUAUGUCACGUUGGUCGGCAUAAUUGUCAUAAACAAUAAAUGAACCAAUAGUUAUGAAAAGAUAAUAUAUACCACAUCCGAAUCAUAGACAGGACGAGGGCCGACGGGGGCGGAUACCAAAACCAUCGCACUAUAUAAGAUGCAAUAAUAAAAGUAAGAAAAUAAUACAAGUAUCUAUCUAAACAUACAAGUAAGAAUAUUUUUCCUUUCAGAAAGAAGAUAAGAACAAGAGGCUCACCACGGUGGUGCCGGCGAUGAGAUCGGCGCGGGUGAUCGACGACGAUGAAGACAAGGACGGGGCGUGACGGACCGCUAAACCUAGACAAAUAUUGAGGAAAAUGGAGCUUGGCGGUCGAGCUUGGAGGGGAGAAAGCUUAAGUAGUGUGGCUCGGGCAUUCCAUCGAACACCUCGUGUGCAUAGGAGGUGAGCUAGAGCACCACAAAGCUCUCCCCUCGCCGGCCACGAAAAACAGAGCACUGGGAGUGCUCUGCUCGCGAGCGGGGGGUAUAUAUAGGCACCACCAUUGGUCCCGGUUGGUCGCACGAACCGGGACUAAAGGUUGGCCUUUGGUCCCGGUUCGUGCCACCAACUGGGACCAAUGGUGGUGGGCCAGGAGCGAGGCCCAUUGGUCCCGGUUCGUCCCUCCAACCGGGACCAAAAGGUCCAGACAAACCGGGACCAAUGGCCCACGUGUUGGGUUUCGUAGUAAUUUCAAAAAAUUUCCUACGCACACGCAAGAUCAUGUGAUGCAUAGCAACGAGGGGAGAGUGUUGUCUACGUACCCAACGCAGACCGACUGCGGAAGCGAUGACACGACGUAGAGGAAGUAGUCGUACGUCUUCACGAUCCAACCGAUCAAGCACCGAAACUACGGCACCUCCGAGUUCGAGCACACGUUCAGCUCGAUGACGAUCCCCGGACUCCGAUCCAGCAAAGUGUCGGGGAAGAGUUCCGUCAGCACGACGGCGUGGUGACGAUCUUGAUGAACUACAGCAGCAGGGCUUCGCCUAAACUCCGCUACAGUAUUAUCGAGGUAUAUGGUGGCAGGGGCACCGCACACGGCUAAGGAAUAGAUCACGUGGAUCAACUUGUGUGUAUAGAGGUGCCCCCUGCCUCCGUAUAUAAAGGAGGAGAGGAGGGGAGGCUGGCCGGCCAAGGAGGGGAGGCGCAGGAGAGUCCUACUCCCUCUGGGAGUAGGAUUCCCCCCAAUCCUAGUCCAACUAGGAUUCCUCGGAGGGGAAGGGAGAGAGGGGGGCCGGCCACCUUCUCCUAGUCCUAAUAGGACUAGGGGAGGGGGAAGUGGCGCAGCCACCUUGGGCUGCCCCUUUCUCCUUUCCACUAAGGCCCAUGAAGGCCCAUAUGGCUCCCGGGGGGUUCCGGUAAUCCUCCCGGUACUCCGGUAAAAUCCCGAUUUCACCCGGAACACUUCCGAUGUCCAAACAUAGGCUUCCAAUAUAUCAAUCUUUAUGUCUCGACCGUUUCGAGACUCCUCGUCAUGUCCAUGAUCACAUCCGGGACUCCAAACAACCUUCGGUACAUCAAAAUGCAUAAACUCAUAAUGUAACUGUCAUCGUAACCUUAAGCGUGCGGACCCUACGGGUUCGAGAACAAUGUAGACAUGACCGAGACACGUCUCCGGUCAAUAACCAAUAGCGGGACCUGGAUGCCCAUAUUGGCUCCUACAUAUUCUACGAAGAUCUUUAUCGGUCAGACCGCAUAACAACAUACGUUGUUCCCUUUGUCAUCGGUACGUUACUUGCCCGAGAUUCGAUCGUCGGUAUCCAAUACCUAGUUCAAUCUCGUCACCGGCAAGUCUCUUUACUCGUUCUAUAAUGCAUCAUCCCGUAACCAACUCAUUGGUCACAUUGCUUGCAAGGCUUAUAAUGAUGUGCAUUACCGAGAGGGCCCAGAGAUACCUCUCCGACAAUCGGAGUGACAAAACCUAAUCUCGAAAUACGCCAACUCAACAUGUACCUUCGGAGACACCUGUAGUACUCCUUUAUAAUCACCCAGUUAAGUUGUGACGUUUGGUAGUACCCAAAGUGUUCCUCCGGUAAACGGGAGUUGCAUAAUCUCAUAGUUACAGGAACAUGUAUAAGUCAUGAAGAAAGCAAUAGCAACAUACUAAACGAUCAAGUGCUAAGCUAACGGAAUGGGUGAAGUCAAUCACAUCAUUCUCCUAAUGAUGUGACCCCGUUAAUCAAAUGACAACUCUUUUGUCCAUGGCUAGGAAACAUAACCAUCUUUGAUAAACGAGCUAGUCAAGUAGAGGCAUACUAGUGACACUAUGUUUGUCUAUGUAUUCACACAUGUAUUAUGUUUCUGGUUAAUACAAUUCUAGCAUGAAUAAUAAACAUUUAUCAUGAAAUAAGGAAAUAAAUAAUAACUUUAUUAUUGCCUCUAGGGCAUAUUUCCUUCAGUCUCCCACUUGCACUAGAGUCAAUAAUCUAGUUCACAUCGUCAUGUGAUUUAACAACAAUAUUCAUAUCUGUAUAUGAUUAACACCCAUAGUUCACAUUAUCAUGUGACCAACACCCAAAGGGUUUACUAGAGUAAAUAAUCUAGUUCACAUCUCUAUGUGAUUAACACCCAAAGAGUACUAAGGUGUGAUCAUGUUUUGCUCGUGAAAGAAGCUUAGUCAAUGGGUCUGUCACAUUCAGAGCCGUAUGCAUUUUGCAAAUAUUUUAUGUCUACAAUGCUCUGCACGGUGCUACUCUAGCAAUUGCUCCCACUUUCAAUAUGUAUCCAGAUUGAGACUUAGAGUCAUCUGGAUCGGUGUGAAAACUUGCACCGAGGUAACUUUUACGACGGGCUCUUUUAUCACCUCCAUAAUCGAGAAAUAUUUCCUUAGUCCUCACUAAGGAUAUUCUUGACCAAUGUCGAGUGAUCUACUCCUAGAUCACUAUUGUACUCCCUUGUCAAAUACUGAGCAAGGUAUACAAUAGUUCUGGUACAUAGCAUAGCAUACUUUAUAGAACCUAUGACUGAGGCAUAGGGAAUGACUUUUCAUUUUUUCUAUUUUCUGUUGUGGUCGGGAUUUGAGUCUUACUCAAUUUCAUACCUUUGCAACACAGGCAAGAACUCUUUCUUUGACUGUUCCAUUUUGAACUAUUUCAAAAUCUUGCCAAGGUAUGUACUCAUUGAAAAUCUUAUCAAGCGUCUUGAUCUAUCUCAAUAUAUCUUGAUGCUCAAUAUGUAAGUAGCUUUUACUGAGGUCUUUUCCUUUUAAAGAACUCCUUUAAAACACUCCUUUAUGCUUUGCAGAAAAAUUCUACAUCAUUUCUGAUCAACAAUAUGUCACUCGUAUAUACUAAUCAGAAAGGCUAUAGUGCUCCCACUCACUUUAUUGUAAAUACAGGCUUCUCAAAAAGUCUGUAUAAAACCAUAUGCUUUGAUCAACUCAUCAAAGCGUAUAUUCCAACUCCGAGAGGCUUGCACCAGUCCAUAGAUGGAUCGCUGGAGCUUGCACAUUUUUUUAGCACCUUUAGGAUUGACAAAACCUUCUGGUUGCAUCAUAUACAACUCUUCUUUAAUAAAUCCAUUAAGGAAUGCAGUUUUGAUAUCCAUUUGCCAGAUUUCAUAAAAUGUGGCAAUUGCUAACAUGAUUCAGACAGACUUAAGAAUCGAUACGAGUGAGAAAAUCUCAUCGUAUUCAACACCUUGAACUUGUUGAAAACCUUUCGCAACAAGUCGAGCUUGGUAGAUAGUAACACUACUAUCAGUGUCCGUCUUCCUCUUGAAGAUCCAUUCAUUUAACAUGGCUUGCUGAUCAUCGAGCAAGUCAAUCAAAGUCCAUACUUUGUUCUCAUACAUGGAUCAUAUCUCAGAUUUUAUGGCCUCGAGCCAUUUCGCGGAAUCUGGGCUCAUCAUCGCUUCUUCAUAGUUCGUAGGUUCAUCAUGAUCUAGUAUCAUGACUUCCAGAAUAGGAUUACCGUACCAUUCUGGUGCGGAUCUUACUCUGGUUGAUCUACGAGGUUCAUCAGUAUCUUGAUCUGAAGUUUCAUGAUCAUUAUCAUUGGCUUCCUCACUAACUGGUGUAGGUGUCACUGAAACAGUUUUCUGUGAUGAACUACUUUCCAGUAAGGGAGCAGGUACAGUUACCUCGUCAAGUUCUACUUUCCUCCCACUCACUUCUUUCGAGAGAAACUCCUUCUCUAGAAAGGAUCCAUUCUUAGCAACGAAUGUCUUGCCUUCGGAUCUGUGAUAGAAGGUGUACCCAAUAGUCUCCUUUGGGUAUCCUAUGAAGACACAUUUCUCCGAUUUGGGUUCGAGCUUAUCAGGUUGAAGCUUUUUCACAUAAGCAUCGCAGCCCCAAACUUUAAGAAACGACAACUUUGGUUUCUUGCCAAACCACAGUUCAUAAGGCGUCGUCUCAACGGAUUUUGAUGGUGCCCUAUUUAACGUGAAUGCGGCCGUCUCUAAAGCAUAUCCCCAAAAUGAUAGCGGUAAAUCAGUAAGAGACAUCAUAGAUCGCACCAUAUCUAGUAAAGUACGAUUACGAUGUUCGGACACACCAUUACGCUGUGGUGUUCCGGGUGGCGUGAGUUGCGAAACUAUUCCACAGUUUUUCAAAUGUACACCAAACUCGUAACUCAAAUAUUCUCCUCCACGAUCAGAUCGUAGAAACUUUAUUUUCUUGUUACGAUGAUUUUCAACUUCACUCUGAAAUUCUUUGAAAUUUUCAAAUGUUUCAGACUUAUGUUUCAUUAAGUAGAUAUACCCAUAUCUGCUUAAAUCAUCUGUGAAGGUGAGAAAAUAACGAUAUCCGCCACGAGCCUCAGUAUUCAUCGGGCCACAUACAUCGGUAUGUAUGAUUUCCAACAAAUCUGUUGCUCUCUCCAUAGUACCGGAGAACGGUGUUUUAGUCAUCUUGCCCAUGAGGCACGGUUCGCAAGUACCAAGUGAUUCAUAAUCAAGUGGUUCCAAAAGUCCAUCAGUAUGGAGUUUCUUCAUGCGCUUUAUACCGAUAUGACCUAAACGACAGUGCCACAAAUAAGUUGCACUUUCAUUAUCAACUCUGCAUCUUUUGGCUUCAACAUUAUGAAUAUGUGUAUUACUACUAUCGAGAUCCAACAAACCAUUUUCAUUGGGUGUAUGACCAUAGAAGGUUUUAUUCAUGUAAACAGAACAACAAUUAUUCUCUAACUUACAUGAAUAACCGUAUUGCAAUAAACAUGAUCAAAUCAUAUUCAUGCUCAACGCAAACACCAAAUAACACUUAUUUAGGUUUAACACUAAUCCCAAAAGUAUAGGGAGUGUGCGAUGAUGAUCAUAUCAAUCUUGGAACUAUUUCCAACACACAUCGUCACUUCACCCUUUAACUAGUCUCUGUUUAUUCUGCAACUCCCGUUUCGAGUUACUAAUCUUAGCAACUGAACUAAUAUCAAAUACUGAGGGGUUGCUAUAAACACUAGUAACGUACACAUCAAUAACAUGUAUAUCAAAUAUACUUAUGUUCACUUUGCCAUCCUUCUUAUCCGCCAAUCACUUGGGGUAGUACCUCUUCCAGUGACCAGUCUCUUUGAAGUAGAAGCACUUAGUCUCAGGCUUAGGACCAGACUUGGGUUUCUUCACUUGAGCAGCAACUUGCUUGCCGUUCUUCUUGAAGUUCCCUUUCUUUCCCUUUGCCCUUUUCUUGAAACUAGUGAUCUUGUUAACCAUCAACACUUGAUGCUCUUUCUUGAUUUCUACCUUCGUUGAUUUCAGCAUCAUGAAGAGCUUGGGAAUCGUUUUCGUCAUCCCUUGCAUACUAUAGUUCAUCACGAAGUUCUAGUAACUUAGUGAUGGUGACUAGAGAAUUCUGUCAAUCACUAUCUUACCUGGAAGAUUAACUCCCACUUGAUUCAAGCGAUUGAAAUACCCAGACAAUCUGAGCACAUGCUCACUAGUUGAGCGAUUCUCCUCCAUCUUUUAGCUAUAGAACUUGUUGGAGACUUCAUAUCUCUCAACUCGGGUAUUUGCUUGAAAUAUUAACUUCAAUUCCUGGAACAUCUCAUAUGGUCCAUGACGUUCAAAACGUCUUUGAAGUCCCGAUUCUAAGCCGUUAAGCAUGGUGCACUAAACUAUCAAGUAGUCAUCAUCUUGAGCUAGCCAGACGUUCAUAACUUCUGCAUCUGCUCCUGCAAUAGGUCUGUCACCUAGCGGUGCAUUAAGGACAUAAUUCUUCUGUGCAGCACUGAGGAUAAACCUCAGAUCACGGAUCGAAUCCGCAUCAUUGCUACUAACAUUUUUCAACACAAUAUUCUCUAGGAACAUAUCAAAAUAAACAUAUGAAAGCAACAACGCGAGCUAUUGAUCUACAACAUAAUUUGCAAAAUACUACUAGGACUAAGUUCAUGAUAAAUUAAAGUUCAAUUAAUCAUAUUACUUAAGAACUCCCACUUAGAUAGACAUCCCUCUAAUCCUCUAAGUGAUCACGUGAUCCAAAUCAACUAAACCAUGUCCGAUCAUCACGUGAGAUGGAGUAGUUUCAAUGGUGAACAUCACUAUGUUGAUCAUAUCUACUAUAUGAUUCACGCUCGACCUUUCGGUCUCUGUGUUCCGAGGCCAUAUCUGUAUAUGCUAGGCUCGUCAAGUAUAACCUGAGUAUUCCGCGCGUGCAACUGUUUUGCACCCGUUGUAUUUGAACGUAGAGCCUAUCACACCCGAUCAUCACGUGGUGUCUCAGCACGACGAACUUUGGCAACGGUGCAUACUCAGGGAGAACACUUCUUGAUAAUUUAGUGAGAGAUCAUCUUAUAAUGCUACCAUCAAUAAAAGCAAGAUAAGAUGCAUAAAAAGAUAAACAUCACAUGCAAUCAAUAUAAGUGAUAUGAUAUGGCCAUCAUCAUCGUGUGCUUGUGAUCUCCAUCUCCGAAGCACCGUCAUGAUCACCAUCGUCACCGGCGCGACACCUUGAUCUCCAUCGUAGCAUCGUUGUCGUCUCGCCAAUCUUAUGCUUCCACGACUAUCACUACUGUUUAGUAAUAAAGUAAAGCAUUACAUCGCGAUUGCAUUGCAUACAAUAAAGCGACAACCAUAUGGCUCCUGCCAGUUGCCGAUAACUCGGUUACAAAACAUGAUCAUCUCAUACAAUAAAAUUCAGCAUCAUGCCUUGACCAUAUCACAUCACAACAUGCCCUGCAAAAACAAGUUAGACGUCCUCUACUUUGUUGUUGCAUGUUUUACGUGGCUGCUACGGGCUUAAGUAAGAACCAAUCUCACCUACGCAUCAAAACCACAACGAUAGUUUGUCAAAUAGACUCCGUUUUAACCUUCUCAAGGACCGGGCGUAGCCAUACUCGGUUCAACUAAAGUUGGAGAGACAGUCGCCCGCAAGCCAUCCAUGUGCAAAGCACGUCGAGGGAACCGGUCUCGCGUAAGCGUACGCGUAAGGUUGGUCCAGGUCGUCUCGUCCAACAAUACCGCCGAACCAAAGUAUGACAUGCUGGUAGGCAGUAUGACUUGUAUCGUCCACAACUCACUUGUGUUCUACUCGUGCAUAUAACAUCAACAUAAAUAACCUAGGCUCGGAUGCCACUGUUGGGUUUCGUAGUAAUUUCAAAAAAUUUCCUACGCACACGCAAGAUCAUGUGAAGCAUAGCAACGAGGGGAGAGUGUUGUCUACGUACCCAACGCAGACCAACUGCGGAAGCGAUGACACGACGUAGAGGAAGUAGUCGUACGUCUUCACGAUCCAACCGAUCAAGCACCGAAACUACGGCACCUCCGAGUUCGAGCACACGUUCAGCUCGAUGACGAUCCCCGGACUCCGAUCCAGCAAAGUGUCGGGGAAGAGUUCCGUCAGCACGACGGCGUGGUGACGAUCUUGAUGAACUACAGCAGCAGGGCUUCGCCUAAACUCCACUACAGUAUUAUCGAGGUAUAUGGUGGCAGGGGGCACCGCACACGACUAAGGAAUAGAUCACGUGGAUCAACUUGUGUGUAUAGAGGUGCCCCCUGCCUCCGUAUAUAAAGGAGGAGAGGAGGGGAGGCUGGCCGGCCAAGGAGGGGAGGCGCAGGAGAGUCCUACUCCCUCUAGGAGUAGGAUUCCCCCCAAUCCUAGUCCAACUAGGAUUCCUCGGAGGGGAAGGGAGAGAGGGGGGCCCGCAGCCACCUUGGGCUGCCCCUUUCUCCUUUCCACUAAGGCCCAUGAAGGCCCAUAUGGCUCCCGGGGGGUUCCGGUAACCCUCCCGGUACUCCGGUAAAAUCCCGAUUUCACCCGGAACACUUCCGAUGUCCAAACAUAGGCUUCCAAUAUAUCAAUCUUUACGUCUUGACCAUUUUGAGACUCCUCGUCAUGUCCGUGAUCACAUCCGGGACUCCGAACAACCUUCGGUACAUCAAAAUGCAUAAACUCAUAAUGUAACUGUCAUCGUAACCUUAAGCGUGCGGACCCUACGGGUUCGAGAACAAUGUAGACAUGACCGAGACACGUCUCCGGUCAAUAACCAAUAGCGGGACCUGGAUGCCCAUAUUGGCUCCUACAUAUUCUACGAAGAUCUUUAUCGGUCAGACCGCAUAACAACAUACGUUGUUCCCUUUGUCAUCGGUAUGUUACUUGCCCGAGAUUCGAUCGUCGGUAUCCAAUACCUAGUUCAAUCUCGUCACCGGCAAGUCUCUUUACUCGUUCUAUAAUGCAUCAUCCCGUAACCAACUCAUUGGUCACAUUGCUUGCAAGGCUUAUAAUGAUGUGCAUUACCGAGAGGGCCCAGAGAUACCUCUCCGACAAUCGGAGUGACAAAACCUAAUCUCGAAAUACGCCAACUCAACAUGUACCUUCGGAGACACCUGUAGUACUCCUUUAUAAUCACCCAGUUACGUUGUGACGUUUGGUAGUACCCAAAGUGUUCCUCCGGUAAACGGGAGUUGCAUAAUCUCAUAGUUACAGAAACAUGUAUAAGUCAUGAAGAAAGCAAUAGCAACAUACUAAACGAUCAAGUGCUAAGCUAACGGAAUGGGUGAAGUCAAUCACAUCAUUCUCCUAAUGAUGCGACCCCGUUAAUCAAAUGACAACUCUUUUGUCCAUGGCUAGGAAACAUAACCAUCUUUGAUAAACGAGCUAGUCAAGUAGAGGCAUACUAGUGACACUAUGUUUGUCUAUGUAUUCACACAUGUAUUAUGUUUCCGGUUAAUACAAUUCUAGCAUGAAUAAUAAACAUUUAUCAUGAAAUAAGGAAAUAAAUAAUAACUUUAUUGUUGCCUCUAGGGCAUAUUUCCUUCACCACGUGGCCCGGCCGGCCCCCGGGGCUCAAGAACCAGGUCCAAUGCCCCCAUUGGUCCCGGUUUUGGAUUGAACCGGGACUAAUGGGCUGGACCGGCCUGGACCAUCGCCCCCUUUUCUACUAGUGUUAGUGCAUGGUGGUUAGUGAAGUUAGUGGAGCAUGGUGUGAGUGCGUGGGUCAUGGUUGAGUGCCAGACUUUGUAUAAAUUGUCAUUUGAGUCAAUGAGAAAAUGUAAGGCCGAGAGGGCCAGUGCAAAGAUGUAGCAUUUGUGGUAGCCAAGGGAGAUUAACUGGGCAAAGCUAUGUGUUCUUCCUUGGUCUAUGCGUGUGUGUGUUCUGUGUGUGUUCUCUCUCUGCGUCCUUGUGUUCAUGGGAGUGUUUUUGAGAGAAGCCAGAAGAGAGAGUUGUGAGAGGCAGCUCGAGGUAGAAGAAGGAGCGGUGCUGCUCCGAGAGGAGGCGGCGCCAACAAUUAUUGACGAAAGGGAUAUUAUAUUGCGCAAGGUAUAAUCAGACGCGUCGGGGAUGGAGCGACUACACACAUAUGGGAUCACAACUGGAUUAUGAGGGAAAGCUAUAAGAGGCCAAUAAAUAAGUUAGUGCAGAUCCCCCCUCAGAAACAUUUUAUGUAUACACGUUAACAUUUCCCAGAUAUAUGAUUAAUAUUUUUAGAAAACUUCUAUUUUUUAUGUGUACUUUUUAUACAUUUUGUAAUAUCAGAAAUAGUUUUUAUAGAAGGUUUAACAUUUUUCAAAUACAUGAUUACCUUUUUGUAAACUUAUAUUGUUUGACGUUUACUUUUUUCCAUAGACAUAGUGAGGGGUUAUAUCUAAGGAAUAGGCCCAAGUACAUGUAGGCACAACCAAAGGCCCAUGUUAAUCAAGGAUGUUCCACAAGACAAAUGGGAAAACACACCGGGGCUAAUGGAGCUACAAGGCCAAGGCAUCGGAUACAAGGGGAGAGUCAACUGUGUACAGUCAGAUUACACAACCCUUAACAGACAAGACUCAUCAGUUGGUCCACUAUAGGAAUCAGGUCAUUUGCCGUCAGCCGAGAACAGAUGCGAAGGCUUUGCCGUGAGCAAGUUGACGACAAACACAAUCAGCAAAGACUAUAUCAGCAAAGAGCUAAUUUGACGUCAACUUUUCAUCGCGCUGAUGACAAAGACUUUGCCGUCAAUUAAACUAUGUGUUUGUCGUCUGUAGAAAAAACACAAAUGGCAAAGAAAUUAAACAAAUGGUCAUUUUAUAAUAAUUUUUCGAAAUGUAUAUAGUGUAUUUUAAAAUGUUAAAUAUGUAUCAAGAAUUAUUUCAUAAAUAUACAGAAGAUGUACAACGUGUAUGAAAAUUAUGUAGACAUCAGAACAUAUUAUAGAAAUGUUAAUCUUGUAUUUAAAAAUGUUAAAUACACAUAAAUAAAAAUGUUUUUGAUGUACAUAAAAAAAUUGUACAUCGUGUGUGAACAAAGUAUGCAUUGAAAAAAAAAUCUUGUUGGAAAGAAAAUCUCGUGCUAUAUACGAAAAUGUAAAAGGUGUAUGAAAAUAAUUAGAUAUAUGCUUAACGAAAAAAAGGAAAGAAGGCGCAAAAAAAUCCGAUCAACACCAAGAUAGGAACAAGAAAACCUGAAGAAGACCAUUGAAAAAAAAGAAAAGAAUACAAGAAAGAGGAAAAAAAACAAAAAAAUGAAGAAGCUGAUGCAGAACAGGGAACUUGGUGAAAACGAAUAAAAAUUGAUGAAAACCGAGAAGAAAAACAAGAAAACUGAAGCAAAAAAAUAAUAAAAAUAUGUAAAAAAAUGAUGAAACAUUGCAAAACACUGAAAUACUAUGAAAACCAAAGGAAGAAAAGACUCAAAAAGAAGAACAUACAGCGAGCGAAUGAACAACAACUGAGUGAACGAGCGACCAUGCGAGAACACGUUAAUUGUCCGGCCCAUACUUGUGGACUCCAGAGGCGAGCCAGAAUAGGCGAGAUAUAGCUAUGACGAUUUGAUACCCUUCACAGCUUCACGAAUGCUAUAUCUCGCUCACAGCGAAAGUAUAUUUUGUCUGGCCUGAAGGUGCAAGAAUAGCAUCAGGUCGCUGUAAGGUUUGUGAUCCUACAAUGAGAGCUCCGAUAAGAUUAAAGUUCAUUUUUCUGACAACCUUUGGUCGUUCGUUCGCGCUCAGGUCGUCCGCUCACUCGAUUCCACGUACUAGUUUGGUUAUGUUGUUUUUUUCAUUUUGUUCUUUUUUUGUUUCUUCACUGGCUUUCUUUGGUUUUUAUAUCGGUUUUCUUUGUUUCCUUCACGUUUUAUUCCUGUUUUCCUUUUUACUGGUUUAUUUAUUCCUUUUUUUCUUUGUUUCUUUCUUGGUUUUCUUUGUUUUUCUUUCUUUUGAUGUCAAUCUUUUUACAUACGCAUUCAACAAUUUCCGUAUACAUCAGAAACAUUUUAUGUAUACACAUUAACAUUUCCCAGAUAUAUGAUUAAUAUUUUUGGAAAACCUCUAUUUUUUAUGUGUACUUUUUGAUACAUUUUGUAUAUAUCAGAAAUAUUUUUUUAGAAGGUUUAACAUUUUUUUAAAUACAUGAUUACCUUUUUGUAAACUUAUAUUGUUUGACGUUUAUUUUUUUCCAUAGACAUAGUGAGGGGUUAUAUCUAAGGAAUAGGCCCAAGUACAUAUAUGGCACAACCAAAGACCCAUGUUAAUCAAGGAUGUGGUCCACAAAACAAAUGGGGAAACACACGGGGGCCAAUGGAGCUACAAGGCCAAAGCAUCGGAUAUAAGGGGAGAAUAAGUGUGUACAGUCGGAUUACACAACACUUGACAGACAAGACUCAUUAGUUGGUCCACUAUAGGAAUCGAGUAAUUUGCCGUCAGCCGAGAACAGACUCGAAGUCUUUGCCGUCAGCAAGUUGAUGACAAACACAGUGAGCAAAGACUAUAUCGGCAAAGAGCUAAUUUGACGUUAACUUUUCAUCCGCUGAUGACAAAGACUUUGCCGUCAAUUAAACUAUGUGUUUGUCGUCUGUAGAAAAAACACAAAUGGCAAAGAAAAGCAUCUUUGCCAUCAGCAACUGAUUCACAUGUGUCGUCAGCCAGACUCGUCUUGUCACUAGCCUCAAACAUCACAGAUGGCAAAGAUUUUUUUUUAUUUUUAAAAUUCCGCGUCGACCACCCUAUCGCUCGUGCAGCCACCGCCUGGCCGCGCUCGCCUCCCUGCUCACAUGCCCUGCCAGCUUGCGCCGUUGCCAUCCGGCAGCGCUCGCCCGACCCUGCUCAUCGCCCGGCCGAGCUCGCCCGCCCUGCUCGGUCGCGUCGUCGGCAGCUGCCCUGCUUGCACACGUACCUGCCCAGCCUUGCUCAUACCGCCGGCCACCCUGCUCGCUAGAGAAAGGAAGGCGAGAGAGGAGGCUCGGGGGAGAAAGAAAAAACAAAGGAGAGAGAGAGGAUGCUACCACUGCCACAUCACCAAUACGCAUGAUCGAUCUGCAAGAUGUGCUCUCUCUUUUGCCGCCUCUGAUGGCAAAGUAUGUCUUUAUCGUCUAUAAUAAGAUUACAAACAGCAAAGUGAGCUCUUUGCCGUCUGUAAAAAAACGGACGACAAACAAACUUUGUUGUCAGCUGCCGACGGCAAAAAGUGCUCUUUACCGCAGCCUCGAUGAGAAGCUGAAGGCAAAGUGCCCCACAGACGGCAAAUUAGUUGAUUCCUGGGUGGUUAUGAGCAAGACAGGAGCAAUAACCCUAUCUACACUCGGUCAUCUGGAAGACAGGAGUAGUCGAACCAUCUAUAGUCGGCUACAUCUGAGGUUACCGUGACCCUUACGAUGCAUUCAUUAUCGCCGUUACUCAAUGGAGUAGUUAAAUACGUCAGUUAGCAAUAAUAAUAGCCACGAACAGUCAAUCAUGCAUGUGACCAUCAAUAGCAUUUAUACCAACCCAUUACGGCACUUCCUCCUAGCACACUCUAUAUAAGCCAGGAGUAGGACAUGAGAGUGAGGGAUGAACUCUCUCACAGUAUAACCUACGCCAAGAGCAGGAACACCACAUGAAUAGAGAUUACCUCCACCAACGUACUCCCAUCCGUUUUAUGUACCGAUCAAUGUAUAUAAUGGCUUCUACAUUCACAUCCCGUAGUAUUGUCAGGAUUAUAUCCACGACAGAAACUAUAUUUUGUUAUACAUCAAGAACAUUUUAUAUAUAAAUAUUUACAAUUUUUUAAAUACAUGAUUAAUAUUUUUUCAAACAUAUAUUUUGUAUGUCUCCUUUUCAUAAUCUUUGAUCCCUGGAAGUUUCAGAUUUUUUCCGAUUUGUUCUCAUUUUUUUAUGAAUUUACUGUUCAUGAGGGUGUAGGGGCACCCAGGAGCUGUUAGGCAUAAUAUUUCUGCUGUUGUUGUCAUCAUCAAGGGGAAUGAGAAGGGUUGAAGUUUUCGUUUUCUUUGAGGGGGAAAUCAGAGUUGGGGGCUGGAAGUGAGUGAUUAGGCCCAACAUAAGCGCUGUGUGUGUGUGUCUCGUCACGGGCACCAAAUUCGAACUGGGCUAUUGUUUUCUGAGAACCCAACGUCACAAGCCCAACCAACAGUCUGCCGAUCUGCAUCUUCCUCUCCUUGUCCAUCCUCCUCGUUGGCCGGACCGCCUCGAGCCACGGCCGCUCCCUGGCGCAGCGUCCUCCCCUUCCUCUCCACCCCCAAAUUCUCUUGUAUCCUCUUCUGAUCUCCUUCCUUACUUCCUCUCGCUGAUGGUCUCCACAAGAAGGUCUCCGAGCUCCUCGGAGGGUUCCGGCUGUACGUCGACGCAGCCUCUCCGACCUCCCCAUGAACAUGAGCUAUCGACCCUGAAAGCCUGUCUCUUCCAUGAUUCGAUUCACAUGAAUUCACGAGCCGCAUGAAUCAUGAAGGUCAUGGAGCAGAAUUCAGUCGUGUAGCCUGACAGUGAUGUACAUUUGUGGCUUUUCUGGCUAAAUAGCUCUGUACCCUAUGUGGAUGCCACUUCAAAUAAUCGUCAAAAUAAUUCUCCUGCACGCGUUAUACAAAUGGCGAAGAAGAAGUUCGCGUGGAACAUUUCGUUUCUUAUUGAUGUCCGAGAGAAAAGCUCCUAGGAAGUUCAUCCGCUCGGUGGAUUAUAAGUUUAAGUUUGUUACAACAUCCAAUCAUCCAUAUAAUCUCUGUGUUUCUUCUGUUUUCUACCAGUCAUAUAUCAUAUGUGCAUCAGAGGAAAAAUGCUUUCAGCAGUCAUGUUGGAGCGCGCAUACCAAGUUCCCACAUUGCAAAUAUGAUCCUAGCCAUUAAUAUGUUUCAUUCCACAUUUUCUUGAUCUAAUUUCUAAAUGAUUGGACAACCUGUUAUAGUCUUAUAGAAUUAUGAGCCGCCAAAUCCACAUUUCUCUUGGUCUAAUUUCUAAAUGAUAAUGUGCAGCAUCUAUCUCCUGGUGAACCUUUUUUUCUUGCGACUGUAUCUCCUGAUGAACCUAGUUUUCUCUAGGUAGCACAAUAAUUGUACUGGUUUGAUGUAAAGGACAUAAAUACAAGGGAAUAAAUUGGAAGCUUAUUUCAAAUUAACUAGCUAGUGGUGUUUGUGAAGUUCAAGAAAAAGCUGGUCUUUUUCUCGACAAAUAAUUUAACAUGCAAAGAAUCAAUAAAUGUAUUUGCAAGAAAGCAAACAUAAUUAACGAUAAAACUGGUUUAUUGUCACUGUAGACAACGGUAGUAGUUGGAACUAGAUACAAACCAAUAAAAAACAAGAUCUCAAAUCUCCAACCAAUAAAGAGUUCAACCCAAAUUUUACAGUAACACCAUUAUAUUCAAAUAGUGAUUAUUCCAACACAUGGAUAAUUAAUUAAGGCACCAGGUUGCCCUUGUGACUAGGAAAGACAAACUUAUGAACUUGCAAGCAUGGCAAUCAGAUCGACAUCCACACAAUGCCAAUAUGAACAUUGUCUUGAUACAACUUUAUUUUUAUUUUAUUUCAGAAUUUAAACAACUAGUAUGGGCGGGUCACACACGACAUUGUGUGACACUUUAUUUGUCACCGCUGCAUCGACAUAUCCAUCGACUAAACAACGGUGAUCCAACUAUAUAUUACUAGAGACCUUUCCUUAUUAGUAGGAACCAACUCCGGUGCCAACACCGAAUGGCACACUAGUGGUGGUUCUAUACAACGGCACAUUGACACGGCACAUCGUUGGCAGGGUACGGAGCGCAAUGGAAGUCAUCACCUCAAGCUGAGCUAUCUGGUGUGGCUGCAAAAAGGUACCUUGUGCCAAUUGUUGUUGUUGAGGUUGUUGCCCGAGUUGUUGUUGUGACUGCUGUUGGGGUUGGGAAACACAUUGGCCCAACUGUUGGGGUUGCUGCUGAGGAGUUUGGAUGGAACCCUGAACCUGUUGUUGUUCUUGCAGGAUGAUGGAGUAGAUGAUAGCACGGAUUGCCUCAUAGCGGGAUUGCUGGGGGAUUUGCGGCAACUGCUGGCAACAUUGUUGUUGCAUCACAUGGCAACUGCUCUGCUGCAACAUUUGCGACCUAGCAAGACUUUGUGGCAUUGCCACAGGGCUGCAUUGCUGCUGGAGGAAUACCUUGCAUGGGUUUAGCUGCUGCAAGAUAGAUGGAUGAACAAAUGGUAUUUGUUGUUGCGGUAGAACUAGUUGUUGUUGUUGCUGCGAAAAUGGUGGUUGUUGCGGUAGACUUGGUUGUUGUUGUUGCAAAAAUGGUGGUUGUUGCUGUAGUACUAUUUGUUGUUGUUGCGAAAACGGUGAUUGUUGCUGUGAAAAUGGUGGUAGUUGUUGCUGUGAAAAUGAUGGUUGUUGCGGUAGAACUGGUUGUUGUUGCUGCGAAAAUGGUGGUUGUUGUUGUGAAAAUGGUGGUUGUUGUUGCUGCGAAAAUGGUGGUUGUUGUUGUGAAAANNNNNNNNNNNNNNNNNNNNNNNNNNNNNNNNNNNNNNNNNNNNNNNNNNNNNNNNNNNNNNNNNNNNNNNNNNNNNNNNNNNNNNNNNNNNNNNNNNNNNNNNNNNNNNNNNNNNNNNNNNNNNNNNNNNNNNNNNNNNNNNNNNNNNNNNNNNNNNNNNNNNNNNNNNNNNNNNNNNNNNNNNNNNNNNNNNNNNNNNNNNNUGGUUGUUGUUGCUGCGAUAAUGGUUGUUGUUGUUGCUGCGAAAAUGGUGGUUGUUGUUGUGAAAAUGGUGGUUGUUGUUGCUGCGAUAAUGGUUGUUGUUGUUGUUGCUGUGAACAUGGUUGCUGUUGUGAAAAUGGUUGUGGUUGUUGUUGGAUGGGUUGUUGUUGUUGGUGGUGCGAUAAUGUUUGUUGUGGUGGUAAUGGUUGUUGCUGCGAUGGUCUCUCCAAACCAGGGAUGUGGCUAUUCUCCAUUUGUGCAAUGGCACUUGUCGCCACAAUGGCGAGGAGAGCAAAGAUGAGGAAGGUCUUCAUGGUGGAUUGGUGUUAACCAGUGUUGCUUGGUUUUGAUGCUUGUGCUUGUGAUGAUCUUUAUACUUCAUGCCUAUUUAUAGUAGCCCGGGCACCACCUCUUUUCUUCUUUGCAUUAGCUUUAAUAAUUCUGUUUGGAUGCAUCUAAAAUGAUUUUUGGUACAAUGUGUUAGGUUGCACUAGCUACACGCGUACUUUUGGAUUGAUCAUCAAAGUUGCUUUUUAGUUGUGCAUAUGAUCACACACAAAGUACAGAAACCUUGAUGUUUGGUACAUAUGACUCACCUUAUUCACUUUACAUGUCACACACUUAUCUGGAUAGUAUCACUUUUGCAACCGAGUUUGGAACCUUGUAUAGGCUGUCAUCCAUAAACAAGAAAGGCAAAACUUGUGUAGGACUAAGUUUGCAAUCGGAGGGUUCUUCUAGACUCGAUUUCUUUUCGUAAAACUAACUUUGUAUUUUUCCUCUAAGAUGAUAAGAUGAACCGACGCCUAUAGAGCAUGACAUGACUCAUCGAAUUCCCUUUACAUGUAAAGGAUGGUAAUUGCUUACAAGCUACUCCUACUAGCAUAUAUCCGGUUCCAAGCCUAGACACGUCAUCAUCAGUUUCGUCUAUUUUUUUAGAUAAAUCAUCAGUUCUAUCUAUUUGUGAAGGGUUUUUUUGGGGGGAAAUGAUAGUUUUUUUAUGCUAGGGGGGUUUUUUNNNNNNNNNNNNNNNNNNNNNNNNNNNNNNNNNNNNNNNNNNNNNNNNNNNNNNNNNNNNNNNNNNNNNNNNNNNNNNNNNNNNNNNNNNNNNNNNNNNNNNNNNNNNNNNNNNNNNNNNNNNNNNNNNNNNNNNNNNNNNNNNNNNNNNNNNNNNNNNNNNNNNNNNNNNNNNNNNNNNNNNNNNNNNNNNNNNNNNNNNNNNNNNNNNNNNNNNNNNNNNNNNNNNNNNNNNNNNNNNNNNNNNNNNNNNNNNNNNNNNNNNNNNNNNNNNNNNNNNNNNNNNNNNNNNNNNNNNNNNNNNNNNNNNNNNNNNNNNNNNNNNNNNNNNNNNNNNNNNNNNNNNNNNNNNNNNNNNNNNNNNNNNNNNNNNNNNNNNNNNNNNNNNNNNNNNNNNNNNNNNNNNNNNNNNNNNNNNNNNNNNNNNNNNNNNNNNNNNNNNNNNNNNNNNNNNNNNNNNNNNNNNNNNNNNNNNNNNNNNNNNNNNNNNNNNNNNNNNNNNNNNNNNNNNNNNNNNNNNNNNNNNNNNNNNNNNNNNNNNNNNNNNNNNNNNNNNNNNNNNNNNNNNNNNNNNNNNNNNNNNNNNNNNNNNNNNNNNNNNNNNNNNNNNNNNNNNGCCGCCACCGCUCGACAAAAAAGGUCACUUUUGUAGCUCCCCCGUCGAUUGCGGGCCGUACGUCGACGGCAGCCACUCCGACCUCCCCGUCAACACAAGGUAUCGAUCUGUUUCGUCUGUCUCUUCCAGCGAUUCAAUGCACAUAAAUCCGAGAGGCAGACCCAUCUCCAUGCUAGCUGCACGGAUCAGGAGGGUCAGGCAUCAGAAUUCAGCUGGGAAGCCUGACACUAAUGUACAUUUGUGGCUUUAGUAGCUGAAUAUAACUAUGUGUUUUCUGAGAAUUUCACUUCAAAAGUUCCAAUAAUCAUCAAAUUUCCGCCUAUGCGCGCUAAGCAGGUGGACCAUAUAUUUCUCAUGUCGACGAACGAAAAAACAAAACUCCACAACUAGAAGUCUAUGAUAUUGACACGGAACCGUGCUGUAGGGUCGCAAGUAAAAAUAUGAAAAGCAUGCCUAACACUACUAGGAAAAGGGCUAUAGAUGGAAUUGACACUAAUGACGCACCAGACAUGUGGUGCGCCAUUAGUAUAUACUAAUGGCGCACCAUCUUCUGAUGCGCCAUUAGUGUUGAAAUUACUAAUGGCGCACCCUGCCCACGGUGCGCCAUUAGUACCAAUUUUUUUUUGAACUAGUGCGCCUGUCCAAACAUACUAAUGGCGCAUCCGCUGGUGGUGCGCCAUUACUAGUUGUAACUAGUAAUGGUGCACCAGCCAGAGGGUGCGCCACUAAAGUUAUUUUUUUUAUUAUUGUUUUUAUUCCUUUUUUUGCAAAAGUACUAAUGGCGCACUCACACGCGGUGCGCCAUUACUAGUUCAAACUAGUAAUGGCGCACCGUGGCAGAGUGCGCCAUUAGUAUGUUUUUUUUUCAAAACUACUAAUGGCGCACCACCUGGUGGUGCGCCAUUAGUAACCUGGAUUACUAAUGGCGCAUUUGUUGCUGGUGCGCCAUUAGUAAGUGGGCAGCAACAAGAUAUUUUGGACAGCCUCUCCUCCCACACUCACUUUCUCCCCAUUUCAUUCUCUCCACCGCCUCCUCAUGUCUCGGGUGCCUCCUCUUUUUCACCUCAUUUCCACCAUAGAUUCAUUCAAAUUAAGUGGUUAAGUUACCUUGUUUUGCUAGGUAAGUAAGGGGGGAAGCUAUAUUUAUGUUGUUCUCCCUACAACAGUGUGCACAUGCACUUUUUAUGGCCUAGCUAGAUCUAUGUAUGUUCGUGGUGUUGCAUAUGUUUGUGGUGUUGCAUAUGUGUUUGUGUUUGAAGGUGUACCGGUAUUUGAAAUGCGAUAGUUGCCAAUAUUUUGCCGGAAUGUUGAUUCAUUUCCGUUUCGGCGAGAAUUUUGGCAUUAAGCAUUCUUUUUGGUCCUAUUUUUAGGGAAAGUCAUGCCAAAUUUUUUCUUGGUUCUAAAAUAUCGUUUUGCUCUACCCCGCAGGCGACCAUGGUCCGCACGAUGACCGAAGGCAUCGUGAAUAGGUUUUUGAGGUCCACGAAGGCCGAGAUGCUUCAAAAGAACGAGACGGAGAUAAGAUGUCCGUGUCGAAGAUGCAAGCUGAAUAGCCUUAUUGCGGACCCGGAUUCCGGGCAGGUGCGGGACCACCUGCUCUUGCGUGGUUUCAUGGAUGGCUGUCGGUGGCAAGGUGAUGAAGAUGACUACGAAGUCGUCCAUGGGGGCCGGGCAAGAAAUGAGGAAGGGCAGCAAGACAACCACCGCGGCUCGGGGGGGCGAGAAGAAGAAGAAUCCCCAGGAGAUGAUCACGACGGUGAUGUUGUACACAGUCAUCAUGUAGAAGAUGCAGGACAUGAUGAUGAUGCCGGCGGAGCAGACGACGCUGGACCAUCGAUGGGCUGGGUGCAGGACCCUCAUAUUCAAGAGCUGCUUCUCAAGCAGACGGAUAACGCAAGAGCUGCCGCCCGAGAGAAAGCCAAGAUGGAUCAACUUGAGUUAGACGCGGUUACUCCAUUGUAUGAAGGAUGCAGGCCCGAGGAUACCCGCCUGAAAGUAACACUCAUGGCUCUGGAGAUGAAGGUAAAACACAAAAUGACCGACGCAUGCUUCGACGAGAACAUGUCAUUCUGGCACGAACGUCUUCCCAAAGGGAACAAGUGCCCGACCAGUUUGGAGGAGGCGAAGAAAAUCGUGUGUCCUCUGGAUUUACCGCACGUGAAAUACCAUGUGUGCAUGAACAAUUGCAUCAUUUAUCGGGACGAGCACGCGGAGUCUACCAUAUGUCCGGUGUGCGGUGUCACUCGAUACAAGAAGGGGAAGAAAGCUCCUCGAAAAGUGGUGUGGUACUUUCCGAUCACUCCUCGUCUGCAGCGGUAUUUCGCGGACCCUAAGGUAGCAAAGCUCCUGCGUUGGCACGCGGAUAGGGAGGAGAAGAAGCGAGAAGAUGACGCAAAUGAUACGGAGAUAGAUAAAAAAGACAAGAUGCUGAGUCACCCUAAGGAUGCGAGCCAGUGGCAAGCGUUGAACUUCGAAUAACCAGAAUUUGGGAACGAUCCAAGGAACAUCGUGCUGGGCGCGAGCACCGGUGGAGUCAAUCCGUUUGGCAGCCAGAGAAGCACACAUAGCACCUGGCCUGUGUUUGUGUGGAUGUACAACCUUCCCCCCUGGUUGUGCAUGAAGAGGAAGUACAUUCACAUGAGUAUGCUAAUUGAAGGGCCGAAACAACCAGGGAACGACAUCAAUCUGUAUCUGGGGCUGCUGAAAGAGGAGCUUGACACGCUGUGGAAAACGCCCACCAAUACGUGGGACGCCGCAGAGAAAGAAUAUUUCCCUAUGAGAGCCGCACUGCUCACGACGGUGCACGACUAUCUCGGUUACGGAUAUCUUGCGGGGCAGGUAGUCCACGGAUUUUCUGGAUGCGUAAGGUGCAUGGAUGACACAACGUAUCGCCAGCUAGAUAGAGACGAUGACCCGUGGAGGAAACGCAAGGAUCUGUUCGAUGGUGAAACCAAACCCCGAAAACGCCCGUGUACGAGGAGCGGCGAGGAAAUAGACAAGCUGUUGAAAAAUCGGAAAGACUGCCCACUGCCGGGAAAGAAGCAAAAGGUGCCAGAGCCGGGAAAGAAGCGAAAGGCGCCAGAGCCGCUGCUGAAGCUAUGGAAAACGAGGUCUGUUUUCUGGGACUUGCCGUACUGGAAGAUCCACCGUGUGCCUCACAGCCUUGAUGUCAUGCAUAUCACGAAGAACGUGUGCGAGAGUCUGCUUGGUACCCUGCUCAACAUGCCAGAGAGGACCAAAGAUGGGCCGAAAGCGAGGGCAGACUUGAAAUCAAUGGGCAUCAGGCAGGAGCUUCACGCUAUAUAUGAUGAUGAUGAUGAUGAUGAUGAUGAUGAUGAGGCGAAGCAGGACACAGAAAGUCGUCGCAAAGGCAAAAAGGCCAAGAAGACCGGAAAUGACUACCCUCCCGCGUGCUUCACUCUAAGUCAGGAGGAGAUCGAGCAGUUUUUCACCUGCCUCCUAGGAGUAAAACUUCCUUACGGUUACGCGGGGAAGAUAAGCAGAUACCUAGACCCAGCGAAGCAGAAGUUCAGCGGGAUGAAGUCUCACGAUUGUCACAUGCUGAUGACGCAGAUACUUCCAGUUGCAAUCCGUGGGAUCAUGGACGCGCACGUCCGUGAAACGCUAUUUGGCCUAUGCAACUUCUUCGACGUCAUCUCUCAGAAGUCGAUUGGCAUGAGGCAACUCAGAAGGCUACAGGAAGAGAUCGUGGUGAUACUAUGCGAGCUUGAGAUGUACUUCCCGCCCGCAUUCUUCGAUGUUAUGGUGCAUCUGCUGGUCCAUAUAGUGGGGGAUAUCAUCCAACUCGGGCCGAUGUUCCUGCACAGCAUGAUGCCGUUCGAAAGGAUGAAUGGUGUCAUCAAAGGAUACGUUCGCAACAUGUCACGUCCAGAAGGAAGCAUAGCCAGGGGCUUUCUGACCGAAGAGUGCAUCUACUAGUGCGCGAAUUAUCUAGGCAUCGAGAACCCCGUUGGUCUGCCCGUCAACAGGCACCUCGGCAGGCUCGCUGGAUGGGGUCACCGUGAGGGUCGCCGCGAAAUGCAUGUCGACUUCGAGGGUCGACUCGCCGACUUUGAAAGAGCAAACCUAGUCGCGCUACAACACAUAGACGUGGUCGAUGCUUGGGUGGUAGAGCACAAAACCUUUAUUAAGAAGACGUACAAUGACCGAGGCCAACAGAGGACGGACGGAGAUAUACUCAAAGAGCACAACUCAUGUUUCACGCGUUGGUUCAAGCAGAAGCUUCUGUCGUACCCUUUACAUGAGGAUUCUUCCGCGGAAGAACAACUCAUAUUCGCCUUGUCACAGGGCGCCGAGCACAACCUGAUGACCUAUGAGGCGUACGAUAUCAACGGCUACACAUUCUACACCGAGGCCAAGGACAUGAAGAGCGAUGGUUAUCAGAACUCCGGGGUAACGAUGGAAUCCUACACCGGUAACGACAAGGACAGAUACUACGGAAGGAUCGAGGAGAUCUGGGAGCUGAGCUAUGCUGGAGAGAAGGUCCCGAUGUUCCGUGUCAGAUGGGCCAAGAACGUCAUAAAAGAAGACCGGUAUUUCACCACCAUGGUUAUACCCGGAGCCAAAUCCAAGACCGCGAGCGCAAACGUCACCGCGAAAAAUGAGCCAUGGGUACUGGCUUCCCAAGUGGACCAAUGCUUCUUCAUUACCGACCCGCCAAAGCCCAGUCGUGUUGUCGUGAGGAGAGGCAAAAGGAAGAUCAUCGGAAUGGAUGGAGUAGCCAAUGAGCAAGACUUCGACAAGUACGGCGACCCGAGGAUCGAACAUGACGACGAUGAUGAAGUAGCAGCAUACACCACAAGAAGAAGCAGGACCACCCUACCUAAAGGACGUCCGUUCCACAGAAGAACUCCAUUUGCGAAAAAGAAGGGCAAGAAGAUUGUGAACAGAUAGCUAGCUAAGAUCGAUUGUAUUUAAAUCGUAGCCUUCAUUUCUCGAUUGUAUUUCAUGGGUACUUUUUGAACUAUCAUGAAUAUUUUUAAAUUUAAUGGACACUCGAUCUCGAUCCCCCUCCAUCUCGAUCGCUAUCCCACCUCGCCAGAUCCGGUCCCCCUCGCCGCCAAGCACCCCCCCAGCCCACCGGCCGCCGCCGCCGACCCCCCGCACCCUCGAUUCCCCUACCCAACCGCCGCCGCCGACCCACCGCACCCCGCGCACCCUCCCCUGCUCCACCAGCAUUACUGUUUGAUGAUAUUUUUAAAAAAAUUAUUAUUGUCUUAUAAAAAAAUAUUACUGUUAUGAUUUAAACAAGUUUGAACAUAUUUAAACACAAAUAAGUAUCAAACAGGUUUUUAAAUGCUAAAAAAAAUUUGUGGAGCCUGGGAGUCGAACCCAGGACCUCCUGGUGUGAGAACUGGCUGCUGACCAGUCGAGCUAGUAGAGGGGACUUGAUGUGGAUCAAUUCUGGUGGUACAUAACCUGUUGGCUCGAGUUGAAAUAAAAAAAAUACUAAUGGCGCACCACGGUGAGGUGCGCCAUUAGUAUGGAUGUACUUAUGGCGCACCGAGGGGUGGUGCGCCAUUAGUAUUGUGCCCGAUCCCUUCCCUCUCCCCCUUCGCCCGAUCCCCCCUUCCCUCUCCCCCUUGCCAGUUCCCUCUCCCUCGAUCCACCGCCGCCGCCGCCGCUGCCCUGACCCACUGCGCCGCAGCCGCCCACGCGCCCCCGCCGCCUCCCUCUCCCCUUCCUCCCCCUCGAGCCCGCGCCGUCCGCCCAAACCUAACCCGACGCCGUCCGCCGCGCCCGCUCCACCGCCGCCGCCCUGCCUCUCCGCCCUCUCCCUCCCUCNNNNNNNNNNNNNNNNNNNNNNNNNNNNNNNNNNNNNNNNNNNNNNNNNNNNNNNNNNNNNNNNNNNNNNNNNNNNNNNNNNNNNNNNNNNNNNNNNNNNNNNNNNNNNNNNNNNNNNNNNNNNNNNNNNNNNNNNNNNNNNNNNNNNNNCGUCGCCCCGCCGCCCCGACACCACCGUCCGUCGCCCCGCCGCCCCGCCGCCCCUCUCGCAGCAAGGUAUGCGGCUGGUUCGUCCCCUGUCAUGGUUCUCUCUUCGUUUAUUUUCCUGAAAUCUCUGCUGUUCAUUGGCCGAUGAUGUCUUACAAGUAAAAUAUCUGGCAAACUUGUGCUGUAAACUGUACAUUGCUGAGGCUGUGGGCAACCUGUUCUUCUCUUUGCCAUACUAGUGCUUUUGUUCAUUGGCCGAUGAUGUCUCUGUUGGUUUACGUCCCCGGCAAAUUAGGUACCCGUGAACCAUUUAUAGGCCCAACUUUCUUACUCUCAAUGACCACAAUGUGCUUAUUUUGUUAGGAUUGUGCAUUUGCGCGAUUUGUGCAGUGCUUAUUUGUUGGCACCUCACCAGCUUUCAAAUUCAGCAUUUGUAACACAGUUCAAUUUGAUCUAAGGGCCUAUCUUGUCUCAUUUCCAACAUGUAAUAAACUUCCCCCGAGGCCAUAGAUGAGAAUACUUCUUUCAGUACAUUUUGCUGAUUUCUCACUGUUGAAUACUUCAUUUCUGUUUGCCUUUGGCCAAAGAUGCAUUCAGUUCUUUCUGCCCUUAGCGGUUUGAUUCAAGUUUGUCAGGUUCUGUUAACUAAAAAGGUUCAGAUUCAGAAACAUUGUUGGACUACUAGGAAGUUGGACUACUAGGAACAUGUUUAGAUUCAGGUUCUGUUAACUAAAAAAGUUCAGGUUCUGUUAACUAAAAAAGUUCAGAUUCAGAAACCUGUAAUUUCUACUUUUAUGCCUCUGUUACUCCAGUCAAAAUUUUAUGUUUGAUGCCCAUGGUAGUUGAGCUCUCACCUCACCUCACGCAACAUGCAUGAUGCCACAAUGUCUAGUAUGUACUGCCAAGCAACUGGCAAAUAAUUAUAACUUAGAAUAAAUAAAUCUGAUGUAAGAUAAGCAUGGCAUGAGCUUUAAUUAAAUAGCAUAAUACACGUUGGUAGUCCAUCUCUCUCAAAAAAAAUACAUGUUGGUAGCAGAAAAAAAUACAUGUUGGUAGCAGAAAUUUUUUUGAGCCCUUAUUAGCUACUCACACUAUUUGCCCCGCAGUUUCUCUGUCAUGGCUACCAAGUGAUUGACGGUGGGCUAGAAAAAUAAAACCACCAAACUAUCAGUAAAAGAUGUGAACCAACAUCUUUCAUUGUUAUGCAUAUCAAACACCAAGGGUUAUUUUCACUUAAAGUUUUAGAAUGGGUGCAUUACAAUUCAGUCUGAUAUCUAAUAAGACACUCUGGGCUGAUAUAAUUAUGGAACAGAACCAACCAUGAUAAAUAAAAGGUGAUGUUGUCUAUGCAUUACCAAAAAUGUAUCUUUGUGAACAAAUAAAUUGGUACCAACAGCAAUGCCAUCUUACUGUAGAAUUAGAAUACAUGGACAUGAUCAGCUCAGCUCCCAAACUGCCAUUCAUCACAUCAAUUUCCCCUUAUGUAACUCCAGUCAAAAUUUUAUGUUGGUCUACCUAGUAGAUGCCCAUGGUUUGAUUUUAUGUUUGUUCCUAUCAAUACAAAUGCUGAGCUAUGUUCCAUUUUUACUGUUCUUUGUGAUAGUUUUUGCAACUUUACUUCCCAUCUUAAGGCAAGCCCCAUUUUUACUGUUCUUUGUUAGCAGAGCUGCUUGUUUCUAAGAACUUUGAUACUAUUUGGAUCAAAGUUAAAUGAGCACAUAGAUGACAAAAAAAAGUUCAGAUUGUAAAAUGUUCAUUUUGCUGCUAGUGCCCAUUUUGAGUAAUUGCUUAGAGGGAUGAUCCUGUGUGAGCUGGUGGAGUGAUUUGUUUUCUACAUAAAGCUCUUUAGUCAGGCUGGUUUUCGUGAAAUACACAUGAAGCUUCACCAGCUCCUGUGGGUGUGGGAUCCAUGUGACAUGUGACAUUGCAUCCAUGUCCACCUGGGAUAAUGAUUUUGCAUGUACCCCGAGAGGCCCUUAAGUUUGCCGGAAUGUCGAUUAACUUCCGUUCCGGCAAAUUCGGGUACUCCAUAUGUCCUAUUUUCAGCAAAGGUCAUGCUGAAAUUUUCCGUGAAUUUUAGCAUGACUUUGCAAAAAAUAGGACAUAUGGGGUACUUGUGACUAAUGCAUGGGCCGGGGUAUCAUAGUAGUUAAUUAAGUAGGAUCAAGUGCCCCGGCGUACUUGUGACUGAUGCAUGGCUUUUAGGGUGCCUCGGUGUUGAUAAAAACCGAAAUGAUGAAAGCUUAGGCUUUUAGGGUGCCUCGGCGUCGAAAAACCCUCAAUGAUAAAAGCUUAGGUCUUAGGAUGCCUCGGUGUCGACAAACCCUAAAUGAUGAGACCAUGUCUUGUUCCUUGACAAUAACCAACUUUUUGACCAAACUUUGUUUCUAUUUAGAGAGAAACAUGGCCCACAACGAUGAGGCCGGGGGUUCGGGCGGCAAGGCAUUCUGGGAGCUGUCCCAGGAGAUGGAGGAACAACCUCACUUGUAUGAGGCCGCCGCCUUCCCCACCGAUCCUGAGACCACUGAUGGUGCCGCCGAGGAUGACCACACUGAUGCCACCACUGAUGGUGCCGCCGAGGAUGCCACCACUGAUGAUGGCAGCGCCCGCACAGAUGGCAGCCAACCGAAGAGGCAACGGAAGGACCGACGCCCGAUCGUGCUCCUCACCCUCAAGGAGGAAGUUACUGAAGUGGACUCCAACGGGUAUCCAACGGCGCCCGAACGAAUAGUCAAGGGGUACUCGCUUCAGCUCGGGUGCAUUGUCCGGAGCACCGUCUCGAUCAACACCGAGAACCUGAGGCAUCCUGACCGAGGGAAUUUGUGCCACCUCCUCUUCACGAAGCUGCACGAAUGAUACAAGUUCCCCGCUGAAUUUGCAAACAGAAGCCUCAAAGGGAAUAAAGUGAACAAUGCUGCCCUCACGAAGAUGAGCAAGGCCCUGUCUACUUGGAAAAGCAAUGUGAAGAAAAUGAUCGAUAAAGGUGAGAGUUAUCAGAAGAUCAAGGAGAAAAAUCCUUCGAUCACCAAAGAUGACUACAAUGACUUCAAGAUCAAUUGCUCGAGCACCGCAAGCUCCCAAUCAAGUGAGUGGGGGAAACAAAUGCGGGAGCUGAACAUAGGGGAACACACACUCGGUCCCGACGGUUACAGAGUGGCGGAGCCUAUAUGGGACAAGGAGGAGGCGGACCGUGCCGAGCAAGGCCUACCGCCCCUCUUCGAGAAAUACAGCGGUAACAAGCAGACCAGGAACUUUGUCAGGGCCCGGUACAAGAAGGACCCGAAAACAAAGGAGCUUACCACGGAUCCGAAGACCAGGCAGCUUGAGCUUGUUCUGGUAAGGAAUACACCCCCGCGUAAUUAGCUCCAUAUGGUUGCAUUCUAAUUAAUGAAGCCAAAUUUCUAAAUGGUUCACAUUCCUUCCGCAGGCGACUGAAAGCAGUAGCGCGGGGUCGACUAAGAGCAACCCUUGGGACACCACUCUAAAUAGGGCGAUGAAUGUAAUGAAGAAGAAGGAUAAGCUCAGUAAGCCGACGUCAGCUGGUCGUGUGGCCGGCAAAGGCUUGUCGACAAAAUGGGGGUCAUACUAUACCGCUGGUGUGCGGAAGGAGAAAAAGACCAGCUCGGAAAGCCAGGCGCGAGAGGAUCAAGAACUCAAGGAACAGGUGACGCGGAUUCCGGAGAUUGUCCAAGAGCAAGUGGAACAAUGACUCGGAGCGACGAUCACCGCCAUUGUGCCUACCUUGAUCUCGGGGUUGAGUGCGUGGAUUGCGGGCGGCCAACAGGGGCCGCCCCCGAUUCCUAGCUUCACGGCCAGCAACUCGCAUAAUGCGAUGGCGGGGCCAUUGGUGCCUCCGGCGGAGGCGGCAUUGGUGUCUCCGACGCCGGCACGGGAGCUUAAUGCACCCGGGUGUACGCCGGCCGGCACCUCUGCAGCAAGCGGCCCCUCCGUCAACUGCACGCCCGCCGUUGGCGGUGCGUCGACAUUAGCCGAGCUCGACGCCAUCAACACGGUAACUAAUUAAGCCUCUCUCGGCCGAGGACUUCAUCUCCUUGCCUUUGACUAGGCAUCCCUGACGCCCUACAUGUUUUCGCAGGGCGCCGCCGACGUUCCGUGCACUCUCCUCCACUUCGUGAACAACGAGUUGGUCGAUGUCGCCAAGGGCAAAAUCGUUCAACCGGCAACCCCUUGUUCCACGGUACCCAGAUGCCACCCAACUUGUUUAGGGUUCAACUGGUUCGGGUGUUGCCAGGCUGCGACGACUUGUUACCUCUGAUUCGACCCGUUGGGGCCGACGAUGAAGACGUGAUGACCCUCAGCGCCUGCCUGAGCUGGCCCCUAGUUUGGCCGAAGAGCCAGAUUCGUUUGGGGGCGGGGGACACCACCCCAAAGACAACACCGCCAGUCGUGCUGGUGCCAAGUCGGCCCCAUGGCAAGACCGCCGUAACGGUGCCGGACAUCCCUAUGCCACUGGAUCCAAACAUGCAUAUGGCACAGGAUCAGAAUGACGACGACAACGACGAUGAUACAUUUGGCAACGUCGAUCAGUACUUUGCCGAUCAUGGGUACGAUGGCGACUUCAUGGGGCCUCCUUCUCAAGAACCAAACCCAACAAAAGACGUGUGCGAUCUAGCUGGUACCGCAGAGAAGCCAAGUUGCAACAGGCGCCGUCUGGCGUUCAGCUCUCAGGAGACGCCUCCAGCUGCCGACUUCACCGAUCCUCAGAUAGGCGAGGUGCGAAAUAUUAUCAGCCCCAACACACUCAAGAAGGCGGUCUGUGAGCAGAACUCGGUCCCAUUACAGGAGAAGAAGAAGGCACGCAAAAGAAAGACUAAGAAGGGUGCGAGCCAGCCGGCACCGAGUACGAUCCGUGCUCAGGACGGGCCACCUUCACCGCAGGAUAUCUCGAGGAGGGUGCAUGUGGCGGGUAGGGCGAUGCUACCGACAAAUAUGCUCAAUGCUGCAACCGGUGCUAUGCGGAGUCUGCAUGACAGUGUUCUUGCUUUGGAGAAGCGGCGUCUCAGAGAGAAGGAUGUGGCAUACCCGGUUUUCGCGGCCAAGGUGCCAAAGGGCAAGGGCUUUGUGGAUAACUCCAUCGGGCGUACGAUCGUCCUGCGUUUUGAUGACAUCCACGCUAUGUUGAACCUUCAUCCGCUGCACUACACCUUCGUUCGGCUAUUUUCGCUGAGUAUGGAGAUGCGGAUCAUUCGCGACAAGACCCCGGACAUCGUGAUAGUCGACCCCUUCUACAUGCGUGCCAAGAUCUUGGGCAGCGCUGGGGACCGGCAAGUCGCGAGUUCUUACCUCGAAGGCAUCAUUCUGGCAAACCAAGAUAAGGAUAACUUCCUCGUGCCUUACUUUCCCGAGUAAGUCCUCCCCUCAACCGGCCCGUAACAUAUGAAUUCUUACAUUUCGAUCGUUUUUCUUUUAACAUUCCGUGUUUUUUGCAGUGACACACGUUGCACGCUCAUCCUCCUAAGCCCCAAAUAUUCCAUGGCCACAUAUUUCGACCCGGACUGUUAGUCGAACGUAGACUACACAAAUGUCAAGAAGGUUCUUGAUGAUGUUCUCCCCGGCUAUGCCAAAUCUGGAGGCACCUUCACCAGGCCUAAUCGUAAGUACGGCAAGCAUGUUUUCUCCCACAAUACGAUGUUCUACUGCGUCAAGCAGCCGCCUGGUGGUCAGAAGGGUGCCUACUACGCCAUCCAUCACAUGCGGGCGAUCGUACGGGACCAUCAUCAACUUCUGCUACCGAGUAAACUCAAAGAUUGGGCAAAGAGCGUGUCGGCAAUCGAGGACGCGGACCUCCGACAAGAAUUCUUUCGCAUCCAGUCGGAGUUUGCGGAAAUCAUCCAUCAAGAUGUCCUUCGUACCUCGGGGCAGUUCUACCUCAACAAUCAACCGUCCAAUAGUGACAUCGACAUAAUGCUACAAAUGCAGGCUGACAACGACCGUUAUUUCAUGACUCCCACGAUAGACGGCGGCUUCAUCCACGCUCCGGUCCCUUGAGUCGAGUCGAAAGCAGUGAUGCUGUGUCUAGUUCUGAAACAUCGAUUGGCUCAUGUUGUAAUUAAACUUUAAUGAACUUGUAGUAUGUCUCUUUGGUUUCGAGAGUCGUUCAACUUAGAUGUAAUCGAUGCUAUUAAUGUCUUGCUUUUCUCUUCCGAUUGUUCUGUUGCAUACUUAUAUAUUGCUUAUGUAUUGUCUGUGAAUUGGUACUAACGUUUCGUUUGGCUAGUGCAUAGCGAUGCCGACGUAUGUCGUGUACAAGGGUAAGGUUCCCGUAGUCUACGAUGACUGGGAGGAGUGUCGGAGACAGGUUCACCGAUUCAGCGGUAACAGUUACAAAGGGUACACCACUAGGGCCGAGGCCGAAUCUAGAUACGCCCGCUAUCUAGCGGGAGAGGGGAGGGAGCGUUGGAGGAACCGGAUGAAGACGAGUUUCAUCGUGAUGAUGCUCAUCGUGAUGACCGCAGCUCUCUUCUAUGUGAUGGUAGUUUAGAUGAUCGAUAUCGACUUGUAAUGUGAAGACAAACUCGCUACUCGCGGUCUCGAGACUUGUAAUAUAAUGUUCUAUCUUUGUUCGGUCUUUUUAAUUCGGAGACUAAUAUGAUGAAUUGUAUUCGGAGACUAAUAUGAUGAAUUGUAUUCAAAGACUAAUCUUCUAUUGUAUUCGAUGAAUCUGUUGUUGAUGUGUGCUGUCUAUAUUUUGUCAAAUUAUACAUUUUGUAACCUGUGCAAAAAACAGAAAAUAAAAAAUAAAAAAAACCUAAUAUUCAUACUAAUGACGCAUCACAUGAUAGUGCGCCAUUAGUAUGACAGUGCAUACUAAUGGCGCAUCACUGGGCAGUGCGCCAUUAGUAUGCCGCGGUUACUAAUGGCGCAUCCAGCGGUGGUGCGCCAUUAGUAUGCCAAAGCACCUGGGUAUACAUGGCCCCUGGGAGGCAUACUAAUGGCGCACCCUUGCCUAUACUAAUGGCGCACGCGCGGUGCGCCAUUAGUAUACCAGAUACUAAUGGCGCACCAGGUGGUGCGCCAUUAGUAAAAAUUACUAAUGGCGUGCUAUUAAUGGCGCACCACAGAUGCGCCAUUAAUGGCCAUUUUAGGUGCGCCAUUAGUAGGGGUUUUUCUAGUAGUGUAAUAAGCGAGAUGACGCAGUUCCUGACCGCCCCGCUACCACUACUGGUUCCAGCGUGGCGUUUGAAUUAUGCCGCGCUAGAUGCCUUUUGUCCAGCGAGGAACAAGUGGGGUCAAGCGUGCUUUGGCAAUUCCCGCCGUCAGAAGACUUCCUUGUAGUCCGGUGUAGAGGUGAGGUUGUAGGGAGAUGCAUCGACUAGGAAGGAGUGGCCACAUGAACGAGCAUAUGUAUGAUGUGAUUAAGUCUCUCGAUCGGGUAUCUGGUGCCUUACGUACGGUGUCUUAUUUUUGUCAAGCUAUGACAUCUUUCAGUUUGAGUGUCUGAUAUUAGGGUUGCAUACGUUUUGUUAUUCAGUUGCCUGUUGUCAACUCUAUGGUUAUAUCACCUCGAUGUGUGAGUCAAUGUGUUUGAACCAAUGUAGAGUUUCAUGUGAAUGUUACAAGUGUGAUUGAUAUCUUCAUGUUAUAACCGCAGUUGCCUUGGUAAGAAAUUGAAAGAGCAAACCGUUAUCGUGUUAGGAAAAAAGUCAUCGCUCAAUAUAAGUUGCUUCUCUAGAACAACCACACCUUUCCCUCAAAAAAAAGAACAACCACACCUUGUGAAAGAAGAUGGCAAACACCCAAUUAUGUCUGGUUAGAUAUGGGCAUGGCUAUGGGUAGCUUAUAGCGACACGGAAGCUAGCAUCGCCUGAAGAAACACCCGGAUGGGCCGGCCUAGAGACAAAUUUCUUCAUUUCUACCCUUAGUUUUGUUUUUCUGCCCUUUUUUCUUUAUAUUUUAUAUUUUUCCCGACAUGUUCACUACUUGAUGCUCAACUGGGAUCUCAUCUGAUGCGGAGCAUCCUAUGGACAUCACCAUGUCAAGAGUCCGUUCGGCAAGUGACACGUGUGACAUCUACUUCUCAUACAUAAAGGUGAAUCUUCUCCUUUACACGUGUUUACUUGACCCCUUCGAGGAUGGUAUACUACUUGACACUUCUCCCGUGUGCAUGCAUAGGUAUUGUCGGAGCUUCAUGGAUGUCGAGGAGGAGUGCAAGCGCCAAGGAAUGACUACACCGUCCGCGAGGGAAGCAUGGAAGAGAAGGAGGAAGAGAACCUGGCUACUCCAGAACGAGCGGUACUACUGCCCACUCCAAGCGGUACUACCGCCGAGGCCACCCAAGCGGCACUACCGCCCAGCAUCCGCCCUUCUACUGCUCAACCCGACAAACUCCAGUGAUCGAGCGGUGUAAGUCCGGUACUACUGCCCCUCCAAGCGGUACUACCGCUCAAGCGGUACUACCACCCAUGAGUCCGGUACUACCGCCCUGCCUCUGCCCAGCCGUGGGCCUUUGGCCUUGUAUCCCUCUCCCACUUACCCCUUCGUGGCUUAGACUAUAAAUAGGCCACCUCCACCUCCUUUCUAGGGUUAGCACAGAUUUAGCUCAUUUUGAGAUAGAGCUUUGCUCAUCCAUACGGAUCUACUCCUCGUGAGAGACCGCGACCUCUUCGGAGAAGAUCCAUCUUGGAUUCAAGACCCCCUCGUGGGAAGAUCCGUCUAGGAUACCAACAAGACCUCCUCUUGGAGAUGAACCUUACCUUGUAUCUUUCCCUUUGUUGUUCAUGUACCCUUGUGGAUCUUGUGUGUUUGAUUGUCUAGUGGAUGUGUGAUUGGACUUGUACUUGAGUGUUUCCCCUUGUGAUUUCUCUCCGUUCUUCCACGUGUUCUUCAUAGGGAUCCGCUCCAAACGUGAAAGAUCGGCCUCUAGGGUUCUAGCCUACAUCAUCUUGGAUCAGAGCAAGGUUGAUCACGGAUUUGGAGCCCCUACCCCUCUUUUUCUAGCCUUCUUUUGCUUGCUUUCGUCCUAAAAUCCCCACAAAAAAUAGCCCCAAUUUUUUUGUGAUUUGUUCGUUUGAUGAUUUUUUGUUGAUUUUGAUCCAUGGAUUUGCUUGGUUUUGAGUGGAUCUAGCAUCUCUCCAAGUUUCCCCACCUUCCAUCCACGAAAUCCAUCCAAUUUUGCCCCUGAAAUCAUCCUUUUCCGCCCCAAAUUCGCCCCGAUUUCGAUCUGUGAAUUUUCCCGACACGAGCGGUACUACCGCCCUCGAAGCGGUACUACCGCCCUCGAAGCGGUACUACCGCUGAGCACCACAAGCGGUACUACCACCCUCCCAAGCUAUGACGCCCGGAUAAUUAAGCUACAGUAAUCCCCUUCUAAUGGUGCCAUGUCAUCACAUUACUGUUGCUAAUCCUCGCUUGAUCCAAAUCUUAGUUCAAACUCAAAUUCAAAUUAAAGACCAAAAUUCAAAUUUCUCAAGCAUGCAAAAUAAAAUGUUCAAAGUGUGGCAAAUAAUCGCUGGAUAUUUGUCAUGUUGCAAACAACCUCUUUUGAAUUCUCAAAAUGCCCCUGGGAAUUAAUUUUUGGUCCAGUAGUAAAUUAAAUGGCAUUUGCAAAAUAAAGAAUUGUUUAUUUAACUCCAAUUGCCUCCAAACUUUAUGUGCCACUCCAAAAUAUUUGUGGCUCUGUCUAAGAUCGCCAAGGAAUUAAAAGGGCACUUCCCAUAUUUUCCCUAAGUAAAUAGUGUGCCCAAAAUAUUCUCUUAACCAUCUCUAUUUUUUUAAAUAAAAAAAGGCGAAGAAGAACUCCCCCGGGCCUCGGGCCACUCCCACUUACCAGCCCACCUAAGCCGGCCCACUCCCCCGCUCCCCUAGCCUAUAGGCCACGGCCGACCGAACCCUAACCCCGCAUGAUCCCCCCACUCCCCACUCCUCUCCCCUCUCGAUCCGAUCUGGAUCGGACCGAAACCGGCGCAAUUGGUCGAUCCAUGUAUAAAGUAAAAAUAACUAGGCCCAAUUGGUCGAUCCAUGACAGUUUUCGUGACGGUACUUCCACGUCUGUCAUGAGGGGGCUACCCUACUUGGCCCCAAAUGGAUCUUGCUAAUUGGUGACGGUUUCCGUGAUAGAUUUCUGGAACGUCACCAGAAAUCCGUCAUUGAUUAACAGAUUUCCGCACAAUCCCCCCACUCCCCACUCCUCUUCCCUCCUGAUCCGAUCUGGAUCGGACCGAAAUCGGCGCCGCGACGCCAACCGCCGUCGCUGGAGGCGUCCCCGACUCCACGCCGGGCCGCCCCGUCACUGGACCUCCUCCCCGUCGCCACUCGUCACUCGCUGGACCGCCUCGUCCCCACCAAUGCCGCCCCCACCCCAACGUCCCCGACGCCUUCGCCGUCGGCACCGCCCCAAUGUCGCCGCCACCCGACGCCGGCGCCCUCGACAUCGCCACCCCGAGCCCACUGCCACCCCUACGCUCCGCUAUGAGCCCCUCGCUGAUUCCCCCUCCUUCCCGUCGUCGUAGGUGGCUGCGCGCGUCGUUGGCCAUCGUGGCCGCGCUCCGGCCGUUCCCCAUCCGUGCGCUGGCCUCGCCUUCCUCGGAUUGCAAACAUUGAACUUUUCCCCUCGGGUUCAUCUAUCUGACAGACGUUCGGGACCAGAAAAACUUUCCCGGAUGUUUCCCCCUUCGCCAGUAUCACCUAGCACCGCGUUAGAACACUUCUAGCCCCGCUUAUUGUCUUGUUAUGCAUAUGUUUGCGUGUAUUUACUGUUUCUUCCCCCUCUUCUUCUCCGGUAGACCUCGAGACCGUUGCUGAUGCCCCUGUGGUCGACUACGUCGACGGCGACCCUCCUUGUCUGAGCAACGAGGCAAGCCCCCCCUUUGAUCAUCCCGAUAUCGCCCAUUCCAUUCUCUAAUGCUUGCACUAGAUUUUCUACUGUAUUUGAUUGCUCCUAUUCUGAUGCAUAGCAUGCUUUUCUACCUGCUGUUGUACCUUACCUGCUUAUCCUAAACUGCUUAGUAUAGGUUGGCUAGUGAUCCAUCAGUGACCCCCACCUUGUCUUUGUUGCCCCUGCUUCAUCAUUGACGACUCGAUCAACGUGAUCGACGACCGGAGCCUGACACCUCACAUCACAUCACGCCCCUUUUUGUUGCUCGACUCUGCAGAGUUACCAUCGAGUGCCGAGGGUGGAACCUCAUACAUCACUCCUUAUGAGAUCUCUGUAGUGUAGCUAUUCGGUCGUGGUCAUCGAGGGUGGUUCCUCCUUCACCAUUCCUAAUACGGCUCUGUCGUGCAACACCUCAAGUGUGAACCUCGAGGGUGGUUCCUCUUACGUUCACCUUGAUGAUUACAUCGAGUGGAAUCCACCGGGGGUGAUUCCUCGGAUUUUCCCCUUUAUGUCUGGACACACAGUUACCUUGACUUCACUUGAGACCGUUUUGAAAGCCGGGCAGGCCCGGAGAGCACCCGUGCGGUGUGACGGUGGCGGCUGGCUGUUUAGCGGUAUCACCCGGGAGGGGGUGAUAGCUCCGGACUUGUCCCGACAGCCGUCACUUCUUUUAAUAAUGCACUAACAGGUUUGGGUAUUUUUUCUAAGUUCACUAACCACGACGCUAGAAUAGUUAUGGGUCUCGAUGUUGCAGUAUCAGCCGAAGCUUUCUCAGACGUCCAGUUCAGCAUUGUGGCCGGGCCGAAUCAUGCCAUCCACUUCACGGGUGGUGCUGGUAUCCCCUUGCGCACAACGACCCAGAGUGCAACGGGCGAUGGGCCCAGACCCCGGAGUGCUUAGGAUGUAGACCGGCAGGGACCUCUCUGCUGAGCCUAGGUAGGGCAGCUACGUGUUGAUCUUCCGAGGCCGGGCAUUGACCCCAGAAAGGUGUGUCCUUCCAGAGUGAUCGAGCGUGUUGGGUAACGUGGUGCCCCCCUGCAGGGAAGAUUAUCUAUUAAUAGCCGUGUCCACGGUAACGGACGUUCAAACUUAUAUCUUGAUCUUAUACAACUACAAAUGGAUACUUGAGAUAUGUGGCUCCGGGAUUGCUUUCUCGCAGGGAGUCGAGGAAGGAUCUCUGGGCGUUGUUGUCACAACAUGCUUGUUAAUUAAACUGCUAUUCUUUACUCUUCUACAUGCUGCAAGAUGCUUGGAGCUACUUGAAGAUGCUAGUCUUCAUGAGGCUAGGCCUUCCCCUCUAUUCUGGCAUUCUGCAGUUCAGUCCACAGAUACAACCCUUCCAUUUGAUACCAAUGCAUACUUAGUAUAGAUCUGAUGCUUGCGAGUACUUUGGAUGAGUACUCACGGUUGCUUUGCUACCCCAUUUCCCCCUUCUUUCUUCUUUCCGGUUGACGCAACCAAAUGGUGGAUCCCUGGAGCCAGAUGCCAGCGCUGAUAGAUGCUACUAUGUGAAGAUCGCCGACGACCAGGAGUAGUUAGGAGGUCCCAAGCAGGAGGCCUUGCCUCUUCGAUCAUUGUUGCUUUUGUGCUAGCCUUCUUAAGGCAUCUUUGUUUAACUUAUGUCUGUACUCAGAUAUUGUUGCUUCCGCUGACUCUUGUGUAUCGAGCUAUGUAUUCAAGCCCUCGAGGCCCCUGGCUUGUAAUAUAAAGCUUGUAUUAUUUUGAUUUGUGUCUAUAGUUGUGUUGUGAUAUCUUCCCGUGAGUCCCUGAUCUUGAUCAUACACAUUUGCGUGCAUGAUUAGUGUACGAUUGAAUCGGGGACGUCACAAGUUGGUAUCAGAGCCGACUGUUUGUAGGAUCCCCCUUUCCAACUCCUUGGCUGAAGUUGAGUCUAGUCUUUGAAAAAAAUUGUUUUACUAACAUGGUUGUGUGGCUUACGGGCCCAUGUCGCCAUUGGGUGGUAUUAGGAUCUUUUACUCCUCGACCUUUACUCUGGGACUCUAAUCGCUCUUCUAUUCGGGUUAAAUGGUCUCGCAAACUAUAACUCUAGGUUCUCGUAAAUACUUUCUCCCGGAGAGCCCCUUCAUUCCAGAUGAUGGCCUGCUUCACCAGAUGAUUUCGAAGAUACCCUUCUGUAAUUUCCUGAGACUUUUGUACUCAUUGCUUUUGCAGUUCCCUACCUCUGAUAUAUCCUUACGGAUAACUUCAUACACUUGUCAUUCAUACAAUCAUUCCUAGUUGCUCUUGUUUUUACAAGAUACAUUGAAUUAUUCUCCGACUUUUAAGAAUCCCUUGCUUACUGCCCUGCAGUUCCUUGCCGCAUGAAUACCCCUACGGAUAAUUACUCGCACUUGCCGAGUAUCCGUUCGUCCAUAGUUGUUCAUGUGUUUCACAACAUUCUUUGGAAAGCUAUUUGAUCUUUUCAAAAAUCCUCAGUAGCCUAUUACUCUUGUUCCUCCUUACCUACUUACAGUAUGGUUACUUCCAUUUGUCUAGCAAUAUUCUUUAAAAUCCUUUGCGAUUGACAUCCUUACCCUAUUGUUUCAACAUGUGUGUGAAUGCACGCAAUCAUCAAUUGUUCCCUGGAAUUGUCCUUCUGGCUCAGACGUUACCCCGGACACGAGCUGGUGUUCGACAAAACAAACCUUGAUUGAUUUUGAAUCUAUGUCUAUACAACUUAAUUGUCUUUGAUCAGAGCCUCUGCUUUUGAUCCCCCAUUUUGAAAAUCAUAAUCCCCUUUGCAUUCGAGCAUAGAAUUAGUCAGUUGUUUCUAUAACCUGACCUCCUUGAAUUCUUUCUUCUUCUGGUUGAGUAUCGAUACUCACAUCAGAUCCAUUGUGGACCUCCAGGUCCUUUGUUGGUUUUUAUCCGACAGCAUCCUUCAUAUUCAGUAACCUUGUGAGCCUUUCCUCGAAUACACAAUGCCUUUGGUAAAUUGUAUCCCCCACUCUCGUCAACCAUACUCUGCUUCCGGGCUUGAGUUAUUUACUCGUGAAGUUUGUGGUAUAUGUUCCUAAUAUGUCCCUAUGGGUUGAAUCUAUGUCUUCCCUAAAUCUGUGUGAACCCUACGACUCAUACUCUACUGGUGUUAUGCCAGAUAAAAUCUCAACAGUACGGCUUCGUUGAAAAUGAGAAGUGAAUGAAAGGUUAUGCAUCGAAGAAGUGGGAGUCGACCUUGAGCCUUGUGUUCAUGCCCAUGGACACGAUGUGGAACUUAACAUGGAAGCUUCUUUUUAUAAUAAUAGCCCCCUAGCGAUAAGUACAUCUUGUAUCCAUGUGUGGUCCAUUGCAAUCGUGGUUCCGACCAUAUUGUUCUUGUUUGAUCCAUUUAUCGGACAAGUUAAAGUACUUGUCUUCUUCAAAUUGUUUCACAUGUUCAACCUCUACAUUGAUAUACCUUCGAGCAUUAUCCUCUGGUAUCUCGAGAAUAUCACGGAACUACAUAACUUCUUAUGAGUUCUUGAUCAACUAUUAUUUCUCACUGAUUCAAAUUUUUCACUAGUUGGGAGUUGUUAGACACUCGAGAAUACAGUUAACUGAUUCAAGUCUACGCUUUCCUUUCCAUUGUUCUGUUUAAUCUUUCUGGUAACCUAUCUUAUCUGAGAACUGAUAAUUCCCUGCUUAUGUAAACACCUCGGUGUACAAGCUCUGUCUGUAAGACCUUGUUACUAUUGUUGAGGACAUUCCGAUAGCUACCGAUGGACGAGAACUUUGCCUAUUGGUCCGCCUCAUCUUAACGAGCAGGAAAAUGGUUCUCUUUGUCCCUCUCCCUUGGUACCAACGUUGUUGCCAACAUAACUGACAAGUUGUCCUCUGACCUGCCUUGCUAUCAUGACCAUGCAAAAUGCUAGCGCCCUUCCUGCUUUUAACCCACAAGGUGGGCCUGAGGGAGUCCUGGACUAGGCGGUGUCCGGACAGCCGGACUAUCAUCGUCCGCCGGACUCCAAGACUACGAAGAUACAAGAUUGAAGACUCCGUCCCGUGUCUGGAUGGGACUUUCCUUGGCGUGGAAGGCAAGCUUGGAAAUACGGAUAUGUAGAUCUCCUACCAUUGUAACCGACUCUGUGUAACCCUAGCCUCCUCCGGUGUCUAUAUAAACCGGAGGGCUUUAGUCCGUAGGACACAACAUACAUUACAACAAUCAUACCAUAGGCUAGCUUUAGGGUUUAGCCUCCUUGAUCUCGUGGUAGAUCCACUCUUGUACUACCCAUAUCAUCAAUAUUAAUCAAGCAGGAUGUAGGGUUUUACCUCCAUCGAGAGGGCCCGAACCUGGGUAAAACAUCGUGUCCCUCGUCUCCGGUUACCAUCCGCCUAGACGCACAGUUCGGGACCCCCUACCUGAGAUCCGCCGAUUUUGACACCGACAUUGGUGCUUUUAUUGAGAGUUCCUCUGUGUCGUCACCAAUAGGCUCGAUGGCAUCUUCAACCAACAACGCUGUCCAGGGUGAGACUUUUCUCCCCGGACAGAUCUUUGUAUUCGGCGGCUUCGCACUGCGGGCUAAUUCGUUUGGCCAUCGGAGCAGAUCGAAAGCUACGCCCCUGGCCGUCAGGUCAGAUUCGGAAGUCUCAACUUCACGGCCGACGUCCGCGGAGACUUGAUCUUCGACGGGCUCGAGCCACAGCCAAGCGCGCCGCACUGUUACGAUGGGCAUGAUCUAGCUCUGUCGCCGAACAGUGCCUUGGUGGCCGCCCACGAAUCCGCUUCGGCCUUUAGUCCGGGGCCGAUCGCCCAGACCGAGGAACGGUGGAUGGACACCGCCUCGGGGGCUUCAACUUCCACGGCGAUGGAGCCGAACACUAAUCUUGUCCCUCGCAAAACUCGUGAUUCCGAGGUGCCGGACUCCUUGCCGGACUCCGAAGCUCCCACGCCCCUACCAACCGAAUCGGAUUGGGCGCCGGUUAUGGAAUUCACCGCCGCGGACAUCUUCCAAUACUCGCCUUUUGGCGACAUCCUGAAUUCGCUAAAGCAUCUCUCGUUAUCAGGAGAGCCCUGGCCGGACUAUGGCCAGGAUGGUUGGGAUACGGACGACGAAGAAAUUCAGAGCCCACCCACCACCCACUUUGUAGCCACUGUCGACGAUCUAACCGACAUGCUAGACUACGACUCCGAAGACAUCAACGCUAUGGACGACAAUGCCAGAGACGAACAGGAACCAGCGCCUACAGGGCACUGGAAGACCACCUCGUCAUAUGACAUAUACAUGGUGGAUACCCCAAAAGACGGGGACGGCGAAGAAACAGCGGAGGCAUAUUCUUUAAAGAAACAGCCCAAGCGCCGGCAUCAGCGGCGCUGCUCUAAAUCCCGCCACGGCAAGAAUGGAGAUUCCAGCACAGGAGAUAAUAAUACCCCAGAAAGUGCCGAAGAUAACCCCCUCCAGCAAGACUCAGCGCAGGAGGAUGCAGAAGCAAGCCCUCACGAGAAGGCGGCAGACAAAGAGGUUGAGGAUUACAACUAUAUGCCUCCCUCCGAAGACGAGGCAAGCCUCAACGAUGACGAAUUCGUCGUGCCCGAGGAUCCCGUCGAACAAGAGCGUUUUAAACGCAGGCUUAUGACCACGGCAAAUAGCCUAAAGAAAAAGCAGCAGCAGCUUCAAGCUGAUCAGGACCUGCUGGCCGAUCGAUGGACCGAGGUCCUCGCGGCCGAAGAGUAUAAACUCGAAUGCCCCUCCAAAAGCUAUCCAGGACGCAAGCUGCUCCCCCGAUUAGAGGAGGAAGCAUACAUACCUCCAUCACCAGCGCACGAUACGGCUGACCGACCACCCCGUGGUCGUGACAGAGAGGCAUCCAGGCCCCCAACCAAGACCGUACCCCGGCAUCGCUCGAAAAGUAUGAAGCCAAGAGGGAACGCGCCGGACUUGCGAGAUAUAUUGGAGGACAAAGCAAGGCAAUCCAGAUCCAUCUACGGAUCACGGGGGUGCCCCACGACCCAUGACGAAUACCGUCGCGCCGGAUACAAUAACCCCGGCCGGGCCGAACACAGCAGACAACGCUCUCUCGAGUUGCAUCGUGAUAUUGCUCAAUAUAGAGGCGCCGCACACCCGCUAUGCUUCACAGACGAAGUAAUGGAUCAUCAAAUCCCUGAAGGGUUUAAACCCGUAAACAUCGAAUCCUACGAUGGCACAACAGACCCUGCGGUUUGGAUCGAAGAUUACCUUCUCCACAUCCAUAUGGCCCGCGGCGACGAUCUACAUACCAUCAAGUACCUCCCACUCAAGCUUAAAGGACCAGCUCGGCAUUGGCUCAACAGCUUGCUCGCAGAGUCAAUUGGGUGUUGGGAAGACCUAGAAGCCGCAUUCCUUGAUAACUUCCAGGGCACGUAUGUGCGACCACCAGACGCCGAUGACCUAAGUCACAUCAUUCAGCAGCCAGACGAAUCGGCCAGACAAUUCUGGACACGGUUCUUGACAAAGAAAAAUCAAAUCGUCGACUGUCCGGAUGCAGAGGCCCUUGCAGCCUUCAAACAUAACACCCGCGACGAAUGGCUAGCCCGGCACCUGGGGCGGGAAAAGCCGAAAUCCAUGGCAGCCCUCACAUCAUUAAUGACCCGCUUUUGCGUGGGAGAGGAUAGCUGGCUAGCUCGCAGCAACAAUCUCCGUAAAAAUUCUGGCAGUCCAGACACCAAGAACAAUAAUGGCAGGUCACGUCGAAACAAAAACAAACGCCGCAUCAACGGCAAUGAUAAGGAGGAUACGGCAGUCAACGCCGGAUUCCGAGGCUCUAAACCCGGUCAACGGAAGAAGCCAUUCAAAAGAACCACUCCGGGUCCGUCUAAUUUGGACCGAAUACUCGACCGCUUAUGCCAGAUACAUGGCACCCCUGAAAAGCCAGCUAAUCACACUAAUAGAGACUGCUGGGUGUUCAAGCAGGCAGGUAAGUUAAUUGCCGAAAACAAUGACAAGGGGCUAAACAGCGAGGACGAGGAGGAGACCCGACCGCCGAACAAUAGAGGACAAAAGGGUUUUCCCCCACAAGUGCGGACGGUGAACAUGAUCUACGCGACCCAUAUACCCAAUUGGGAGAGGAAGCGUGCACUAAGGGACGUCUAUGCGAUGGAGCCAGUCGCCCCGAAGUACAAUCCAUGGUCCUCUUGUCCGAUCACUUUCGAUCGAAGAGACCAUCCGACCAGCAUACGCCAUGGCGGAUUCGCCGCAUUGGUUCUAGACACAAUCGUCGAUGGAUUUCACCUCACGAGAGUCCUGAUGGACGGCGGUAGUAGCCUGAACCUGCUUUAUCAGGACACAGUGUGCAAAAUGGGCAUAGACCCCUCAAGGAUUAAACCUACAAAGACAACCUUUAACAGUGUCAUACCAGGUGUGGAAGCCAACUGUACAGGCUCAGUCACACUGGAAGUGGUCUUCGGAUCCCCGGACAAUUUCCGGAGCGAGGAGUUAAUCUUCGACAUAGUCCCGUUUCGCAGCGGCUAUCACGCUCUGCUCGGACGAAUCGCGUUCGCAAAAUUCAACGCGGUGCCGCAUUGUGCAUACCUCAAGCUCAAGAUGCCAGGCCCUCAUGGAGUCAUCACGGUCAAUGGGAAUACGGAACGCUCCCUCCGAACGGAGGAACAUACAGCGGCUCUCACGGCAGAAGUACAGAGCAGCCUUUUAAGGCAAUUCUCGAGUCCGGCCAUUAAACGGCCGGAUACAUCAAAGCGCGCCCGAAGCAAUACCAACCAAGACCACCUGGCGUGAUCAGAGCACGCGUAGCAAUGCGGCCCCAACCCCCGCCCGCGCGUGAUUGCAAGAAUAACCCUCCGCGUACAUCAUUACGCUUUGGAGAUACCAUGGGCGCAGGGGAAGGGGCACGAUCACAACGGACCCAGAGUGCAGUUCGACCGCACCAGGGGCUCGCAAGUGUGCCCCCUUUUUUUUAUUGUUAUUUUCCCUCUUUGUGUACACAGGACUCCGUUAGCCAGAGGCCCUAUCCGGCGGUGAACCUGCCGAACUCAUGAUGCAAUAACCAGGGAAGAAAGAACGCUGCGACGAACACUCAGGUGGUCUCAAUUACAAGCAUUAAAUUCGAUUAUAUACACCAAGUCCGCAGCUUACCCUUGGAGGGGGACAUGUUUAAUUAGUCCAAAUCCCUUGCUUACCACACUAUUUGUAUCAGUCCGCACUCAUAGCAGACUUUCUUUCAUAAAUAAUGCAGCACCUUUUUGACUGCAAUUACAUUACCUUUUAUAUAUAUAUGCUCAUUACAUGACAUCUUGCACCCGUAUAUUUUGGUACGGCCUAAUACACCAGGGGCUUAUGUUCCCCACAUUAUGGUGUGAUAAGUCCGAACACUUUCGUAAGUGCAGCACCCCGAACUUAUAGCACUAUAUGAAUCGGCUCCGAAUCAUGUCUUGGGUCAAUAGUUGGGUUUGCCCGGCUCCCACGUUUUGGUGCCUUACGUUCCGUUCUGUCGGCUAAGGUGGCACUGGGAGAACCACUGCGAUUGCGCCCCGGUUGAGCCGGGCGAGCACCUCAGUGGAGAAAGCUAAAACUGACCGGCAUGAUAAGGCGAGAGACUGGUCGCUGUUCGAGAGGUUUUUUCGGGUCCUUAAAGACUCACGCCACUUCGAGCGAAGUUCCGGACCAUGUCUGACGAAGGCGUGGAUAGCGCCCCGGAUUCGGCCUUUCGGAUACCAGGGGCUUCGCCGAAAUUUAAAAUUAUAGAAUUCUAUGGCUAAGUGAGAGUGUUCAAGCAUUAUAAGUCCGGUCGCCUUGUUCGUUGUGUUGAGCACCUCCCUAGAUGGACCCAAAAAUGGGAAUAAGAGUGCUCAAGUUUAUCCCGAACACCCCAGCACUCGUGGCUCGGGGGCUGAAGCCAAUGACUUUCCAUCUCUCAGAUUUUAUAAACGGCCGCACAGAAGGUAAUAUUUUAAAUUAAAACAAGCGUUGCUCAUGGCGCAUCUGAACGAAGUUUUCAGCGCACAGGAUAAUACAUAGCGAGUUCACUCAAAGAUUACAUUUCUAGGGCACUCAUCCGCAAUAUCGCGGGCUCCCUUCAGGACAGUUUUAUAAUACAUUUCAGGCGUGCGAUACUCCUUGCCCGGCGGCGGUGGGUCUGUGAGAAGCUUCUCCGCAUCCAACCUGCCCCAAUGCACCUUUGUGCGGGCAAGGGCCCGACGAGCACCUUCAAUACAGGCGGAGCGCUUGAUGACCUCCACCCAGGGGCAUGCAUCCACCAGCCGCCGCACGAGGCCGAAGUAGCUACCAAGCAUGACCUGUUCAGGCCACAGCCGGACUAUAAGGCCCUUCAUGGCCUCUUCAGCUACCUUGUGGAGUUCGACCAGCUGCUUCAGCUGGUCGCUUGGGGGCACCGGAUGGCCUGCCUCAGCGUACUAAGACCAGAAGACCUUCUCCGUUGAGCUCCCCUCCUCGCCACGAUAGAAUGCGGCGGCAUCGGAGGCACUACACGGCAGAUCUGCAAACACCCCUGGAGAGCUCCGAAUGCGGGUAAUUGUCAGGUAGUUUACAUUAACAUGCUUGCUUUGCAUGAAAAAUGCCUUACCCGCCGCUAUCUUCUUUACAUCUUCAACCUCCUGAAGGGCCUUACGGGCCUCGGCCUUGGCGGACUUGGCACUUUCGAGAGCCGAGGCAAGCUCGGACUCUCGAGUCUUGGAGCCUCCUGCUUUUCUCGCUCCGCCCGUUCCGCGACCGCACUGCGUUCAGCCGCGGACACAGCCUCCUUCAGGGCUGCCACCUCGUUCGUGGCCCCUGCAAUACCCAUAUUAUCCUUGUUAAUUUUAUUGCAACCAAAAUCCUUUUCCGUAAGGUGACUAUUCAAAGCGGUGUUACUCACCUUCUUUGUCCUCGAGCUGCUUCUUGGCAGUGCCGAGCUCUUGCUCGGACCGCUCGAGAUCCUGCUUCAACACAUCGACCUCCGCCGUCAGUGCGGCAGAGGUCAGUAGCGCAGCCUGCAAACCCAUAUUGACAUAUUUUAAGCAACCCUGCGUAUAUCUUGUUAGAUCCUCAGUCCGGCUUUUCUUUCCGAACACCGAACUGAGCAUCAAGGGCUACUGUCUAUGCGGUAUUACAUUACAUAAUUUUAACUUCUUACCUCAAAGCCUGUUAGAAGGCUGCUGCAGGCUUCGGUCAGCCCGCUCUUGGCGAGCUAAACCUUUUGAAUCACCGCACUCAUGUUAGUGCGAUGUUUUUCCUCGAUGGAAGCGCCUUCAAGCGCCUCCAACAAGUUAUCCGGCGCCUCCGGUUGGACGGAGGUCGCCGGUGUCAAGGUCUUGCCCUUCUUUCGAAGGGGCCGCCCGCCGGACUCUAGAACCACUGCGGGUUCCGAUGUAGAGUCCGGCACAAAGUCUGGGAGGCAGCCUGACGACGCCUCCGGAGCCUCCUCCUGAUGGGUCCCUCUCUGGGAUCCCACCUCGGCGUCCCCGUCGGCGCGGGGGGUAGAGGCGGUCGGAAGUGAAUCCACAUCUAACGGGGCCAACGACCCGCUCGAUGAAGCGGGGAGAUCAUCAUCGGCCGGACUACGGACAGAACGCGGCAUUAGAAGGACACUACGCGACACGAAAGAAAUUGCAUAUCAUGGAUCCGGAUACUUACGAUCUUGUCGGACGCCUGGCCCUUGGAGGCCACUCAUCCUCGCCAACGGUGGUGUUGGCGAAACUGUCCGGGGGGAUAGUCCUCCCCCUCUUGGACCCUUCGGCCUCCCCUAUUGGGAAAGCCUUCCACUUCUUCUCUCCCUCCUCCGAGAGAGAGUCCUCUUCCUCCUCCUCGUCUUUGGGGGAGGAGUCCGCCUCGUCGUCGGACGCCUAAUUGCGGGAACUCUUUCGAGUCCCCGCGGCCACCUUCUUGGCCUUCUUCUCCGGCACCACGUGCGGUGCCGGAACCAGCAGCCCUGCUAAACGGGCGUUCUCUGGGUCUUCAGGCAUGGGAGCCGGGCUGAUGAGCUGCUUGGCCUUCUCCAUCCAUUCCUAUCAAAGGAAAAGAGAGAUUGAAACCCUCUUAGAAUCAGUUUAAUUACCACAAGUGUCCCGUAACGUGGUUGAAUCACUUACCUCGUCAGCCGGAUGCUGCGAGCGAAAUCCGUGAUCUUCCGUCGCGGAUGCGGGGGCUUCGGCGCCCUUAAACAGCACCCUCCAGGCGCCUUCGUAUGUCGUAUCGAAGAGCCCGCUCAGCGCCUGGUGCUGUUCCGGAUUGAACUCCCACAGAUUGAAUACCCGUUCUUGGCAUGGGAGAAUCCGGCGGAUGAGCAUGACUUGGACCACGUCGACGAGCCUGAGCUUAUUGCUCACCAGCUUCUGGAUGCAGGCUCGGAGUCCCGUCACCUCCUUCGGAUUUCCCCACAGCAAGCCCUUCUCUUUCCAGGAGGUGAACUGCGUGGGGACGCCAGAUCUAAACUCGGGGGCCGCCGCCCAUGUGGGCUUGCGCAGCUCGGUGAUGUAGAACCAACCCGAUUGCCACCCCUUGACGGAGUCCACGAAGGCCCCUUCGAGCCAAAGGACGUUGGGCAACUUACCCAACAUGGCGCCUCCGCAUUCCGCUUGCGUGCCCUUCACAACCUUCGGCCUCCCCUAUUGGGGAAGCCUUCCUCUUCUUCUCUCCCUCCUCCGGGAGAGAGUCCUCUUCCUCCUCCUCGUCUUCGGGGGAGGAGUCCGCCUCGUCGUCAGACGCCUGAUUGCGGGAACUCUUUCGAGUCCCCGCGGCCACCUUCUUGGACUUCUUCUCCGGCACCACGUGCGGUGCCGGAACCAGCAGCCCUGCUAAACGGGCGUUCUCUGGGUCUUCAGGCAUGGGAGCCGGGCUGAUGAGCUGCUUGGCCUUCUCCAUCCAUUCCUGUCAAAGGAAAAGAGAGAUUGAAACCCUCUUAGAAUCAGUUUAAUUACCACAAGUGUCCCAUAACGGGGUUGAAUCACUUACCUCGUCAACCGGAUGCUGCGAGCGAAAUCCGUGAUCUUCCGUCGCGGAUGCGGGUGCUUCGGCGCCCUUAAACAGCACCCUCCAGGCGCCUUCGUAUGUCGUAUCGAAGAGCCCGCUCAGCGCCUGGUGCUGUUCCGGAUUGAACUCCCACAGAUUGAAUGCCCGUUCUUGGCAUGGGAGAAUCCGGCGGAUGAGCAUGACUUGGACCACGUCGACGAGCCUGAGCUUAUUGCUCACCAGCUUCUGGAUGCAGGCUCGGAGUCCCGUCACCUCCUUCGGAUUGCCCCACAGCAAGCCCUUCUCUUUCCAGGAGGUGAACUGCGUGGGGACGCCAGAUCUAAACUCGGGGGCCGCCGCCCAUGUGGGCUUGCGCAGCUCGGUGAUGUAGAACCAACCCGAUUGCCACCCCUUGACGGAGUCCACGAAGGCCCCUUCGAGCCAAAGGACGUUGGGCAACUUACCCAACAUGGCGCCUCCGCAUUCCGCUUGCGUGCCCUUCACAACCUUCGGCUUGACGUUGAAGGUCUUGAGCCACAGGCCGAAGUGGGGCCGGAUGCAGAGGAAGGCCUUGCACACGACGAUAAACGCCGAGAUGUUGAGGAUGAAGUUCGGCGCCAGAUCGUGGAAAUCCAGGCCGUAGUAAAACAUGAUCCCCCGGACGAAUGGGUGGAGUGGAAAGCCCAGUCCGCGGAGGAAGUGGGGAAGGAAGACGACCCUCUCAUGGGGCCCAGGGGUAGGGAUGAGCUGCCCCUCGUCGGGCAGCCGAUGCGCGAUAUCGCCGGAAAGGUAUCCGGCGCUGCGAAGCUUGGUGAUAUGCUCCUCCUUAACGGUGGAGUCCAACCAUUUGCCUCCCGCUCCGGACAUAUUCGGAGAAGGUCGGGGCGAGAUGCGCGAGCUUGGGCGUUGGAGCUUGAGUGCACGGAGAUGGAUAAGCAAAGGAGGAAGAAGGCGUAGGUGAGAAGGUAAAUCCUUAUCCCUUAUAUAUAGGCGGACGAAAACUAUGCGUCCCCACCGGCCUGAUAAAACUCGCUUAUCUCCCAAGCGCCACCAUCAAUGGCGCGGUUGGGUUACCCACGUCCGUAUUGAUGGGAAUCCCGGAAUAAGGGGAACACAAUCUCUGCUUCGACAAGACGUGCCAAGGAAACCGCUUCGCUAAACGUGCUGAGGUGGUAUAGUAAAAAACGAUUCAAACAAAGGCUUGGUAGCGGUGUGAUGUCACGCCGCAUAAUACGUCAGCAGAUUGGACUGGUGUACAUUUUAUUCUCUCUACGGUGGAAUGUGGAAUUUAUUUUGCAGAGCCGGACACUAUCCUGGUGUUCAUGAUCUUCUCUGGAUUAUUCAAGGGAGGAACCCGCCUUGCAAUGCCGAACAUUAUGCGCGCCGGACUUAUCGUCAUUGAAGCCUGGUUCAGGGGCUACUGAGGGAGUCCUGGACUAGGGGGUGUCCGGACAGCCGGACUAUCAUCGUCCGCCGGACUCCAAGACUACGAAGAUACAAGAUUGAAGACUCCGUCCCGUGUCCAGAUGAGAUUUUCCUUGGCGUGGAAGGCAAGCUUGGCAAUACGGAUAUGUAGAUCUCCUACCAUUGUAACCGACUCUGUGUAACCCUAGCCUCCUCCGGUGUCUAUAUAAACCGGAGGGCUUUAGUCCGUAGGACACAACAUACAUUACAACAAUCAUACCAUAGGCUAGCUUUAGGGUUUAGCCUCCUUGAUCUCGUGGUAGAUCCACUCUUGUACUACCCAUAUCAUCAAUAUUAAUCAAGCAGGACGUAGGGUUUUACCUCCAUCGAGAGGGCCCGAACCUAGGUAAAACAUCGUGUCCCUCGUCUCCUGUUACCAUCCGCCUAGAUGCACAGUUCGGGACCCCCUACCCGAGAUCCGCCGGUUUUGACACCGACAGGGCCCAUAACCCACAGUUCCACAGGAUCGAAACCUGACUCAUGUACAUCCCUGUUUUUCAAAGUUGUUCCUCGCGCUUGGAUUCGUAUGUAAUUCACGAGCCACCUUCCUUGUGAUCUGUUCUGGUAUCAGAUGCAAUACUUAUUCCCAUUGCUCUAAACCCCUUUCACCUUCUUACCUUGCUCUCGAUGACUAUCCUGAAUUCCAACUCAAGAGAUGCCUCUAUGCCAUGUUGAGGUACCUAUCUUGUGUUGAGCUCCAUCCCUCCCGAGUCUUUCCCCCUUACUCACCCCUUAAAUCUCGAGACGAUAUUUCUUGUAGUGGAGGAGAAUUGUGACGCCCAAAUAAUUAAGCUACAGUAAUCCCCUUUUAAUGGUUCCAUGUCAUCACAUUACUAUUGCUAAUCCUCGCUUGAUCCAAAUCUUAGUUCAAACUAAUAUUCAAAUUAAAGACCAAAAUUCAAAUUUCUCAAGCAUGCAUAAUAAAAUGUUCAAAGUGUGGCAAAUAAUCCCUGGAUAUUUGUCAUGUUGGAAACAACCUCCUUAGAAUUUUCAAAAUGCCCCUGGGAGUUAAUUUUUGGUCAAGUAGUAAAUUAAAUGGCAUUUGCAAAACAAAUAAUUAUUUAUUUAACUCCAAUUGCCUCCUGUCGUGGGAAACGAACACCUAUGGGGCAGGGCCCCUUUUCGGUCUGGCAAGGGAGCGGAGGGCACACGAAGAGCAGAUCGAGGCGAAGCACGCGGGGGAAUUUUACCCAGCUUCGGAGCUCUCCGGAGAGAUAAAACUCCUACUGCUGCUUUGUGUUUCUAUUCUGUUCUUGCUCAAGAGUGUGGGUGUGUUGUAGUUUCGAAUGAGUCGAACCCCUUCUACGUGCGCAUGGGCCUCCUUUUUAUAGUCUAAAGGGGUCACCGACAGGUGGCAGCAUAGAGAGAGGGGUAAAAAAGUAAAAACGCGGGUUGGUACAACCGCUAUCAACAGUGCCCCCUACCUAACUCUGACAGCAGGGGACAAGGGCAUUUAAUGCCCAUCCGGUCGCCCAAACAGUGCAGGAAGUGACCGUUAGGGGCGCCACCAAUCGCCACGAUGGCCUCCUAGUCAUCUUCACUUGCCACCUCGCACCGCUUGGCUGCACAGCUACCCGCCACGUGCACCGGGAGCGAUCCUGCGGCGACACGUCAUCGGAUGCGCUGGAGCAUGGGCGCAGAGUUGUGGCUUUGCCGCGGCAAGCGCCUUGCCGCGGUCACUAUCUUGUUGCACCCGCAAGCUUGCCGCUCGCCGGGUCUUGGUUGGCCUUCCCGGCAAGAUCCUCCUGCCGGGGUCUUGUCCUUCCCGGCAAGCUUCUCUUGCCGGGGCUUCGUCUUCACAGUUAACACUUUGUUCUUGAAUGGCAGUAAAUAGGAAUGACGAAGGAUCUUGGCGGACGCCCGGCAAGCCUUGCCGCAGGACGCUGCGCCUGCCCGUGCACAAGUUCGGGGUACUAAGGUACCCCUACUUUAGUACACCGACUGGAGCCCCCGGGCCUGGGCCAUACACGGUGCUGAGCGCUGUUGGGCCAGGCCCAAAACAGGACACGGGCACGCGCGGCCUGGGUCCUAACUAAAUCCACUCCGUAUCCACCGCGUCCUCCCGUAACGGCACGCGUCAAUCGCGGCGUCGUGGGAGAGAUCGUGGGUGGAAGACGUUCGCGCGUAUCCACAGCCUGAUGGAGGGGUUUACCCUCCAUUUUAAGUUAAUGGAGGGCGAUCUCCUCUCCGUCAAGGUCUUCGGGUGCUUCGACACUCGGGCGAAGUGCUGCGUGGACAGCUCCUCCGAUAGCAAAGGCUCCCCCUCGAGCGAGAGCGACAAGGAGGAGAGCAACAGCGAUGAUGAGGGUAGCGGGCGGCGGGAUGGCGGGCCCGACUAGGUGUCGGGCGCCGCUUCGUGCGUCACCGGUGACCCCAUCAUCCGUGUCGCCGGCUCCUUGAACUCCCCGGGGUCGUCUCCUUGGGCGGCUGGCGUAGGGAGGCUGCGGAAGGGGAAGAGGGCUGGCGACAAGGCCGUCAAAUCGGAGUACGAGGGCGUAGUGCCCUCGACAGCGUGCUGACGUCCUGCCGCCCCAUCUUCGAGCCCCGCUUCCAGCGCCGCCAUCACCGUCCGGCCUUCGGACGGCCCCCGGGAUGUUCUCUUGGUGUCUUCGCCUAGGCGCCUCUUUUGCCCUUUUCGCCUCCUUGACCUACAUCCUGAAGAGAGGGACAGGAAAGGGAUUACGGGCAUCUUAUCUUUUUAAUUUGUAAGCCUUCGGGCCCUAGUCGCAUCUAAAACUUGUAACCCUCUCUUUCAUGUUUUUCAUCCUCUAUGGACUGUACCUGAGUGUGAUGUUUUUUUAAUGAAAAAGGGAUGCUUGCCGGGUUAUUUGUCUCAUGGGUUGAACCCACGCCAAGGAGCAAAUCCUUGGUAUCCCUCGGACAGGCAUUUCAUCUCCCGCCAACAGGCCCUGCCGCCUUCCCACGUCGCUCGACCUUUCUCACGCCUUUGACGGAGGCGGGAACGAGGUGGGUGCGGCCUCCUCAUUUCAUCCCUUUGCUGCUGUGACUACGACCAAACUUGGCCCCGGGAACGAGCCCCAGGGCCUAGAGUUGAGGGAGCACGGCAGUUUUCGGGAAGAAACGCGGUUUCGCAUUCCCCAGUCCAUAAGAGGAUGCAUGAUGAGGGACGAAAGACUUAUCUGAUAUCGCAGCCCCCGGCAACUCUGGCUUGCCGUGGAUGAAUCUUGGUACUCGCAGCCCCCAGCAACACUGGCUUGCCGGGGCCCAGGUGCCGGCGCGCCCUUCUUCUCCUUUCCUUGUCGCUGUUAUUUCAGUUAUGAGAACAAUUUAGUCAGUGCCGCAAUAAGUUACUCUUGUAAUAUAACUUUAUUCUGGGCAAUGCUUGUUAUGUUACAUCCUUUAUUUGAUUCCAUUCCUUGUAUGUUUGUACCCUUACGCUUUUACGGAACUUGCCGGUGCAAACACGCUUGCCACGAGCGCUGAGUGCAAAACAUCAGCAGCCUUCUAGCGGUGUUGCCUCCGGCAAGAAACCUUGUCGGGGCUAGUCGCAGCACACUUUCAUUGUUGAGCGGACUCAAAACAAAGUAAGGGUGCAACUUAACCACGAGCCGGUUCCUCUGCGCACAGGUUUUCCAUACAAGGCAUGGUCGUUCAAGGAAUAUAACUUAAAAAUUUAAAACUGACUGUGCUUAAACUUCGGCAACUUAGCUUUUUUGUUGUUUGUGUCCNNNNNNNNNNNNNNNNNNNNNNNNNNNNNNNNNNNNNNNNNNNNNNNNNNNNNNNNNNNNNNNNNNNNNNNNNNNNNNNNNNNNNNNNNNNNNNNNNNNNNNNNNNNNNNNNNNNNNNNNNNNNNNNNNNNNNNNNNNNNNNNNNNNNNNNNNNNNNNNNNNNNNNNNNNNNNNNNNNNNNNNNNNNNNNNNNNNNNNNNNNNNNNNNNNNNNNNNNNNNNNNNNNNNNNNNNNNNNNNNNNNNNNNNNNNNNNNNNNNNNNNNNNNNNNNNNNNNNNNNNNNNNNNNNNNNNNNNNNNUGUGGGCGCAGGAAUCUUCUCUUUGAGAAAAAGGAAGAAGAGAAAAUAAAGUUAUGGAGCCUUAAGGCUUGUUAUUGCUUACCGGGGGCAAGUUCUGCACAAAGUGUCAGUGUAUACAUGCUAAAAAGAAAAAGGCAUGAAUUUUGACAAUAUGUACUAAACAUAUGAUCUUUAUUUAUGCACGGGAUCUGCGCCCGGCUUUGUACAAAGGGUUACAUGCAACAACGGCAAGGCUUGUACAAAAGGUGGUUGCCAGGACAGCAGGUUCCGGCAACCGCGCCUUAUGGGUAAAACUUACGAAGAUGAUCUAUGUUCUAGGAGUUGCUCACCGGAAUGCCAUCUUCGGUCUCAAGGCGGACAGCGCCAGGCCUAGUGACUCGCUUUACCCGAUAAGGGCCUUCCCACUUCGGCGUCAACUUGUUGGAAUUCUUGGCAGAUUGAACGCGCCGAAGAACAAGGUCACCUUCCUCGAAGCUUCUGGCAUUAACUUCGCGGCUAUGGUAGCGGCGCAAAGCUUGCUGGUAGCGAGCAGCUCGUACAGCAGCCUGAAGACGAUCCUCCUCGAGGAGCAGCGCGUCAUCUUGCCGCAGCUGCUCUUGCUCAAGCUCAUCAUAAGCGAGCACUCGAGGCGAUCCGUAUACGAGUUCUGUGGGGAGAACUGCCUCUGCUCCAUAGACAAGAGCAAAAGGUGUCUGGCCAGUGGCUCGAUUUGGCGUCGUCCUGAUCGACCAAAGAACCACCUGUAGCUCCUCGAUCCAAUUUCUUCCGCACUUGUGCAGCCUGUCGAAAGUUCUGGUCUUGAGCCCACGCAGCACUUCAGCGUUUGCCCUCUCCGCUUGACCGUUGCUUCUCGGGUGAGCAACAGAAGCGAAGCAGAUCUUGGCGCCAAGAUCUUGGACGUACUGCAUGAAGGUGCAGCUCGUGAAUUGUGUGUUGUUGUCGGUGAUGAUCCUAUUAGGGACUCCGGAACGGCAAACAAUUGACCUGAAGAACUUGACUGUUGACUGUGCUGUCACCUUCCUCACUGGCUCCACCUCCGGCCACUUCGUGAACUUGUCGAUGGCCACGUACAAGUACUCGAAGCCCCCGACAGCUCGGGGAAAAGGGCCAAGGAUAUCAAGCCCCCAGACUGAAAAUGGCCAGGAUAAAGGGAUUGUUUGGAGAGCUUGAGCUGGUUGAUGAAUCUGUUUGGAGUGGAACUGGCACGCUUCACACUUGGUUACUUGUGCAGUCGCAUCCUGGAGGGCUGUUGGCCAAAAGCAACCUUGCCGGAAGGCUUUACUGGCAAGUGCUCUUGCGCCAAUGUGGUGGCCACAUAUGCCUCCAUGUAUCUCCGCCAACAGCUCUUGUCCUUCUUCCCGGGAAAUGCACUUCAAUUUCACUCCGUUGAAUCUUCUUCUGUACAGUAUGUCAUCGACAAACUGAUACAUACUUGAUUGUCGGGCUACUUUCUCUGCUUCUUCUUGCUCUUCGGGAAGUUCUCCUGUUUGAAGGAAAUGGACGAUCUGCUGUGCCCAUGCCGGAGCUUGUGGCUCGACGACAAGGACUAAAGGCGCAAAUGCUGCUGCGGGAACAUCCGCUUCUACGGCAAGAAUAUGAGAUCCUGCCGGAGCGUGAUGCUCCCCGGCAAGCGUGCCGGGGCACAGCUUGUCGGGAGCGUCUGCUUCAACGAAACAAACCCUAGGGCUUGUCGGAGCAGACUGCUCCUCAGCACUUUCUAUGUUGAUCCUGGGGACCUUCUUGGCGGCGGCUUCGGGGAGCUCUGCCGGAAAGUAGUCGCCAGUAACCAACUUUCUCUUCUUGCUCUGUCCAGUUGAUGGUGUUACAGAUGGCUGAGUCAGCUUGAGCACAAAAAUACCUGGUUCCACAGGUAACUUGAGUGCGGUGCACUUUGACAGGCCGUCUGCAAUGUCAUUCUGAGCUCUUGGAACAUGUUCCAUCUGCAGGCCGUCAAAAUGCUCUUCCAGCUUCCUCACUUCAUCAAUGUAGGCCUCCAUCAGCGGACUCUGAUAAUCUGUGUUAACUUGGCGGACGACAAGCUGUGAGUCACCCCUGACAAUAAGCUUCUUGAUCCCAAGUUCUGUCGUGAUCCUGAGUCCGGCAAGCAGGCCCUCAUAUUCUGCAGUAUUGUUUGUUGCUUGCUCCUUGGGAAAGUGCAUUUGGAUCAUGUACUUGAGGUGCUCUCCGGUGGGUGCGACAAGUAACACACCCGCACCGGCGCCUUGCAGCGAGAAAGCACCAUCAAAGUACAUGAUCCAUUCCCUGUUUGCUUCCUUGACGGGGAUCCUCGUCUCCGGAGUUUCUUCAUCUGGUGUUGGCGUCCACUCCACUAUGAAUUCUGCCAAUGCUCGGCUCUGGAUAGUUGAAGUACUUUCAAACUUGAGGCCAAAGCUUGACAGUUCCAGUGCCCACUCGACAAUCCUGCCUGUUGCUUCUGGAUUUUGCAAUAUCCUCUUCAACGGAAAGCGAGUGACAACUGUGAUCUGAUGUGCUUGAAAAUAAUGGCGCAGCUUCCUCGAGGCCAUGAGAAGGCCGAAAAGCAACUUUUGCACUCCAGAGUAUCUUGAUCUAGCCACCUGCAGAAGGGAGCUGACAAAAUAAACUGGGUGCUGCACCAUCUUCUUUUGUUUCUCUGCCUGCGGCUGCACAGACUCAUCCUUGUCGGGACCAGAGCUUGACGGAGAAGCCCCCUGCUUGUCGCUGGACUCGCUUGCCGCGGCCGCUGGCUCAUCAUCUGCCUCCCUCUCUGCUACUAACGCAGCACUAACCACUUGAUUGGUUGCUGCUAGAUACAGCAGCAACUUCUCUUGCGGCUUAGGUGCGACAAGUACUGGAGUGGAGGAUAGGUAUCUCUUCAAGUCCUGUAGCGCAGCCUCCGCUUCUGGAGUCCAUUUCAUUGGACCUGCCUUUUUCAAAAUUUUGAAAAACGGCAGGGCGCGCUCAGCAGACUUAGAGAUGAACCUACUGAGAGCAGCAACGCAGCCGGCAAGCCUUCGCACAUCCUUGAGGCGCUUCGGGGCUUCAAUCUGCUCGAUGGCCUUGAUCUUGUCGGGGUUGGCUUCGAUCCCCCUCUGGGACACGAAGAACCCGAGAAGCUUGCCGGAAGGAACUCCAAACACGCACUUCUCAGGGUUCAACUUGAGAUUGAUCUUGCGCAGAUUUGCAAAAGUCUCAUCCAAAUCUUGGAUCAAAGUUUCUCUAUCUUUGCUCUUGACCACUAUAUCAUCCAUGUAUGCUUCUACAUUCCUGUGCAGCUGUGGCUCAAAAGCAUGACUGACUAGUCUUGCAAACGUUGAACCAGCAUUCUUUAGUCUGAAAGGCAUUCAUACAAAGCAGUACGUGCCACAUGGAGUAAUGAAUGCGGUGUUCUCUUCAUCCUCUUUUGCCAUGAAAAUCUGAUGGUAUCCUGAGUAUGCAUCAAGAAAUGAAAGCAGAUCACAUCCUGCCGUGGAGUCGACAAUCCGGUCAAUGCGCGGCAAGGGAAAUGGAUCUUUGGGACAAGCUUUAUUAACAUCCGUGAAGUCAAUACAAAGCCUCCACUUCCCAUUCACCUUGCGCACAAUUACUGGAUUGGCUAACCACGUUGGAUGGAGUACUCCUCGGACGAGGCCUGUUGCUUCCAACUUCUUGAUCUCUUCUGCUAUGAACUCUUGGCGUUCCGCCGCUUGCUUCUUGACUCUCUACUUGACGGGCCGCGCGUGAGGACAGACGGCAAGGUGGUGCUCAAUUACUUUCCUGGGAACACCGGGGAUGUCAGAUGGUUGCCAUGCAAACACAUUGACAUUCGCCCGCAGGAAAGCAACGAGCGCGCUUUCCUAUUUAGGGUCAAGCGUGGCACUGAUGGUGAAGGUACCACUAGUGCCGUCCUCCUUGGCGGCCACUUUCUUGGUAUCAGGUGUCGCUAUCUUUGCCCUCUUGCACUUGCCGGUGGAGCUCGAUGGUGCGUCCUCGACGGUAGCACAGCACUCCGAAGAGGUGCGCUUGCCGGAGUGGGCAUCAGAGCUACUCUUGCCGGACUUGGUCUUCUUCUUCUUCCCCCCGGGAGCUUCAGCGGCAAGUGGUUUGUGCUCUGCUGCGGCUGCUGCUUCCUGGUAGAUCUUGUCGGUGCAGAUAAGCGCAUCCUUCUUGUCGCCUUGGACAGAAAUGACGCUUAUCGGACCGGGCAUCUUGACCACGUUGUAAGCAUAAUGAGAGGCUGCCAUGAACUUGGAAAGCGCUGGACGGCCGAGUAUCCCAUUGUAGGGCAACGGGAAAUCAGCAACAUCAAAUGUGACUCUCUCUGUCCUGAAGUUCAGUUUGCUGCCAAAUGUCACUGGUAGUGUAAUCUUCCCCUUGGGCUUGCUCCUUCCCGGGUUGAUUCCUUGAAAGGUACCAGUUUCUUCGAGCUCGCUGUCGGGGAUCUGGAGCUUGUUGAGCACCGCGGAAGAGAUCAGAUUUAGGCCGGCCCCACCGUCAACCAACAUCUUCGUGACCUUGAGGUUGCGGAUGGUUGGCGAAACCAACAUCGGCAAGCACCCGACCGCAGUGAUGCGAUCAGGGUGAUCCUCAACAUCAAAGACGAUGGGCGUACUGGACCACUUCAGGGGCUUGCGCGAUUCGACUGAUGGUUCAGCUGCAUUUACCUCCCGCACCCACUGCUUGAGUUGGCGGUGCGAGGUGUGCAGAGAAGCACCGCCGUCAACGCACAAAACCUCUGUUGCCUUCUGAAACUCUUGCUCGUCGGUCUCAUCCUCGUCCAUCUCAUCAUCCUCAUCUUCAUCUUCGUCCUUGUCACGGCCACGGGGAGGUCUGUCUCCUUGCCGCUGCUUGGCCUUGCCGCGGCGCCCUCCCCGGGCGGGACGCUUCUUGCCGGAUCCUCCGCCACCUUCCUGGGCCUUCUCCUUGUCGCGACGCUCGUAUUCAGCUUUCUGUAGUUCUGCCAUUUGCUCAACCUUCUUGCAUGCUUGGAGGUCAUGGCCCUUGGUGCGAUGGAUCUUGCAGUACUGCUUGCCGGAACAAUCCUGCUUGUCGGCGGCCACCACAGCCUCGCCGGAGUCACCAGCUUUGGCCUUGUCGGCGCCGCCUCCGUUGCCGGACUGCUCAACAACUAGCACAUCCUUAGCCUUUCUCUUUCUAUUAUUCCGCCUCCGGUUCUUCUUUGCCGGAGGGACGUCCUCAUUGUCCGAUCCUUCUGCUCCUGCAUUCUCUCCGGGAAGUUUCCUCCCCUCUUCAGCUCGUGCACACUUGUCAGCCAGAGCAUAUAGCUCGCUGACAUCUCUAAUCUUGCACAUCGCCAUCUCCUCCCUCAUCCUGCGGUUACGCACGUUCUGAUGGAAUGCGCUGAUAACCGCGGCAGGGUGGACGUCUGGGAUGUUGCGCUGCACCUGGCUGAAUCUCUGUAUGUACUUGCGCAGGGGUUCUCCUUCUUUCUGGGCGAGCAGAUGAAGAUUGCUCUCCUGACCAUGGGGUUUGUGGCCGCCUGUGAAGGCGCCGACAAACUGAUGGCACAGGUCCGCCCACGAAGAGAUGGAGUUGUCCGGCAAGUGCAUGAGCCAAGAUCUGACGUUGGGCUUGAGCACCAGCGGGAAGUAGUUGGCGAGGAUCUUCUCGUCGCGCCCCCCGGCAGCCUGCACCGCGAUGGUGUAGACGCUGAGGAACUCUGAUGGAUGUAUCCUGCCAUCGUACUUCUCGGGUAUGUCCGGCUUGAAGUUCUUGGUACUGGGCCACUGGACUUGCCGCAGCUCACGGGUGAACGCAGGGUAACCUGCCGCGUACGGCAAGUCGCCUGGUUCCCCUGGCGCAUGCAUAUCGACAGUGGGCCCAGCGCACUGGUCAGAUUAAUGUCGCGCUUCUCUUCUGCGCUCGAUGCGAGUACGAGCGUCUCUGUGUCGUCGUUCUUGGAGAACUUGGCGUUGAUCGCGGCGAGCUCGCGGGUCCGACGACGCGGUGGAGUCGGUGUCGAGGUUGGAACGGCGAGUUGGCGAUCAUGGCCUUCGGGGCGGGGAGUGCACGGUGGUGGCACCCCCAGCGGUCUUGUCGGUGUCGGCUUGCGCCCGGGCGUCUUGCCGGGGCUUUCGAUGUGCUCGGUUGCCGGGGCUUGUCGCCGUUGGCGAAGCCGAUGAGGCUUUGGAUGGUGAUCCUCCAGUCGUCGAUCUUGUCUGGCGCUGGAGGGUAAUCUAGAAGCAGCUGGGCUCGGGCCAGCGCUUCCUCUGGAGUCUUGGGCGGCGGUGGCGAGCGACGCGAGGUGCGGGAUAUGCUCAAACUUCUAACAGUGUUAGAAGGAGCAACAUCUCGCCCAGGCGACCGUACUUCGCUCGUGCCAGCGUGUUGACGUGUAUGUUGGCCUUGAGCGUCCCGCGAUCCGCCGGCUUGGCCUUGUUCCAACACGAGCACGGUGCUAGGAGUACCGUGGCAUUGCCGAUCUUGCACCUCCUGGGAGGGGUACGGUGGAUGUACAGACGCUGAAGCUUGCGGGGCCUUGUCCUCGGACCUGGUGACGAUGUGAGUCCCCCCGUCGGCGCCCGCUCCUCCGCCGGCGUCCACCCCACCACCCGUUUGCUCCGGUGGCGGUAGGAUAGUCGCAAACGGAGUGGCCACCUCCGAAGCCUUCUUCUUCGGUGGCAUGUCGAUGAAGAUGUUGAUGUAGCGCGCAGAUGCCGGAUCAGGUACGCACAACCUCGACGCCCACCUACCUGGCGCGCCAAAGAUGUCGUGGGAAACGAACACCUAUGGGGCAGGGCCCCUUUUCGGUCCAGCAAGGGAGCGGAGGGCGCACGAAGAGCAGAUCGAGGCGGAGCACGCGGGGGAAUUUUACCCAGCUUCGGAGCUCUCCGGAGAGAUAAAACUCCUACUGCUGCUUUGUGUUUCUAUUCUGUUCUUGCUCAAGAGCGUGGGUGUGUUGUAGUUUUGAAUGUGUCGAACCCCUUCUACGUGUGCAUGGGCCUCCUUUUUAUAGUCUAAAGGGGUCAGCGACAGGUGGCAGCGUAGAGAGAGGGGUAAAAAAGUAAAAACGCGGGUUGGUACAACCGCUAUCAACAGUGGCCCCUACCUAACUCUGACGGCAGGGGACAAGGGCAUUUAAUGCCCGUCCGGUCGCCCAAACAGUGCAGGAAGCGACCGUUAGGGGCGCCACCGAUCGCCAUGAUGGCCUCCUAGUCAUCUUCACUUGCCACCUCGCACCGCUUGGCUGCACAGCUACCCGCCACGUGCACCGGGAGCGAUCCUGCGGCGACACGUCGUCGGAUGCGCUGGAGCGUGGGCGCAGAGUUGUGGCUUCGCUGUAGCAAGCGCCUUGCCGCGGUCACUAUCUUGUCGCACCCGCAAGCUUGCCGCUCGCCGGGUCUUGGUUGGCCUUCCCGGCAAGCUCCUCUUGCCGGGGUCUUGUCCUUCCCGGCAAGCUUCUCUUGUCGGGGCUUCGUCUUCACAGUUAACACUUUGUUCUUGAAUGGCAGUAAAUAGGAAUGACGAAGGAUCUUGGCGGACGCCCGGCAAGCCUUGCCGCAGGACGCUGCGACUGCCCGUGCACAAGUUCGGGGUACUAAGGUACCCCUACUUUAGUACACCGACACCUCCAAACUUUAUGUGGCACUGCAAAAUAUUUGUGGCUCUGUCUAAGAUUGCCAAGGAAUUAAAAGGGGAACUUAACAUAUUUUUCCUAAGUAAAUAGUGUGCCCAAAAUAUUCUCUUAACCAUCUCUGUUUUUUUUAAUAAAAAAAGGCGAAUAAGAACUCGCCCGGGCCUCGGCCUACUCCCACUUACCAGCCCACCUAAGCCGGCCCACUCCCCCGCUCCCAUGGCCUAUAGGCCAUGCUCAACCGAACCCUAACCCCGCACGAUCCCCCCACUCCCCACUUCUCUCCCCUCCCGAUCCAAUCUGGAUCGGACCGAAACUGGCGCCCCGACGCCAACCGCCGUCGCUGGAGGCAUCCCCGACUCCACGCUGGGCCACCCCAUCACCUGACCUCCUCCCCGUCGUCGCUCGUCACUCGCUGGACCGCCUCGUCCCCACCAACGCCGCCCCGAGCCCAACGUCCCUGUCGUCGUCGCCGUCGGCAUCGCCCCGAUGUCGCCACCACCCGACGCCGGCGCCCUCGACAUCGCCACCCCGAGCCCACUGCCACCCCUACGCUCCACUGUGAGCCCCUCGCCGAUUCCCCCUCCUUCCUGUCAUCGUAGGUGGCCGCAUGCGCUGUUGGCCACCGUGGCCGCGCUCCGGCCGUUCCCCAUCCGUGUGCUAGCCUCGCCUUCCCCGGCUGCGGCCACCAGCCUCCUCGUCGCGCUCCCGCCUUCGCCCACACCUGCCCCUGUACGCCCAGCCGCUGCUGCUCGCCGGAUCCGCAUGUUCGCCCCCUAGCUUCGUCUCCGGCCGUCGAGUCCGCACCCGAUGCCGGCGCCCCAGCGCGUCCAUGCGCCCGUACGGGCGGGCGCCCACGCCCAUGCCCCUCCGCCCGUUAGCCCGCCCCGCUAAGGCCUGGGCACCUAACCAAGGGGCCCCACGCCCCUGUGUAAUAAAAAAGAUUUAAAAAAAAUAAAUAUAAAUAUAAUUAGUUAAUUAGUUAAUUAAUUGUAUAGUUAAUUAACUAACUUAAUUAACCUUGCUUAGUUAGCCUAAUGAACUAGUUUAGUUAAUUUAAAUCUGUUAGAUAGGUCUAUGAGAGAACGACCCCACAUGUCAGUUUAACCAGUCAACACUCUUUUGACUGCUGACAUCAUGAUGACGUCAGGCUGACAUCAUAAUUCCAAUUUUGAAUUAAUAAUAAUUUCAGAAUAUUAUUAAAACUUUGAAAAAUCAUAGAAAAUAAACCGUAUCUCGGAUGGAAGUUGCUUGGAACGACGAGACAAAUCCGAAUGCGCAGUUCGUUCAUCUGUCACGCGUCCCUAGCAUAGCAAACGUUGAACUUUUCCCCUCCGGUUCAUCUGUCUGAUAGACGUCCGGAACCGGGAAAACUUUCCCGGAUGUUUCCCCCUUCGCCAGUAUCACCUAGCACCUCGUUAGAACACUUCUAGCCCCGCUUAUUGUCUUGUUAUGCAUAUGUUUGCGUGUAUUUACUGUUUCUUCCCCCUCUUCUUCUCCGGUAGACCUCGAGACCGCUGAUGAUGCCCCUGUGAUCGACUACGUCGACGACGACCCUCCUUGUUUGAGCAACCAGGCAAGCCCACCCUUUGAUCAUCCCGAUAUCGCCCAUUCCAUUCUCUCAUGCUUGCACUAGAUUUUGCUACUGUAUUUGACUGCUCCUAUUCUGAUGCAUAGCCUGCUUUUGUACCUGCUAUUGUAACUUACCUGCUUAUCCUAAAUUUCUUAGUACAGGUUGGCUAGUGAUCCAUCAGUGACCCCCACCUUGUCUUUGUUGCCCCUGCUUCAUCAUCGACGACUCGAUCAACGUGAUCGACGACCGGAGCCUGACACCUCACAUCACAUCACGCCCCUUUUUCUUGCUCGACUCUGCAGAGUUACCAUCGAGUGCCGAGGGUGGAACCUCAUACAUCGCUCCUGAUGAGAUCUCUGUAGUGUAGCUAUUCGGUCGUGGUCAUCGAGGGUGGUUCCUCCUUCACCAUUCCUAAUACGGCUCUGUCGUGCAACACCUCAAGUGUGAACCUCGAGGGUGGUUCCUCUUACGUUCACCUUGAUGAUUACAUCAACUGGAAUCCACCGGGGGUGAUUCCUCGGAUUUUCCCCUUGAUGUCUGGACACAUAGUUACCUUGAUACUUGAGACCGUUGUGAAAGCCGGGCGAGCCCGGAGAGCACCCGUGCGAUGUGACGGUGGCGGCUGGCUGUUUAGCGGUAUCACCCGGGAGGGGUGAUAGCUCCGGACUUGUCCCGACAUCCGUCACUUCUUUUAAUAAUGCACUAACACGUUUGUGUAUUUGUUCUGAGUUGGCCUCUGGCCUUUACGCACUAACCACCACGCGAGAAUAGUUAUGGGCCUCGACGUUGCAGUAUCUUUCGAAGCUUUGUCAGACGUCCAGUUCAGCAUUGUGGCCGGGCCGGAUCGUGCCAUCCACUUCACCGGUGGUGCUGGUAUCCCCUUGUGCACAACGACCCGGAGUGCAAUGGGCGAUGGGCCCAGACCCCGGAGUGCUUAGGAUGUAGACCGGCGGGGACCUCUCUACUGAGCCUAGGUAGGGCUGCGACGUGUUGAUCUUCCGAGGCUGGGCAUUGACCCCAGAAAGGUGUGUCCGGCCAGAGUGAUCGAGCGUGUUGGGUAACGUGGUGCGCCCCUGCAGGGAAGAUUAUCUAUUAAUAGCCGUGUCCAUGGUAACGUACCUUCAGACUUAUAUCUUGAUCUUAUACAACUACAAAUGGAUACUUGAGAUAUGUGGCUCCGGGAUUGCUUUCUCGCAGGGAGUCGAGGAAGGAUCUCUGGGCGUUGUUGUUAAAACAUGCUUGUUAAUUAAACUGCUAUUCUUUACUCUUCUACAUGCUGCAAGAUGCUUGGAGCUGCUUGAAGAUGCUAGUCUUUGUUUGGCUAGGCCUUCCCCUCUAUUCUGGCAUUCUGCAAUUCAGUCCACAGAUACAACCCUUCCAUUUGAUACCAAUGCAUACUUAGUAUAGAUCUGAUGCUUGCGAGUACUUUGGAUGUGUACUCGCGGUUGCUUUGCUACCCCUUUUCCCCCUUCUUUCUUCUUUCCGGUUGACGCAACCAUAUGGUGGAUCCUUGGAGCCAGAUGCCACCGCCGAUGGAUGCUAGUACGUGAAGAUCGCCGACGACCAGGAGUAGUUAGGAGGUCCUAGGCAGGAGGCCUUGCCUCUUCGAUCGUUGUUGCUUUUGUGCUAGCCUUCUUAAGGCAUCCUUAUUUAACUUAUGUCUGUACUCAGCUAUUGUUGCUUCCGCUAACUCUUGUGUAUCGAGCUAUGUAUUCGAGCUCUCGAGGCCCCUGGCUUGUAAUAUAAAGCUUGUAUUAUUUUGAUUUGUGUCUAGAGUUGUGUUGUGAUAUCUUCCCGUGAGUCCCUGAUCUUGAUCGUACAUAUUGGCGUGCAUGAUUAGUGUACGAUUGAAUCAGGGGCGUCACACAAGCGGUACUACUGCCCCACCCAGUUUCAGCAUUUCGAGUUUCACCGUUUUGCCCAUAACUUCCACAUCCGGAGUCCGAUUUUUGCAUUUUUUAGCUCGUUGAGUAGCUAUUGACAUCCCCCAUCCAUCUAUAUAGGUUCCAACACCAUUUGACUCCAUCAAAUUUUCCAAAAUUUGGAAAGUUUGCCUAGGCCGUCCACCAUAUCAUCUGCAUAGCCACCACCGACCACCGCAACCUAACCCAUUUUGUUCCCCUUAGCAUUUGAGGUUGUUUGAGUUGUGGCUUGUGUCUCCUAAGGUGUUUCGGCUACUUAGGGAUGGUAACUUCAACUCCAACACGUGUAUAGCCCAUCAUUCCACUUCCGCAUUGCCGAGUGCAAACCACCACCUCUUUCCACUACCACCAUUUGACAUUUACCUUUGUAGAUUUUGAGUUUGCGAUUUUUCCGUUUCCUAGGGUGUUUUGGCUAACUAGGAAUGGGUCGACAUCAGCAACAUCGCCUCUCAUCAUCGCCAAGGACGGUAACCUCGAUGACACCAUUGUAUAUUCCCUUGCCAUUGCAUUGAUAACCCCUAGCCCAUUUUGCGUCACUUGCCUAUCGAGACUAGCCGUUUGAGUAUUGCCGGCAACGUGACUUGUGCACAUUAGUGAUCAUACUUCCCAUAGCAUCAUACCAUAUCAUCGUGGUGCAUAUAUUGGUAGCAUAUCUUGCGUCACAAGUUUGUUGCCGCAUAUACACAAUUGCUAUCUUGGUUUGUGCAUUAUGCAGAAGUGGCCAUACAAAAAAGAGAAAUAAAGCUUUUAAGCAAAAGAAAGAGAGAAAAGAAGCUUGUAAGCAAGUGCCAUAGCAUCAUACCAUAUUGCACAUAAGAUUGUCAUAUCCGAUCAUCUUGGAUCAUCUUGAGAGAACAUCGGGAACCAUACAUACAUAGCAUACUUGGGAUAGAAAGUAUAUCCAUUUGGCAUCUUGUAGGUUGUGCACAAGUGUCCUAUCCGCCUAUUGAGCAAUCGUGCUAGCGUCUCUCUUGAGUUGUGCAACACGAGCGUUUUCUGUGGAUUCCACAUUUUGUGCUCAUUGCUUGGUUGCACGACCCCAUUUAUCUAUCCGUGUGUGUGUUUCCGUGUGUCAUUCUUUGCUAUUGGUCUACUUGUUUCACUUGCAAAUUUGUGAAUCUCUUUCAACAUUAUUGACUCUUGCUAACAUUUUGCAUCAAAUUUUUGUGCCACUAUCCUCACCGAGCUCCACCAUAAGCUUUACUUGAUAGGUGUGAGUGAACAAGUCCGGUACCAAUUCCACUAUUCUUUCAUUUCACAUUGAGUUAAACGGGAUACAUCCUCAACUUUGGGAAAGGUAACUUCCUAUUGUUUAUCUCAUUUCCUACUGGCAUUUCACCUUCGGUCUACAACAACAACGACGAGUUCGAUGCCACGAACAACUCCAACGACGCCAAGAUGCAAGCUCAAAUGGAGGAGAUCAAAGCCCUCAUCAAGUCCUACAAGCAAUCUUCCUCAUCUUCGAGAAGACACUCACGUGCACAUGUUUCCGAGCUACCAUCUCCGGUAAGAUCACAUCAGCAUCGACACCAUCACCAACAAGAACGUGAAGGUCAAGAGCUCAACACCAACUACCGCUCAACGACUUCACCAUCUCCCUUGGCAUCUUCGCCAAGCGACUUCAAGGCAUCUUUGAGUACGGAUAUACGGCAUCUUCGCCAACAAGAACCUCAAGGCUACGCUCAAGAGAAGCUCCCCAAGCUCAAGUCCACGACUUCCAUGAGCUACUACGACCUCGACACCGACCACAAGAUUCCUUUCUAUGGAACUCAAGAACCCGAGGAGUACCUCGAGUGGGAGCGUUUGAUGGACGACUACCUCAAGCUACAUCAAGUCCCUUCCGAAGAUCAAGUGAAGUGCGCCACAAGAAACUUCCACGACUACGCCUCGACAUGGUGGCUUCACACACCUUCGGAGAGCUACGAGAUGAGUUAGCCCAAGACGAAGAGAGCUUUGCAGCGAGAGCUCGUGCCUCCAACCUACAUGGAACAACUUCGACGCCAAUUGGAGAACACCAUCCAAGGAUCCAAGUCCAUCGACGCGUACUUCAAGGAGAUGAAGAAUGCCUUGCGACGAGACGGCGUGGAUGACCCCAUUUCGAUGAAGUUCCACUUCAUGAUGCGAUUGAACAACGACAUCUCCAAGACUAUCUUCCUCGAGAACUACAAGUCCCUGGACAACUACUACAUUGGUGCUCUCAAGGCGGAACAAGAACUCAUGAAAGCCAAGGCUUCUCCACCCCAAGCACACUUCGCGGCGACCAAGCUGUACGACAAGCAUGAGGCUAGUACCACCAUGAUGUCCAAGCCCGACGAGCUCCAAGACAAUGCUCCCAAGUUCGACUUCACCGCCAUCCCUCUUUGUGGCAUUGAUGACGCCGAGUCUACCUUGACUCUUUUUCAAGACGGUGCGGCGACGAGUACGACUACGGAGACCUUCAAGGACCAAGCUUUGGAGGCGAGCGACAAGGUGGCGAGCAAGGAUGGUGUUUCCAUCUUUGGAGGCGAGAGUGAUGAUGUGCCAUCUUCGUCCUUCAUCCACGGCGACGAUGACGAGAUGAUCGAGCAUGGGAUUUUCCCUUCGGUCAUGGAGGAGAGUGAUGAUGUGCCAUCUUCGGCCUUCAUCCACGGAGACGACGACGAGAUGGUUGAGCAUGGGAUUCUCCCUUCGACCACGGUGACGUAUGAUGACUUGAGUGACUUUUGCCACCAUAUUGAGAGUGAGAGUGACUUCACCACUAGCCCCAUAUAUGACGAGUUGCCCCAAUUCCUAUGUGAGGAGAGCCACAACCCCCACCACUUGAGUGAGAUGAGUGACUCCACCAUAUGCGACUUUGAGUGCACCUAUUUUGAGGGAGUGAGUGAACCACCACAUAGAGAGAGUGUGAUAGUUGAUAGGUCUCGUGAGGCCAUUUGCAUUUCUAACAACUUGACCUCUACCUCUAUUGUGUCUUCUCAUUUGGUGCUAGGUCCCAUUUAUGAUGACGCGCCGAUCCUCGACGACUUCGUCCUCCCUUUGGACAAGACGAUGGCCAUGGUGGAAUAUGAUGCACCCCCCACAUGGUUCCAUCAAGAUGAAGAUGACCACCAUUUGGUCUUUCCCACCUCACCUACACCACUUGAGUGGAAUGAAAAAGGUAACAUAGGUGAAGGUGAUGCUCUAGUCCCACUAGUGGACAUUCUUGACAUUGAUUGCUUGCAUGAUGUUGAUCCACCUAGUACCAUGCUUCAUGCUAGUAUGAUUUCCCCAUGUGAUGAUUUGGCCAUUUAUGAUGAGUAUGAUGAUUCUCAUGUGGAGUCUCUUAGUUGUGAUGUCAUGUUACAUAGGAUUUCUUGUGACAAUUCUUUAGGUCACAUCAUGUUUGAUAAUCCGCUUGACUUGUCGUAUGCUAUGCAUGACAUUCACCAUAUGUCAUAUUUGCAAUCUCAUUGUAGUGACUAUGCAUAUGCCAUUCAAAUUAACCCAAUUUGCACUUAUGGCAUAGAUGACAAGCCCAUGGUUAUUGGGAUUUGUUUUUCUUGUGAUGAUAUUGAUAUGGUCCCUUUGCAUCAUUUAUCUCAUAUGCCAUGUCAUGCCCACCUAGCUUCGGAUAUGCAUUGUUUUGGAUGUUGUCCAUUUUCUCCAUAUGAUGUUUCCAAUCUUGCUCAUGAGGAGACCCCCAUAGUUCCCUCAUACAUGUUAGGAGAUUUUGAUCCAUCCCAUCCAUUGCAUGAUCCCAACAAUUGUGUGCACCAUAUGCUCCCCAUGAAUAAACAUGCUAUUGAUGUGCCAUAUACUUGCAUUCUCAAUUUGUGUCCCCAUCGUGUCAUACAUAAUAACUAUUCUUUCAUGAUGGAUGACAUGUUCUUAUACCAUGCAUCAAAUUUCGUUGAGCGAUGCUUAUCUUGUGCUAACUCACACGUGCACAUACACAUCAUGAUGGAUGAUGUGUACAUUUACCACACACACAAUUUAUUUGGUUUGUGUCUCUUUUGUGUAGGUACCCAGGAAUACUUGUCAACCUCGCAAUCCCACGAGUUGACAAAACGAGCUCUAGAGAGCAACGAUGAUUUGGGAUCCCAUGGAUUGUCUUUCCCACCGCUCUCUUCGCGCAAAGACUUAGCGCAUUUCUUCUACAUGGCCCUCACUUGGCUAUGGGUUGUUUUCCAUUACAUAUUAUAUGCCCAUCUUGCCAUGUUCACUUUGCAUGAUAUGCCCAUUCCCAUGCAUUUGUGACCCAUACUUUGCUUUACACAUGAUGAUUGACUCUCAUACUUUUAUGUGUAUUUGCAAGCUUGGUGGAGAUAUUGCUUGUUGUUUCCCUAUUCCAUUUUUGACCCACCCCUAUGAUGAUACUAUGAUCUUGCUUUGUGUUCGUGCUUGUGAUAUGUCAUGUGCAUUGUCUAUCCCUAUUAUUUGCUCACAUGACAUGAUUGCCAUGAUUUACUCUGGUGUGUUGCAUCUUCGCUCCACUAGUUUGCACCACAUGAUUGAUAUGCUUGCUUGUAUUGCAUCCCCCAUGAUUCAUACUUGCUCAUUUCAUGCGAUUGAUGACAACCAUUUCCAUACUUUGCACGUGAUUGCUAUAGCUUCUUGUCACAUAUCUACAUAUGUUGCCUCUCUCAUGCUAGAUCACUUGCCAUGUAUUUAGUGCAACAAUGCUCUUAUUCUUGCUCAUGAGAUUGCCCCCAUAGCAUUCUCACAUAUGAUUGGAGUUGACAUAAUUCUUGUGAAGCAUGCUUGCCUUCCUUCUUUGCACCAUAUGCCUAGUGCCAUGAAUAUUGCCAUUGUUGCAUCAUAUUGUUCAUGCACUUGUGCUACUAAAGGUUAUGUGCAAGAGAUGAGAACCAUCAUGAUGGAUGAUGUGUUUCUCUACCAUGCGCAUAUACUCUUUGUUUUGUUGUGUGCAUGUGUAGGAUACUUGGACUUCGUCUCGACUUCCACUUCAUGUGAGUUGACCAUUCAAGCUCUUAAGAGCGAGCCUCACACAUUCUACCACUACUCGCUUCUACACCGCAUUUGCUUGCGCUUCGGCAUUGUGAAGAAUGCACAAGGACAUGCCUUCAAGGUGACAUCUUUCUUGAGCAUGGAUAUUGCGGAUCAUACUACUUGUGUAGCUUGCACUGUGAGACUUAUUGGUCAUCUUGGACCACUUGAUUGCGCACUUGCUAGAGAUCUUGCUUUGACUUGCCAUUUUCACAUUCCCAUGCAUCAUGAUAUAUAUGCCUUGUGUGUUGCAUCCAAUUCUUGGAUUACUAUCACAACCUAGCUAGUCCAUGCAUUAGAGUGUUGCAUCAUGUCUACCUUUUAUCAGAAACUUGAAUUGGGGAAGACAGAACCCCCCAGAACCCCUCUGAAUUCAACUAGUGCUUACUAAAAAUAUUUUCAAUGAACCUGAAAUGCCCUUCUAAAAAGUUCACCCUCUUUGUCUUGGGUUAGAACCUCUGGCAAAAUUGGUGCACAAUUUUCUAGGUCAACAAAAGGCCAUUGAAUUAAAUCAUAUCUACUUUGAGUUUGGGCAUUUAAACUAUAUAAAAUAUUUCAAAUGCUCAAAUAACUCCAAACUAAAAUGUUCCAUACUGGAUAUAUUCCAACUAGGGACCAUGUGCAGUUUGGUGAUUUUUGGAGUUGCCUAAGUAUUUUUAGAAAUGCAACAAACUUACAGAAACAAUUAAAAACAGAAACAAAUGGGAAAAACCCUUACCUGGCCGAACCAAGCCCCAGCCCAGCUGGCCGGCCCAGCACUGUGCUGGCCCAUGCCAGCCAGCUGCUUCGCCGUCGCCACGCAGGCACAGAGCUGACGCCGGCAAGCGUGAGCUCGCAACGGCGCCAGCUGCUUGCCGCCCGCGCCCCCGAGCACCUGGGUGAGCUCCACGUCGCCGCCCCGACCCCGUGGACACCUCAUUCGCCCCCUGCCUCUCUCCCUCGCUCUCCCGCACCAUGGCCGACGCACCCGCCGCCGCACCCCCGACGUAGUCGCGCCCUCCGUCGUCCUCGUGCUGCACCACCGUGUCCCUUCGCUCCGCCGUCAUCGACUACAUCGAGUAGGCCGAGCCCCGAGCGCUCGCUGGCCCUGUUUCAUCUUCUUCGAGCUCGUCUUCACCGAGCACCGCCACAGAUCCCCUUCGCCGUCGCCGCCGUACCAGCUCGUCCCCGACCUUGCCGACCACUCCGUUGUGACCGCCGUGAGCUCAGCCACCUCCCCAUCCUCCCCGUUUGCCUUCUCGUGCACCGUAGCAACCGCAUGGAGCUUCAUCGCACGCACCACCGACGAGCUCGUCGCCGACGUGCCUCCGGCCAUCCACCGUCCACACCACGGUGUCUAACAUGCUCACCGCAUCGUGUAGAGUCUAACGCCCCACUCCACGCGCCUCGCCGUGCCCCGUAGCCAUGGGUCCAUUUUCAUCCGACUCCGGCGACCGCCGUGGUCGUCGCCGGCGACGUUCCUGGCCACCUCGACCUCAACCACCACCACCAAACGCCGCGACUUGUUCCCGGCUACACGUAGAUGGUCUCCGUCGUCCAUUUGGUCGCCAGAACAUGCUAACCCACUUCCUCCGCCGCGUCUGGCCUCGCCGGCGGCUAGACACCGGCAUGUUUGACCCGUUGACAUUCACUGGGUGGGCCAGGUUGACUCCCCUGAGUCUAUGACAAGUGCCCCCCCCUCUGCUAAUUAACCUAGUUUAGCUCUUACUAAAAUCAGUUAGUUUAAAUAAGUGCUGACAUGCGGGACCCACUGGUCAGUUUGACCUGAACGACCCCUUUGACCACUGACGUCACCCUGAUGCACUGCUGACGCAAUAACCAAUUUCUGGAUUUAUUGUUAUAUAGGAAAUUCCAGAAAUUGUUGCAAACUUCAAAAAUUCAUAGAAAUUAAUCUGUAACUCCAAAUGCAAAGAUUUAUAUAUGAAUUUUGAUCAGAAAAAUUCAAUCUAUCCAUUGGUAAUGGUUUCAUGCAUGUCAGAACAAGUUAACCUUGCUGUUUAAUCAAAACAAGUUAAUGCACUAAUAUGACUAUGUUAAAUGAACUACCAUUUGCAUCUUUGAUUCAAAUGAGUUCAUACCUUUCUGUUCUAGCUUGCAUUAGGCCAGGACACAUUCAUGUUGCCAUGUCAUAGCAUGCAUCAUAUUGUUGUAUAUCGUCAUGUGUUGUUCAUGUUCGGUGUGUUUUCGUGAUAGGUUCUGCCUCCGAGGAUAACCCCGAAUAUCCGUCUGAAGGGCUGUAUCCUACUACCACUACAUCAGGCAAGCAACCCAUUGAUCAUUCCGAUACAAACCCAUGUUCUUGCCUCUGCUCUUGUUUACUGCAUUAAGACAAUGCGAUUCAAACUUUUGUGUGUUGUGGUAGUUGAACCCACUUCCUUUGCAUGACCUGUCAUUGCCACAGUAACUAGAUGAAACUCAGUAGCAUGUGUAGGAGUUGAUUGAGCCAUAUCUGUGUUACCUACCAUGCUAUGCUUGCUAUGCUUAGAGUUGUGUCAGGUCUGGCUCAUUGGGAUGAUGAACUAGAGUGAAAGGUUGUGUCGGUAAUGAAGUGUUGAACACGAUUUGGUAAAGGUAUCGAUGAGAGGCCAUGUAGGAGUACAUGGUGGGUUGUUUCAUUGAGGCCGUCCUUAAGCACUGAGAUCUGUGUGUGUGAUUUAAGAUUCAGCUACUACCACGCAUUGGGCCCGAAACCAAUGGACCCUCUCGACUUAUUAACCACUCUUGUCCUCUGUCCGGGAGUUGCAAGUAGUUUUUGGUGUUUGUAGCAUGAUGGGGGCCGCACGCAGUGCUGACCUUAGGGGUGGGUUGGGUUGCGGUAGGCAUGUGGCACGGUGUAUCGAUUCGCCCGUUUGGUGUCUCGGGAACCAUGUUCACAUCAUUCGGGGCCGUUAGUGGAAACCUCGGCCGGACUCCCUGCGGAUGGAACCCGAAUAGGCGAUAAACCUGGACUAGGGACUCGUGUGUUUAGUCAGGCCGUGGCCGACACCCUCGCUGGGCUUCCGCUUGAGGCUUGCCGAGUACACGUCAUGUAGCGGUGAUAAGUGGUGAGAGCGUGUGUGAAGAAGUACACCCCUGCAGGGUAUAAAACUAUUCGAAUAGCCGCGUCCGCGGUAAAGGACUACUUGGUCACCUAUGCAGUUCAUAGACAAGUAAAUGGAUACUUCUAAAAGCCUCAAGUUAAGUGUGAGUACCGAGGAUGGCCCUCUCGUAGGUUGACAAGAGAGGAUCCUCGGUGGAGUAUUGUGUUGGUGAGUAGUGGACUCGUGUGCGACAAAUGUUUUGCAAGUUGUGUCUAUCGUAGAAUAGCUUAGCCAAGAGUCAAAGCUGGCUUGCUGCAAUAACUCCACUACCUUCUUGAGAAUGUGCAUGUAUGAUAGGAUUCUGUUGUAAGACUUGCUGAGUACCUCUGUACUCAUGUUUGCUUAAAUGUUUUCAGACGACAACACCAACCCCUCCGAUGGGUUCUACGUAGACCUCGACGUUGACGAGUGACUAACCACCCAAGUGGUGAUCCGAGACUUGUGAAGGGCCGAUGUAGAUAGAAAGGCUUCGUCAAGCCCUCUUUCUUUCUAGUGUCUGUACUCAGACUAGUUGCUUCCGCAUGUGCUUGUAUGCUUGUAUGACUUGAGUCUCAGGUCAUGUGACCCCUAUCUGUAUGAACAUGUUAUGUAUGGCUCCUUGGAGCCACUUAAAUAAAGUACUUUGAGUUGUAGAGUUUUGUUGUGAUGCCAUGUUGUAUGUACUCAUAUCGGGCAUAUUGUGUGUAUGUUUGAAAUGCUUGGUAUGAGUGGGAUCCGACAAUCUAGUUGUUUAUCCUUGGCAGCCUCUCAUAUGGGGAAAUGUAGUCUAGUGCUUCCUGAGCGAUAGUAGUCCGCUACAGCCCGGUUCACCGGAGUCCUGCUAGCCCAGUACUACAGCUCUGGACACUUGACUGGACAGCAUGUGUUUCACUUCGUUCCUGUGUCUGUCCCUUUGCGGAAAUGUCACGCGGUGGCAUUCGGAGUCCUGCCUAGCCUGCUACAGCCCGGGUUACUGUUGGGAAACGUAGUAAUUUCAAAAUUUUCCUACGCACACACAAGAUCAUGGUGAUGGCAUAGCAACGAGAGGGGAGAGUGUUCGUCCACGUACCCUCGUAGACCGUAAGCGGAAGCGUUAGCACAACGCGGUUGAUGUAGUCGUACGUCUUCACGAUCCGACUAAUCCAAGCACUGAACGUACGUGGCCUCCGAGUUCAGCACACGUUCAGCUCGAUGAUGAUCUCCGGCCUCCAAUCCAGCGAAGCUCCGGAGAUGAGUUCCGUCAGCACGACAGCAUGGUGACGAUGAUGAUGUUCUACCUGCGCAGGGCUUCGCCUAAAAUCCGCGACGAUAUGACUGAGGUGGAAUAUGGUGGAGGGGGGCACCGCACACGGCUAAGGAACGAUCCAUAGAUCAACUUGUGUGUCUAUGGGGUGCCCCCCCCCCCCCGCCCCUGUAUAUAAAGGAGAAAGGGGGAGGCCGGCCGGCCCCUUGGGCGCGCCAAGGGAGGAGGAAUNNNNNNNNNNNNNNNNNNNNNNNNNNNNNNNNNNNNNNNNNNNNNNNNNNNNNNNNNNNNNNNNNNNNNNNNNNNNNNNNNNNNNNNNNNNNNNNNNNNNNNNNNNNNNNNNNNNNNNNNNNNNNNNNNNNNNNNNNNNNNNNNNNNNNNNNNNNNNNNNNNNNNNNNNNNNNNNNNNNNNNNNNNNNNNNNNNNNNNNNNNNNNNNNNNNNNNNNNNNNNNNNNNNNNNNNNNNNNNNNNNNNNNNNNNNNNNNNNNNNNNNNNNNNNNNNNNNNNNNNNNNNNNNNNNNNNNNNNNNNNNNNNNNNNNNNNNNNNNNNNNNNNNNNNNNNNNNNNNNNNNNNNNNNNNNNNNNNNNUCCGGUUUUCUCCGAAAUCACCCGGAACAAUUUCGGUGUCCGAAUAUAGUCGUCCAAUAUAUCAAUCUUUAUGACUCGACCAUUUCGAGAUUCCUCGUCAUGUCCGUGAUGACAUCCGGGACUCCGAACAAACUUCGGUACAUCAAAACUUAUAAACUCAUAAUAAAACUGUCAUCGUAACGUUAAGCGUGCGGACCCUACGGGUUCGAGAACUAUGUAGACAUGACCUAGAACCAUUCUUGGUCAAUAACCAAUAGCGGGACCUAGAUGCCCAUAUUGGUUCCUACAUAUUCUACGAAGAUCUUUAUCGGUCAAACCGCAUAACAACAUACGUUGUUCCCUUUGUCAUCGAUAUGUUACUUGCCCGAGAUUUGAUCGUCGGUAUCCAAUACCUAGUGCAAUCUCGUUACUGGCAAGUCUCUUUACUCGUUCCGUAAUACAUCAUCUCAUAACUAACUUAUUAGUUACAAUGCUUGCAAGGCUUAGGUGAUGAGUAUUACCAAGAGGACCCAGAGAUACCUCUCCGACAAUCGGAGUGACAAAACCUAAUCCCGAAUUAUGCCAACUCAACAUGUACCUUCGGAAACACCUAUAGAGCACCUUUAUAAUCACCCAGUUACGUUGUGACGUUUGGUAGCACACAAAGUGUUCUUCCGGUAAACGGGAGUUGCACAAUCUCAUAGUUGCAGGAACUUGUAUAAGUCAUGAAGAAAGCAAUAGCAGUAUACUAAACGAUCAAGUGCUAGGCUAACGGAAUGGGUCAUGUCAAUCACAUCAUUCUCCUAAUGAUGUGAUCCCGUCAAUCAAAUGACAACUCUUUUGUCCAUGGUUAGGAAACAUAACCAUCUUUGAUAAACGAGCUAGUCAAGUAGAGGCAUACUAGUGACACUAUGUUUGUCUAUGUAUUCACACAUGUAUCAUGUUUCCGGUUAAUAUAAUUCUAGCAUGAAUAAUAAACAUUUAUCAUGAUAUGAGGAAAUAAAUAAUAACUUUAUUAUUGCCUCUAUGGCAUAUUUCCUUCAGUCUCCCACUUGCACUAGAGUCAAUAAUCUAGAUUACAUGGUAAUGAUUUUGACACCCAUGGAGUCUUGGUGCUGAUCAUGUUUUGCUCGUGAGAGAGGCUUAGUCAACGGGUCUGCAACAUUCAGAUCCGUAUGUAUCUUGCAAAUCUCUAUGUCUCCCACUUGGACUUGGUCCCGAAUGGAAUUGAAGCGUCUCUUGAUGUGUUUGGUCCUCUUGUGAAAUUUGGAUUCCUUUGCCAAGGCAAUUGCACCAGUAUUGUCACAGAAGAUGUUCAUUGGUCCCGAUGCACUAGGUAUGACACCUAGAUCGGAAAUGAGAUCCUUCAUCCAGACUCCUUCAUUUGCUGCUUCUGAAGCAGCUAUGUACUCCGCUUCACAUGUAGAUCCCGCCACGAUGCUUUGUUUAGAACUGCACCAACUUACAGCUCCACCGUUUAAUAAAAACACGUAUCUGGUUUGCGAUUUAGAAUCGUCCGGAUCAGUGUCAAAGCUUGCAUCGACGUAACCGUUUACGACUAGCUCUUUGUCACCUCCAUAUAUGAGAAACAUAUCCUUAGUCCUUUUCAGGUAUUUCAGGAUGUUCUUGACCGCUGUCCAGUGAUCCACUCCUGGAUUACUUUGGUACCUUCCUGCCAAGCUUAUUGCUAAGCAUACGUCAGGCCUGGUACACAGCAUUGCAUACAUGAUAGAGCCUAUGGCUGAAGCAUAGGGAACAUUUUUCAUUUUCUCUCUAUCUUCUGCUGUGGUCGGGCAUUGAGUUUGACUCAACUUCACACCUUGUAGCACAGGUAAGAAUCCUUUCUUUGCCUGAUCCAUUUUGAACUUUUUCAAAAAAAAUUCAAGGUAUGUGCUUUGUGAAAGUCCUAUUAAGCGUCUUGAUCUAUCUCUAUAGAUCUUGAUGAGUAAUAUGUAAGCAGCUUCACCGAGGUCUUUCAUUGAAAAACUUUUAUUCAAGUAUCCCUUUAUGCUAUGCAGAAAUUCUAUAUCAUUUCCAAUUAAUAAUAUGGCAUCUACAUAUAAAAUUAGAAAUGCUACAGAGCUCCCACUCACUUUCUUGUAAAUACAGGCUUCUCCAAAUGUCUGUAUAAAACCAUAUGCUUUGAUCACACUAUCAAAGCGUUUAUUCCAACUCCGAAAUGCUUGCACCAGUCCAUAAAUGGAACGCUGGAGCUUGCAUACUUUGUCAGCACCUUUUGGAUCAACAAAACCUUCCGGCUGCAUCAUAUACAACUCUUCUUCUAGAAAUCCAUUCAAGAAUGCAGUCUUGACAUCCAUAUGCCAAAUUUCAUAAUCAUGAAAUGCAGCAAUAGCUAACAUGAUUCGGACAGACUUAAGCAUCGCUACGGGUGAGAAAGUCUCAUCGUAGUCAACCCCUUGAACUUGUCGAAAACCUUUUGCAACAAGUCGAGCUUUAUAGACAGUUACAUUACCAUCAGCGUCAGUCUUCUUCUUAAAGAUCCAUUUAUUCUCAAUGGCUUGCCAAUCAUCGGGCAAGUCAACCAAAGUCCAUACUUUGUUUUCAUACAUGGAUCCCAUCUCAGAUUUCAUGGCUUCUAGCCAUUUUGCGGAAUCUGGGCUCAUCAUCGCUUCCUCAUAGUUCGUAGGUUCACCAUGGUCAAGUAACAUGACUUCCAGAAUAGGAUUACCAUACAACUCUAGUGCGGAUCUUACUCUGGUAGACCUACGAGGUUCAGUAGAAACUUGAACUCCUCACUAAUUGGUGUAGUUGUCACAGGAACCGGUUCUCGUGAUGAACUACUUUCCAAUAAGGGAGUAGAUACAGUUAUCUCAUCAAGUUCUACUUUCCUCCCACUCACUUCUUUCGAGAGAAACUCCUUCUCUAGAAAGGAUCCAUUCUUAGCAACGAAUGUCUUGCCUUCAGAUCUGUGAUAGAAGGUGUACCCAACAGUCUCUUUUGGGUAUCCUAUGAAAACACAUUUCUCCGAUUUGGGUUCGAGCUUAUCUGGUUGAAGUUUCUUCACAUAAGCAUCGCAGCCCCAAACUUUAAGAAACGACAACUUUGGUUUCUUGCCAAACCACAGUUCAUAAGGCGUCGUCUCAACGGAUUUUGAUGGUGCCCUAUUUAACGUGAAUGCGGCCGUCUCUAAAGCAUAACCCCAAAACGAUAGCAGUAAAUCAGUAAGAGACAUCAUAGAUCGCACCAUAUCAAGUAAAGUACGAUUAUGACGUUCGGACACACCAUUUCGUUGUGGUGUUCCGGGUGGCGUGAGUUGCGAAACUAUUCCACAUUGUUUCAAGUGUAGGCCAAACUCGUAACUCAAAUAUUCUCCUCCACGAUCAGAUCGUAGAAACUUUAUUUUCUUGUUACGAUGAUUUUCCACUUCACUCUGAAAUUCUUUGAACUUUUCAAAUGUUUCAGACUUGUGUUUCAUCAAGUAGAUAUACCCAUAUCUGCUCAAAUCAUCUGUGAAGGUGAGAAAAUAACGAUACCCGCCGCGAGCCUCAACAUUCAUUGGGCCACAAACAUCAGUAUGUAUGAUUUCCAACAAAUUAGUUGCUCGCUCCAUAGUUCCGGAGAAUGGCGUUUUAGUCAUCUUGCCCAUAAGGCACAGUUCGCAAGUACCAAGUGAUUCAUAAUCAAGUGAUUCCAAAAGUCCAUCAGUAUGGAGUUUCUUCAUGCGUUUUACACCGAUAUGACCCAAAAGGCAGUGCCACAAGUAAGUUGCACUAUCGUUAUCAACUCUGCAUCUUUUGGUUUCAACACUAUGAACAUGUGUAUCACUACUAUCGAGAUUUAAUAAAAAUAAACCACUCUUCAAGGGUGCAUGACCAUAAAAGAUAUUACUCAUAUAAAUAGAACAACCAUUAUUCUUUGAUUUAAAUGAAUAACCGUCUCGCAUCAAACAAGAUCCAGAUAUAAUGUUCAUGCUUAACGCUGGCACCAAAUAACAAUUAUUCAGGUCUAAAACUAAUCCCGAAGGUAGAUGUAGAGGUAGCGUGCCGACCGCGAUCACAUCGACUUUGGAACCGUUUCCCACGCGCAUCGUCACCUCGUCCUUGGCCAGUGCUCGCUUAUUCCGUAGUCCCUAUUUCGAGUUGCAAAUAUUAGCAACAGAACCAGUAUCAAAUUCCCAGGUGCUACUACGAGCUCUAGUUAGGUACACAUCAAUAACAUGUAUAUCACAUGUAGCUUUGUUUACUUUGCCAUCCUUCUUAUCCGCCAAAUACUUGGGGCAGUUCCGCUUCCAGUGACCAGUCUGCUUGCAGUAGAAGCACUCAGUUUCAGGCUUAGGUCCAGACUUGGGUUUCUUCUCUUGAGCAGCAACUUGCUUGCUGUUCUUCUUGAAGUUCCCCUUCUUCUUCCCUUUGCCCUUUUUCUUGAAACUAGUGGUCUUGUUGACCAUCAACACUUGAUGCUCCUUCUUGAUUUCUACCUCCGCAGCUUUUAGCAUUGCGAAGAGCUCGGGAAUAGUCUUGUUCAUCCCUUGCAUAUUAUAGUUCAUCACAAAGCUCUUGUAUCUUGGUGGCAGUGAUUGGAGAACUCUGUCAAUGACGCUAUCAUCCGGAAGAUUAACUCCCAGUUGAAUCAAGUGAUUAUUAUACCCAGACAUUUUGAGUAUAUGCUCACUGACAGAACUAUUCUCCUCCAUCUUGCAGCUGUAGAACUUAUUGGAGACUUCAUAUCUCUCAAUCCGGGCAUUUGCUUGAAAUAUUAACUUCAACUCCUGGAACAUCUCAUAUGCUCCAUGACGUUCAAAACGUCGUUGAAGGCCCGGUUCUAAGCCGUAAAGCAUGGCACACUGAACUAUAGAGUAGUCAUCAGCUUUGCUCUGCCAGACGUUCUUAACGUCGUCAGUUGCAUCAGCAGCAAGCCUGGCACCCAGCGGUGCUUCCAGGACGUAACUUUUCUGUGCAGCAAUGAGGAUAAUCCUCAGGUUACGGACCCAGUCCGUGUAAUUGCUACCAUCAUCUUUCAACUUUUCUUUCUCAAGGAACGCAUUAAAAUUCAACGGAACAACAGCACGAGCCAUCUAUCUACAAACAAACAUAGACAAGCAAAAUACUAUCAGGUACUAAGUUCAUGAUAAAUUUUAAGUUCAAUUAAUCAUAUUACUUAAGAACUCCCACUUAGACAGACAUCUCUCUAGUCAUCUAAGUGAUUACGUGAUCCAAAUCAACUAAACCAUAACCGAUCAUCAUGUGAGAUGGAGUAGUUUUCACUGGUGAACAUCACUAUGUUGAUCAUAUCUACUAUAUGAUUCAUGCUCGACCUUUCGGUCUCCGUGUUCCGAGGCCAUAUCUGCAUAUGCUAGGCUCGUCAAGUUUAACCUGAGUAUUCUGCGUGUGCAAAACUGGCUUGUACCCGUUGUAGAUGGACGUAGAGCUUAUCACACCCUAUCAUCACGUGGUGUCUGGGCACGACAAACUUUGGCAAUGGUGCAUACUCAGGGAGAACACUUCUUGAUAAUUUUUGUGAGAGAUCAUCUUAAAAUGCUACCGUCAAUCAAAGCAAGAUAAGAUGCAUAAAGGAUAAACAUCACAUGCAAUCAAUAUAAGUGAUAUGAUAUGGCCCUCAUCAUCUUGUGCUUGUGAUCUCCAUCUUUGAAGCACCAUCGUGAUCACCAUCGUCACCGGCGCGACACCUUGAUCUCCAUCGUAGCAUCGUUGUCGUUACGCCAUCUAUUGCUUCUACGACUAUCUAUACCGCUUAGUGAUAAAGUAAAGCAAUUACAGGGUGUUUGCAUUUCAUACAAUAAAGCGACAACCAUAUGGCUCCUGCCAGUUGCCGAUAACUUCGGUUACAAAACAUGAUCAUCUCAUACAAUAAAAUAUAUCAUCACGUCUUGACCAUAUCACAUCACAACAUGCCCUGAAAAACAAGUUAGACGUCCUCUACUUUGUUGUUGCAAGUUUUACGUGGCUGCUAUGGGCUUAGCAAGAACUGUUCUUACCUACGCAUCAAAACCACAACGAUAGUUCGUCAAGUUGGUGCUGUUUUAACCUUCGCAAGGACCGGGCGUAGCCACACUCGAUUCAGCUAAAGUGAGAGAGACAGACACCCGCCAGCCACCUUUAAGCACGAGUGCUCGUAACGGUGAAACCAGUCUCACGUAAGCGUACGCGUAAUGUCGGUCCGGGCCGCUUCAUCUCACAAUACCGCCGAACCAAAGUAUGAAAUGCUGGUAAGCAGUAUGACUUGUAUCGCCCACAACUCACUUGUGUUCUACUCGUGCAUAUAACAUCAACGCAUAAAACCUAGGCUCGGAUGCCACUGUUGGGAAACGUAGUAAUUUCAAAAUUUUCCUACGCACACGCAAGAUCAUGGUGAUGGCAUAGCAACGAGAGAGGAGAGUGUUCGUCCAUGUACCCUCGUAGACCGUAAGCGGAAGCGUUAGCACAACGCGGUUGAUGUAGUUGUACGUCUUCACGAUCCGACCGAUCCAAGCACCGAACGUACGGGGCCUCCGAGUUCAGCACACGUUCAGCUCGAUGACGAUCUCCGGCCUCCGAUCCAGUGAAGCUCCGGAGAUGAGUUCCGUCAGCACGACGGCGUGGUGACGAUGAUGAUGUUCUACCGGCACAGGGCUUCGCCUAAACUCCGCGACAAUAUGACCGAGGUGGAAUAUGGUGGAGGGGGGGCACCGCACACGGCUAAGGAACGAUCCGUAGAUCAACUUGUGUGUCUAUGGGGUGCCCCCCGCCCCUGUAUAUAAAGGAGCAAGGGGGAGAGGCCGGCCGGCCCCUUGGGCGCGCCAAGGGAGGAGGAAUCCUCCUCCUAGUAGGAGUAGGACUCCUCCUUUCCUACUCCUACUAGGAGGGGGAAGGAAGGAGGAGAGGGGGAAGGAAAGGGGGGGCGCCGCCCCCCUCGUAGUCCAAUUCGGACCAGAGGGGGGGAGGGGGCGUGCGGCCCAUGCUGGCCGCCCCUCUCUCCUUUCCCCUAAGGCCCAUAAGGCCCAAUACUCUCCCGGGGGGUUCCGGUAACCCCCGGCACUCCGGUUUUCUCCGAAAUCACCCGGAACAAUUCCGGUGUCCGAAUAUAGUCGUCCAAUAUAUCAAUCUUUAUGUCUCGACCAUUUCGAGAUUCCUCGUCAUGUCCGUGAUGACAUCCGGGACUCCGAACAAACUUCGGUACAUCAAAAGAUAUAAACUCAUAAUAAAACUGUCAUCGUAACGUUAAGCGUGCGGACCCUACAGGUUCGAGAACUAUGUAGACAUGACCUAGAACCAUUCUCGGUCAAUAACCAAUAGCGGGACCUGGAUGCCCAUAUUGGUUCCUACAUAUUCUACGAAGAUCUUUAUCGGUCAAACCGCAUAACAACAUACGUUGUUCCCUUUGUCAUGGGUACGUUACUUGCCCGAGAUUUGAUCGUCGGUAUCCAAUACCUAGUUCAAUCUCGUUACUGGCAAGUCUCUUUACUCGUUCCGUAAUAUAUCAUCUCAUAACUAACUUAUUAGUUACAAUGCUUGCAAGGCUUAGGUGAUGAGUAUUACCGAGAGGGCCCAGAGAUACCUCUCCGACAAUCGGAGUGACAAAACCUAAUCUCGAAUUAUGCCAACUCAACAUGUACCUUCGGAAACACCUGUAGAGCACCUUUAUAAUCACCCAGUUACGUUGUGACGUUUGGUAGCACACAAAGUGUUCUUCCGGUAAACGGGAGUUGCACAAUCUCAUAGUUGCAGGAACUUGUAUAAGUCAUGAAGAAAGCAAUAGCAGUAUACUAAACGAUCAAGUGCUAGGCUAACGGAAUGGGUCAUGUCAAUCACAUCAUUCUCCUAAUGAUGUGAUCCCGUCAAUCAAAUGACAACUCUUUUGUCCAUGGUUAGGAAACAUAACCAUCUUUGAUAAACGAGCUAGUCAAGUAGAGGCAUACUACUGACACUAUGUUUGUCUAUGUAUUCACACAUGUAUCAUGUUUCCGGUUAAUAUAAUUCUAGCAUGAAUAAUAAACAUUUAUCAUGAUAUGAGGAAAUAAAUAAUAACUUUAUUAUUGCCUCUAGGGCAUAUUUCCUUCAGUUACCGGAGUCCUGUUAGCCCAGUGUUACAGCCCGGAUGUAUACGUUGAUGACCGACAUGCUCGAUGUGACUCAUGUAUGCCUGUCCCCAUAGGUUAGCGCCGCUUUGGGUUCAUGACUAGCCAUGUCAGCCCGGGUUCUCUGUCAUAUGGAUGCUAGCGACACUAUCAUAUACGUGAGCCAAAAGGCGCAAACAGUCCCGGCCAUGGUAAGGCGACACCCGUGGGAUUACCGUGCGUGAGGCCGCAAAGUGAUAUGAGGUGUUACCGGCUAGAUCAAUGUGACUUGGAAUCAUGGUCCAGACAGCAUUGGCAUCAGAGCCGGACUGCCUGUAGGUUCCUAAGCCAAACUGGUCGAUGUCGAGUCUAGAAAUGCUUUAGUUAUAUGUAGGGGAAUUUAUUGUGGGAGGAAACGUAAGGCUCUUUUUACCCCUUUACCUUAUGCCCUCUGAUCUGUGUCAUCCUCUUCUCAUUCUACGUGGGUUAAGGACUAGGCUCUCUUCUCUCUAUCAGGUUCACGUGUUACUAAUCCGUAGUAACUUAUAGGAUUGUUGGUUACCAGUCUCAGUACAGUUCCUACUACUUUAGUAUGUUAUCAGUUGAACCUGAACCUUGAUAUGAUGUUGUUGAGUGGUUUUGCAAUCCGUUGUGAAUGUCUCAAAUCUGCUCCUGAGCAUUUACAGCUGUUAUGUUGUCCAAUUUUCCCUAGGAAUUCUAAUGUCUUUGCAUUGUGGUUGUGCUUUCAGAUGGCCACUCGCGCUCAGAACCAAGUGGUUCGCCUGACGCGGUGCCUCAAUGUGCCCGGUCAUACUGCUAUGUUAGUCCGGGUCAUGAUCGAGACAGGUUACCGUUGGUAUCCCGAAUACAUUGCCGAAGAGCAAUUCCAAGACUUUAAUCAAAGCCAAUACUUCUGCACUGUCAGGAUAUUUCCUUCAUAUCCUGGAUCCACCGAGCCCCUUCACUGCUCCUAUGGACUCGGGGUCACCAUUGAGAUGGCUGUACAGGAUGCGGCCUAUUCUAUGAUGACCAUCAUGCGAGUCAGGACUGGUCUGCUUCGGAACACCGACUUCCGUUAUAUGCCAGCAUCGCUCCCAGGAGCGCAAGGGUAUCUCCAGGCUAUCUAUGCUGAUUCCACCCAUGAGGACUCACUAACUCGCACCAUUGCGGAGAUGCUCGAGGAUAAGGACCGAGAGAAUCAGGCCUUGAGGUUGGAGCUUUUCAACACCUGCGCCGAUCAUUGGGCCACUUUGACUCGGUUUGCACCGGCUGUGCAAGCUGGAUGUAUGGAUAUGAGGGAUCUGUUUCCUGUGAGAUCUGCUCUGCCAGACAUGGUGGAUUGGCGUGAUGUGGGAGGCAUCAUCCCACCCCGUGGUCCCCGUAGGCCAUCGUUUGUUGGUCCAAGACCUCAUCCUAGCCCCUAUGGUCCACAGGCUCCUCAGGACCGUCUGUUCCCGGAUGAUCACGUUGAGCUUCCAAGCUAUGGAGGGGACUUCUAUGAGGACUACUACGGAGCUGUCUGAGUUAGUAGUAGUAUCUUUAGUAUUGUAAUAGUUGUAAUUCCAUCGUCCUGCGUGACCUGUGGAAUAUGACUUAGUGUGUAUCAGUUCCGGAGGUGUAGAAAAAUAAUGUAUCGGAGCUUGGAAUGCCUCCGAUGAGAUGUAACUUCUUCCACCGUAGUUGUACUAUAGUCGGGCUUGUACUAAACUAUGUAUGGUGUGUAUGACUGUUGGUGCAUAUAUGGCAGUUUCUGUAUUACCAUGUCAUACAGAUGAACAUCUCUGCAUUCCUUGUUAUCCAUUACAUUCUGCACUUCCUUGUCCAGAUUUGCCAUCCUUGUCUAAAGCGAUGUCUUGUUUUCCUAGGAUGGUCAACACCCGUAACAACCCUGCUACUCCGGAGCAGGGUGAAGCCAGUGCAGCUAGGAAUGAAAAUCUGCCUCAACCACCUUCUCUGGUCGAAGUUAUGCUGGAGGCAGAGCGAAAUAAGCGUGAGACCAAUCGCUUGCUGGAGCGGAUUGAGCAGAAUACCGCACGCCAGCCGAGGAACGACCUGGUGUCACUUAAUGACUUUGUCAAGCUGUAUCCACCGAAGUUUAAACAUUCCGUCGAGCCCCUUGAUGCGGAUGAAUGGCUUCGCAGCAUUACCCACAAGCUACGUUCUGUCAAUGUGGCCGAAGCUGAUAAGGUUAACUUUGCUACCUAUCACCUCGAAGGCCCUGCUAGCCUUUGGUGGGAAAACUUUGAGGCUAUGCGCCCGGUCGGCCAAAUUACUACUUGGGCUGAAUUCAGUAUGGAGCAUCACAUUCCGGAAGGUCUUAUGGAUCGCAAGCGUGAAGAGUUCUGCAACUUCACCCAGGGUAGACUGACUGUGGAUGCAUACAGUCGCGAGUUUGGAUAUCUAGCACGAUAUGCUCCUAAAGAGGUAUCCACCGACGCCAAGAAGCAGGCAAGGUUCCGCAAGGGACUUAGCCCCGAGCUUCGUCGUGAUCUUCGUCUGCACGAGUGCACCUCCUUCCAGAAGUUAGUCAACAAGGCCAUCAGUGCUGAGACAGGGCAGUCGGACUUUGAAGCUUCACGCAAGCACUCCCGUGACUUUGGACUUCAUCCGGCUGUGCAUCUCAGAAGCGCCGGGUCUGGAUUCCAAGCACUGCUCUGCCACCCAGGUUCACCCCGAGGCCAUCCUUUGACGCGCCUCGCCCCAACCAAUAGUAUACACCGCCCAAGGCCUAUGGUGGCCCCACUGCUAAUGCUACUCCAUGCCCCAAUGUGAUAACUUGUUUCAAGUGUGGGGAGACGGGUCACUACAUUCGUGAGUGUCCCCAAAACAACCCCAACCAGAUUGGAAAGUCUGUUGGCCGUGGCAAGCCAGCAGGAAAGGUGCUCUACGCCAAGCCAGCCACCACUGCCCGUGGCCAUGUCAACUAUGUCUCAGCAGAGGAGACUCAUGAGGAUCCCAACGUCGUUCUCGGUACGCUUCUUGUUAAUUGCCACCCGGCAACCAUUCUCUUUGAUACUGGAGCAUCUCAUUCAUUUAUAUCUGAAAGCUAUGCUCGAUUGCACAACACCACAUUUUGUGACAUGCCCACCUCCAUGGUAAUUCAAACCCCUGGUUCUAAGUGGCAAACCUCUAAAAUCAGCCAUGGAAAUGAAAUCCUUGUCGACAGAUUAGUCUUCCUUGCAUCACUAAUAGCUCUCAAGUCCUCGGACAUAAACAUCAUCUUGGGUAUGGACUGGAUGUCAGCCCAUUACGCUAAGAUCGAUUGCUCCACUAGAACUGUUCAACUCACCCACCCUUCGGGCAAGACAGCCAAUGUUUUGACCCGAGUGUCUAAGCGUCAGCUUUACUCUUUAAAUGCCAACCCCCUUCCAGACCUUGAAGAUAUUCCGGUAGUCCGUGACUUCCCGGAUGUCUUUCCAGAGGAACUGUCAGGUGUUCCACCUAACAGAGAUGUCAAGUUCGUGAUAGACCUUGUUCCAGGAACCAUGCCAACAUCUAGGAGACCUUAUAAGAUGGCACCCCUAGAACUAGCUGAGCUUAAGAAACAACUCGAUGAGUCCUUGCAAAAGGGUUUCAUCCAUCCUAGCUCUUCUCCAUGGGCUUGCCCCGUCCUUUUCGUCAAGAAGAAGGAUGGAACGGAUCGGAUGGUUGUAGAUUACCGGCCAGUCAACUUGGUCACUAUCAAGAACAAGUAUCCGCUCCCCAAGAUCAACGACCUGUAUGAUCAGCUCGCUGGAUCCUCAGUCUUUUCUAAAAUGGAUUUGAGGUUGGGCUACCAUCAAAUCAAAAUUAAGAACGGGGACAUUCCUAAAACGGCCUUUGUUACUCGAUAUGGCCAAUACGAGUACACCGUCAUGUCCUUCGGUCUAACCAAUGCCCCAGCCACCUUCUCUCGGUUAUUGAACUCGAUCUUCAUGGAGUAUUUUGAUAAAUUCGUCGUGGUUUACCUUGAUGAUAUACUCAUCUACUCCAAGAAUGAAGAAGAACAUGCCGAACAUCUAAGGCUAGUGUUGAUGAAACUUUGAGAGCAUUGUCUUUAUGCCAAAUUCUCUAGGUGUGAGUUUUGGUUGCCAGAAGUAACCUAUCUAGGACAUGUAAUCUCUGGUAAGGGCAUUGCUGUCAAUCCCAAGCGAGUUCAAGCCAUCCUUGACUGGACUCCACCUGAAACGGUCAAGCAAGUUCAGAGUUUUGUUGGUUUAGCGAGCUAUUGCCGCUGCUUCAUCGAGAAUUUCUCCAAGGUUGCUAAGCCUCUAACCGAACUCCUCAAGAAAGAUAAAAAGUUCGAAUGGACGCCAUAGUGCGAGUUCAGUUUUCAGGAACUGAAAAGACGCCUGACAUCUGCUCCUGUACUUGUUCCACCAGAUUUCUCUAAGGACUUCGUUAUCUACUGCGACGCCUCGCGACAAGGACUAGGUUGCAUACUCAUGCAAGAUCGUCAUGUGAUUGCCUACGCUUCUCGACAGCUGCGUCCACAUGAGGAUAACUAUCCCACACAUGAUCUACAGCUUGCAGCAGUGGUCCAUGCACUCAAAACCUGGCGACAUUACCUUCUCGGUAAUCGUUGCGAGAUUUACACCGAUCACCAAAGUCUGAAAUACAUCUUCACCAAACCGGAUUUGAAUCUCAGACAAAGACGUUGGGUCGAGUUGAUUACGGAUUACGAUCUAGGAAUAACCUACACCCCAGGAAAAGCCAAUGUCAUGGCUGAUGCAUUAAGCCGUAAAUCUUAUUGUAACAACCUGAUGUUACAACAAAGCCAACCAUUUCUCCACGAGGAAUUUCGUAAGCUUAACCUUCACAUCGUUCCUCGAGGUUUUCUUUCCACCCUGGUGGCGAAACCUACCCUUACGGAUCAGAUCAUCAAGGCACAGAAGGUAGAUCCGGGAAUAUCCCGUAUCAAGAGAAACAUCAAAAGGGAGUUGGACUGUUUCUCCAUAGAUGAUCAAGGUGUUGUGUUCUUUGGAGGCCAUCUAGUGGUUCCCAAGGUAUGCAACCUGAGGCGAUUGAUCCUUAAGGAAGCUCAUGAAUCCCCUCUCACUAUUCAUCCCAGUAGUACUAAAAUGUAUCAAGACCUACGCCAGAGGUUUUGGUGGACUAGGAUGAAGAGAGAAAUCGCUCAAUACAUUACCAAUUGCGACGUCUGUCGUCGAGUUAAAGAAGAGCAUCAACGACCUGCUGGCACCCUGCAACCUUUGGAAAUUCCCGAAUGGAAAUGGGAUAAAAUCGGUAUGGAUUUCAUUACCGGGUUUCCCAGGACCAAGAGGGGGAAUAAUGCUAUCUUCGUUGUUGUCGAUCGUCUUUCCAAAGUAGCCCACUUCCUACACGUUCGUGAGAGUUUAACCGCUAGCCAGCUAGCUGACUUAUACAUCUCCCGAAUAGUGUCUCUUCAUGGUGUUCCAUUGGAGACUAACUCAGACCGUGGAAGUCUCUUCACCUCUCGAUUUCGGGAAAGUUUCCAAAAUGCGAUGGGAACUCGUCUUUCUUUUAGCACCGCUUUCCAUCCUCAAUCAAGUGGUCAAGUAGAACGAGUCAAUCAAAUUCUAGAGGAUAUGCUUCGAGCUUCUGUCAUCUCUUUUGGUAUGAAUUGGGAGAAGUGCCUUCCAUUCGCUGAGUUCGCUUAUAACAAUAGUUAUCAAGCUAGCUUGGACAAAGCUCCUUUCAAAGUUCUCUAUGGAUGAAAAUGUCGAACACCUCUUAACUGGUCAGAAACCGGGUAAAGACAACUCUUUGGCCCGGAUAUGAUCCAGGAAGCAGAGGAGCAGGUUCACGUUAUUCGUGAGAAAUUGAAAACAGCCCAAUCUCAUCAAAAGAGCCAAUAUGACCGCAAACAUACACUAGUAGAAAAGGGGCCAAUGGUCCAGGCCGGUCCAGCCCAUUAGUCCCGGUUCAAUCCAGAACCGGGACCAAUGGGGGCAUUGGACCCGGUUCGUGAGCCCUGGGGGCCGGCCGGGCCACGUGGGCCAUUGGUCCCGGUUCGUCCUGACCUUUCGGUCCCGGUUGGUGGGACGAACCGGGACCAAUGGGCCUCGCUCCUGGCCCACCAACAUUGGUCCCGGUUGGUGGCUUGAACCGGGACCAAAGGCGUCCCUUUAGUCCCGGUUCAAGUCACCAACCGGGACCAAUUAGUUGCCUAUAUAUACCCCUCGCCUGCGAGCAGAGCACUCCCAGUGCUCUGUUUUUCGUGGCUGGCGAGGGGAGAGCUUUGUGGUGCUCUAGCUCACGUCCUAUGCACACAAGGUGUUCGAUGGAAUGCCCGAGCCACACUACUUAAGCUUUCUCCUCUCCAAGCUCGACCUCCAAGCUCCAUUUUCCUUCAUAUUUGUCUAGGUUUAGCGGUUCGUCACGUCCCGUCCCCAUCUUCACCACCGUUGAUCGCCCGCGCCGAUCUCGUCGCCGGCACCACCGUGGUGAGCCUCUUGUUCUUAUCUUCUUUCUGAAAGGAAAAAAAAUUCUUACUUGUAUGUUUAUAUAGAUACUUGUAUAAUUUUCUUACUUUUAUUAUUGCAUCUUAUAUAGUGCGAUGGUUUUGGUAUCCGCCCCCGUCGGCCCUCGUCCUGUCUAUGAUUCAGAUGUGGUAUAUAUAUAUUAUCUUUUCAUAACUAGUGGUUCAUUUAUUGUUUAUGACAAUUAUGCCGACCAACGUGACAUAGAUUUUAUUUAUCUAGGAGGUUGUUGAACCGGAAAUUCCAACCGACCCUAUUGUCGAGAGGUUAAAUUUAGUUGAAGAAAACAAUUUGUUGAAGGGAAAAAUUAGAAAAAUUGAGGAGGAGAAGAUGAUAUUGGAGUUGCAUGUUGCGGAUGUCAUCGAUGAUCACAAGAUCAAGAUGGAUGCAAUGCGCUUGAAGAUUAGAAAGAUUAGAAAAUAUGCCAUUCAUACCGAGGCUUGGUAUCAUUAUGUCGUUGGAUCAGUUGUUACAUUGGUUGCGAUUAUGAUCGUAUUUGUUUUCGCAUUGAAAUGUUUUACAUAGUUUCAGUGUAUGGUUUAAUUAAUUUAGAUGCCCUGCAGAGCUUUAUGUUGUUAGAUGAGAACUAUGUAUGUACUUUGGUUUUAAUGUGAUGAUGAACUUCUAUUAAUUUCGUCACUUAAUUAUCUAUUCAUGAUGUUCUGUAAUGAUUUUUGACACACUUAAUUAUAUAUAAUGCACGCAGAUGAACCGGCAAUGGAUGUACGGUUCAAGACACACCUCCGAGUACAUUAAGGGCGUGCAUGAUUUUCUCGAAGUGCCUGAGGCAACAAGAAGAAUGGUUUUAUGUGUUGUCCAUGCCCUAUAUGUGGGAAUACGAAGUCUUACUCUGACUGGAAAAUCCUCCACACCCACCUUCUUUACAAGGGUUUCAUGCCACACUAUAAUGUUUGGACGAGGCACGGAGAAAUAGGGGUUAUGAUGGAAGACGGCGAAGAAGAAGAGUACGAUGACAACUAUGUGCCCCCUGAAUACGGUGAUGCUACUGAAGAUCAAGAGGAACCAGACGAUGUGCCCGAUGAUGAUGAUCUCCGCCGGGUCAUUGUCGAUGCAAGGACGCAAUGCGAAAGUCAAAAGGAGAAGCUGAAGUUCGAUCGCAUGUUAGAGGACCACAAAAAAGGGUUGUACCCCAAUUGUGAAGAUGGCAACACAAAGCUCGGUACCGUACUGGAAUUGCUGCAGUGGAAGGCAGAGAAUGUUGUGCCUGACAAAGGAUUUGAGAAGCUACUGAAAAUAUUGAAGAAGAAGCUUCCAAAGGAUAACGAAUUGCCCGACAGUACAUACACAGCAAAGAAGUUCGUAUGCCCUCUAGGAUUGGAGGUGCAGAAGAUACAUGCAUGCCCUAAUGACUGCAUCCUCUACCGCGGUGCGUACAAGGAUCUGAACGCAUGCCCGGUAUGCGGUGCAUUACGGUAUAAGAUCAGACGAGAUGACCCUGGUGAUGUUGACGGCGAGCCCCCCAGGAAGAGGGUUCCUGCGAAGGUGAUGUGGUAUGCUCCCAUAAUACCACGGUUGAAACGUCUGUUCAGAAACGGAGAGCAUGCCAAGUUGAUGCGAUGGCACAGUGAGGACCGUAAGAAAGACGGGAAGUUGAGAGCACCCGCUGACGGGUCGCAGUGGAGAAAAAUCGAGGGAAAGUACUGGGAUGAGUUUGCAAGUGAGCCAAGGAACGUAUGGUUUGCUUUAAGCGCGGAUGGCAUUAAUCCUUUCGGGGAGCAGAGCAGCAAUCACAGCACCUGGCCCGUGACUCUAUGUAUGUAUAACCUUCCUCCUUUGAUGUGCAUGAAGCAGAAGUUCAUUAUGAUGCCAGUUCUCAUCCAAGGCCCUAAGCAACCCGGCGACGACAUUGAUGUGUACCUAAGGCCAUUAGUUGAAGAACUUUUAUAGCUGUGGAAUGGAAAUAGUGUACGUACGUGGGAUGAGCACAAACAGGAGGAAUUUAACCUAAAGGCGUUGCUGUUCGUGACCAUCAACAAUUGGCCCGCUCUCAGUAACCUUUCAGGACAGACAAACAAGGGAUACCACGCAUGCACGCACUGUUUACUUGACACCGAUAGUAUAUACCUAGCAAGUUGUAGGAAGAAUGUGUACCUGGGCCAUCAUCGAUUUCUUUCGACCAACCAUCAAUGUUGAAAGAAAGGCAAGCAUUUCAAAGGCGAGGCAGAUCACCGGAAGAAGCCCUCCAUGCGUACUGGUAUCACGUACUUGCUAUGGUAGUGAUUUACACGUAAUCUUUGGAAAGUGUCCCGGCGGACUAGCUGUUCCGAAUGACGCUGAGAAUCACGCACCCAUGUGGAAGAAGAAAUCUAUAUUUUGGGACCUACCCUACUAGAAAGACCUAGAGGUCCGCUCUUCGAUCGACGUGAUGCACGUGACGAAGAACCUUUGCGUGAACCUGCUAGGCUUCUUGGGCAUGUAUGGGAAGACAAAAGAUACAACUGAGGCACGGGAGGACCUGCAACGCUUGCACGAAAAAGUGGGCAUGCCUCCGAAGCAGUAUGAAGGUCCUGCCAGCUACGCUCUUACGAAAGAAGAGAAAUAAAUCUUCUUUGAAUGCCUGCUCAGUAUGAAGGUCCCGACUGGCUUCUCUUCGAAUAUAAAGGGAAUAAUAAAUAUGCCAGACAAAAAGUUCUAGAACCUAAAGUCUCAUGACUGCCACGUGAUUAUGACGCAACUGCUUCCGGUUGCAUUGAGGGGGCUUCUACCGGAAAACGUCCGAUUAGCCAUUGUGAACCUAUGUGCAUUCCUCAAUGCAAUCUCUCAGAAGGUGAUCGAUCCAGAAAUCAUACCAAGGCUAAGGACUGAUGUGGUGCAAUGUCUUGUCAGUUUCGAGCUGGUGUUCCCACCAUCCUUCUUCAAUAUCAUGACGCACGUCCUAGUUCAUCUAGUUGACGAGAUUGUCAUUCUGGGCCCCGUAUUUCUACACAAUAUGUACUUCUUUGAGAGGUUCAUGGGAGUCCUAAAGAAAUAUGUCUGUAACCGCGCUAGGCCAAAAGGAAGCAUCUCCAUGGGCUAUCAAACAGAGGAUGUCAUCGGGUUUUGUGUUGACUUCAUUCCUGGCCUUAAGAAUAUAGGUCUCCCUAAAUCGCGGUAUGAGGGGAGACUGACUGGAAAAGGCACGCUUGGAAGGGACUCAAUUAUAUGCAGGGACGGAUAUUCUUGGUCUCAAGCACACUACACAGUUCUACAGAACUCUACCUUGGUGACCCCGUAUGUCGAUGAACACAAGAACAGUCUGCGCUCCAAACACCCGGAGCAGUGCGACGACUAGAUUACAUGUGAACACAUCAGGACUUUCAGUAGUUGGUUGGAAGCACAUAUCAGAGGUGACAACACUGUUUGUGAUGAGUUGUACUUGUUGUCCAGGGGACCAUCUUUGACUGUAUUGAUUUGGAAAGGAUACGAGAUAAAUGGGAAUACAUUUUACACGAUUGACCAAGAUCAAAAGAGCACCAACCAAAACAGCGGUGUCCGCUUUGAUGAAACAACCGAGAGGGGAAAGGACACAUAUUGUGGUUACAUAGUGGACAUAUGGGAACUUGACUACGGACACGAUUUUAAGGUCCCUUUGUUUAAGUGCAAAUGGGUCAAUCUGUCAGGUGGCAGGGUACAGGUAGACCCACAGUACGGAAUGACAAUAGUGGAUCUGGAAAAUCUUGGAUACACUGACGAACUGUUCGUCCUAGCCAAUGAUGUGGCACAGGUUAUCUAUGUGAAGGACAUGUCUACCAGACCAAGAAAGAGAAAAGAUAAGGAAGCGAAUACAUCAUACGAUGAGCCAAAGUGCCACAUAGUUCUUUCAGGAAAAAGGGACAUCGUGGGAGUGGAGGACAAGACAGACAUGUCUGAAGAUUAUGAAAAGUUUCAUGAAAUUCCUCCCUUUAAUGUCAAGGCUGACCCCAGCAUCCUGAUAGACGAUGAAGAUUAUCCAUGGUUACGGCGCAAUAAGCAAAUGACACAAGCGAAGAAAAAGUGAAGACUUUCUCCCGCAACUAUUAUGAUGAUACCAUGCCAAAUUUGUAACUGACGAGUAUGAUACCAUUGUCCGUUUUGUACAUGCACAUGCUAUGUGGGUCAAUUUAUGAUACCAUGCCAACUUUCAACUUUUUCAGAGUUCAUUUGAAAUGCUUUAAUGUCUUAUGGUUCGGCCCUCGUAAUGAUUAAAAAUAGCAACAAUAAGUAUUUUGUUGUAAGUAGAAACAAAAUAAAAUAAAUAAAGCAAGAAAGAAAACAAAAAAAACAAAAAAAGUGUUUUCAAAUUUGAAAACUAAUGGUACUAACAGAAAGUUUAUAAUUUUCCUAAAACUAAAAGCAAAAAGAAUUGAAAAAUAAAGCAAAAAACAAAAGACAAUAAAUAAUGCAGAAAUCAAAACAAAAAACAACAAUAAGUAUUUUGUUGUAUGUAGAAACAAAACAAAAUAAAUAAAGCAAGAAAGAAAACAAAAAAACAAAAAAAGUGUUUUCAAAUUUGAAAACUAGGGCACUAACAGAAAGUUUAUAAUUUUCCUAAAACUAAAAGCAAAAAGAAUUAAAAAAUAAAGCAAAAAACAAAAGAAAAUAAAUAAUGCGGAAAACAAAACAAAAAAACUGGAAAAAAAAUAAAAUAGCAAAAAUAAGUAAAGAAAACAAAAAAAUGCCUCCUACUGGGCCCCCACGGCCUGAAUACGACUAGAAACCCUACUAUGGGCCAGGAUUCAGGCCCGCAGUAGGCCCAGAAGGCCCAUCAGGCAAAGCAAUAGCAAGUAGGCCCGAAAGCCUGCGGUGGAGAGGAGCUCGAGAGGGGUGCGGCAGUGGGGCUUAUAAACCACUGCACGCCCCUCUCAACUAGCGAGGUGGGACUAAACUUUGGCCCCGACGCGGGAAGCACAGGGGCCUUUGGUCCCGGUUGGUGGCACCAACCGGGACUAAAGGGGGGGGCAUUGGUACCGGUUCGUGGCACCAACCGGUACCAAAGGCCGCCGCUUCCCGCCCUUUGGGCUGCCGAAAAGGAGGCCUUUGGUCCUAGUUGGUGGCACUAACCGGGACUAAAGGGUGCAUUAGUCCCGGUUGAUUUCACGAACCGGGACCAAUGCCUUUGCUAUAUAAGCAAACACUUUGCAAAAUUUCAGAAUCCCAUCGCCAGUUGCCCCCGACGACGCCGACCCUCCUCGACGCUGCCAGGCUGCUCCACCUCGCCGUCGUCGCCGCCACCGCCAAGCCGUCGCCUCCCCGAGCCCGCGCCAUCCUCGUCGCCGGCCUCCCUGAGCCCGCGCCGUCCUCGUCGCCGGUCUCCUCGAGCCCGCUCCCCGUCCCGCCCCCGCGCGCCGCCGCCCCGAGCCCCUGCCCCGUCCUGCCCCCAUGCGCNNNNNNNNNNNNNNNNNNNNNNNNNNNNNNNNNNNNNNNNNNNNNNNNNNNNNNNNNNNNNNNNNNNNNNNNNNNNNNNNNNNNNNNNNNNNNNNNNNNNNNNNNNNNNNNNNNNNNNNNNNNNNNNNNNNNNNNNNNNNNNNNNNNNNNNNNNNNNNNNNNNNNNNNNNNNNNNNNNNNNNNNNNNNNNNNNNNNNNNNNNNNNNNNNNNNNNNNNNNNNNNNNNNNNNNNNNNNNNNNNNNNNNNNNNNNNNNNNNNNNNNNNNNNNNNNNNNNNNNNNNNNNNNNNNNNNNNNNNNNNNNNNNNNNNNNNNNNNNNNNNNNNNNNNNNNNNNNNNNNNNNNNNNNNNNNNNNNNNNNNNNNNNNNNNNNNNNNNNNNNNNNNNNNNNNNNNNNNNNNNNNNNNNNNNNNNNNNNNNNNNNNNNNNNNNNNNNNNNNNNNNNNNNNNNNNNNNNNNNNNNNNNNNNNNNNNNNNNNNNNNNNNNNNNNNNNNNNNNNNNNNNNNNNNNNNNNNNNNNNNNNNNNNNNNNNNNNNNNNNNNNNNNNNNNNNNNNNNNNNNNNNNNNNNNNNNNNNNNNNNNNNNNNNNNNNNNNNNNNNNNNNNNNNNNNNNNNNNNNNNNNNNNNNNNNNNNNNNNNNNNNNNNNNNNNNNNNNNNNNNNNNNNNNNNNNNNNNNNNNNNNNNNNNNNNNNNNNNNNNNNNNNNNNNNCGCUGCAUUGGCUCUGUUUUUUUUUCAUUUUUAUUAGUUUAAUUAUUUUUUUGUUCAUAUAUAUAUAUAUAUAUAUAAUGUAUAUGUGUAUGUAUGUGGCUAUAUAUGUGUAUGUAGAUGUUCAAAAAUUAUUCAGAGCACGUUUUUAUUCAUAUAUGUAUUUUUUGUUCAUAUGUGUAUUAAUGUUUUCAUAUAUGCAAAAGAUAGAUUUUUAGAAAAGUUAGGGUUUUUUUUUCUAUUCAUAGAUUUUUUUGGUGAUAUUAAUUAUUGUAGAAUAUGCAAAUGUUUGUAUAUUCAUAUGAACAAUGCAUUAGGCAAAACCUUUGUUUUUUUUGAAAUUUUUUAUUUGAACAUUUUUUAAAAACAAGCAAUACUAAAAGAAUGAGAGGAAAAAGGAAAAUAAGAAGAGGAAGAAAGGAGAAGAAGAGGAGAGGAAGAAGAGGAGAAAUAAAUAAGAAGAGGAAAAAAGAAGAGGGGAAGAAGAAAGGAAUAGAGGAGAAGAAGAAAAAUAGAAAUUUUCUAUUUUUCUUCUUCUCCUCUAUUCCUUUCUUCUUCUCCUCUUUAUUUUCUUCUUUUUUUUCUUCUUCCUUCUUCCUCUUUUCUUCCUUUUCCUUAUUUUCCUUUCUCGAGGGAGAAGAAGAAAAAGAAGAGUAAAAGAAGAAGAAAGGAAUAGAGGAGAAAGAAGAAACUUCAACACAAGGGGGGGUUACCGAUACCCCCUCCCCGAUAACAUUAUUUUCCCAUGUAUAUGUAUGUCGCGUCAUUGUCGAUAUAACCCCCUCGAGAUAACUUCGACAUGAGGGGCGGUCGAUAUAUAUACCCCCUCUCGACCGUGAUAACUUAUACAACGGCAGCACCCCCCUCGGCCCUCUCGCUCGACCAAAACUCUUGAGGACACCCAAACCCUAGAGAGAAAACGAUGUUGGUCUCCUACCCCCUCCCGCCGCGCCCCUACCCGACAUAUUAACUCUCUCGAGGCCACCCAAAUUUACCAAGUUAAAAGAGCGUUGUCGUCGAGGCCACCCCAAACCCUUGAAGCGUUGUGUCGAGGAGACCCCAAACCCUAGAGAAGCAGCGUCGAGGCCACUAACAUGGAUCGAUCCAUCUGUAAUAAUAAUUGACAUGGUGUAAAUAUUUGCAGAAACUAUGGAGCACUCCCGAGACGAAGAAACAGAAGCGAUGUUGGGGGACAUUAUCGCACAAGGAAGUGAUGAAGUUGCGUCAUUUCUCAACGACACCGAUGGUCAGGAACGACUGGGUGAAGAAGAGGGCUAUGUUCAUGAUGGCUUCGACCCAUUAAUGCCGGUACAAGAAGAGGACUAUGUUCAUGAUGGCUCUGGUGACACAAUGGAGGUACAAGAAGGAGACCGUGCUGACUGCUCCGGUGACCGAACCGAGUCCGGCCAGGUAUAUAUAUAUAUAUUAGUUAAGCCCGUGCUGACUAGUUAAUUGAUGCAUCCAUUGUUUUGGUAUAUGUACACAUAUUAAUUACUCUCGUCUUUCUUCCUUAUAAUUUCUAGCCCUCCGGAUCGAGCACAACUUCGGUAAGAAGACGAAGCCCGAAGAAAAAGUUGAGCUCGGAUGAAAAGUUUGAGAUCAUAGAAAUCGCGCCCGACGGCGAACCGAUUGAACCCAUCCGGACAAGGAAGGCAUUUUCUGCUCAGUGCGGGGUUCUUGUUAGGGACAAGAUCCCGAUCAGCAUCCAUCAAUGGUAUAAGCCUAAGGAGGAAGACCCCGAGGUGUCUUAUGUCAAUGAUAUGCAGAAAGAAGAUCUUUGGACUGAGCUAAAGGCAAAUUUCACCCUACCGCUAGAGGAGGAUCCGGAGAAGCCAGUUAUAGAGCAAUUAAUCAAUUCUUGUGCUCUUAAGAAGAUGGCAACCCUAAUGAGGAGGUGGAGGAAAGAGGUGAACCAGUUUGUCGAGAAAGAUAAGACACCAGAAUUCAUCGGCAAAUAUGAGAAGAUCAAAGAUCACUGGCCCGCAUUUGUGGCCCACAAGACAUCGGAAAAGAGUAAGAAGAUGUCGGCAACAAACAAGAAAAAUUCUGCAAAGAAGAAGCUUCACCAUCGCACGGGGUCAGGUGGCUACCUCAAAGCCCGGCCUAAGUGGUCCAAGGCUGAGCAUGAUCUGCUUGAAAAAGGGAUCGAACCAGAGACAAUGUACUGGCCAGACCGUUGUCGGACUUGGUUCUUCGGGGCUGGCGGAACCUUGGACCCUGUAACAGGGAAGUGCCAGUGGACGGAUGAGCAACUACAAAUACCAGUCAAGAAACUUCGACACUAUAUCGAUGCAGCGUAGCGAGGGACGCUCCUUCCAAACAGGGAGAAGGACGAGCUCACAAUGGCCCUUGGGAAUCCUGAGCACCCUGGAUGGACACGAGGCACGCCAGGCUCCAUUCCAUGGAAGGUUGGUCUUCCGCACACAGGGGGUUACAAAACCCACGAGAGGAGGAAGAAACUGGAGCAGGACCAAAUGCAGGCGCUGCACGAAAGGGUAAUGGGGCUAGAGGAACGAGAAGCAGCAGAUCGCAGCAAACGACAUGCCGAAGCUUCCCCCGAAGCUACCUCGCCAUCUCAGCGGAGAAGCAGCGUGGCUUCCACCGAGCUGCUUCAGCCGGAGCAUGUCUUGACGUCUCCUGCCAGCUAUCCCGUGGAUGGUAUCACGGAGUCUCAAAGUUGCCACAUUAUGACGCAAUGUAUGAAUUUGAAGGUCAAGGCGGCUGUUGGCCAAGUUUAUCCUAGUGGACCCGGCACAACUUAUCACUGCCAGCCGAUUCCAGAAGGAUUUGCUAAGGUGAUGGUGGAUGAAAUAACGGAGGGAUUUGAGGACCUCCUGCUUGAGCACCCUACCGGUGAAGGGGAGACUAGGCUGGGUUCUGCUCUGAAGACUCCAUGCCUAUGGCGGAAGGAGCUCAUCAACCUUCCGAACUGGACGCCUCCGCCUCCUCCUCCUCCUCCGGCGAGUCAGGGCACUCCGCCUCCUCCACCGCCUCCUCCUCCGGCGAGUGAUGAUCAGGGCACACGUGGCAGCACUCCGCCUCCUUCUCCGCCUGCGCCGGCGCGCCCGAGCAGCCAGCCUCCUCCUUCUCCGCCUCGUCAGCAAGGGCGAAAGAGACCCGCCGCUGCUCCGGCUGCUCCGGCGCGUCGUAAUCCUUCUCCUCCGCCUCACAAAAAGCAAGCAAAGAAGACAUCCACUCCGUCUGCUCUGUCGGUGUCUAGCAGUACAGCCAAAGGCGGGAAGAAAUACAGAUUUGGUCCUUCUCCGAAGACUCCAGAGAAGUUACCGUACGAGAGGACCGAGGAGGAAAACGCGGAGAUCACGCAGAACGAACUGGAUGGCUGGUUUGCAGGGUUGAAAGCAAAGAGACAUCCACCUCCGGAGGAGAAGGUAGAUCCGGUGAAAGUGAAGCGCACUCUGGCUGCCCUGAGGAAACCGGCAAAGUCUCCGCCGAGAACCAACUAUGAGCGCAUUACUGAACAGACAUAUCUCCAAGCGGAGCAGUCGGGAAGUACUGUCAGACAUCAAAGAGCAAAAGAACGAGCAGCUGCGAAAAAAGUUGACCAGCUCGGCGAACAACCAAACCAAUCGUGCCCCCCGCUCAAUGUGUCUAGCGGCAACAUCGUCGCUAAUGUUCCGGGGAUCAUGGACGGUUAUGGCAAUCCACAAUAUUACCUGCCUGACGAUGCACUUCCUGAAUUCAUGAUGGUGGAAGAACGCAGAUACGAGUACGGGAAGCCUCUCAUCAAAGAUGUAAAAUCUCUAACAACGAUGAUGCGAAGAUUCCAUACUUGGUACAUGAAAACCUGCAGAGAGUCUGGGGGGACGAAUAGUUUGUAUCUACACAUUAAAGAGGAGCACGACCUCGUUGGAACUGAUCUGUUGUGUGUUCCAUUUGAGGAGUUCUUCGCGUUCUUCAAUCAAAUAGCCCUCGAUAAAUUAACGGUCUUUUGCUACUGCCUGUAAGUACUAUUUCUGUCAUUAAGUCUCUAUAUAUAGCUUGGCUUUCAUUACAUGUAUUUAUAAUUAAUUAUCCUCAAUAUAUUAUGCAGAUUGAAGAUCGUCGAGUGCAAAAAAAUGAAAUCUAUGAUAUUGGGUUCAUUAACACAAAUAUCAUAGAUGUAUUUCUGGUUGAAAAGCACAUCGAAGAGGCCGAGGACAACUUGCUACGAUCAUUGAUCAAAAAUCAAAACAAAGAUACCAUACUCUUUCCUUACAACACCAAGUGAGUGUUACUGAUCAUUUGCAUAUUCGGUUUCCCUUAUUACUCGAGCGAGGUUAUAGUAAUGUAAUUGAUGAGUUAUGCAUGUGUGCGCAGGUACCACUAUAUUCUUCUGGAGAUUAAGCUUGAGCGUGGACUAGUAACCGUCUUAGACUCGAGACGGAAAGAUCCCAGCACCUAUGCGGACAUGACUGAAAUGCUCAGCAAGUAAGUUCAAUCGAUCAUUAUCGCACCAUAGCGGCAACUUUUUGUUCAUUUCCUGAUAUCUCAAGUAAUAAUAAUUAUUUUCUUUGUCUUGCAGGGUUUGGAAACAGUUCACCACAGUAGCUCGGGGACUGCCGAAGGAGCUGCGAUAUAUAUACCCGAAAGUAAGUACUACUGGCUAGCUAGUUGUGUGCAUCUCCUGUUGAUUCUAUAGCUAUACUUUCAUCACAUUUAUAAUGCUUCAUUAUCAGUUUGAUAGACCUCUAUUUCUCGUAAAGUGCUUGUGGUAGGAACAAGGGAAUGAUUUCUAUAGAUACUACGUGUGCGAGUUCAUCUACAACGCGACUUUGAAAAAUAAGCGGGGCUACUCUCAAAGACAAUAUGAAGUGCGUAAGCAAUUAAUAAUAUUCACAAUUUCUGUUGAGUUUCAUUCAUAUAUAUAUAUAUAUAUAUAUAUAUAUAUAUAUAUGUAUUAAUUAACCCCCUUCUUCAAAUUAGACGUGGCAGAUGCGGAAUGAACUCCUAGAACCAGAUCGCAUGAAAGGAAUUCAAGAGGAAUUGGCGGGAUUCUUUCUUGACCACGUCAUCAAUAAAGCCGGAGAAUACCAUGUGGAACUUGAUUUCAAAUGCUAGGGGACUGUAAUUGAGAGAUCUUAUAUAUUGUACAUGUUGUAUGUAGCCAGUAGCGUCGGACAUACAUGAUACAAAAACUUGUUGUUUGACCAAUCUCUCGGAGAAGGAGACGUCGAUCGAUCACUUCUCUCGGUAUGCAUGACGAACUUCUGUACUUAAUGGUUUCCUUCAUUUUCUUACUAGCUAGCGUGUCGAGAGCCUCUCUAUGUAUAGUACGUAGCGUCGACCAAGCACGGACAUAAGAGAGGACACUUCUCUCUAUUAAUUAGCUAGCUAACACAAUAUAUGAAACACCUAAAUUAACCCCCAAAACCNNNNNNNNNNNNNNNNNNNNNNNNNNNNNNNNNNNNNNNNNNNNNNNNNNNNNNNNNNNNNNNNNNNNNNNNNNNNNNNNNNNNNNNNNNNNNNNNNNNNNNNNNNNNNNNNNNNNNNNNNNNNNNNNNNNNNNNNNNNNNNNNNNNNNNNNNNNNNNNNNNNNNNNNNNNNNNNNNNNNNNNNNNNNNNNNNNNNNNNNNNNNNNNNNNNNNNNNNNNNNNNNNNNNNNNNNNNNNNNNNNNNNNNNNNNNNNNNNNNNNNNNNNNNNNNNNNNNNNNNNNNNNNNNNNNNNNNNNNNNNNNNNNNNNNNNNNNNNNNNNNNNNNNNNNNNNNNNNNNNNNNNNNNNNNNNNNNNNNNNNNNNNNNNNNNNNNNNNNNNNNNNNNNNNNNNNNNNNNNNNNNNCCCCCUGCCUGGGCUCGGCGCGUGGAUGCCUUUUGGUCCCGGUUGGUGCCACCAACCGGGACCAAAGGCCCCCCUGCCUGGGCUCGGCGCACAGGCCACGUGGAGGACCAUCUAUCCCGGUUCGUGUUACAACCGGGACUAAAGGGGGGAGGUAUUAGUAACGACCCAUUAGUCCCGGUUCAUGAACCGGGAGUAAAGGCCCUCACGAACCGGGACUAAUAGGUGUUUGUCUACUAGUGAUAAGCCUAUGACUUAUGAAGUUGGUGAGAAGGCUUACCUUCGGGUUACACCUUUAAAGGGAACCCAUCGAUUCGGUAUCAAGGGCAAGUUGGCCCCUUGUUACAUUGGACCCUUUUGCAUUCUUGCCAAACGAGGGGAAGUUGCCUACCAGUUGGAACUACCUCCACAUCUUUCUAGAGUUCAUGAUGUCUUCCACGUCUCUCAACUCAGGCAUUGCUUCUCGAAUCAUAUCCGCGAAGUAGACCAUGAAACGCGUGAUCUCCAAGAAAAUCUCACUUAUCGAGAAUAUCCAAUUCGCAUCCUUGAUCAAGCCGAGCGUACCACUCGACGCCAGAAUAUCAAGUUUCUCAAGGUUCAAUGGUCACACCACUCCGAUCAAGAAGCAACUUGGGAAAGGGAGGAUCAUCUACGACUUGAGUAUCCCACCUUCUUCCCGAUAGACCCUAAAUCUCGGGAUGAGAUUCUUUUGAGUGGGGGUGAGUUGUCACAACCUAGCUAGUCCAUGCAUUAGAGUGUUGCAUCAUGUCUACCUUUUAUCAGAAACUUGAAUUGGGGAAGACAGAACCCCCCCAGAACCCCUCUAAAUUCAACUAGUGCUUACUAAAAAUAUUUUCAAUGAACCUGAAAUGCCCUUCUAAAAAGUUCACCCUCUUUGUCUUGGGUUAGAACCUCUGGCAAAAUUGGUGCACAAUUUUCUAGGUCAACAGAAGGCCAUUGAAUUAAAUCAUAUCUACUUUGAGUUUGGGCAUUUAAACUAUAUAAAAUAUUUCAAAUGCUCAAAUAACUCCAAACUAAAAUGUUCCAUACUGGAUAUAUUCCAACUAGCGACCAUGUGCAGUUUGGUGAUUUUUGGAGUUGCCUAAGUAUUUUUAGAAAUGCAACAAACUUACAGAAACAAUUAAAAACAGAAACAAAUGGGGAAAAAACCCUUACCUGGCCGAACCAAGCCCCAGCCCAGCUGGCCGGCCCAGCACUGUGCUGGCCCAUGCCAGCCAGCUGCUUUGCCAUCGCCACGCAGGCACAGAGCUGACGCCAGCGAGUGUGAGCUCGCCACGGCGCCAACUGCUUGCCGCCCGCGCCACCGAGCACCUGGGUGAGCUCCACGUCGCCACCCCGACCCCGUGGACACCUCAUUCGCCCCCCUGCCUCUUCCCUCGCUCUCCCGCACCAUGGCCGACGCACCCGUCGCCGCACCGCCGACGUAGUCGCGCCCUCCAUCGUCCCCGUGCUGCACCACCGUGUCCCUUCGCUCCGUCGUCAUCAACUACAUCGAGCAGGCCGAGCCCCGAGCGCUCGUGGGCCUUGCUUCGUCUUCUUUGACCUCAUCUUCACCGAGCACCACCGCAGAUCCCCUUCGCCGUCGCCGCUGCACCAGCUCGUCCCCGACCUCGCCGACCACUCCGUUGUGACCGCCGUGAGCUCAGCCACCUCCCCAUCCUCCCCGUUUGCCUUCUCGUGCACCGUAGCAGCCGCAUGGAGCUUCAUCGCACGCACCACCGCCGAGCUCGUCGCCGACGUGCCUCCGGCCAUCCACCGUCCACACCACGGUAUCUAACAUGCUCAUUGCAUCGCGUAGAGUCUAACGCCCCACUCCACGCGCCUCGCCGUGCCCCGUAGCCACGGGUCAAUUUUCACCCGACUCCGGCGACCGUCGCGGUCGUCGCUGCCGACGUUCCUGGCCACCUCGACCUCAACCACCACCACCAAACGCCGCGGCUUGUUCCUGGCUACACGUAGAUGGUCUUCGCCGUCCAUUUGGUCGCCGGAACGUGCUAACCCACUUCCUCUGCCGCAUCUGGCCUCGCCAGCGGCUAGACGCCGGCGUGUUUGACCCGUUGACGUUGACUGGGUGGGCCAGGUUGACUCCCCUGAGUCUAUGACAAGUGGGCCCCCCCCUCUGCUAAUUAACCUAGUUUAGUUCUUACUAAAAUCAGUUAGUUUAAAUAAGUGCUGACAUGCGGGACCCACUGGUCAGUUUGACCUGAACGACCCCUUUGACCAUUGACGUCACCCUGAUGCACUGCUGACGCAAUAACCAAUUUCUGGAUUUAUUGUUAUAUAGGAAAUUCCAGAAAUUGUUGCAAACUUCAAAAAUUCAUAGAAAUUAAUCUGUAACUCCAAAUGCAAAGAUUUAUAUAUGAAUUUCGAUCAAAAAAAUUCAAUAUAUCCAUUGGUAAUGGUUUCAUGCAUGUCAGAACAAGUUAACCUUGUUGUUUAAUCAAAACAAGUUAAUGCACUAAUAUGACUAUGUUAAAUGAACUACCAUUUGCAUCUUUGAUUCAAAUGAGUUCAUACCUUUCUGUUCUAGCUUGCAUUAGGCCAGGACACAUUCAUGUUGCCAUGUCAUAGCAUGCAUCAUAUUGUUGCAUAUCGUCAUGUGUGGUUCAUGUUCGGUGUGUUUUCGUGAUAGGUUCUGCCUCCGAGGAUAACCCCGAAUAUCCGUCUGAAGGGCAGUAUCCUACUACCACUACAUCAGGCAAGCAACCCAUUGAUCAUUCUGAUACAAACCCAUGUUCUCGCCUCUGCUCUUGUUUACUGCAUUAAGAUAACGCGAUUCAAACUGUUGUGUGUUGUGGUAGUUGAACCCACUUCCUUUGCAUGACCUGUCAUUGCCACGGUAACUAGAUGAAACCCACUAGCAUGUGUAGGAGUUGAUUGAGCCAUAUCUGUGUUACCUACCAUGCUAUGCUUGCUAUGCUUAGAGUUGUGUCAGGUCUGGCUCAUCAGGAUGAUGAACUAGAGUGAAAGGUUGUGUCGGUAACGAGAGUGAAGUGUUGAACACGAUUUGGUAAAGGUAUCGAUGAGAGGCCAUGUAGGAGUACAUGGUGGGUUGUUUCAUUGAGGCCGUCCUUAAGCACUGAGAUCUGUGUGUGUGAUUUAAGAUUCAGCUACUACCACGCAUUGGGCCCAAAACCAAUGGACCCUCUCGACUUAUUAACCACUCUUGUCCUCAGUCCGGGAGUUGCAAGUAGUUUCUGGUGUUUGUAGCAUGCUGGGGGCCGCACGCAGCGCUGACCUUAGGGGUGGGUUGUGUUGCGGUAGGCACGUGGCACGGUGUAUCGAUUCGCCCGUUUGGUGUCUCGGGAACCCUGUUCACAUCGUUCGGGGCCGUUAGUGGAAACCUCGGCCGGACUCCCUGCGGAUGGAACCCAAAUAGGCGAUAAACCUGGACUAGGGACUCGUGUGUUUAGUCAGGCCAUGGCCGACACCCUUGCUGGGCUUCCGCUUGAAGGUUGCCGAGUACACGUCAUGUAGUGGCGAUAAGUGGUGAGAGCGUGUGUGAAGAAGUACACCCCUGCAGGGUACAAAACUAUUCGAAUAGCCGCGUCCACGGUAAAGGACUACUUGGUCACCUAUACAGUUCAUAGACAAGUAAAUGGAUACUUCUAAAAGCCUCAAGAUAAGUGUGAGUGCCGCGGAUGGCCCUGUCGUAGGUUGACGAGAGAGGAUCCACGGUGGAGUAUUGUGUUGGUGAGUAGUGGACUCGUGUGCGACAAAUGUUUUGCAAGUUGUGUCUAUCGUUGGAUAGCUUAGCCAAGAGUCAAAGCUGGCUUGCUGCAAUAACUCCACUACCUUCUUGAGAAUGUGCAUGUAUGAUAGGAUUCUGUUGUAAGACUUGCUGAGUACCUCUGUACUCAUGUUUGCUUAAUUAAUGUUUUCAGACGACAACACCAACCCCUCCGAUGGGUUCUACGUAGACCUCGACGUUGACGAGUGACUAGCCACCCAAGUGGUGAUCCAAGACUUGUGAAGGGCCGAUGUAGAUAGAAAGGCUUCAUCAAGCCCUCUUUCUUUCUAGUGUCUGUACUCAGACUAGUUGCUUCCGCAUGUGCUUGUAUGCUUGUAUGACUUGAGUGUCAGGUCAUGUGACCCCUAUCUGUAUGAACAUGUUAUGUAUGGCUCCUCGGAGCCACUUAAAUAAAGUACUUUGAGUUGUAGAGUUUUGUUGUGAUGCCAUGUUGUAUGUACUCAUAUCGGGCAUAUUGUGUGUAUGUUUGAAAUGCUUGGUAUGAGUGGGAUCCGACAAUCUAGUUGUUUAUCCUUGGCAGCCUCUCAUAUGGGGAAAUGUAGUCUAGUGCUUCUUGAGCGAUAGUAGUCCGCUACAGCCCGGUUCACCGGAGUCCUGCUAGCCCAGUACUACUGCUCUGGACACUUGACUGGCCGGCAUGUGUUUCACUUUGUUCCUGUGUCUGUCCCUUCGGGGAAAUGUCAAGCGGUGGCAUCCGGAGUCCUGCCUAGCCUGCUACAGCCCGGGUUACCGGAGUCCUGUUAGCCCAGCGUUACAUCCCGGAUGUAUACGUUGAUGACCAACAUGCUCGAUGUGAUUCAUGUAUGCAUGUCCCCAUAGGUUAGCGCCGCUUGGGUUCACGACUAGCCAUGUCGGCCCGGGUUCUCAGUCAUGUGGAUGCUAGCGACACUAUCAUAUACGUGAGCCAAAAGGCGCAAACGGUCUCGGGCCAUGGUAAGGCGCCACCCGUGGGAUUACCGUGCGUGAGGCCGCAAAGUGAUAUGAGGUGUUACCGGCUGGAUCAAUGUGACUUGGAAUCGGGGUCCUGACAAUUACUUGCUCCUAUCAUAUGUUUGGUUGCAACAAUGUCACUUCUUCACAUAUGCCAUGUCCCAUUGCUUGUCUCAUGCUUGACUUCAUUGCCUCACACAUGAUGAACAAUUGCUCUUUAUAUUGUGUUGAGUGUUACACUAUAUUCACUACAUCCUAUGCACGUUAUGUUUGGAUUGUCUUGCACUUGACCCAUGUGUUUAGACACUUCAUUUUAUUUGGUGUUGUGAAUCCUUCCUAUGCCUACCAUAGACCUUUCAUUGAGCAAUUUGUGAAUGCUUGCUAUGACCUCGAGGUAGAUGCUUAUGCUCUUGUCACACAUAUUUGCAUCUCUACCUCACAUUUACAUGCUUGUUCCCAUGAUAUUUUUGCUUGUGCUCGAUUGAUAUGCUUACAUGCCAUGUCACAAUCCUUUGUCACACCCUAUGCUAUGCUUGAUGACAACACUUGUUUGGUGAAUCACCUCUUGAAUGCUUGGUUUUGCACGAACGCAAACCACAUUUGUUUUUCCACGGGUUUGUUCUAUUUGCUCCUUUUGAAGGAAUCACAAGAUGGUGCGACACUGGAGAGUGCCCACUUCGAGCUACUAGACGAUGAGUGCUUGGUGAUCGACCACUUCGAUAUGGCACCGCCAUCUCUUUCCUAUGGUGAUUUGGUUUUCGAUCCGAGGUCGAAUCCUUCUCAAGGGGGAGGGGAUGAUGCGGAGCAUCCUAUGGACAUCACCAUGUCAAGAGUCCAUUCGGCAAGUGACACGUGCGACAUCUACUUCUCAUACAUAAAGGUGAAUCUUCUCCUUUACACGUGUUCACUUGACCCCUUCGAGGAUGGUAUACUACUUGACACUUCUCCCGUGUGCAUGCAUAGGUAUUGUCAGAGCUUUACGGAUGUCGAGGAGUGCAAGCGCCAAGGAACGACUACACCGUCCGCGAGGGAAGCAUGGAAGAGAAGGAGGAAGAGAACCUGGUGUUGGGGAACGUAGUAAUUUCAAAAUUUUCCUACGCACAUGCAAGAUCAUGGUGAUGAUAUAGCAACGAGGGGAGAGUGUUGUCUACGUACCCUCGUAGACCGAAGCGGAAGCGUUGACGCAGCGUAGAGGAAGUAGUCCUACGUCCUCCCGGUCCGACCGAUCCAAGCACCGUUACUCCGGCACCUCUGAGUUCUUGACACACGUACAGCUCGAUGACGCACCCUCGAUCUCCAAUCCAGUAGAGGCUCCAAGGGGGAGUUCCGUCAGCACGACGGCGUGGUGACUAUCUUGAUGUUCUCCUGUCGCAGGGCUUCGCCUAAGCACCGCUACAAUAUGACCGAGGUGUAAUAUCGUGGAGGGGGGCACCGCACACGGCUAAGGAACGAUCAAUGAUCAACUUGUGUGUUCUAGGGUGCCCCCUACCCCCGUAUAUAAAGGAGGGAGGGAGGAGGUGGCCGACCCAAGGAGGGGGCGCGCCAUGGGAGGAGGAAACCUACUCCAAGUAGGUUUCCCCUCUUUUUCCUUAUCUUAUUUGGAGGGGGAAGGAAGGAGUACUAGUAGUAGGAAGGAGUACUAGUAGUAGGAAAGGAAGAGGGGGAAGGAGAAAGGAAAGGGGGGGCCGGCCCCCCUCCCCAAUUCGGAUUGGGCUUGGGGGGGCGCGCCCCCCUCCCUUGCUCCUUCUCCCUUCCUCCUACAUGGGCCCAAUAAGGCCCAUAUACCUCCCGGGGGGGUUUCGGUAACCUCCCGGAGCUCCAAACUCUUCCGGAACCUUUCCGGUGUCCAAAUAUAUCCGUCCAAUAUAUCGAUCUUUAUGUAUCGACCAUUUCGAGACUCCUCGUCAUGUCCGUGAUCAUAUCCGGGACUCCGAACAAACUUCGGUACAUCAAAAUACAUAAACUCAUAAUAUAACUGUCAUCGAAACCUUAAGCGUGCGGACCCUACGGUUCGAGAACGAUGUAGACAUGACCGAGACAUGUCUCUGGUCAAUAACCAAUAGCGGGACCUGGAUGCCCAUAUUGGUUCCUACAUAUUCUACGAAGAUCUUUAUCGGUCAAACCGCAUAACAGCAUACGUUGUUCCCUUUGUCAUUGGUAUGUUACUUGUCCGAGAUUUGAUCGUCGGUAUCCAAUACCUAGUUCAAUCUCGUUACCGACAAGUCUCUUUACUCGUUCUGUAAUACUUCAUCUCAUAACUAACUCAUUAGUUAUAUGCUUGCAAGGCUUAUGUGAUGAGCAUUACCGAGAGGGCCCAGAGAUACCUCUCCGACAAUCGGAGUGACAAAACCUAAUCUCGAAUUAUGCUAACUCAACAUGUACCUUCGGAGACACCUGUAGUACUCCUUUAUAAUCACCCAGUUACGUUGUGACGUUUGGUAGUACCCAAAGUGUUCCUCCGAUAAACGGGAGUUACACAAUUCUCAUAGUUACAGGAACAUGUAUAAGUCAUGAAGGAAGCAAUAGCAGAAUACUAAACGAUCAAGUGCUAAGCUAACGGGAUGGGUCAUGUCAAUCACAUCAUUCUCCUAAUGAUGUGAUCCCAUUAAUCAAAUGACAACACAUGUCUAUGGUUAGGAAACAUAACCAUCUUUGACUAAUGAGCUAGUCAAGUAGAGGCAUACUAGUGACUAUAUGUUUGUCUAUGUAUUCACACAUGUAUCAUGUUUCCGGUUAAUACAAUUCUAGCAUGAAUAAUAAACAUUUAUCAUGAUAUGAGGAAAUAAAUAAUAACUUUAUUAUUGCCUCUAGGGCAUAUUUCCUUCAGUCUCCCACUUGCACUAGAGUCAAUAAUCUAGUUCACAUCGCCAUGUGAUUUAACACCAAUAUUCAUAUCUGUAUAUGAUUAACACCCAUAGUUCACAUCAUCAUGUGACCAACAUCCAAAGUGUUUACUAGAGUCAAUAAUCUAGUUCACAUCGCUAUGUGAUUAACACCCAAAGAGUACUAAGGUGUGAUCAUGUUUUGCUCGUGAGAGAAGCUCAGUCAACGGGUCUGUCACAUUCAGAGCCAUAUGUAUUUUGCAAAUAUUCUAUGUCUACAAUGCUCUGCACGGAGCUACUCUAGCUAAUCGCUCCCACUUUCAAUAUGUAUCCAGAUUGAGACUUAGAGUCAUCUGGAUCGGUGUGAAAACUUGCACCGAGAUAACUUUUACGACGGGCUCUUUUAUCACCUCCAUAAUCGAGAAAUAUUUCCUUAGUCCUCACUAAGGAUAUUCUUGACCAAUGUCCAGUGAUCUACUCCUAGAUCACUAUUGUACUCCCUUGUCAAAUACAGAGCAAGGUAUACAAUAGGUCUGGUACAUAGCAUGGCAUACUUUAUAGAACCUAUGACUGAGGCAUAGGGAAUGACUUUUCAUUCUCUUUCUAUUUUCUGCUGUGGUCGGGAUUUGAGUCUUACUCAAUUUCAUACCUUUGCAACACAGGCAAGAACUCUUUCUUUGACUGUUCCAUUUUGAACUACUUCAAAAUCUUGUCAAGGUAUGUACUCAUUGAAAAUCUUAUCAAGCGUCUUGAUCUAUCUCAAUAGAUCUUGAUGCUCAAUAUGUAUGUAGUUUUACUGAGGUCUUUCUUUGAAAAAACUCUUAUUCAAGUAUCCUUUAAUGCUUUGCAGAAUAAUUCUACAUUAUUUCCGAUCAGCAAUAUGUCAUUCACAUAUACUUAUCAGAAAUGCUGUAGUGCUCCCACUCACUUUCUUGUAAAUACAGGCUUCACCGCAAGUCUGUAUAAUACUAUAUGCUUUGAUCAACUUAUCAAAGCGUAUAUUCCAACUCUGAGAUGCUUGCACCAGUCCAUAGAUGGAUUGCUGGAGCUUGCACAUUUUGUUAGCACCUUUAGGAUUGACAAAACCUUCUGGUUGUAUCAUAUACAACUCUUCUUUAAUAAAUUCAUUAAGGAAUGUAGUUUUGACAUCCAUUUGCCAAAUUUCAUAAAAUGUGGCAAUUGCUAACAUGAUUCGGACAAACUUUUAAGCAUCGAUACGAGUAAGAAAAUCUCAUCGUAUUCAACACCUUGAACUUUGUCAAAAACCUUUUUUCGACAAGUCUAGCUUUGUAGAUAGUAACACUACUAUCAACGUCCGUCUUCCUCUUGAAGAUCCAUUUAUUCUUAAUGACUCACUGAUCAUCGGGCAAGUCAAUCAAAGUCUACACUUUGUUCUCAUACAUGGAUCAUAUCUCAGAUUUCAUGGCCCCAAGCCAUUUCGUGGAAUCUGGGCUCAUCAUCGCUUCCUCAUAGUUCGUAGGUUCAUCAUGGUCUAGUAACAUGACUUCCAGAACAUGAUUACCGUACCACUCUGGUGCGGAUCUUACUCUGGAAGACCUACGAGGUUUGGUAGCAACUUGAUCUGAAGUUUGAUGAUCAUCAUCAUUAACUUCCUCACUAAUUGGUGUAGGAAUCACUGGAACUGAUUUCUGUGAUGAACUACUUUCCAAUAAGGGAGAAGGUACAAUUACCUCAUCAAGUUUUACUCUCCUCCCACUCACUUCUUUCGAGAGAAACUCCUUCUCUGGAAAGGAUCCAUUUUAGCAACGAAUGUCUUGCCUUCGGAUCUGUGAUAGAAGGUGUACCCAACAAUUUCCUUUGGGUAUUCUAUGAAGACGCACUUCUCCGAUUUGGGUUCGAGCUUAUCAGGAUGAAACUUUUUCACAUAAGCAUCGCAGCCCCAAACUUUAAGAAACAACAGCUUAGGUUUACUGCUAAACCAUAGUUCAUACGGUGUCGUCUCAACGGAUUUAAAUGGUGCCCUAUUUUAAAACGUGAAUGCAGCUGUCUCUAAUGCAUAACCCCAAAACGAUAGUGGUAAAGAGACAUCAUAGAUCGCACCAUAUCAAAUAAAGUGCGGUUACGACGUUCGGACACACCAUAACGAUGUGGUGUUCCAGGUGGUGUGAGCUGUGAAACUAUUCCACAUUGUUUUAAUUGAAGACCAAACUCGUAACUCAAAUAUUUGUCUCCGCUAUCAGAUCGCAGAAACUUUAUUUUCUUGUUACGAUGAUUUUUCCACUUCACUCUGAAAUUCUUUGAACCUUUCAACUAUUUCAGACUUAUGUUUCAUCAAGUAGAUAUACCCAUAUCUGCUCAAAUCAUCUUGUGAAGGUCAGAAAAUAACGAUACUUGCCACGAGCCUCAACACUCAUUGGAUCGCAUACAUCGGUAUGUAUUAUUUCCAAUAAGUCAGUAGCUUGUUCCAUUAUUCCGGAGAACGGAGUUUUAGUCAUCUUGCCCAAAAGGCACGGUCCGCAAGCAUCAAAUGAUUCAUAACCAAGUGAUUCCGAAAAUCCAUCUUUAUGGAGUUUCUUCAUGCGCUUUACACCGAUAUGACCCAAACGGCAGUGCCACAAAUAAGUUGCACUAUCAUUAUUAACUUUGCAUCUUUUGGCUUCAAUAUUAUGAAUGUGUGUAUCACACGAUCGAGAUCCAACAAACCAUUUUCAUUGGGUGUAUAACCAUAGAAAGUUUUAUUCAUGAAAACAGAACAACAAUUAUUCUCUAACUUACAUGAAUAACCGUAUUGCAAUAAACAUGAUCAAAUCAUAUUCAUUCUCAACGCAAACACCAAAUAACACUUAUUUAGGUUUAACACUAAUCCCGGAAGUAUAGGGAGUGUGCGAUGAUGAUCAUAUCAAUCUUGGAACUAUUUCCAACACACAUCGUCACUACACUCUUAACUAGUCUCUGUUUAUUCUGCAACUCCCGUUUCGAGUUACUAAUCUUAGCAACCGAACAAGUAUCAAAUACUUAGGGGCUACUAUAAACACUAGUAUGGAACACAUCAAUAAUCUGUAUAUCAAAUAUACCCUUGUUCACUUUGCCAUCCUUCUUAUCAACCAAAUAUUCAGGGCAUUUCCGCUUCCAGUGACCAUUUCCUUUGCAGUGUAAACACUCAGUUUCAGGCUAUGGUCCAGCUUUGGGCUUGUCUUUCCACUUGAAGUUCCCUUUCUUUCCCUUUGCCCUUCUCUUGAAACUAGUGGUCUUGUCAAUCAUCAACACUUGAUGCUCUUUCUUGAUUUCUACCUUCGUCGAUUUCAACAUCACGAAGAGCUCGGGAAUCAUUUUUUCGUCAUCCCUUGCAUACUAUAGUUCAUCACGAAGUUCUAGUAACUUAGUGAUGGUGACUAGAGAAUUCUGUCAAUCACUAUCUUAUCUGGAAGAUUAACUCCCACUUGAUUCAAGCGAUUGAAGUACCCAGACAAUCUGAGCACAUGCUCACUAGUUGAGCGAUUCUCCUCCAUCUUUUAGCUAUAGAACUUGUUGGAGACUUCAUAUCUCUCAACUCGGGUAUUUGCUUGAAAUAUUAACUUCAAUUCCUGGAACAUCUCAUAUGGUCCAUGAUGUUCAAAACAUCUUUGAAGUCCCGAUUCUAAGCCGUUAAGCAUGGUGCACAAAACUAUCAAGUAGUCAUCAUAUUGAGCUAGCCAAACGUUCAUAACGUCUACAUUUGCUCCUGCAUUAGGUCUUUCACCUAGCGGUGCAUUAAGGACAUAAUUCUUCUGUGCAGCAAUGAGGAUAAACCUCAGAUCACGGAUCCAAUCCGCAUCAUUGCUACUAACAUCUUUCAACACAGUUUUCUCUAGGAACAUAUCAAAAUAAACAUAUGAAAGCAACAACGCGAGCUAUUGAUCUAUAACACAAUUUGCAAAAUACUACCAGGACUAAGUUCAUGAUAAAUUAAAGUUCAAUUAAUCAUAUUACUAAAGAACUCCCACUUAGACAGACAUCUCUCUAGUCAUCUAAGUGAUCACGUGAUCCAAAUCAACUAAACCAUGUCCGAUCAUCACGUGAGAUGGAGUAGUUUCAAUGGUGAACAUCGCUAUGUUGAUCAUAUCUACUAUAUGAUUCACGCUCGACCUUUCGGUCUCCGUGUUCCGAGGCCAUAUCUGUAUAUGCUAGGCUCGUCAAGUAUAACCUGAGUAUUCCGCAUGUGCAACUGUUUUGCACCCGUUGUAUUUGAACGUAGAGCCUAUCACACCCGAUCAUCACGUGGUGUCUCAGCACGAAGAACUUUCGCAACGGUGCAUACUCAGGGAGAACACUUCUUGAUAAUUAGUGAUAGAUCAUCUUAAAAUGCUACCGUCAAUCAAAGCAAGAUAAGAUGCAUAAAGGAUAAACAUCACAUGCAAUCAAUAUAAGUGAUAUGAUAUGGCCAUCAUCAUCUUGUGCUUGUGAUCUCCAUCUCCGAAGCACCGUCGUGAUCACCAUCGUCACCGGCGCGACACCUUGAUCUCCAUCGUAGCAUCGUUGUCGAUUACGCCAUCUAUUGCUUCUACGACUAUCGCUACCGCUUAGUGAUAAAGUAAAGCAAUUACAGGGCGUUUCCAUUUCAUACAAUAAAGUGACAACCAUAUGGCUCCUGCCAGUUGCCGAUAACUUCGGUUACAAAACAUGAUCAUCUCAUACAAUAAAAUAUAGCAUCACGUCUUGGCCAUAUCACAUCACAACAUGCCCUGCAAAAACAAGUUAGACGUCCUCUACUUUGUUGUUGCAAAUUUUACGUGGCUGCUACGGGCUUAGCAAGAACCGUUCUUACCUACGCAUCAAAACCACAACGAUAGUUUGUCAAAUAGACUCCGUUUUAACCUUCACAAGGACCGGGCGUAGCCACACUCGGUUCAACUAAAGUUGGAGAAACAGACACCCGCCAGUCACCUGUGUGCAAAGCAUGGCGGUAAAACCAGUCUCGCGUAAGCGUACGCGUAAUGUCGGUCCGGGCCGCUUCAUCCAACAAUACCGCUGAACCAAAGUAUAACAUGCUGGUAGGCAGUAUGACUUAUAUCGUCCACAACUCACUUGUGGUCUACUCGUGCAUAUAACAUCAACGAAUAAAACCUAGGCUCUGAUGCCACUGUUGGGGAACGUAGUAAUUUCAAAAUUUUCCUACGCACAUGCAAGAUCAUGGUGAUGAUAUAGCAACGAGGGGAGAGUGUUGUCUACGUACCCUCGUAGACCGAAGCGGAAGCGUUGACGCAACGUAGAGGAAGUAGUCGUACGUCCUCCCGGUUCGACCGAUCCAAGCACCGUUACUCCGGCACCUCCGAGUUCUUGACACACGUACAGCUCGAUGACGCACCCUCGAUCUCCAAUCCAGUAGAGGCUCCGAGGGGGAGUUCCGUCAGCACAACAGCGUGGUGACUAUAUUGAUGUUCUCCUGUCGCAGGGCUUCGCCUAAGCACCGCUACAAUAUGACCGAGGUGUAAUAUCGUGGAGGGGGGCACCGCACACGGCUAAGGAACGAUCAAUGAUCAACUUGUGUGUUCUAGGGUGCCCCCCUACCCCCGUAUAUAAAGGAGGGAGGGAGGAGGUGGCCGGCCCAAGGAGGGGGCGCGCCAUGGGAGGAGGAAACCUACUCCAAGUAGGUUUCCCCUCUUUUUCCUUAUCUUAUUUGGAGGGGGAAGGAAGGAGUACUAGUAGUAGGAAGGAGUACUAGUAGUAGGAAAGGAAGAGGGGGAAGGAGAAAGGAAAGGGGGGGCCGGCCCCCUCCCCAAUUCGGAUUGGGCUUGGGGGGGCGCGCCCCCCUCCCUUGCUCCUUCUCCCUUCCUCCUACAUGGGCCCAAUAAGGCCCAUAUACCUCCCGGGGGGUUCCGGUAACCUCCCGAAGCUCCAAACUCUUCCGGAACCUUUCCGGUGUCCAAAUAUAUCCGUCCAAUAUAUCAAUCUUUAUGUCUCGACCAUUUCGAGACUCCUCGUCAUGUCCGUGAUCACAUCCGGGACUCCGAACAAACUUUGGUACAUCAAAAUACAUAAACUCAUAAUAUAACUAUCAUCGAAAACUUAAGCGUGCGGACCCUACGGUUCGAGAACGAUGUAGACAUGACCGAGACAUGUCUCUGGUCAAUAACCAAUAGUGGGACCUGGAUGCCCAUAUUGGUUCCUACAUAUUCUACGAAGAUCUUUAUCGGUCAAACCGCAUAACAGCAUACGUUGUUCCCUUUGUCAUCGGUAUGUUACUUGUCCGAGAUUUGAUCGUCGGUAUCCAAUACCUAGUUCAAUCUCGUUACCGACAAGUCUCUUUACUCAUUCUGUAAUACUUCAUCUCAUAACUAACUCAUUAGUUAUAUGCUUGCAAGGCUUAUGUGAUGAGCAUUACCGAGAGGGCCCAGAGAUACCCCUCCGACAAUCGGAGUGACAAAACCUAAUCUCGAAUUAUGCUAACUCAACAUGUACCUUCGGAGACACCUGUAGUACUCCUUGAUAAUCACCCAGUUACGUUGUGACGUUUGGUAGUACCCAAAGUGUUCCUCCGGUAAACGGGAGUUACACAAUUCUCAUAGUUACAGGAACAUGUAUAAGUCAUGAAGGAAGCAAUAGCAGAAUACUAAACGAUCAAGUGCUAAGCUAACGGGAUGGGUCAUGUCAAUCACAUCAUUCUCCUAAUGAUGUGAUCCCAUUAAUCAAAUGACAACACAUGUCUAUGGUUAGGAAACAUAAUCAUCUUUGACUAAUGAGCUAGUCAAGUAGAGGCAUACUAGUGACUAUAUGUUUGUCUAUGUAUUCACACAUGUAUCAUGUUUCCGGUUAAUACAAUUCUAGCAUGAAUAAUAAACAUUUAUCAUGAUAUGAGGAAAUAAAUAAUAACUUUAUUAUUGCCUCUAGGGCAUAUUUCCUUCACCUGGCCGCUCCAGAACGAGCGGUACUACCGCCCACUCCAAGCGGUACUACCGCUGAGGCCACCCAAGAGGCACUACCGCCCAGCAUCCGCCCUACUACCGCUCAACCCGACAAACUCCAGUGAUCGAGCGGUAUAAGCCCGGUACUACCGCCCCUCCAAGCGGUACUACCGCUCAAGCGGUACUACCACCCAUGAGUCCGGUACUACCGCCCUGCUUGUGAGCAGCCGCGGGCCUUUGGCCUUGUAUCCCUCUCCCACUUACCCCUUCGUGGCUUAGACUAUAAAUAGACCACCUCCACCUCCUUUCUAGGGUUAGAACAGAUUGAGCUUAUUUUGAGAUAGAGCUUUACUCAUCCAUACGGAUCUACUCCUCGUGAGAGACUGCGGCCUCUUCGGAGAAGAUCGAUCUUGGAUUCAAGACCCCUCGUGGGAAGAUCCGUCUAGGAUCAUCAAGACCUCCUCUUGGAGAUGAACCUUACCUUGUAUCUUUCCCUUUGUUGUUCAUGUACCCUUGUGGAUCUUGUGUGUUUGAUUGUCUAGUGGAUGUGUGAUUGGACUUGUUCUUGAGUGUUUCCCCUUGUGAUUUCUCUCCGUUCUUCCCUGUGUUCUUCGUGUUCUUCGUGGGGAUCCACUCCAAACGUGAAAAAUCGGCCUCUAGGGUUCUACCCUACAUCAUCAUCCUUCAAAAAUAUGGAGGGCCAUUAUUGACGGAAGGGAUAUUAUAUGGCGCAAGGUAUAAUCAGACGCAUCGGGGAUGGAGCGACUACACACAUAUGGGAUCACAACUGGAUUAUGAUGGAAAGCUAUAAGAGGCCAAUAACUAAGUUAGUGCAGAACCCCCCUCAGAAACAUUUUAUGUAUACACGUUAACAUUUCCCAGAUAUAUGAUUAAUAUUUUUGGAAAACUUCUAUUUUUUAUGUGUACUUUUUUAUACAUUUUGUAAUAUCAGAAAUAGUUUUUAUAGAAGGUUUAACAUUUUUCAAAUACAUGAUUACCUUUUUGUAAACUUAUAUUGUUUGACGUUUACUUUUUUUCAUAGACAUAGUGAGGGGUUAUAUCUAAGGAAUAGGCCCAAGUACAUGUAUGGCACAACCAAAUGCCCAUGUUAAUCAAGGAUGUUCCACAAGACAAAUGGGGAAACACACCAAGGCCAAUGGAGCUACAAGGCCAAGGCAUCGGAUACAAGGGGAGAGUCAACUAUGUACAGUCGGAUUACACAGCCCUUAACAGACAAGACUCAUCAGUUGGUCCACUAUUGGAAUCAGGUCAUUUGCCGUCAGCCCAGAAUAGACGCGAAGACUUUGCCGUGAGCAAGUUGACGACAAACACAAUCAGCAAAGACUAUAUCGGCAGAGAGCUAAUUUGACGUCAACUUUUCAUCGCGCUGAUGACAAAGACUUUGCCGUCAAUUAAACUAUGUGUUUGUAGUCUGUAGAGAAAACACAAACGGCAAAGAAAUUAAAAAAAUGGUCAUUUUAAAAUAAUUUUUAGAAAUCUAUAUACUGUUUUUUAAAAUGUUUAAUAUGUACCAAGAAUUAUUUCGUAAGUAUACAAAAGAUGUAUAACGUGUAUGAAAAUUACGUAGACAUCAGAACAUAUUAUAGAAAUGUUAAUCUUGUAUUUAAAAAUUUUAAAUACACAUGCAUAAAAAUGUUUUUGAUGUACAUAAAAAAAUUGUACAUAGUGUGUGAACAAAGUAUGCAUUGAAAAAACAAAAAUCUUGUUGGAAAAAAAUCUCGUGUUGUAUACGAAAAUGUAAAAGGUGUAUGAAAAUAAUUAGAUAUAUGUUUAAUGAAAAAAGGAAAGAAGGCGCAAAAAAUCCGAUUAACACCAAGAUAGGAACAAGAAAACCUGAAGAAGACCAUUGAAAAAAAGAAAUGAAUACAAGAAAGAGGAAGAAAAACAAAAAAAAUGAAGAAGCUGAUGCAGAACAGGGAACUUAGUGAAAACGAAUAAAAAUUGAUGAAAACCGAGAAGAAAAACAAGAAAACUGAAGCAAAAAUUAAGAAAAAUAUGUAAAAAAAAUGAUGAAACAUUGCGAAACAGUGAAAUACUAUGAAAACCAAAGGAAAAAAAGACUCAAAAAUAAGAACGUACAGCAAGCGAAUGAACAACAACUGAGUGAACGAGCGAACAUGCGAGAAUACGUUAAUUGUCUGGCCCAUACUUGUGGAUUCCAGAGGCGAGCCAGAAUAGGCGAGAUAUAGCUAUGACGAUUUGAUACCCUUCAUAGCUUCACGAAUGCUAUAUCUCGCUCACAGCGAAAGUAUUUUUUGUCUGGCCUGAAGGUGAAAGAAUAGCAUCAGGUCGCUGUAAGUUUUGUGAUCCUACAAUCAGAGCUCGAUAAGAUUAAAAUUCAUGUUUCUGACAACCAGUCAUUCGCUCACUCAAUUCCACGUACUAGUUUGGUUAGGUUUUUUUUUCAUUUUUUUCUGUUUUUUAUUUCUUCACUGGCUUUCUUUGGUUUUUUUAUCGGUUUUCUUUGUUUCCUUCACGUUUUACUCUUUCUUUUCCUUUUUACUGGUUUAUCUAUUCCUUUUUUCUUUGUUUCUUUCUUGGUUUUCUUUGUUUUUUCUUUCUUUUGAUGUCAACCUUUUUACAUACACAUUCAACAAUUUUCGUAUACAUCAGAAACAUUUUAUGUAUACACGUUAACAAUUCCCAGGUACAUGAUUAAUAUUUUUGGAAAACUUCUAUUUUUUAUGUGUACUUUUUGAUACAUUUUGUAUAUAUCAGAAAUAUUUUUUAUAGAAGGUUUAACAUUUUUUAAAUACAUGAUUACCUUUUUGUAAACUUAUAUUGUUUGACGUUUACUUUUUUUCAUAGACAUAGUGAGGGGUUAUAUCUAAGGAAUAGGCCCAAGUACAUAUAUGGCCCAAGUACAUUUAAUCAAGGAUGUAGUCCACAAGACAAAUGGGGAAACAGACGGGGGCCAAUGGAGCUACAAGGCCAAAGCAUCGGAUACAAGGGGAGAAUCUACAGUCGGAUUACACAACCCUUGACAGACAAGACUCAUUAGUUGGUCCGCUAUAGGAAUCGGGUAAUUUGCCGUCAGCCGAGAACAUACUCAAAGACUUUGCCGUCAGCAAGUUGAUGACAACUUUUCAUCACGUUGAUGACAAAGACUUUGCCGUCAAUUAAACUAUGUGUUUAUCGUCUAUAGAAAAAACACAAACGGCAAAGGAAAGCACCUUUGCCAUCAGCGGCUAAUCUGCAUGUGUCUUCAACAAGACUCGUCUUGUCACUAGCCUCAAACAUCACAGAUGGAAAAGAAAUUUUUUAUUUUAAAAAAUCUGCGUCGACCACCCUACUUCGCACAUGUAGCCACCGCCUGGCCGCGCUCGCUGAUCACCCACAAGUGUAGGGGAUCUAUCGUAGUCCUUUCGAUAAGUAAGAGUGUCGAACCGAACGAGGAGUAGAAGGAAAUGACAAGCGGUUUUUAGUAAGGUAUUCUCUGCAAGCACUGAAAUUAUCGGUAACAGAUAGUUUUGUGAUAAGGUAAUUCGUAACGGGUAACAAGUAACAACAGUAAAUAAAGUGCAGCAAGGUGGCACAAUCCUUUUUGUAGCAAACGACAAGCCUGGACAAAUUCUUAUAUGAAGGAAAACGCUCCCGAGGACACAUGGGAAUUAUCGUCAAGCUAGUUUUCAUCACGCUCAUAUGAUUCACGUUCAUUACUUUGAUAAUUUAAUAUGUGGAUGGACCGGUGCUUGGAUACUGCUCUUUCUUGGAUAAGCAUCCCACUUAUGAUUAACCCCUAUUGCAAGCAUCCGCAACUCAAAAGAAAUAUUAAGGUAAACCUAAUCAUAGCAUGAAACAUUGACACGGCACAUUAUAAAGAGUUCAACCCAAAUUUUGUAGUAACACUAUUAUAUUUAAAUAGUGAUUAUUCCAACACAUGGAUAAUUAAUUAAGGCACCAGGUUGCGCUUGUGACCAGGAAAGACAAACUUAUGAACUUGCAAGCAUGACAAUCAGAUCGACAUCCACACAAUGUCAAUAUGAACAUUGUCUUGAUACAACUUUAUUUGUAUUUUAUUUCAGAAUUUAAACAACUAGUUUGGGCGGGUCACACACGACGUUGUGUGACACUUUAUUUGUCACCGCUGCAUCGACAUAUCCAUCGACUAAACAACGGUGAUCCAACUAUAUAUUACUAGAGACCUUUCCUUAUCAGUAGGCACCAACUCCAGUGCCAACGCCAAAUGGCACACUAGUGGUGGUCCUAUACAACGGCACAUUGACACGGCACAUCAUUGGCAGGGUACGGAGCGCAAUGGAAGUCAUCACCUCAAGCUGAGCUAUCUGGUGUGGCUGCAAAAAGGUACCCUGUGCCAAUUGUUGUUGUUGAGGUUGUUGCCCGAGUUGCUGCUGUGACUGCUGUUGGGGUUGGGAAACGCAUUGGCCCAACUGUUGCGGUUGCUGCUGCUGAGUUUGGAUGGAACCCCGAACCUGUUGUUGUUCUUGCAGGACGAUGGAGUAGAUGAUAGCACGGAUUGCCUCAUAGCGGGAUUGCUGGGGGAUUUGCGGCAACUGCUGGCAACAUUGUUGUUGCAUCACAUGGCAACUACUCUGCUGCAACAUUUGCGACCUAGCAAGACUUUGUGGCAUUGCCACAGGGCUGCAUUGCUGCUGGAGGAAUACCUUGCAUGGGUUCAGCUGCUGCAAGAUAGAUGGAUGAACAAAUGGUAUUUGUUGUUGCGGUAGAACUAGUUGUUGUUGUUGUUGCGAAAAUGAUGGUUGUUGUGGUAGAAUUGGUUGUUGUUGUUGUUGUUGCGAAAAUGGUGGUUGUUGCGGUAGUACUGGUUGUUGUUGUUGUGAAAACGGUGGUUGUUGUUGUGAAAAUGGUGGUAGUUGUUGCUGCGAAAAUGAUGGCUGUUGCGGUAGAACUGGUUGUUGUUGCUGCGAAAAUGGUGGUUGUUGCUGUGAAAAUGGUGGUUGUUGUUGCUGUGAAAAUGGUGGUUGUUGUUGCUGCGAUAAUGGUUGUUGUUGUUGUUGUUGUUGUUGUUGUUGUUGUUGUUGUUGUUGUUGUUGUUGUUGUUGUUGUUGUUGUUGUGAACAUGGUUGCUGUUGUGGAAAUUGUUGUGGUUGUUGUUGGAUGGGUUGUUGUGGUUGUUGGUGCGAUAAUGUUUGUUGUGGUGGUAAUGGUUGUUGCUGCGAUGGUCUCUCCAAACCAGGGAUGUGGCUAUUCUCCAUUUGUGCAAUGGCACUUGUCGCCGCAACGGCGAGGAGGGCAAAGAUGAGGAAGGUCUUCAUGGUGGACUAGUGUUAACUAGUAUUUCCUGGUUUUGAUGCUUGUGUUUGUGAUGAUCUUUAUACUUCAUGCCUAUUUAUAGUAGCCAGGGCACCACCUCUUUUCUUCUUUGCAUUAGCU
rnacentral:lncRNA from 1 species